rnacentral:lncRNA from 1 species
AAUAGGCGGGCAGUCGAGGGGCGUGACAGAUAAGAUGGUAUCAGAGCAUAAAAGAAACAUAAAAAGAAUAAUAGAAAAUGGUUUAGUUGGACCUAGGAGACCUUAGGAUAGCAAACCAUAGGAGAUUAAGGUUCGUAAGAGACGAGGACUUGUGACUAUUGGCGAAAGAUAAAUUGAUUGGGUUAUGUUGUAAACCUCUAAAACGGAUGUUAGAGGUAGAUUCAAGGUGUGGUUUAUUCUCAACCGAGGGUGUUCUUGUUCGAUGCAUACAACAUGAAACCGCGUAAUGAGAAUAGACGACCUUGCGUGACUUUCGCCCUAUUUGAGCCGGUAUUAAGUGUCUUGUGUUCGACCUAGAAGGUCGAGGAUUAAUAGAGUUGUCGCGUUUUAGGAAGCGAUAGCACCGCGUAGGCGAUCUUCUUUUAGAUCGGCGCGGGAUGGGCCAAAUGGUGUCCCUGGGCAAUUUGAGGCGAGCGGAGACUGGGAACUUCGCGAGUUUUGGCGUCUCUCAUGAUCUUUGAGAAAUUAACGGAAUCCUCGUCGUGUUAGAUCACUUUUGGUCAAAUUGACCAAAGUGCGUCGAGAGAAGUAGUUGGACAAAGUCCAAUUGGCAUUCCAACAAUGUUGGAAGGGUGAGAAUUGAGUUCUAAAAGAGUUAGAAGGGUUUUAGCGUUGCUCGGCGUGAAUUGGAGUCGAAGUGAUGCAAAACCGAAAUUCUGGAACAUGUGUUACUGGUUUGACACCAGGGGUGUACCGAUACAGCGUGGUUGUAACGAAGUGAAUUCUCGAGAGCCGAGAGUUGGACUUCGUCCAGGAUUGGCUAGUUGUCGAGUGGGUAUGUAAUAUACUGAAACUUCGGUAACCAAGUAUCGAACUUUAGUCAGAAUGACCAAAGUGCGAGGUUGGUAUGCUUCGGUAAGGCCGAGGGCGUCAAAAGGAGUAAAGGUGCGUCAUUGGGGAUCUUCGAGAGCUAGACAUUUGAAAAUCUGCAAAGUACAGGUUUUCUGUUCUCGGAGACCGGUCCCUGCGGGGAGAGACCGGUCCCCGAACGCGCAGGUAGCAAGAGGAGAGAAAAAUCGGCUAAGUCUCUGGUGGAUAGCUCUCGGGAACCGGUCCCUGCGGGGAGAGACCGGUCCCCAAGAGACCGAUCCCAUCAGGGGAGAUCGGUUGCCUCGUGCGUAGGCUGCGCAGAUCGCGGGAGAAGCUCUCGGGGACCGGUCCCAGGCAGGAAGAGACCGGUCCCUAAGCAUGAAAAUUGCCCAGUUUGGGCAGUGCACUGGAUAGAAAGUGGGAGGGCCUAUUUGCAAAUAUUGCAACAUGUUAUAUGCCCUAUCCCUCUCCCCCACAGCGGUGUGAGCUACGAGAGGGCGUUGAGGAGAAUGCAACCUAAGGGUUCGCGGCGAACGCUGGGUGGUCGUAGAUACGCGACCCUGGUUGAGGAACCUGCUGCUGACGAUGUCGUUGCAGGUAUGAGUUAUUUAUGCAAGCAUAUGUUUUGCAUGAUCUGAAGUUGAUGCAUUGCAUGCAAUGGUUAUGUGGUUAAUCACUAUUGUCAUGCAUGAGCAUAGUAGAGACCGAGUGGACGGGUAAAUAUAGAUACCCGGGCAUGCUCGUGUUGUAAGGGCGCAGUACCUGCCAGUACAGGUAUAGAGCCAGCUGGCACUAGCGAAGUGCUAGAAGUAAUCUAUGGCGAGAAGUGAGACUCGCGUUAGAGAUAGAAGUGGCGAAACGACUUUCUGAGGAAUAUGAAUAGUAAAUUACGAGAGUUGAGCCAUGAUGCUUAUGAGAAGUGGUCCGAAAAUUUCGGAUGUCAUUCCAGUAGAUCGAACAGUGAAAGUAGCAUCACUGUUGAGAGAACGGUCGAUUAGUGGCCAAGCUUGAGCACGUGGGCCUAGUAGUACCUCAAGGUGAGGUAGGCGGUUGUGCUCGUGCGGCUGGUGUGCAUAGGCAAGAUUGCCUAAUGCUGACUUUGUGUGGAACGUUGUAGAGGCGUAGAGCGCUUGAGUGUAGGUACCCGUAGAGUGCUGAUGUGGAUUCAACCGAGAGAGUGUAUUGGCAGUAGCACUUGAGCAUUGCUAGGUGUGAAGCGUGCCAUGGAUCACUCGUGGGACUAGCGACUCACACUAGGUGCAUAGGAGUCGAUAUUGGUAUGUGUGACUCGGUAGAGUAUGUCGUGUAGGACGACGACGGCGGGUAGUGCUUGGGGACGACCCGUGCCUGGACUAUUUGUGAACUGUGGAGCCUGGGCCCUUUGGGCAGGCGCAGUCAGCUGUGAGUGACAGCGGCCCAGUACCUACGGGUAGGGCAAUGUUCUGGUCAGGACGGUAGUCCGAGUUUAGGCCCGGGAGCGUGAAUGCCACGUGAUAGAUUGUGUGACCGAUGAUACACCGAGUAUGGUUGUGACCCAACCCGAGGACUUGACGUGGUUUGGGAUCUUAGUUACUCCUGGUUGGAGUGUGUGCGAAUUCCCAUGUGAGAAUUUCGCCCGAUGAUGAUGGGGUCUGCAUUUGCCAGCGAGAGACGCUGCGUGUUGAGACAGGUUUAGGCGGUAGGCCUACAUAGGAUUGGUGGCCUUUGGUCCACCUGUGGAGACAGAAGAGAGCGAUUUGGCGGAUAGCCUUAUCGAGGGGUUUGACUCAAAUUCACGAACGAAGCACUCGUGUGAGCUCGUUGCGGAAAUAGUUCGAUAUUGACCGUGGCAUAUGGUAUCAGAAGAUGAAGUGCUCUUAGUGAGACCUUGAGCUAGUAGAAAGCCACGUGAUGUGGAGACUAUGCUCGUAAACGAACUAAAACUUGAGAUGUGCUGAAGUGGGCCAUCUCGCGUUAAAGUUAAGGGUCAGUGCGAAAUUAGAGCACUCGCGAUGGAGCGAUGCACCGGUGAUAUUGCUCCUAAGCAAUGUCGGUGAUCGAAUCAGAAUGUAUUCUCUGAAGGGAAGGUAAGUGCAAAGAAGAAUUCUUUGUGUAUCGAAUGGUGAGUGGUGUUGGAGCGCGUAGAGUCGUCGAGCAUCGACUUGCGCUGCCACUAUUACUUGCAAGACUCGUGAUGCCCUUUUGCAUCACACUUUGCAAAUGAGUUUAAGAUUAAACCCACGUCCUUCAGUAUGAGCCGCUUCUGGAAGAACGAUUGUGUGAAGCCGCUAUGGACUGGGAGAAUGAGUUGGUACCCUUAAUUGCUUAUGGAGCUUGAUUGAGGCGUGGUUUGAAUUUCGCGGACGAAAUUAUUUUAAGGGGCGGAGAAUGUAACAUACUAGAUUUUGGUAUAAAGAUAAAAAUAAAUAAAAAUAGUGUGAGAAACUAUUUUUAUUAGAUUUGUAGAAGUAAAACAUAAGUCAAAAGUGACUUGUGCUGAAAUCAGAAUGAAAACAGAAAAUUUAGAAUUUUCUGUUGGAAACGGGACAGAUAAAUUAGCAGAAAAUGCACAGUCUCAGAAAAUUAUGAAAAUUGGAGAAUAAGUCAGAAUAUUUUUAUGAGGCUAGAUUUAAAGUUUCAUAUUUUUCUGACACCCGUAGAGUGAGAAAUAAAAUCCGACAGCUAUCAGAUAAAGAUUACAGUUCGGUACAAUUUUCGGUGACCAAAUCGGGUCGAAACUGAAAACUUAAAAUAUAUUCUUACUCAGUACGUAAAACUGAAUAUGACUGUCAAGUUUGAGCUCAAACGGACAUUCAGGGAGCUCCGGCGAAAGUUAUAAGAUUUCAAGCUGCCUAGAGUGAAUAGUGUUUGAGGGGUAUUAUAUAGAAGCUGAUGCUUCUUCUCCCUCAACCGUGCGCCACACACACACCCGCACGCCACACAUGCACACACGCUUGGAGAGGGAAAGAGAGAACCCACCCAUUUUCUCUCUAAAUCUCUCCCAAAAUUGAAGGUUUUGGUGGAGAAGCAAGCUUGAAAGUUGAUCUUCAUCUUCUUCGUCUUCUUUCUCUCCAUUGGAGCUAGCUUUGAAGGUAAGCUUCAAACUCUUUAAUGGCAUUUCUCUCUAGUUUGAUUUUUAAGCUCUAAGAAUGGGUUUAGAGGUAUUCUAGCAUGCUAAUAAGAGGUUUGAUGCUUGAAAUCGAGGCUCUAAUGGCGAAUUUUUAUCUAGUUGAAAUUUAGGGCUCAAAAAUGCUAGUUUUGUAAAUAUGAGGGUUUGAUCUCAUUUGACCCUCUGUAAACCUAAUUGCUAGGUAAACGAACGCGUUGGCGAAGUCGGUUCGGCGAUUCGUCGAGCCGUUGCGAAGUUAUUAAAGAAACGGACGUUUAGGCUUCGUUUUCGCCUGGAGGGCCGAGGCGACAUCGUAAACCCAUGAAAACGGAUUUGAAGUAUCGGGCACAUAACGGAUAAGACCUUUAAUUUUUUUUUCUUGGGGAUCGCUGAAUUCGUGAGGCCCUGUCUCGGAUGGUCCGCGAGAGAUCGGGCCAAACGGGUGCGGUGCCGCGGCGAGGCCGAUUGCAGUGGCGACAAGCAAUCGGAAUGCGAAAUGAAGUGUGGCGUUUGUGCUUACCGAAGCGAUUAGGUCGCCUGUAUAUGAUCUAAGAGAAAUGAGCAUUUCAUAUUGAUUGCAUGUUGACAAAAUAUAAUGUUGAAAUGCUAAAGCGAAGCAUAUUCGACAUAUAUAAGAAUGUGAAAAAGAAGUAUGUUAACAUAUCUAUAGAAUGCUUAGAUAAAUUGCAUGUUGAAUUAAUGAUUAGAGAGUGCAUAAGAUAAGGGCAUAUGAAUGUUAACAUUAUAAGAAAUAUGCUUUAAAGAAAUGCCAUAAUGGACAUGUAUGUAGAGCAUGCUGUGGGAUACUCCCUAGAGUAAUUGUAUGAUAAGAUGUAGAAUAAUGAAUGCAAGUAUGUGGUUAAUGUUAGAAAUGGAAAUGUGCAUAUGGAUAAUCUGAUAUACAAUAGAUCUGGUGGCACAAAUCUAGAGUCAUGGACAUGGUUAAAACAUGGAAGCUAAUGAACUAUGUCUUGAACAUAGGUUGAACAAGUUAUAGUGUGAACCUAGUGUCGAUGAACUAGUAACACUGUGCGCAUUUGAAGCAUAUUAUAUUUGUACCCAUUUCAUAGUACUGAUAGGGCUAAAACAUGUGAACUUGGUUGCUUUCAAUGACAUGUUUCUACGAAGUGAACAGUAGAGAAAGGUAGAACCAUACAUGAAAAUGUAUCGUUGGAGGACCCUAUUAUUGUGUUGAAUUGUUGAGAGUUUGGACGGUUGGAACAUUUAGUAAACAGUGUGGACAUGGACAAUAGAGACAUUAAUUGGCAAUACGACGAACAUAGUUGCUUAAACAUAGUUUAACAAGAGUGGAUUGAGACCAAGAAUGACCUAGAGAGCGCGCCGCAACAUAAAUAUGUAGAAAGCCUAUCAUGAUUGUGGCCAUUUGUGGCAUUUGAUGGCUUUUGGGCUAUACAUUCCUAAAUUGGGAAUGGAUCAUACUCACAUUGGUCUUGGCUUGAGGUGAGGUCGCGUCGCUCCUCAAGCGAGUGUUUUUCCAGAAAUCGACACCGCAUGGAGCGAGGUUGUAAUACACUGAACUUUUGCAAAUUCGCGAAGUAUCGAGUGUCGCUGCGCACACUCGCGCUCGCUCGCUCGCGCACUCUCACCAUGUUCUUAAAGGUUAGGCAACAAGUGUCUUGGACAAGUUUGAGAGUGAUUGGAAUGCAGCAAAAUAUUAAGGAAAUGCUAUUGUACCUCCGAGAACUUUCAGCAUUUUCUGCUUGGCUGUACCGGUAAGCAUUACUUGUCGGCUACAAGCUGGCAGAUUCAGUGCAUAGCAGGUGCCAAAAUUGGUCAUUUCACAUCUUGUGCUACCUAUUUCGAUGCCCAGCCACGACUUCUUGGAGCUUCUGGACGUGUGCCUUUAGAGCCCAGAGAAGCAACUUGAUCAUUUUUCUCUCUCUCUCUCUAGGGUUUUUCUCUCCUAACAAAGAAUUCCCCCACGAUUUCGUCGUUUCGUCGUCGCGGCGCGUUGCUUCGCUUGGUUGCAGGCGUAUCCGCAGCCGCCUUGUGCACUUGCAAAAGAGCGUUUUUGGACAAGGCAUUUUCGGCAGCCCUGGACAGUGGGGUGCUGGUUGAAGCUUGAAAGGUAAACGACUCGGGAUUUUCAUCCUUUAUCAACGUUCUAGUACGUCGUUUACGUUUGCGUUUGAGUUAUUGCUUCUCAGUUGCUUUUAACCUGAGAUUUCCAGCAAUAAAGUUGGAAUUAAUUAAGCUGUGAAUUACCUCCCUUAGACCAGGGUUCAGCUAACUUUAAAGCUAAUGGUAGAUAUUAGCCAUUUAUGAAGCUAUUUUGGAACGAAAUCUAUUGUUUGAGCGAACUAAUGCAAAUUGGGGAUUUUCCUUCGCAGCAGGUCUUCGAGCUUCGUUGAGCUGAAUUGUACCCUUAGAAGCUGGUUGGGAAGCUGCUCUAACCUAGGGUAAGCUAGAACUUCAGUUAGAAAACUGAAAUCGCAAGUUUCCGGCUAUAUUUAUUAAUAGUCAAUGAUUUUGACGCCGUUUUGAUAUUUUCGCAGCGAGAAGGUAUUUGACCCUUGGAUCGCCUUCGUUUGGCAUUGGAGCGGCCUUCCGGAAGCUUAACGUGAGGUAAUGAACUAAACCAAAACAUGGAAUUGAUGGAUUGAGCUUCCACUUUGUAUCAUUAGGAAUUUUCCGAAAUUGGAAUUGUAAGUAAUCGGCUCGGUGCGGUUUUGUUACCUUGUUUUCAGCAGGUUUGGGACUUUGUUGAGCUGAUUCUUGAGACGUCUUGGACUGCUUUGAGCAUAGUACGAGGUGGGUCGGACCUAACCAGAGCAAGUGAAGCUCCUCUAUGUUCUAUAUGUCACUAUAGAGAAUCGAUAUACUUGUGUGUUAUUGUCACUAUGUAGUUACUAAAGGAUUGGGGACAUCCGUGUGAUUAAGCUUAGCAUAAUGGAAAUAGAAUCUCUAUGAAGUAGAGAGCACUCGUGCAUAAGUGUCUUUAUGCUUAUAUUUAUGUUUAUAUUUAGUUAAGUUAACUAAUGGACAUAAUGAUGAUGAUUUUGGAAAGUAGAGAACCAUGACAUGCUUUAUGCCUCCAUGAUAGUGGAAAGAUUCUAAUGCUAUAUGUAAAUUAGCAUUACCCCUGUAUACUUACUAAACUAGUGGAUUCUAGUUGUUGUUAAUAUUUGUUAUACUGAAAUGUCGAUCAAAGGAUCGAGAACGAGAAUAUUGUGAACUAAAACAUGAUAAUUGAGACAUGUUGGACUGUGGACCUUGCUUGCUUGCCAUCGUGCUCAUUCGCACACGCUUGUGAGGGUAGCUCCCUACAAGCCGGCACUCCGGAGUUGGCCUACACGACAGUUGCUCGCCCGUGCGGGAUGGUGCCGAAGUGGAUUGCCGUGGGGAGUGUAUACUACCACGGGGCCAUUAGGCGCGGCGCAAGCUGGACUACCUGAGUAGAUCCUGUGAAUGAAAGGAAAGUGCUAAAGGAAAUUGGACAGUAUGAAUAAUUACCAGUUACAGUGUACAGUAGUUACUUACACACUUAUGCUACGUUUAUGCUUAUAGUAGUAGCCAUGCUUCUAUCAUUCAGUUGAUUCAUUACUGUUGAUGCUAUGAUCACAUGUUGUUUACAUGUUCAUUAUUUGUUUAACAUUGGCUUAUGAAUUGUUAGCAUUGAAAAUAUAUCAUGCAAAUUACUGCUUUUAUUUUCAUUCUGUACAUCUUCGAGCCUAGUGGUGUAAUUCGCCGAGGCUGGCGGCUUACCCACUGGGAACUAUUGUUAAUAGUUCUCACGCCCUUUUGGUGGUUGUUUUUACAGAGCCUGUUACAGGAGAGGCUAGGGAUCGUGGCAAGGGAGUCGCGCCUAGCUAGGGACUACUAGGAGCGUGCUAGUCGAUCACCUUGCUACUCGGGCUACGGCCGAGGGUGAUGUCCAUAUAUAUAUAGAGAGACCACCAUUGUAUCUAUUCUUUUUGUACACCCGUGAUGUAUAUUUACUUUCGGGGUUGAGAUUAUAGUAGUGUUACUUCUCCUUUUUGCUGAGUUCAUGGUUUGUAUACACUUUGGAUUUUGACUCGGAUUGGAUACUCGUUGUAUAUCGACUUGUACUUUGCUCUGAUAUCAGGAUAGGACUCUCUUGUUUUACUUCCUAUCGACUUGCUUCUCGUAGACGCCUUAUAUACUGCAGGUGUAUGGCGGGUCUGUGCACGUGCCGGAUAUGCUUCCGCUGGUACCCGGGCGUGACAGAGGUCCCUGAAGACGGUCCCUAGGGGUGGUUCGGGGCCCCCUGCUUUGAUGGGAUUUUGGGUUGUGAGUUCAAGGGGAACUGGGUGAACCUCGAUGCAAUUGGGUAAAAGCCAAGUGAAUAUACAUUAAGCGUUAUGAGCUAUAGAUUGAGUAUCCCUGUCGAGUGGAUUUGGGGCUGAGGUGUAUGUGAGACGUCCAUUACCUCGAGCUUGGAUUUAUACGAUAUUCUGCAGAUGAUUGACUCGAGACCGAGUCGGAUGGUUAGCUUGGCUAGGGUAGAGGAAAACCUUAGAAGCAAAUAACUAACGAUGUAAAGUGACAAGAUGUAUAAAUUAUGGAAAAGCUAUGGAUAGCAUAAUAGAAAGUUAAAUCAUUUAUUCUACUUGUAUAGUUGCAUGAUUCGCAUAUAGCAUGGCAUUAUUGCUCGUGAGGCAAUGCAUGGUUUUAUUAGUUGCAUAAUAAAGAUAUAUAUUUAUCUGUUUAUUGAACUAACUUGUAGUUGCCUCCCUUGGACCUAUUGGUCGAGCUUUUCUCUUGGGUGGCCGUACCCACUGGGAACCAUGGAGUUGGUUCUCACCCCACAUUGUUUUGGGGUGUUACAGGUUCGCACGUGAGCGGCGCGGCAGCGCGAGGCGAGGGCGUAGCAUCAUAGUUAGCUCCCUACCACCGAGACCAGAGAUAGCGGUACCCUGAGUCAGUUACUUAGGGAUGUAAAGAGUGAAAGAAUCAAGUUGUAAUAAUCAUGUUAAAUCGGAUUGUAUUUGGAAGUUAAGUGAAAGCUAAUGUAAGAACCUAAUGAGAUUUGUGAUGUAAAAAUAUGUGAAUGUGAAUGCAUGUAAUAACAUAGGAUGUGUUAUGUUGUUUGAUACCUUCCAUUAUGCAAUCUUGAUUGAAAUGUGUUCCUGGUUGGAACUUUGUACAUUGUAUUGAUUGCGACGCCUUGAAUGUACAGGGGAGACUCUGUCCGUGGUACAGGGAAAACCCUAUCCGUUCGUCGGUCUGUUGCAGCGCCGCGACCCGGCUAAAUAGGCGGGCGGUCGCUGGGCGUGACAGAUUGGGCACACGGCUUGACUUUAGCACGGCAUUUCAUCCUCAAAGUGAUGGUCAAUCGAAAAGGACGAUACAAAUACUUGAGGAUAUGUAUCAACCGUGUGUACUUGACUACAAGGGCGGUUGGCAUGAUCAUUUACCAAUGGCAGAGUUCGCGUACGAUAACAGUUGCCAAGAAAGUAUCGCGAUGGCGCCAUUCGAGGCCUUUUAUGGAAGGAAAUGUCGCUCUCCUAUGCAUUGGAGCGAGGUGGGAGAGAGAGUGGCUCUUGGCCACGAUGUAGUGCGUGAGGCGGAGGAGAAAGUUCACCUCACCCGCCAACGACUUGUUACGGCGGAAUCUCGGCAAAAGAGCUAUGCCGACAAGCGAAGAAAGGAUAUCGAGUUUGCGGUUGGUGACCACGUAUUCUUAAAGAUAUCGCCAGUGCGAGGAAUAAAACGAUUUGGAAUCCGUGGGAAGUUAAGUCUCCGGUACCUUGGACCGUUCGAAAUACUAGAACGCAUUGGCACGGUGGCCUACAAGAUAGCAUUACCACCGAAGCUUGCGGGAGUGCACGAUGUGUUUCAUGUAUCGAAUCUCCGCAAAUAUGUUAAUGAUCCCGAGCAUGUCCUCUCGUUUGAACCGUCUAAGAUUCAAGAGGAUAUGACUUAUGAGUAGUUCCCGGCAUACAUCAUCGAUUGAGAAGUAAGAAAACUACGGAACCGCGAGAUUUCGUAUGUUAAAGUCCAUUGGUGCAACCACGAUGAUCGGGAAGCCACUUGGGAGCUCGAGAGCGUGAUGCGGGAGCAUUAUCCCCAUCUCAUUAAAAAUCUGGAUUGAGGUAUGAACCUAGAACUUAAUUAAGUUAGUUUUGCGGACGAAACUAAUUUUAAGGGGUGGAGAAUGUAACGUACCGAAACUCGGUAGAGAAACUCGAACUUUGCCCAAAUUGGCUAAAGUGUGAGAAAGAAAUAGUUGGAUAAGUUCCACUUAGCAUUCCAACAAUGUUGGAAGGGUUAAGAGUGAAUUCCAAAUAGGUUAGGAAGGUUUUAGCAUUGCUCGACGCAAAGAGAAGCCGAAAAGAUGCAAAAACUGCAGUCUGGGCAAAGUGUACCGGUACAACAUCGAUGUUGUACCGGUACAACAGUGCUGCCCGAGAGGAAGUUGCUCUCAGGUUGGAGAAAAAUGAUCGUGUUACCGGUGACACCCCUGGUGUGUACCGGUACACUUUGGCAAAUCCCAAACAGCAGCUCUCAGGUUGGCCUCUGCGCAAUCGUGUUACCGGUGACACCCUAGCUGUACCAGUACACAAUGGACCUGACAGCAAGAUUAAGUCUGCAGCAAAUUAGAGAAAAAGGAGGGUUUUAUUGCAAUUGUUACAAUAUAAUAAAACCCCAACACACCCUCCCCUCUCUCUUUCACAGCCAAUACACCCACUCCCUCUUAUUUUCCUCUUUCUCUCUCUAGAAACCUCUCUAAAGAGCAAGGAGAAGGUGGAGUAGAAGGCUUUGGAGGAGAUUUUUCGUGGGUUAAAAGGCUUUGAAACUCUCCUACAAGGUGGACAUAGGAGAGCUUGGGGCUAAGGUGAGUCAUUGUGCAAGAAUAGCUUUAGGGUUUGGUUUUAUACCCUAGAAAACUAGGUUUUGAUCUUCUCUCAUGUAUAGGAACUUAGUAGGAACUUAGAACACAUGGAAACCCUAGUUUCCUCCAUGUGCUCUAAUGGUAGAUUUCUAGGGUUUGCUUUAUAUGCCCUAGAAAUGAUUUAGAUGGUUCUAGAUAGGCUUCUAGACGUUGGACAAACUUUCUUUUGCUUAUUCUAGAGAUCAAAACCUAGGUUGGAGCAAAUGGCAACAUUAGGGCACCAAAUUUGGGACUUUUGCCUUAGGGUGUUUAUAAGGCAAAUUGACCUUAUAGAAACCUAAUUACAGGUUUACCGACGCAAUGAAAAACUCAGUUCGACGAAACGAAAAAGUUUAGAUAAAGAUAUUGUAUAAAAAACCUAAUUUGGCUUCGUGUUGCCGCAGGCGAGCGAGUAGGCACCCAAAAAUUUCAAGAAUUAAACCAUAGCAUCCCUACAACCAUCCAAGGUGGGUGGUGUAUUCUGAAGACCUCGAAAUUUUCUUUAUGUCUAAAGUGUCAUAUUUGAGCAUAUGUAUGUAUUGAGCAUAUUGCAUAUUAGGGUUACUUGUGAGCUUCUCAUUGCAUGCUGUGAGUUCAAAUGCAUGUGAAGUACUAGUAAGAAAGUGAGAAUUUAUAAACUCUAUGUAUGCAUGAUAAAUGACAAAAACUUAGUGGACUUAGAAAACAAAUGUGACAUGUGGACAUGAAUGUAGAGAGUGGCAUUGUUGAGUCAAGAAUGCUAGAAUUGAACACUUAGAGGACAUGUGUGGCAUGUGUGUGUGAGUACAAAGUAGUGUAUAUGACACUAGCGAAAGUAAAGAAUGCAAGUAAAGGAGUGAUUGUGACAUUAUGAUAUAGUAACCUUAGAGUUAAGGGUCAUAUGUAUAUUGUUUCCUUAUAGUUAAUGAAUGAAUUGAACUUGACAUCCUUAUAGUUAAGGAUUGGAUCAUACUCACCUGUAAGUCCUUGCUCGAGGGCGGUAGCUUCCCCUCGGGCGAUGUGCUCCGGAGUUAUCAUCACUGGAAAGUGAAAUCCCCAGAGGAUGGUCCCAUCGGGCGUAGUAGUCUCCCCGAUACUUGGGAUUUGAGUUGGUGAGUCUAUUGAGGUCGAAACCCACGGGCUAGCUUAGAGAUUGAGAAUCGAAAAUGUGACCUUGCAUUCAUCAUGAGUAUUCUAUCGAGCAUCGCAUUCUUUAUUGUUCAGGCAUAUUAGCUUCAUUUGUUUAGUUGGUUACUACCUGUUUGUUCUUCUAUUAUGCCUGAUUUAGACCUAGUGGGAAAGUCGGCGUGGUUGGUUGCCGAACCCACUGAAAACUUUGUUGUAGUUCUCACACCCCACUUUCCACAGAGCCGGGACCAAGCGAACCGGUAGACGACCGUGGUAAGGGCAUCGCGCUGUAGAUAGAGACCACCCGAGAUGGUUUCAUAUUUUAUAGUUAUAUUUUCUUUAGUAUCAUCUUUUGUAUUUGAUGAUUCUAGAUGUUUAAGAGAAUGAUGUAAAAGAUGUUUAUUUUCAACGUCAAAGGUUGUAUUUUGGAGAAUGAGAUGUAAAAAGAUAUGAUGAAAAAGAAUGUAAAAGGACUUGAUUAAAGUAAUAUGCAUGUAUAUGAUUUAAAGUUAAUUAUAGUACUUGUAUGUUGAGUAGUUAGAUCUUUCAUUUUGGCUAGCUAUUAUGUUUGCUUCCGCAUGUGCAAAUUUUAUACCCUAUUUGGACUUGUUGUUGAGCCUUGGGCGGACAGGAGAGGUGCUGUCCGUUCGACGUCUAUUCGACGGGUCCGAACCGGCCAAAUAGGACCAAGUUCGAGGUGUGACACAUAUGGAACUCUAGCUAAUCCGAUUUGGUUUGACUAGAUCUAGACCAUUAUAAAUUGGUUGCAUGGUCCGAAUUGGUUUAUCUAGAUGAUUUAUAUAUUAUAUGAGAAGCUUGUAUAAUUGCUAGGUGAAACGUGCAAUCAAAAUAUAUUUGGAUAUUAUAUUCGAUCUUCAAGUAUUUUUUUUUCUUGGAUAAGAUAAAGCACGUGGUAGAUGAGAUAUACCAUCAUAUCAAAUUAUGGAUACAAAAUCUUUCAAGUAGUAAAUAUCAAACUCCUUUCUUAGAAUUAUACUAUAAAAUUCUUAUACCAAAUAAGUUAUUCCGAUAUCCAAACAAGACGCAAACGUACAAAUUGUUAGGCGUAUGCCCUAGAAGCCAACCAGGCCGACACCUGUAUUCUUUUUAGGACAUAAAUUUGUAUUUGACUUUAAAAUCUUAUGAAUAAAUUUGGGUCCUUAAUUCCAUUCAUAUUGUGUAUGUGUCCAUGAAUCGUCCAAGAAAUUAAUAAGAUGAUGACAUAUAUUUUCAAGAGUUGAGAAUUUGAGACAUGUGUCAUUAGUGGUUAAUUCCUAAAUGCUCCCGAUCAAUGGAUCAUCACGGGGAUGGUGAUUGAUCCGGUGAGAUUGGUGCAUAGGUCGCUUCCCUUUUUGGUAGACGGGUUUCGAGUCGACAGUGUGGGACACUAAAGUGAAUAUGCAGGUGGUUGUUAGAGAACAAGGAUACCGAGCGUGACCAACACGAGAAGUUACUUGGAUGUCUACUCACUCGUCAGUGACUUACUCAAUGUUGCAGUAGUGUGACUGGUCCUUUGACCUGCGGUGCCUCCAGUAUUCAUAAUGAGGUUACUGUAGUUUGACUGUACAUACACUUGAUCCCUAGCCAUUUGGGUCCUUGCGGUGCAUGUUGGCUGCAGUAGGUUCAUUGUAGGAAUAGGGUGCGCACUUAGAAGGAAUCUAUCUCCCUUGGUAGAUAGGGGUGUUAGUCCUAUGUGAUUUAUGAGACCGAGUUUAGAAGACCUUGGCCAGUGCAGAGUUAAUAGCGAAAAAUGGUUUCUGAUAUUAGAAACUCGAAUCGAAUAAAUUUAACAUAUGACAGACGAUGGGGUUUGACGAGUUAUUCCAUAACCUCCGUCUAGUCGGGACUCAUGAUAGAAGGAUUGUAUCACACGGUAACUGCACCAAAGGGUUCUGUAUUCCAUUCUACUGGAAUGCCAUUACAUGCUACUAGGCGUCACUGGUGGAUUGUGAGACUCAUGAGAAUUAUCUAGAUGAUCGACAAUUCUUAUUGGGCUGAGUUGGAAUUAUUCCGAUCCACUGAAAGGAGUUUUAGUGAUAUUGUUGAUAAUGAUCAAAAUAUAUCUCACUACCAGAUAGAAUAGAACCUAUGGGGUCACACACAUAAGAGGUUGUGAUUGAUCGGAUAGCUAGAUCACAAUUAUUGAAUCGCCGGAGGACCUAAUUGUCAAUAUGUUGAUACUUGGACUAAUUUGUAAUUAUUACAAAUUAGUGGUAUUAAAGUGUAAAUGUUACAAGAUAGAACUUAAUAAUAGUUAGUCAAUUAUAAGAGGACUUAUGUGCAAAUGUUGCAUUAUUAAUUUGAUAUGAUCAAAUUAAUAUAAAGUUCAAGUCGAAUCAAAUUAGGAUUUAAUCGAUCUAACCAAUUAAGGAAAGGAUAAAUUUAAAUUUAGAUUUGUACUUAUCCUUAAUGGUUAUUAUAUUAUUAAAAAAAGGAUUAUAUUCCUCCAUAUAAUAAUACGGGAGUUUUUAAAAAACCCUACUUGUCAUCUUUCCUCUCUUCUCUCUUCCAUAUUCUAGCAAAAAGACAUCCUUUGUAAGGGAGCUAGCACCCCGGUGAGGAUAUCGAUCAAAUCAAGAAUCUCGUGUGGAUACCUAUAGAGGCCGGACGUGUGUUCGGCUUCAAGAGAACCUGAUUCCACGAUCAUCAAGUUGAGGUGAAAAUCUAUCUGCGAAAAAGGUAAAGAUUCGAUCUUACUUUUCUCCUUUAAUCUUAAAGAAUAUGAGGGAUCCUAAUUGCGUGGUUUUUGAGAUUAGAUCUCGAGAGUUUUCAAAAUCAAGUUUGUUUGAUUUCUUUUUCUGCUGCGUUUUUACCGUACGCAAUUUUCUAACACAAAUUUCUCAAGUAAAUCAUAAAAAUACACCAAACAAGAUUUUCGUGCAUCCAAAUAGGACCGAAGAGUGUAACUUUUUACUCAAAUCGGUUAAAAGUUUAACCCAUGUUUGGUGACUAUACAAUUCGAAUUUAAGGUAAGAUGUUUGGUCAUCAAAACUCGCCCAGGUUGGAAUCGAAAAACUUUGAUUGAGUAGUAAUAUUUGGCUCGAAUUCUGUGUAGACUAGUACCAUACGUAGUGCGCACGCGCUAUUAUUUGAUAUCUUGUUGAACUAUAUAGCACUAUAAUAUGAGAUCAAUCCUACCUAAAUCGUUGUGCGCCCGAUUCGAUCAAUUGUCACUUCUACUAGAAAAUUAUGUUAUAAGGAAAAAAUUCCAUCAAUCGUCAAUAAUUUUAUGAUAAUUUUUCAUUUCAUCUGUCGAAUUUUAACUCUCUUGCUAGAGAUAUUAAAUUUAAUGUUUGUCCAUUGGAUUGCCUUUUUAGGCCCCGUUUGGUAUUGCGGUAGGAAGCCCAAAACUCUUUUUUUUAAGUGCUUGGGCUAAGUAUCCCAUUUGGUAUUCCAAAUAAUAUCCCACUUUAUCCAACCGCUACCGCAAAUAUACCCCUAAAAUGCGGUACGUACGAAGCAUCCCACUCGAUGCUUUCUCCAAAUUGGAGUUUGGGAUUUGUGCGUUCCGCACAAAUAAAAUAAUUGAUAGACCAAAUUACCCCUAAAUUUAAUCAAAAUUUACGAGCUAUUUAAAACCCUUAUUUUUUCCUAAAUAGAUGAGAAACCCUAUUUUCUCUUCCAUUGGAUGUCUUUCUCUAGCCAACUCCCAGUAAUUAGGAGAGGAAAAAUUCUUUGGUUCGUUUUUCGAAAGGUGGAUAUCAUAUUCUCUGCCGUCUUUAAAUUCUUUAGCAUGUUUGUUUUUUUUUUUCAGUUUUUUGAGAGAAACAUGUUUUUUAAAUUGUUAAAUUUCUUCAAAGUUUAUUGUAUUAAAAAGAACUUGUGCCCAAAAUUUUUUCUUUUUUUGUUGACAUUUGAUGGUAUUUUGCCUAAUCAGAUUUGUUAAAUACAAUUAUUUUAGUUUAAUUUUUACCUUUUUGUACUGUAGGCGAUACUUUUGGGGGUAUAUAAUGUCUAAAAGUAAGGAUAUUGAGAGCAUUGAAUCUCGCACAAAAGCAACAUGGGAAAAAAAAUAUUAUUCAUAUAUUUUGUGACCUCUGUUUAAAAGAAAUUGAAGUAGGUAAUCGACCAGGAACUCACUUUAAUAAGAAUGGUUGGAAUAACAUAGUUAACAAUUUUAAAAAAGAAACAAAUAGAUAUUACGAUAGACAUCAGUUAUAGAAUAAGUGGGAUCAACUAAAGAAGGAAUGGAAGCAAUGGAAGCAAUUGUUAAAAAAUGAAACUGGAAUUGGAUGGGAUUCAUGGAGGAGAAUCGUUGAUGCAGCAGAUGAGUGGUGGCGGGAUAAGCUAAAGGUAUAUAUUUCACAUAUAAUACAUAACAUCUGUAUAUUUUAUUAUUCUUCAUAUUUAACAAUCAAGUUGUAUUUAGGUUUAAUAAUAUAUUGUUCAUUAAAACAUGUAGGUUUAUCCAGAAGCUGCCAAAUUUAAGUUACAAGGAAUCGAACUUGAUCUUGAAGAGAAAUUAGACCGGAUGUUUUUGAAUACUGUAGCAAUGGGAGAUGAUGAAUGGGCACCAUCAUCAGGAGUUAUUCCUAAUAAUCAAGUGGAUACAUUGAAGGAUAAGACAAUAUCAGAGGUUGUGGGAGUUGAUGAUUCUGAUGAGGAACCUUACAUGCCAACAGCAUUAGAUGACACAUUAGGUGAUGCAGAAUUUCAUAGUAAUGAGCCAACAAGAAAGCCCAUUAUACUUCGAAGGUCUAAGAGAGUAGUUGAUGCAUCAGCCUCAAAUGUUUCAAGAAAAAAGCAAACAAAGGCAGUGGGAGCUGCUAAACUGUCAACUUAGAUCGAUCGUUUAUGCGAUGUGAUUGAAAGUAGGAACUCAAUGUUGAAAGAAAAAUCAGUAUCGGAAUCUGCAAUCACCGAGGCAAUUCGUCCUUUGGACACCAUUCAAGAGAUUCCUAGAAAUAGCUCACUUUAUUACUUUGCUACUACAUUGCUAAUGAAUAAGGAUAAAAGGGAAAUGUUCAUGGUACUUGAAGCAGACUCAAAAGAGUGGUGGCUCAGGAUGGAAGAAGCGGCGAACAAAAAAUAGGAUAGUUUAUUGCCUUUAGGAUUAUUUAUGAAUAAUUUUUCUCUUUAGCAAUAUCAUUUGAUACUAUUUUGAUGUUUUGUUAGCACAUCAAUAAAUAGCAAAAACAAUGAUGAAUUUUUUGUAUUCGUAUUUUAAUAUACAAAAAUUUUUCAUUAAACUUAUAUUUCAUUUGUGGUCGAUUUGUGUUAUUGUAAUGUAGAAUGCAUAUGAAUAGGUUCUGAGAGUAUAAGGCAUAUUAAUAUGAAUUUGGUUGUAUAGUUAUAAAAGCAUUUUAUAAAUUUCAUGAUGUAGGUAAUGGUCCUAAUGGAUUGUUAUGUUACUCACAGUUCUUCAAAUAAUGAAAAUGAAUACACUGACAAUGAAAGUCAUUGUGAAGCAAUAUUGGAGGACGAUAUUGACUAUGACAACUUCGUAUUUGUACGAAGUUGUUUAAUAUCUAUGUAUUACCAAAAGUACAUAUGCAAAACUCCGUGUAUGACUUCAAAACAAACAGGAGAAGUUUGGGUGCGAGAUGUAUUAUACGGACAUAGGGAUCGAUGCAUGAUAAACUUUAGAAUGCCAAAGGAAGUCUUCGUUAGUCUAUUACAUGAUUUGCUAACCAAAUAUGGUUUGAAAGGAUCAAGAAAUAUUUCGACAAUAGAAAUUCUAGCAAUGUUUUUAUACAUAUUGGGACAUGGAGCAUCAAAGAGAGUUAUACGUGAGCGUUUUCAAAGAUCAGGCGAGACAAUCAGUAGGUGUUUUACGUACAUCCUUUCUUGUGUUUCACGUAUGGCCUGCGACAUAAUUACGCCACUUGAUUCACAAUUCAACAACAUUCCAGAACCAAUAAGAAAAGAUCAAAGAUAUAUGCCUCAUUUCAAGGUAAAGUAGAGCAAUAUUACCAUUUUUUUGUUGAUAAAUUUAUUUUUUUGACUUUGCCUUGAAUAAACAUUGUUGAGAUUUUCAUAUGUAUUUCAUUCUUAAGAAAUGAAUACUUGUAGGAUUGCAUAGGUGCGAUCGAUGGAACUCAAGUGCAAGCUCGUUUACCUCCCAAAAAACAAGUACCUUACAUUGGAAGGUCAGGUAAACCGAUACAAAUGUUAUGGCAGUGUGCGAUUUUAACAUGUGCUUUACAUUUGUGUACGCUGGUUGGGAAGGUACCACACAUGAUACUAGGAUUUUUUUGAGGGCACUAAGAACUCCAGAAUUGAAGUUCCCUCUUCCUCCACUUGGUAUUCAUUUUGAUUAAGUUUACUAUUUUAAAUAAUCCUUUCUUUUUUUUCUAUUAAAAGAAUUAUAAUGUUUUUAAUACAUGCUUAUCAGGAAAGUACUAUCUUGUUGAUGCGGGAUAUCCUCAAAUUAGAGGAUUCUUACGACCGUAUAAGAAUCAAAGAUAUCAUCUUCCAGAUUUUCGUCGAGGUGGGCAACCAUUAGGUUUACAAGAGGUAUUCAAUCGUACGCACUCAUCAUUACGUAGUGUGAGACCCCAGAUAGUCCUAUAUAUGAGAUAUAAUAGGGCUAAACUCUUAACCCGGCUUAAGCAUUUUGGGUGGUGGCAAGGCCCAAGAGGUUAAGAGAGUUAAGCGUGCUAGGACGGGAGUAGUCCUAGGAUGGGUGACCCCCUGGGAAGUCGGGGCGUCACACGUAGUGUGAUCGAGAGAACUUUUGGAAUUUGGAAGAAGAAGUGGAAUAUAUUACGAGAUAUGCCUAGUUAUCCAUUCAACAAGCAAGUACUGAUAGUAGUUGCAACAAUGGCAAUACAUAAUUAUAUACGAAGGCAUUGCUCACGGAAUGAUAAAGAUUUUAAGGAAUAUGAUGAAAAUCCAGAUUAUGUGCCUGAAGUGGAAAGAGAUGAUGAUAGGGACAAUGAUGACGAUGGUGAGGAUUGUAUCUGACGACGGGGUUAAUGAAAUGACCCAAUUGAGGGAUAAUAUUGCAGCUAGUUUAAGGAAUAGAUGAUCAUUCAGCUUUACUAUGUUCUUAAUUUGAAAACGCAUAUUUACAGAUUAAUUAUUUUUAACUUUAUGAAAAACCUCAUUAGUAUGUUGGAUUUGGUAUUUCGAAAGAAAUUUAAUUAGUGCUUGUUUUUUUCUUUAACUUUAAUUUUCGGAGUUCGCUUUCAAUUUGUAUGUCAUGGUGUUCAUGUAAAUCUGCCACUUUUAUGGAUACUAGUUAUAGUGCACGUGCAAUGCAUGUAACAUUUAAUUAAAUUAAAUUUAUAUUUAUAUUUUAAAUUUAAAUAAUUAUUGGUGGUAUAAAUUUAUUUAUCAGUUAAAUUUUUUCUAACAUUAAUUUUUUUUAAUGUGUAUCCAAAUUUUAAAAAUUUGAAGUAAUUCUAAAUUUUAAAUUAAUAAAUUCAGAUUUAAAUUUAUGAAUAAAACUUAAAUUUUGAAAUUAAUUUUGAAUCCAUAAUUUCAAUAUAAAUAAUUAUUAAAGACAUUAAUUUAUUUAUCAUCCCAUCUAUUUUUCAAAAUUGAUAUAUUUUCAAGUUAAUUAAUUAUUUUCAAUUUGAAAUACUGUUUACACACCCAAAAUAUUGAAAUUUUAAUUAAUUUCAAAUUUUAAAUUAAAAUAUUAAUUCACAUUUGAAAUUAUGAACCAAAUUUAAAAUUUAAAGUUGAUUUAAUAAGCUUAUUUAAAUCAUUUUAUUUUUCAAACCUUUUUUUUUAAUUAGCUAAUUGAGAGAUAGUAGAUACAAAAUAUUUUCAAUGUUUGUUGCAUAGAGAUUUUCGUUUUUUUGAUAAGUAUGGAAUAUUAUUUUAUGGGGCGCUUGUGAAAAAUAUUCUACAGCAAAUAUCCUUCAGUUGACAAAAAUUUGGAUAAGUAUAAAUUUCUUUCUAUUCUCGCAAAUGAAAUGCAAUAUUUUUUCCGACUAAAAAAAGGUUUGUCUGUGUCAACAAUUAUUUUAAUAAUUAUCUCAAAUCAAUAUCAAUUUGUGAAUCAUAUUUAUCUACAAAUUUAAAAUUUUAAAUUGUAAAUUUAUAUGUUAUAUUUUAUUGAAAAAAUAUCUCAUAUUUCAAAUAUUAAUAGGUAAAAUUGAGAUAAUUUUUAUAUAUUCACCUUUUAAAAUAUAUGAUUAAAUAUUAUAUAUGCGGAAGGUAUUAUGUGAUUGGAUAUUAUAUAGGGGGUGGAUAUUAUGUGUGAGAAAUAAAAUAUUUAGAAAUGCGAAUAUUAUUUGUUAUAAAAUAUGAUAUUAUGUGAGCAGCGGUUAUUAGAAGAUAUGUCAUGUAUAUAAAAAGUGAAAUUUGAUACGUACUAUUUGAGGGCAAUUUAGGUAAAAAAAGUGACAGAUACUUAAUUCGUCAGUCAUUGGAUUAGGUCUAAUGACUAAGAAUUAAUAUAUUUUAUGAUAAUUUAAAAAUAAAAUAAAAAUUGUAUGACUGUGAUUUAUUCCAUUAAAGUUGAAUGAAUGACAUUAUUAGUAUGUGAUUGAAAUUAUAUUAAUAGGGACCGGCAUUUUUGGAAAGAGAAAAAAAUUCAAAGCUCACGCUUUUAUAAGUAGUAUAGAUAUAGAUAGUUGAGCAUGAUGAGUAAAACAUAUUUUAUUCACAGGAUGAAAGUUGUUCAUAUAUGCUGGUAGUACAUGAGUACCAUGCUUAUGAAAUUAAUAGAUAAAUAUAUAAGAAAGUCGUAUCUAUUCUUUUGAUUUUAUAUUUAUUAAAUUGUCUGAUUUUAGUAAAUUAGAUUAAAAAUUAUAGUAAAUUUAUUAAAAGUUUCAUCAUAUUUAGCAGGUUUAAUUUAUUUAUUUUAGCAAAAAUUAAAAUAUUUAAUGAAUAAAAGUUAAUAGUAAAUUAAAUUAAUUAAAAUAAAAUAAAAUAAAAUUAUAAAAAAUAUUAAUUUUCAAAAGAAAGCAUAGUUGAAGGACCUAUUUUCUAAUGAAAUAUAGUUGAGGGUGUUUAAAUACAUAUUUACCAAACUAAUUUACCGAUAUAACUUUCGAAUCAAAAGUCCUGAUUAGUCAUUUUACAUUAUAACAGUGUUUUGAAUACUAAUUUACCAAACGCAUAGAAUGAAAAAACUAUCACGCUACCAUAGUCAUAUAGUUGUUUUGCCAAACGUCUGCAUACUUUUCCUACAACAGUUUCUAUAUAAAACAAUUUUUUUACAACAACUUUUAGAAAUACUUUUGCCACCGCUACUGCACACCCAAACUAAGCCUUAGACUCCGUUGGUAAUUCUAAACAAUAUUCCAAUAUAAAAUAUAUCCUCUCUUUAAGUUAAGUUAUGAAUAUUUUGUAUACCCACUAAGGAUGACAGCAUCGCCAUGAAAAUAUUACGUGAUGAAGCUAAAAUAAUUUAAAAUGAGGAACCUAUAUAUAUAUAUAUAUAUAUAUAUAGUCCUAGAUGGAUCCUUAGCAAAAGAAUAACCCCUUUCGGUGGCAUGGACCACAAGUGACUUUCCCCAACCCAUAUAAACAGCGUUUUGGUUGGAUUAAUUCAAUGCUGGCCCCACCAGCAUCCAAUGAAUGCACACAAGACUACACACACGAAUUAUGAUUCCGAUCCCCUCAACAGCCCAACCCUAACGGCUGACAAGGAGAAAUUAAUAACCAUUUCCUGACCCGUGUGUAUCUUAUCCAUCUAUUGUACAAAAAUUACUAUGAUCUGACUUUUGAAAAUUAUUAAAAUGUCUAUCAAUAAAUAAUCACGAGUAUUAAAUUCUAUUACUUCGUCAAGAAGUAGUCUUAAAAUCAACAUUAUCAAAAGAAAUUUUAUUCAACUCAAAAGAAACUAGGAUUCAAAUAAAACUUAUGAAUUUUGUUGUAUAGGCCAUUCAAAUAAUAUUAAAUAGAUCGAAUGAUUUGCGAGCUUCAUGUAGCAAUUAAUAUUGUCAUUUCUUUUCUUUCCAAAAUACUAAUUAUAUAUAUAUACAAUUAGAUAUACCUACAGAAGUACAUUACUCUUGUGUUUAAGGUUGUUAGCCUGUAAUGCAGCCUAGCUAGCUAGUACAUGGAUAACGAUUUAUUUAAAAAUAAAAAAAUCAAAAAAUUGCUCUUAAGUUUUUAAAUUUUUGUUGCCAAAAAAGAAAAAGAAAAAAGGAACAUACAGAUAGAAAUUACAAAUAAUCUGAUGCGGGUAAUUUAACGUUAGAGUUUCUUGAAAAGGGCGACUCAAUCAAGAUGAACGAAAUUUGCCCGACCUUGGUAAUUUUUAUAAUUGGUGUGAGAAAUUUAUAGACGGUUAUAACUUUUAGCUCGAGCGUGUGAUUUCAGCGAGCAAUCUCAACUCGAAACAUACUUUUUGAAAUCUACAAAUUGAACGGUAAGGCCGUUUUGGCCGAGUUUGGAACUCAAAUUUAAUUGUUUCGGUCUCCGUUUUAAGUUAUUUUUAGAAAGCUGUACCUUUUUUUCUUUUUUGAGUCUAAUUAUUUGAUUGUUUUUAAUCUGAUUUGGUUUAAAAAUAUAUUAAAAUUUAUUAUGUUUGUUUAUAGUAGAAUUUGGGCAUAUCAACCCUUUAUAUAUAAUUAGUUUUUAGAGUCAAUUAACAAUAUUUUUUAUUUUUGUUGAAAAAUUGAUUUUUCGUGUAUAAGUCUCUCAUCAUUCCGGUGCUUCUUCUCUCUCAACGCGGCUUUGAUCUGCAUGAUUAUCUAUCAUCCACUCCACUCAUAAAAUAUUUUAUGCACAAAUUAAUAUUUAUAAAACUAGCUAGGAGAAAAACUGCAAUGGAGGGGGUAGAUUUUGAAUUUGCGGUCCGUGUCCGUAUUAAUUAUUUAACAUUUGGACUGCGGUGCAUGUGGUGCAGGCAAAUUUUUGCGCUGACAUGAAACACCCACAUGCUCUCUGCCUCCCCCAUGUCGUGCUCGGAGAGGGAAAUGGCUGGAGAAACAGCUGGGCCCCGCAUAGAUUUGCCUCCCCCCUUUCCUUAAAUUGUCCCCGACUUAAAAAGAAGGGAAAUUAAGGAGACAAACACUACACUACUAGUACUAGUACUAGUACUAGAGCCUAAUAAGAGGAGCAUCCAAGGAAAAGGACCCGUGUCGGUGGGGUGUUGGGUCCCCUAAAAGCCCUGCACCCUGUUCCCCCUCUAUAUCUCUUCCCUCACUCUCAUGCCAUGCCAUUUUGCUCGAUCGUCUCGUCUUCUCUCGCUCUCGCGCUCGCGCUAUAAAUAAAUAAAAACCUUCACCGUUUUUCUAUCCAGUCUAGUCCAUUAAUUCGUCAAAUUAAUAAAGCUUGCAUCUCUCACUAUUUUCUUUUGCGACGUCCGAAUGUAAAAAAGGAAGAACACAAAAUAAAAUGGAGCUUGAAUUGGGACUAGCCUUACCCAACAACGAUUUGAUAAACGAAAUCGAUCUCAAUGAUUACACCUCCUCCUCCUCCUCCUCCUCCUCCUCUCACUACGUGGAGAAAGAAGAAGAUGAAGGAGAAGNAAGGCCGAGGAAACGAUGAUAAAGAUGAUGAUAGUGAUCAUCAAAAGGCCUUCGGCAAGUAAGUUAAAUGAUGAAGAGAAACUUUUCGGAAUGAUUUUGCCAAUCUUGUUCUGUUGCUUCCACUGAAUUGAGACGUACGUGGUGUAUAUAUAUAUAUAUGUACUAAUGGGGGCAGAGUGUUGGUGGGGUGGCCGCCGAUCAAAAGGAGCGGCAGCGGGGGCGGCAGCGCAAGGGCAGCGAUUUUUGUGAAAGUUAAGAUGGAAGGGGUGGCCAUCGGGAGGAAGGUGGAUCUCUCCCUUUGCAACUCCUAUGAAGCACUCUUCCGCACGCUUGAACGCAUGUUCCCCAACAGGCCGAAUGGUAUCAUCCUAUAGACCUUAUCUAAAUUAUUAUGGUGCAUCUUGAAAUUAUUAUUCGAAUGCUUAAAAUCUUGAUUUUACCGUAUAUAUAUUCUUAUAAUUUCAGGCUGUUUAGUUUCAGGUUUGUAAAGUUCGGAGAAUGGCGUAUAUUUUAUAUUUGGAAUUAAUGAUAUACUUGUUACUAACUUGUCAGCAAGUUGAGUUAGAGAGGUUUGUUACAAUUAGUAUUUUUUUUUUUUAUCGACGUACUACUAAUGAUUCUCAUUAAUUAAAUAUGAAAAUAAAAAUAUCUCAUAAAUCAUAAUAAUUUAGUAUUCGUGCCACCUAUACGUGAAACUAUAAUAAUUUCAGUACUUCACUAAUAUCUUGUGCAACUAUCUUAUCCAAUUUGAGUUGAAUAAUAAUGAUUUGAAUAUUUUCAAUUGAAAAUAUUUAGGAUUAUUGGAAUAUUUCAAACCGUGAAUCAAUUAAUCAAAUGGCCUUUUGUUUAACUUUAGUAUGUUUUUGUCAAGAGUCAACGGAAGAAAUUGGUUGGGUAUGAUUUGUAAACAUUUACCUUUGUUUUAAAAUUUCUACCAUUUUUCACUCCAAACUUGUUUCCUCUUUGGCGCUCAUACUAAUUGGGAUCAUAAUCUUGACAAUGGGAAUGGCGCAGAUGGUAAAACAGGUAAGCAAACGCCUAAUAAUCGUCAUCACUACGUGGUCACUUAUGAGGAUGGAGAUGGAGACUGGAUGUUGGUGGGUGAUGUGCCGUGGGAGUAAGUUGAUUGUGUCCUUAAUCUUCCCUAACUAUUGACCUCUGAAUCUAUGCAACAUUAUCUCCUCAUUGUAGUCGGUUCUGAUUUAAUUUGUUGCAGAGCUUUCAUCCGGUCGGUUAAGCGUCUCAAGAUACACAACUGAACAAGAAUUUGGGGCUUGUGCCCUUUCUCUAUGACCAUCAUUGUGCUUACUCUAUAGAUGGUUUUUAUUAUAUUUCCUAUGCAGUGUAAUUUAGGGCAGAACCAACAUAUUUCAUCAGCACUCUGCUUGUAAUCGUCAUUAUCGUCAGUGACUACAUUUUAGAUGUAUAAAACUACAGACUCUUGUAGGGUUUAUUUUGCUUGCUCGAUAUGUCAAAUUGACUUUUUAUGUUGGCUGCUUAUUUCUUUCCUCAUUACUGACUGCUUAAGUUGAUUUUUUAUUGAUGCUCGAUGACAGUCAGCAUUGCAAUAAGUUGUUGUUGUGUAAAAGGUAAUGCCUAAAGUUUUUAGCUUUUGCUAUUUUUCUCUUUCGCAGCCCAAAUCAAUUGAGAAAACCAGAGAGCUAGUGAAAGAAACUCAUAUCUCUAUUACCAUGCAGUGGACGUUUGUUUGUUUGCGUGUUUGUUUGUUGGUUUUUUUUUUUUUUUUUUUGGGGGGGGCCGUGCUAUCUUGUGAUUUCCGUCAGUGCUUAGCUUGUGAGUUCCAUCAGUGCCUUUGGAGAGAUUGAUAAAUUAUUCUUUGUCUUAGUACUUUUUCUUGCUUCCCCUCUUUUUUAUUCUUUUCUCAACCCGUAAGUGGAACUCUGUGUUUGCAGACUUUUCCUAGUUAAGGAGUAUUCAGUGCUUGAACAGCUUAGAAGAAUUCAAAGCCUGCUGCAUUUUCCAUUCAAUCUUUUGAGCUUAGAAGAAUUCAAAGCCUGCCGCAUUUUCCAUCAAAUCUUUUGAUUAGUUUUGAGUUAUGCCUGUAGUGCAAUGAACUUCUACAAAUUGUGGAGUUCUAGUGAAAAGAGUCCUAAAAGGGCUAUUCGAAUAGUUCCGACGAGGUUUGAAAAAUAUUCGAGUAUUUUCGGUGCAAACCAGGUGCGAAAACGGAUUCUGAGAUGAUAAAUCUGCCAAGUUGUAGAUUUUAUAUUGAGUAUCAGUACUGGAAUCUAGGUAUCGGUACACAAUACAAAAUGGUGAGGAGUAAGCUCUCAGGUUUUGAGGAAUUGAGAUCUGUGUAGCGGCAAAGAAAUUCCAGGUUCUAUAUUUAUAGUACACUGAACUUUAGCAAAUUGCAAGGUUCUAGUGUAAAAAUAGCGUUUUGAACUAUUCUAGCUGUUUUGGGGAUCAACAGUAGUGCAUCGAUUCCUUACUUAAGCUCGCUAAGUGCGAGAUUGGAAUACUGACAUUAAAAUUUGCAAAUUGCAGGGUUUUGAGUAUUGAGUUCCGGUACCUGAGUGGGGUACCGGUACCCCAGAGGGUUGCCAGAAUGGGUAGCUCUCGAGUUGAGAAGUUGGAUGUUGGGUACCGGUACUAAGUCGGUGAGUAUCGGUACUGGAGUUGAGUACCGGUACUGCAACAGGCAGGUACCGGUACACUAAAAUUUGCAAAUUGCAGGGUUUUGAGUAUUGAGUACCGGUACCUGAGUGGGAUUCCGGUACUCCAAAGGCCAGGGUUGCCAGAAUGGGUAGCUCUCGAGUUGAGAAGUUGAGUGUUGGGUACCGGUACUGAGUCGGUGAGUAUCGGUACUGGAGCUGAGUACCGGUACUGCAUAAGGCGGGUACCGGUACACUGCAUUAAGCCCGAAGACCCCACGCUCGGGUUUUUGCAUAUUUGAGUGCCGGGUACCAGUACUCCAAUACGAGUACCGAUACAUAAUGCGGCAAAUUGAGUUGGUAAGGGGUCUUUUAGUAAUUUGGCUGUUGGGUUUAUCCCCAACAGACCCAGCUGGCUCUUAUUGUGCCAGAGCGUGAAGAAAAACUGGUAGGCUACUCCUUUUUCUCUCUCUAGCUUUCAUUUCUAAUUUCUUUGUGAAUUUGGGGAUUGAUCUUAUUUUAUUCACCUUUUCUUUGGAGGAUUGUUCUUGCACCUUGGUGAAGAUUGCUGUGAAUUUGGAGGUUAGUUUGAGGAUAAACUUCAAAUUCUAGCUCAAGGUUGGGUUUGGCUUGGAGCUUUGAGAGGUUAGCUUUUUAUUUGCCUUUUCGGUAUGUGAUUUUCGUAGAAUUGGAGUUUGAUUUUGGGAUUGUUCUUGGCUGAGCAUUAGAACUUAAUUGGUAAUGGUUAAACUCUCUUCUAGGUUGGACUUAAAGCAUCCCAACCUUAGGUGGAGUGUGGAAUAGAGUUCUUCUCUAUUUCAGGUAUCUUUCUAACUAUUUUUUGGGUUGAAUUAUGAGGAUUUUAUGGGAGGCGUAUUAGAAACUCCUAAUUGAUUUAGAAUUGUUGUUAAGGUGCUAGAAGGCUAGAAGGCAUCUUCGUUCGAGCAACGAAGGGAUCCGAGGAAUAUCCGGUGGGUUUAACCUCACCGAAAUGGGUGAACUCCCCCUAUAUUCUUGUUUUUAUUAUACAAUUGGAAAUCAUGCAUACUCAUAUUAGAUACAUUAUAAGUGAAUUUUGGAUGUUUUAAUUAUGUAUGUCACAUAUGGCUAAGUCAUACCUUUAUGCAGUGGAAAGUGUUGCUUAUUAAUUAUGUGUAGUAUACCUUACAUGACUUGUAGUAUACUUGUGUAGACAAGUGAAAAUGGCAAUUAUAUGAUAACAUGUAGCAUGAACUUAAUAUUGAUGUGUAUGACUUAUUUAAAUGAUUAGAACUUGACAUUGUGACAUAGUCUCCGACCUAUGGGUCGUUAGAGGACAUGCCAUGUUUUAAACAUGACGAUUGAGAGUUUUGUAGUGUGGAUCAUGCUUGCUUGCCAUUGUACCCAUUCGCACAUGCUUGUGAGGGUCGCUUUCCACAAGUCGGCACUCUGGAGUUGGCCUACGUGACAUCAUGCUCACCUGUGCAAGAUUGGGCACCGAAGUGGAUUGCCGUGUGGAGUGUAUACUACCACGGGGCCCAUUAGGCAUGGCAUAAGCCGGACUACACUUGUGUAGGUCCUUAUAAAUUGUGUGAAGUUAACCAAAUGAAUUAAUUCACUGUCAUUACUAGAUAGUGUACAUUGGUGGACAUGACAUUAGCAUGUUUACUCAUAUUAGAGUAGUCUUUAUUUUUGUUAAAUUUUAUGUGCAUUGGAGGCAUGGUAGCAUUAGCAAUUCAUUACUUCUUUAAUAUUCAUAUUGUGUUAUAGUUAUGCAUGCUUAUUAUUUAUGCCUCAGGGACCUAGUGGUGUAAUUCGUUAAUGUCGGCGGCUUACCUACUGGGAACUAUUGACUAAUAGUUCUUAUGCCCAGUUUGUUGUUGUUUUUGUUUACAGAGUCAUUCACAGCGGGAGAGGCUAGGGAUCACGAUAAGGAGGUCGUGUCUAGUUAGGCAUAUCUUGGAGUUCCUACUAGGUGGUUGACGUCGAAUACCGGUCCUAAUAAGCACUAAAAGUCAUGUCGCUUUUUUUUUUUUUUUACUUCUUGAGUCGCUUAAUGCAGCGAGGUUGGUGAUGCCGUUCCUCCAAACGUCGGUCUCGAUUGAGGCCAGCCGACGUCACUAUUUGUUAUAUUUUGUUAGAUUUAUAGUUACCUAAAUUAGAGUUAAAUCCUAAUUUAAUUGGCAUUGGAUAUAAUUUGGCAUAUAUGGAUUAUAAGUCGGAAUCUAAUUCAAUUUUGAAUUAGAUUCGACUUGUGUUUAGAAAUCCAAUUAGAUUAGAGUUCUAAUUAGACUCUAAUUUGAAGCCACAUCCUAUAUAAAUAUGUGGCCAUGUCAAUGAAGCUGGAGAGCAAAUUAAGAGGCCAUUCAUUAAUUAAUUAAGUCUCUUGGAGGGUACGGAUGCUGCGGAGAGAGCCGAGCUUCAUGCUUAAUUUGGUGUUUCGUACAGGUGGCAGCAACAUCAUGAGCCAAGAGCAUAGUUAGUUAAUUCGGAUUCGGCAAAAAUUCGGUACGGAUAUAAUUCGGAUAAAAUUCGUUUUCUAAUUUUUAAAUUUAUUAAAAAAUACGGCUAAAAAACGGAUUUGUCAAUUAUUCAAAUACGUGAUUUAUACAGAUAUUAUACGUUCACCAAUUAAAAAUUCGGAAUAAAAAAUUCAGCUAUUAAAUUAAAUUUAUUUUCUUUUAAGAUUUAUGUUGUUAGCAUAAAUAUUUAUAUUUCUUAAGAAUACAAGAAUAAAGAGCUACAAAAUUAAACUGAUUAAGUAAAAAAAAUAGCAAACUAUAUUAUGUUUUAAAAUAAAUAAAUAAUUAAAUAAAUAAAAGAUUAAGAUAGUCUAUAAAAAAUUAAAUUUUUUUGAUCGAAUGAUAUCUUUAUUUUGGGAGAGGGGGCAAGCGUUGACGGAAUUAUUUUUUUUUUCUUUUUUCCUUUUUCUAUUUCUUGUUUCUGUUUAUGCCUUAAAAUAAACAGGAGGUUUUUUUUUGUUUGGGCGAGCGGCGCUCGAGCACUCGCGCUCGCGAGCGAGCCGCGAGGCCCGCGAUCCGUGCGCGAGCGCUCGUGCUCGCGCUCGCGGGCCGCGAGGCCCACAGCCAGCGGGCGAUCGCUCACGCUCGCGAGCCGCGACGCGGUGUCUUUUUUGGCAAAUUAUUCGGCACGCGGAUUAUUCGCGAAUACGUUUUUGUACCCGAAAAAACACGUUUUUUUUCGAAUUUUUAGAAAAAAUACGUAUAUGGUCGAUUAAUUCGUUUUUUUAAAAAUUCGCGAAUAAUUUACGAAUAAUUUAUAAAUUAACUAACUAAGGCCAAGAGAGAGUUGGAGCUCUAAUUAAUUAAGUGAGCAUAUGAGGAGCCGUAUGCACUAAUUCAGAUCAAGUUGUGGUCCGUACGGGUGGUGAGAGAGAAGCCAAUUUUGGAGUCUCUUAUACGGCUCGUCUUUCGGCGUUUCGGAUCUAAUUAAGUUUUGAGAGAUUUUCUUGUACUCCGUCUUUCGAUAUUAAUAAAUUAUUUGCUCCGUCUUCGCUUGUGGACGUAGGCCGGUGGCCGAACCACGUAAAAAUUAUUGAAUUUUAUUGGGUUUUAUUAGAUUUUUUGUGAUUUAAAACUUGGUAAAGCCUCUUGAGAGCUCAAUAAUUAUUAAUGAGCUGCUUGGGAGCCCAACUAAAAUUUUUAUGUUUGAUGUUUAUUCCUACAUUGAAAGCCAAAAGGGUGUUUGUGCUUUUUAUAUAUUUCUUUAUUCUCAAGCUAGUUGUUUGGAACAAAGUGAGAGUAAUGCUCCUGUUUAAAUACACGCACGCACGGCACGAGCACGAGCCGGGCGACGGCGCGCAGUCCAUACACUCAGUUUAUUUUAUUUUUAUUUUUAUUUUUUUCGGUUUUAUCUUUAUUUUAAUCCUUAUCUUUAUCAUAAUCCUAAUGUUUAUCCGUAUAAUCGUAGGCUUAUCUUGUUCUAUACGGAUUUAACGCGUUAGAGUAAGAUUCUCGCCUUGAUUAUAAAUAUUCGGCGAGGUUGCAUGAGUUGAAGAAGAACCCGAGCAUACUUAAACCCUCUCGUCUUUUCCUGCUUACUCGCUAUUCAUCUUGUCCACCGAUUUUUGCCGAGUUUUUUUUUGCUGGAUCUGAAUCUUGCACCUCCUUGAAAGCGUGCCGACAGGAUGGAAUGUGGUCGUUGUACCGCUAGAACUAAUUGCUGGAAAGCCUCGCAUGUGGAGGGGCAAUUUCGCUUCUAGAAUAAUGCUCUGCACUCCUCGCUUCUAGGACAGGUGAUUCUUACUCAUGGUUCGUCCUCGUUCACGAUCUGUAAGAGAGCGGAACGUUUUGAGUCUAAUAUCCUUAUACCUUGAGAUGGAGUUAUUACAGAAUUAGAAUUAGAAUUAGAUCGGGACUUGUAUAUUAUAUAUUUAUAUAUAACUUGAUGUAAAGAUGUUAAAUCACGUCCAUUCAUCAAGAACAUAUCCAGAUACAUUCUGACCGUUAAAUCUAUCGUAUUUUUAUAAAUCGGUUUGAAUAGAACGACUCUAUCGUUAUAGAUCACUUUGAAUAAAUUAUAUGGGCCACAUCCAACAAUACUCUCACCAAAAGUUUUAAAAAUAGCCCGUAUGGUCACUGAUUUCACACAAUUAAUAAACGCUAUAAUUUUUUCUGAGUAGAUCAACGCAACAAUAAUAUUAUUCACAAAACUUCGUGCACUUAUGCAAACGGCAGUAAGAUGUACGUGCGUCUCGAAAGGUUUGUACAUAUGUAUAACACUUGCUUACUUUAUACUUAAUCAGUCCUGUGAUUCACAUGAACUGAAAAGAAGCACAAAAGGACGAGAGAAAGAAAAAGAAGGCAGAAAAAGAAGGCAGUAUGUUGUGUUGAAUUAAUUUAGGUGGUCUCGAGGGGCUUGGAACCGAGCUGCUCGGCGGCUGGCUUGGAAGCCGGCAUGGACAUGGACCGAAGCAGCCGUGCCGACGAACUCGAACGGUGGAGGCGGCACCGGAAAGAGCCCCUGUGUUUCGUCGGCGAGCACAGGCACCGCCUGGCAUGUGUCGUUUGCGAUGACACCGUCGCCGCCUUUGACUCGGCCGCUAGUUCCUUCUUGCUCCCUUCGCCCGCGGGAGAGCUCAUCGCCGAAGUCUAGUCGAUCUACACGCGCUCUCCCACUUUCUUAUCUCUGUGUAGUGCGUGUGGUCUGCUUUAUCAGUGUGUGCUCUACUUUAUUCGCCACAAAGGAAUUGAAUUAUAUUUGUUAGAAAAAUUAAUUGCAUCAAAAUCGAUCAUCAAUCAGGAUUUAAUUGUAUGGAUGCUCCCUAUGCUAUCCCGUUAAGUCAAGUUGGUCCCUUUUACUUUUUAUUUACGUCAUUUAAUUUCUAAUUGAAAAAUAAACUAUUUUUUAUAAAUGAUCAUUUUUUUAAUAUAAAUGCCUUUUUUUCGUUUAAUCUAUUCUAGCAUGAAGGAGUUGAAACCUAAUUCAUAGCAAAAAUUCAAGAUUUAAUGAGUAAUGCUUCUAUACUUUUUUUUUUCGUUACCGUUCAUUCACUCCCAUUCAACAGUUCAGAUUUAAUUUUCUUAAAAUUGUGACCUGCAAUAGCAGGUCACUUUGGGAGAAUUACCAGUAACUAGGUAUCUAAAAAAAAGAUAUUUUUGUCUUUUAAUACAUGAGCAAUUUAGUCAUUUUAUCUCUACUAUAUUAUCAACAUUUUUAUUCUCUUUUUGUUUCUUUUUUUCUCUCUCUAUCUUUCCUCUCAUAUUUUGACAUUUCAUAUAAGAAAAGUUUCAAAUUAUUUGACAACAAGGACAUAAGAUUAUUUUGUGGAUCAACUAUGAAUUUUGUCUAUACCCAUCUUGAAUCCGACCCGAAUCAUAUAUAAAGUUUAAUAUUAUAUUCGAAUUUAUAUUUUAAAAAUUUAAAUUUAAUAUAAAAUAUUUUGAAAUAUGGUAAAGAGAAAUAAUUGUUUUGUGUUCCGGUCUUCGGGUUUGGGUUUGGGUUUGGUUUUAGGUUUCGAAAAAUUGAUCAGUUUCGGGUUUAGAUAUAAAUUUUUGAAAUUCGUCGAGUUCGGAAAUAGGUUUUACAAUUGUUAGUCGGGUUCGAAUUCAAAUUCCUAAUCAUUUUUUUUUUCUAAACAGUAAUCCUAAAUUAAUAUCUAAAGUAAAACAAUUCUAAAUUUUUUUAAAUAAUGAUACAAAAUUAAUGUCUAAAGUAGAACAAUUCUAAAUUUUUUUAACAUAUUAAAUACAUUUAAUUUAUAAUUUUUUACCUACAUUCAAUUUUUUUUAAAUAAGUGAUACAAAAUUAAUGUCUAAACUAUAGGAAUUUAAAAUUUUCUUAAACAUAUUAAGUAUGUUGAAUUAAAAUAUUUAUCAACAUUACAAAUUUUUUAAAUAGUAAUACAAAAUUCCUCUAACUUAAAUUUCAAUUUUUUAAUUUUAAAUAUUUAAUAUUUAAUAUUUAAAUUCAAUGUAUUUAGAAAUAGAACUAUUUCUAAAAUUCCUAUAAUUUAAAUUAAUGCCUAAAUUUUAGAAACACUAAAAUUUCUAAAGUAAAUGCGUAAAUUAAUGCCUAAUUAAUGCCUAAAUUAGGGUAAUCAAUCAAUUUUCUAAAUUAGUGUAAAUUAAUGCAUAAAUUUAAAAUAUCAAUUAAAAGUUUCUUUAAAUGUUCUAUAGUUUAAUUACCAAAAUAAUCUCGAAUGAUAUAACCCUUUUACCAGCUAAAUGUUAAAAUUAUAUCUUUACUCUCUAUUAAUCAACGGUUAAGACCUAUUUUAUUUUUUUAAUAAUAAAGUACCGAAUCAUUUCUCUUCAUAAUUUUGAAUAACUAAAGUAUUCACUUAUCAAAAUUUAAGGUCACCUUUGAUAUCAUGUUUACUUUUUAUAUUUUAAAAACUAACUCUAUAUAAUUAAUUUGAUGUAGCGAAUUUUUUUUUUUUAUAUUGUUAUAUUUAAUUAGCUUAUAAUGUAUUCAACUAAGGGUCCAUUAAGUGAAGUGAUGGAACUCAACUUCUAUCACUUCCGUUAUUUAAUUUUGUGUAAGUCAAAAAUAUAAUGUAACUCAAGUUAUAUUAGAUCUUCACUUCACCUACUCUCAACUCUCUCUUCUAAAGUGCCGAACUCGACUUCCGCCAUAUUCAACCUCUUCUAAAAAAUUUAUUAAAUAGUAAACAUAAACUCUACUUCCUUUAUAAUUGAUUAGAAUUACCUUAUUUAUAAUAAAUUAGGAUUAUCUUUAAAUAAUAAUAAAAAAUUUAAUUAUAUAAUAGGUUAAAGUUUAUAGCAGUAAAUUUACUGCUAUAUUUAGGAGAUAACAGGAUUCACUUACUUACAUCAAAAUAAACAACGGAACUUAAAAAACUAAUUUUAUCAGCACCAAGUUAUAUCAAAAUAAAUAGAAGAAGUAAUUGAAUUUAACUUUCAGACUGUACGAGUUAUGUCAAAAUAAACAGCAAAAAAAUAAUCACACUUCAGAAAAACUCAAACACCACUGCACUUGACUUACGUUGAAUCUACAGAUUCAUCAAUCCAGACGCCCCCUAAGUGCUAGAUGAUAUUUAAUUUAAAAAAAUAUUGGAAGCAAAAAAAAUUAUUGCCAAAUCUUUAUUUUUUUUGCUAUCAAGUAAAUAAUGCUGGUGAAAUGGUUGCAAAUAUUCACUAUUCAUUUCUAUUUUGUUUAAUAUGCAAAAUUUUAUUAAAAAAUAAAAAUAAACAUAAUACCAAAUGUGACCUUAAAGUGUAUAAGAUUAGAAUGUAUAGGGACCAACUUGUAAAACGGGAACAGUUUGGAGCCUGUCUAUAUUUAUUCACGGUGAACAGUCUUUUUACUGGUUUUGUGAGGACUCGAUUGUUUAGGGAUACUCACUUGCUGAACGUAGGGGUGGAAACAAGCCGAGCUCGAGCGAGCCUAUCUCAGCUUAAGCUUGACUUGAAAUUAAUUUCGAGCCUAAAUUUAGACUCAAUCUAGGCUUGAAAUUAAUUUGAGCCAAGCUCGAGCGAGCCUAACUUCGAGUCGAGCGAGCCUAACUUCGAAUUGAGCGAGCUGGAGCUCCAAACGAGCUGCUUGAAAUUCUUAACAUCGUGCAAUCUAUAGUUUAAUUUUUAUAAAACAUUAUCUAAAAUUCGAUACAAAAAAUGUUUAAUAGCUCAACAUACAAAAUGAAUGCAUGAAAUACAAUAUUAUAAGAUUAAAAAAAUUAGGAAAAGCGAUUCUAUGAGCGAAUGAAAAAGAGAGAGAGAGAGAGAGAGCAAUUAGAGUAUGAUUUUGCUGGUUUGAUUUUGUGAGCCCAAUAAUCUAAAUUCUAUAUACAUAUAACUAAAAUACAUAAUAUAUAUUAUUUUAUGUAAUUAAAAUAUAUAUUAUAUAUAAUUAUAUAUAGAGAGAGUUCAGCUACUAUAGUCCUAUUAGUAUAGACUCAUUUAUACUCAUAAGUUUUCGAUCGUUAGAUCUAUACUUUUGACCAUUUCUAUCUGUUUAUCAUACUAUUCAACCAAUCACCCACUCAAUCCUAGGGGACCACUAUCAUCCUAAUUGCACAUCCAACGGCCAAAAAUUUAUAAGUAUAAAAGGGUCUAUACUCAAAAAAGUAUAAUAGCCCUAGCCUCUAUAUAUAUAGAAUUAGAUAACUAUACUAUUAAUAGUACCAACCGCUUGUUAUUAGGUUUUCGGCCCUUAGAUGAAGAGAUGUGUCAUCAGGAUGAUUGUAGCCCCUUUGGGUUGAGGAGGUUGGUAGUUGAAUAGUAUGAUCUAACGGAUGAAAAUGGCCAAAAAGGUAGAUCUAACGACAGAAAACUCAAUAGCACCAAACGCUUGGUACUAUUGAUAGUAUAAUAGCCGGACUCUAUAUAUAUAGAUAGAUCCAACGGCAGAAAACUCGAUAGCACAAAAUGAUUGGUACUAUAGAUAGUAUAAUAGUCGGACUAUAUACAUAUAGAGAGAGAGUCCGGCUACUAUAUUAUCGAUAGUACCAAAUACUUAGUACUGUCGAAUUUUGUGCCGUUAGAUCUACCUCUUUAACCAUUUUCACCCGAUAGAUCAAACUAUUCAACUAACCACCCACUCAACUAUAGGGAAUCACUAUUAUCCUAACCGCAUAUCCCUUCAUCCAGGGCCGAAAACCUAAUAGCAUCUGGUUAGUACUAUUAAUAGUAUAGUAAACUAUAUAUAUAUAUAUAUAUAUUUCGAGCUUUCGAGCCUAAUUCGAGCAAGCCCGAUAAUACUCAAGCUUGGCUUGAAAUUAAUUCCGAGCCUAAAUUUAUGCUCAAGCUCAACUUGAAAUUAAUUCGAGCCGAGCUCGAGCGAGCCGAAUAUCGAGCCGAACGCAAGCCGAACACGAGCCAGCUCGCUCAUUUGCCAGCCCUAGCUGAACGUGCUUGCGGUUAGAAGGUUCGACAAAUGAACCAAGACUCGUUGGCUCAAAAUUUAUGAUUAAGGUUCCGGCCGUCAUAAGGCUCGUUUGGAUUGAACUGGAAUUACAUAAUGUACAGUAGCAACCAGUUCAAUAAAUAAACCGCACGAAAAGAGUGGGUUAAAAUAUAUUUUCUACAGUCCUAUUAAAAAAUAAAAAAUAUUUUUCUAUUUGUUUGGAGCCCUAUCUUCCUUUUACCUAAUAGCAUUAAAUGACGGGCCAAUUUGGUUCGUAUUAUGUAGCAUUAUCUAUUAUCUCCAGAUAACUAGUGAUCUGAUAUAUCAUUAUUCAGAUUACUUAAUGUUAUUUUACUUCAUUUCGUUCAGUACAAUAAUAUAAUAUCAGGUUACUGUAUGUAUAAGAUUAUUUUAUUUGUUCCAUCAUAUACAUUUCAAUAAUUUAGAUAAUAAAGUUUUCACUAUUUCAAAAAUGCGCUUAUUAUAUCUUAUACGGAUUAGAAAUUUGAAUAUAAAUUUUGAAUUAAAAUUUUCGAUCUAAUUUUCGAUCUAAUUUUCGAUCUAAUUUUUGAUCGUUCAAAUUUAGUUUUUUAAUCUAAAAUUUUACUUUCAAAUUUAAUUUUGAAUAAUUUAAAUUUUAAAUUCAAAUUCAUUCAAGUUCUAAAUUUGAAUUCAAAUUAUGAAUUCAUAUUUUAUUUUGAAUUUAGAAUUUUGAGUUCAAAUUUAAAAUUUAAAUUGAAAUUUGGAAUUAAAAUAUAAAAUUUUAGACCAAAUUUCAAUUUAAAUCAAAAUUUUAAACUUAAAGUUACAAUUCAAUCUCAAAUUUAAAUUUGAAAAUUUAAUUCAAAAUUAAAUAUUUUAAGUAAAUGAGAAACAAAAAUUUAAAUUUAUAUCGGAAAUGGCCGGGGAAGGGUAAUUUUAUAAUUUCACAUAAGUUGCAUGAAAAGCAAUAAUACAAGAUAUUCACUCCCCUCCAUAGUAAUAUUUUGAAAGUUAUCUUGUGCUAUUAGUAACACUGCAUUACCAAUUAAAUUACUUGUAGCAUGAAUCAAAUAUAGUAGUAUAAAAUUAGCCCUAAACCAAGCAGUAGUAUCAAAUUAGCCCUAAACCAAGCAGUAGUAUCAAAUUAGUCCUUGCUAUGAGCCGAAUUUCUCAACCCCUGACCCGGUCAAAGAUUUUCCUAAAGAAGCGUGCAGAGAUUAAAUACAGCUUCAAGUAGUGAUCCUCGAAGUUUGCGCCCUCCAACGGAUCACGUGAUUCGGCUGAUGAGGGAUCGGAUCAGCCAAGUUCGAAAACCUUCACUGUAAACUGAAUUCGGCUGAACGAGCCGAAUGAAUGAGCUCAAUCCCGGCAUCCCUUCAUAAUUUCAGGCGAAGCAAUCUUUAUAUUUUAACAGCAACUCCUUCAGUUUCUCCUGUUGUUGAGCCGAAAGUUUGACGCUAACGUUCGUCGGCCGCUUAUCUUCAUCAGACCCCAAAUUUACUUCUAAAAGUGGGUCUUGGGUCUCUAGCUUCUUAUUGCCGACUUUGAUCGGUGACUCUUCCAUAGAUUCCUUCAUAAUUUUAUGAACUUUUGAGCCGUUUUCAUCAUUAGACUCGGCUGCUUUACGAGUUCUAUCAUUUUUACUCAACUCGGCUGUUAUACUUGAUGAUUCAUGAAAUAUUUCCUUAUCGGUCCCCAUGGCCGAUUCCAUGAGCAAGUUAUAUUCGGCCAACUUGGCUGUUUUGAAACACGAUAUUUCAUCGGCCUAGUCAGCCGACUUACUACAAUAGCCGACCUCUCCAGUCGGCUCAUCUGCCGAAACUUUUUUAAAGCUCCAGUUCAUGACUCUUGGCAUUCCAUUUCAGCCAGCUUAGUGGCUCUUCAGCUGCCACCAUUGCUUCCUCAUCUUUCACAAGUAUUAACUGAAUUCCUUCCUCGGUCACCCAUACAAAGGAGAUUUGAUCUGGGUCAGUGUCGGCCCAACCGAUAUGGCUGAUUCCCUCCGAAUUAAUAUCCACCAUCUGAGGCCGCCCCUCGGCCCUAAUUUCUUCCACUUUAUCUCCAAUCCAUUGAAAUAAUUUUCCGUGAAGCAUCGAAGGCACAUAUUCAUUUGCGUAAAUCCAGUCACGCCCAAACAAUAAGUUGUAGUGUCUAUCUGCAUCCACCACAAAAAAGGUUGUAUGCAAGGUUUUAGAUCCUACCGUGAGCUCGGUUGUGAGCAUACCUUUGGCUUGUUGACUACUACCAGUAAAAUCGGUCAUAAUUGUGUUGGUAGGCUUCAAUUCAUUUUCACUUUUACCCAACUUCUUAAAGAAAGAAGAGAGCAUGACAUUGACCAUUGCUCCUCCGUCUACCAUUACUCAGCCUACUGGCUAUCCUUUUAUCAACGCCCUUAUAAACAAGGGCCUCACAAAUCUUGUCUGCAUGAUUGAUGGUUUUUCAAAAACCACCGAAUCGACUAGCUUAACAUUUUUUAACUAAAGUUGAGCCACCGUGAGCUCCUCUCCAUCAUAUGUUGUUUCUUCGUAUUCGACAGACUCCACCUUGAAUGACUGAGACAAAGUAUACACCAUAUUCACAUCGGCUGGACCUUUAUCAAGCAAUUUUUCUUAUAUCUUUUGUUUCUUUUCUUCUGAUUCCUUUGCCGUCUUGGCUAAGGAAUGACUCUCCAUGCAUGUCUCUCUCUCUCCUUAGGAGGCCAUCUGUCUCGUUUGAUUAUGAUCUCCAAAGAGCCUAUUUUUUCCUCCAACUCCUUCCAAGUUGCUUUCUUUUCCAGCCCAGCCGGGAGUGGCCGUUCUAUUUUGGAUCUCAACCAAAGGACAGAUGUCGAACCACCUGCAUCAUUAUCAUUCUUCAUGGGCCUAAAGGGAAGUUGUUGCUCAUGAGUUCACCUCCACACAUUCAGUUUCAUCCCUUUAGCCUCCUCAUAAUGUUGUCUCGCUUCGGCUUGCAACCUUUGCUGCCGAUGUUUCUGAGUUUUUGUCAAUAUCGGCCCAUGCCAUUUGGCCGAUACUUUUGCUUUGUGCCAUUGAUCGACUAGCACAUUUGACGGUACUUUUACUGUCCUGAGAUGAUCUCUCAGGAUUUCUCUUCUCUCACAUGGCCUCGGCCAAGGCUGAAUGCCAAGUUCAUUGACUAACCUCCGAUCGAGGAACUCGAUGUCGCCCUCAGUCAUUCCUUCGAAUUCAGGUUCAGGUCUCGGCCUAGCUAGAUGUUGCCAGUUUGGCCGAUAUCCUGGGAAUCUUUGUUGAAAGCCGAAUGGUUCGAAGGAUAACUCCAUCUGCUAUUACGCUCUUCCCUUCAGCUGUUAUAGUAAUCUUUUUAGGCCUUUUGUAUUAAUAGUUCUCUCUUGUCUUUCACUGAAUCAAUUUUCUGUUCGGAAUCGUUUGAGGCUUCUUCCAAAUCUUCCUCCAAUUUGUUCUCCGCCUCGGGAAAUGUCUUCCCACUCUUCGAGGAAUGUCAUGAACUCUCUCCAUUCCCUAUACAGUUUCUUCUCAUGAAUAAUCGCUUUCGAAUCUUUUCUUGUCAUUUCGGCCUUACAUCUUAUGCAUAGCCGUAACGUCCUUUUGGUAUAAGCAAUACCAUCAUCCAUCUUCUUGUCCGCAGGAGCCUUCCCCUUGAUAUCUACCAUAUUGACCUGCGAAGGAAAAGGAUUUUUGUCAAUUUUCAUAUUUUUGUUCUCUUAGUCGGCAAAUUUGAGCCGAUCGACCUUCAUUUAUCUCCUUUUGAAUAUGCCUUUUAAAGGCAGUACAAUCAUUUGUUCUAUGGUUCUAUGAAUGGUGUCAUUUACAAUAUCUUCUCCUUUUCAACUCUUAUCCAGAAGGUAUCGUUUGGCCCUCUUAGAGUUGAAUUCGUCCAUUCUUUAACAAGCAAUCAAAAAUUAAAUCAGUUUUUGACACAUCAAAUGAAUAAGUGUAUGCCGCUACUCGUGCUUUUGCUUCACUAGAUUUUGUGGGUUUAAGUAAAGCACAUUUAUAUGGCUGGCGAUUUUUUACUAUCUCAGCAGCAUAUAUUUCGGCUACAUCAGCCAAAUCCUCUAUUUCAUCCGACAUAUUCAGCUCAUCUUGAGCCGAAGAUUCUUCAACAAAGGAAAUAUUUUUCUCCUUCCCCUUAUUCUAAUCUUUGUUUCGGCUCCACCUAAGCCGAUCUUCAUUAUUCUCUUUUCUAAAUUGCUCAUAUUGAGCAACUCGAACUCCCAAAUUGAAUAGAUUUGAAAAAUACUUGUCUUCAAAAUGGUCCUUGAUUUUGAAAUAUAGACCAUUGAAUGCCAUUUUAGCAAAUUCUGACUCUGGCAUUCUCACAAAGCAACAGCUUCUUACCGUUUUGAAUCGAUUCAAAUGUUUUUCAACCGAUUCUCCAGAUCUCUGUCGAAACUAAGCUAGAUCAACCACCGAAAGUUUCGGUUCUGAUCUAUAAAACUGCUCAUGAAAUUUUCUCUCCAGUUCGUCCCAAUCUCGGACGGAAUUGGCUGGCAAACUCGUGUACCAAGUAAAUGCAGUUUUGAUUAAUGAAGUAUUAAAUAAUCUAAGUUUUAGAAAAGAAUUCGCAGCGUUCCGCAUCGAUAUUUGUAGGGUAAGGGGAUCUAAACAGAGGCAGCAUUGUCGGUCUUGCCCCAACUCUGAAUGUAUUCCAAAUAGCUUCCUCUAUUUGAGCAUAAAGCUCAUUGUUAUUCCCUUGUAUGAGGAUAGGAGCUUGCACUUGAACCAGGUUUGGUCCUUGAGGAAAUCCAUGACUCUAUACUACAGGGUUCACUCCCUGCGUAGCAUUAGGGGCUCGUCCCCCAGCUCUAAUCCCCGUAUUUUGGAGCUGAUAUGUCACCAAUGGCGGCGGAGGAGAUAAUCCCUAUGUUAUUUCUGAUUGUUGACCGACAGUUAAAGCAGCCGGUCUAUAAGCCGCUUGAAAAGGUGCCCCCUGAUGCUGAGGCUGAACAUUUACCGGUGUUACAGGAUUUUGUAAUACCGGUGUAGCUACAGGUCCUUGCAAACCCGCUGUAGGUUGCUCAAUUCGGAUUAAUAAUUGCCCAAUUCAGGCAAUAUUCUCAUUAGAGGCUGUAAUUGCGGCCAGUACUGCAUCUAGGCAAGCAGUACUUCGGUGACUAUUUUGGUCCAAAACUUGUAGGACGCAUGUCAUCUGUCCGAGCGCUUGAGCCAAACUUGGCUCUUGCUGGUCUGAUUGACCACUAGCGUCACCUUCGAUUGGCAAGAUCGCUUGGCGCUCUAUUGCAUUAUCUGAGUUAUUGGCUUGGUCGUUCCCAGAAUUUCGAGGAACGACUCUGUUACGCAAAUUCAUGGUAUUAUUAUCAGCCAUUGUUCCCGUAAGGAAAUAAAUUUACCUAAAUGUGUCCCACUGGGCGUGCCAAAAAUUGCUAUGAGCCGAAUUCCUCGGUCAAAGGUUUUCCUAGAGAAACGUACAGGGAUUAAAUACGGCUUCAAGUAGUGACCCUCGAAGUUUGCGCCUCCGACGGAUCAAACAAUUCGGUUGAUGAGGAAUCGGAUCAGCCGAGUUCGAAAACCUUCACUGUAGACUGGGUUUGGCUGAACGAGCCGAAUGAAUGAGAUGCAUAGUGGUUGGGUCGGUUGAAGAACCGAAUACCUUUGUAUAUUGAUAUUAGAUCUGGAAACUUAUACAAAAUAGAAUGUGUCUCUGGGGCAUACAAACUCCGAAAAUCUAACUCUAAGGCUACUCCUAAGAAAAGCAGUAAAUGCGAGAAAGCAAAAGAUUACAAGUAGACUACUCCUAGAAAUGCGAGGAAAAUGCAGAAAGAAUAAAAGGUGGUCUUCUAUUCACAGGAAAAAGACUCCUCCUUUAGGCGUUACUUGCUUAUUUAUAUUCCACUAUUAUUGUUCAGUUAUUACUCACGAUCGGCCACUUCCCUAUUUUUGUGGGCCAUGCCACUACGAGCUGAUCCUUACUACUCAUAACCGUUUGCAAUUACACCCUGCGGUUAUGCUAUUAUUCCUUUAUUACUCCCGGUGCACCAAAAAUUCAUUUAAUCCCGACUUCUGAGAGUCCCGGCUGAACCGUGCUCCAACAUGCCACAUGGCGUUUUAUUAUUGGCCUUAACAACCCUAAACCUAAUUUUCAUGCUGUGUCAAAUUGGAAUCUAAUGAGCCUAACAACUUUGAUAAGUCUUGCACGUAAGCAGUUAACAAUAAAUAACCUUUUACAAGUUUAAAUUUAAAUGUAAUUGAUUAAUAACUGAAAAACCAAAUCUAGUAGCUCUUGAGGAAAUAUUAUAGGCGAGUCAAGAUAGGUGAUUUAUUUAUGGUGAUAUGAAGAUCAGUUUUCAUAAUACAGAGUAACAUGAUAUUAAUAAAUUAAAUAGCAAAUGAAACUCUCCCGAAGGACGCCGAACAAUUUAACCCUAUUUCAUUGAAAAAAAAAAAAGGUUUUAUUUAGUAUUCUUUUUUUUAAAAUUUGUCUACAGACCCUCGAAUCGUAGAAUUCUUCCACCUAAUAUAUCGAAUUUUCUUCUAACAGUGAAAACUGAAGACUCAAGCACCUUUUUGCCAACCAAGAAAUUGAACCAUAACCUUUUAGACUUAAUUUGGAAUUGCAUUUUCAGAAAAUACAUAUUUUUAUGUUUUAAAAAGCUUACAAAUUUUAAAUAGAUAUUUUUUCUCCAUGGCAAUAUCAAAUUAAACCUCAGAGGGCAUAUAUCUUGGGUAGUCUAGUGGCUGUUAGUGCAACUUGACGUCGUCCACUAAUGAUUAAUCGGUCGGCAAGUGAAAACACGAGAAUAUAUAUAUAUAUCUUGUGGAUUUUAUGAUCAUCGAUUCAAUCCAACGCCUUCAGUUUUCACAAGAAAUGCGUGGCAGCACUGCGCCCGGAGGUGAUAAUUUGGGAUGAGAUUGUGAGCAGACUUAUAUAUAUGGUGGAGGGAGAUUCCAAUUUUCAAAGCGAAAAAAAGAAAAGUGCCGCUUUGAUUUAAUUAGAUAGAAUAAACAAAUGAUUGAUUUAUUAUGGCCGAGGUCUUCUAGCCAUGCCAUGCCAGUAGUCGUCAUCUGAUUCCCACCCGCUUUUGUUCUUGCUCAUUCGAUCCCUCACUCUCUCUUUCGGAAUAAACUCUAUUUAUAUUUAUAUAUGCAUGGUUGUGGUUAAGUGCGGGAUUCUUUUCAGACGCCACUCGAUGUAUGCUGGGUGUACGCGCGUCCGCUCCACCGUCUCUGCAAUUAAUUAAAUUAAAAUUAGAUCACCCAUGCAGUCCAUCUCAUCGAUCUCCAAGUAGGGAAGUACAACUUCGGAAUGAGAGAUUUUCCUUCUCCGAGUACCCUUCUUUUGACUGCUAGCUGUACAGAAUUAAUUAAAUUGUAUUAUAUUUGUUGCUAGAAUAUCAUUAAACUAUUGCAAUUAGAGCUUUGGAAAAGACAAUUUAAUUUUACAGCACUAGUUAAUGCCGCUUAACAGCUCAAAAUAAUUUGAUAAUAGUGAUACGAAAUAGGAUUAGUUACACCGUUAAUCACUAAUAAACGUCUAAUGAUAUUUCGCUCUGAUCACUGAACUUUAAUUUAUUUCAAUUAAAUUAUUGCAUUUUAAUUUGUAUUUUAAUGAGAUCAGUUUGUUAAUAUUUCUAUAAACUUUUAAGUAAAUGACAAAGUAGUCGCUAAUAUAGUUAUCACACCAUUUCUAAACUUGAUUUUUAUUACCAAAUUAUCCUUUUAAAUAAACUAACCAUCAAAUCAUAAAUAAUAAUAAAUUAAUCCUUAAAACUAAAGCCGUCCAAAAUACUCGAUAUCCCAUACCCGACCCGGACCUAUCCGGAUCCGAAUCGGACCCAAUAAAAAAUGAAUAGUAUAUAUAUGGGUAAUAAAAAAAAAUUAUCCAUUAAAGUUUCAGGUAUGAGUCCGGAUACUUUAUUCCUAUAUCCGACUUGGACUUGACCCGAACCUGACCUUUUAAUCGGUAGGGUCCGGAAGAGUUUUUAAAUUCGGACCCGGACCCGGACCCAGACCCGGACCGGGUGAAGCAUCCGAUAGUAAAUAAAAAAAAUUUAAAGUUGAUGGAUUAAUUUCAAUAUGACUUACAGUUGAAGGGCCUGUGUAUUUACAUCCAAGUGAAAACGCUAGUUUCCCUGUUUACUCUUUUUUUUUACUCCUCAUUUUUUUAACCCUAGCUGUUUACUAUUUGAAUUUUUCUUUUGAACGAGUUUUAUUGGACGAUACAACUAAUUAGAACGCGAGUUUCUAUAGUUAGAGAUUUAUGAUUUGUCCAUAAACUGUUUAAUAAAGUGUAUAAAAAAUAUGGUUAAUUGCAUACACGUCCUUGCAAAUAUGGUGAAUUGCAAAUAUAUCCCUACAAAGCUCAACUUUCAUAAUUUGUCCCCGCAAAAGUCCUAAUGUAUUUAGAUAUGUCCCUCUGGCUAGGACCCGUUAGAGAAUUGUUAAUUUUUUAACAGUAUGCUGGUGAAAUGACAUUUUUGCCCUCACAAAUAUGUCCCUCCAAAAGUACUCCCUCUUCCUCUUUCUCUUCCUCUUCGGGCCGUGGGAGUGGACGGCGGUGGCGGCGGAUCAUCGACGACGACGACAAAGAAGAAGGAGGAGGAGAAGAGGAGAAUACGAAGAAGAAGAAGGAGGAGACGGUGGAGGCCGGAGGAGCUCGGAGGCGAGGGGGUUCGCGGCGAGGUUGCAGAGGUCGCCGACGGUGGAGGAGAGGCGAGAGGCGGCUGCGGCGACGACGCAACACCGAGCUCGGAAGCAUCGCGCGGCGAUGGCGGUGGAAGAUACUUCGGAGAGGAGGUGGCGGAGGUCGGCGUCGACGGCGCUUCGGCGAGGUCGGGGUCGGGUUUGCCGGCGACGAAGAAGAGGGAAGAGGAAGAGGGAGAGGAAGAAGAAGGGAGAAAAGGAAGAGAGAGAAGAAGAGAAAGAGGAAGAGGGAGAGGGUUCGCCGCCGCAUCUCCUCCCUCCCUGGCGACGAAGAAGAAGGAAAAGGAAGAGGGAGAGGAAGAAGAAGGAUGUAAAAUUGUCAUUCACUUAUUAAUUAACCAUGGUUAAGUAUUUUAACUGUGGUUAACGAAAUUUCUCUAACGGAAAUUAACGGCAGGGACAUAUCUGAAUACAUUAGGACUUUUGCAGGGACGAAUUAUGACAGUUGAGCUUUGUAGGGAUGUAUCUGCAAUUCACCAUGUUUGCAGGGAUGUGUAUGCAAUUAACGCUAAAAAAUAUAUGCAUAUGGGUAUCCGUACCCAAUCUAGAUCCGACCUAUAUCCAAUCUAUACCUGGUCUUAAGUCGGUAGUAUACGGAUAGUCACUACAUAGACUUGCUCAAAUAGACCCGAUGGGUAUAUUAUUAUCUUAAGAACACAGACCCGGACCCAAUCCGAAGUUAAAUGGUUAUGGUAUAUAUAUAUAUAUAUAUAUAUAUAUAGGCUAGGGCUACUAUACUCUUAUGAGUAUAAAGCACUUCGUACUCAUAAAUUGUCUUCAACGAUGAAGCUUCCGGAUCGACGAUCCACUCCGUUAAAUAUGAUCUAAACUAUUUGAAACUUGUAGAAAAUAAAUUUCGUAAUUUUUCGAAAUCAUAAUAAAGUUCAUCAAGCGGGUAUAAAAUGAACGGUCAAAAUUGAACGAUGUCUUAAAAAUGGAUGAUCAAAUCCUUCAAUUUAAGAUCAGAGUUAUUGAUCUUUAUCUAUGUAGUGAAUAGAAUUUUCUAUCAAAAAUUCAACUGAUUUCGAUUCUUUUACACCGUUAAACUAGCAAAUAUUCCAUACCGACCGCUAAAAAUUGCCGAUUUGGUGACCUUUGAUCGUAAGGUAAAUGAUGUCGAAAAAUUAUAAAAUUUGAUUAUUAGACGUUUUAAAUGCUCUAGAUAACGUUUAACGGUGUGGAUCGUCGAUUCGGAAGCUCUAUCAUCGAAAUCAACUUAUGAGUACGAGGGUGAUCGUAUUCAUAAGAGUAUAGUAGCCGGACUAUAUAUAUAUAUAUAGAGAGAGAGAGAGAGAGAGAGAGAGAGAGAGAGAGAGGAGCUAGGCUGGUAUACUAUCGGUAGCACGGAGGCCUCUGUGCUACCAAGUUGUUUUCAAUGAUGUGGCUUCCAAAUCUACGAUCUGCUCCGUUAGACUUAAUGUAGACUAUUGAAAGUAUUUGGAAACUAAAUUUCAUAAUUUUUCGGCAUCAUUUACCUAUCGAACGAGUAGUCUAAAAAUGAACGGCUGAAAAUAAAAAUCUCAUAAAAAAUAAUGAUAAAAGACUUAAAUUUAAGAUCAGAUGUACUGAUCUUACUCUAAAUAGUGAAAAAAAAUUCUAUAAAAAUUUCAUUAGAUUUGGAUUGUUUUACAUCGUUAAAUUUACAAACGCACCACAUCUACCAUUAAAAUUGUCAAUUUUGAAACCUUCUGAUCACUAAACACAUGGAUGGUCAGCCAAGAAGUCAGCUAUUGCUUGCCCUUUCACCACCUUUGCCAGAACGUAAUUAAAAGGAAAUUCAGACAACGCUAACAUCCAUCUUCCAAUUCUUUCUCUUAACACCAAUUUAAAUAACAUAUACUUGAUCAAAUUGGUUUUGCAAACAACUAACACUUCGACUGGCAGAAUAUAAUAUCUCAACUUAGUACAGGCAUAAUAUAAUGCGAAGUAUAAUUUUUCUAUUGCCGAAUAUCGUUGUUCGGCAUCUAACAAACGUCGACUGAGAUAACAAAUACCUGUUCUUCUUUCUAACCAUUUUCUUAAGCUAACAAGCAUCCCAGAUUUUCAUCCACAGCCGAUUAUAACUUCAUUAGCUGACCCAAUUGAGAAGGAAUGAGAACUGGAGGAUUAGCCAAAUACUUUUUGAUGUUUUCAAAUGCUUCUUGUUGUUCCUCCAUCCAUAUAAACUCCUCUUGGUUUUUAAGCCGAAGUAACGGAGUAAACACCCCUAUUCUACCGGCUAAAUUUAAUAUUAAGCGUCGUAAAUAGUUCAUUUUUUCUAAAAGGCUUUGCAAUUUUUUUAUGUUCUUAGGCGGCGGCAACUCUAUAUAUGAUUGCCUUUGCCUUGUUUUUAUCUAUUUUGAUUCCUCUUUGAUGUACUAGAAAUCCGAGAAAAUUUCCUGCUAAAACUCCAAAAGCGCACUUCAGCGGAUUCAUUUUUAAAUUAUAUAUUUUCAUACGCUUAAAAGCAAGUUCUAAAUCAACCCAACGAUCGCUUGGCGAUGUAAACCUCCAACAUUUUACCGAUCAAAUCAUGAAAAAUAAAAUUCAUUGCCUCUGAUAAGUGGCUCCAGCAUUUUUUAAACAAAAUGGCAUCACUAUCCAUUUGAAAUUUUCAAUAGAUCCUGGGCAUCUAAAAGCCGUUUUUGAUACAUCUUCUCUGACAAUAAAAAUUUGAUUAUAACAAACAUGACCAUCCAUAAAUGAUAGAAUUUUAUAGCCGGCUGCCGAGUCCGCUAGUAUGUCAGUUAUGGGCAUCGGAUAUUCAUCUUUAGGCGUAGCCAAAUUCAAAUUUCUAAACUCAAUGCAAACUCUAAGUUUGCCAUUCUUUUAUCGCCCUGGUACAAUAUUAGAUACCCAAUCAACAAAAUGGAUUGCUCUAAUAAGCCCAACCUUUAAAAGAUUUUAAAUUUUUUUUAAAUUUGAAAUACAAUACUCGGUUCAAACCUAUGAACCAGCUGUUUGUAAGGCUUAUAUCUCUUUUUAAUAGGGAGCCAAUGUUCUAUAAUUUCUCAACUCAACGCAGACAUUUCCUCAUAACUCUAAGCGAAGCAGUCCUUAUAUUUCAUCAGCAACUUUAUUAGCUCCUCUUGUUGUUGAGCCGAAAGAUGUGAGCUAAUAUACGUUGGCCUUUUAUCUUCGUCCGACCGUAAAUUCACCUCCUUUAGUGGAUCCUGAGUUUCCAGCUUUUUCUCGCCGAUCUUGAUCGGCGAUUCUUCUAUAUGUUCUGUUUUGACCCCUUCAGGAAUUUCAGUGCAAGUCUGAUCAGGCUUUAACACAGCCUUUAUCUCUUGAGCCGUAUCCUUUUUUCUAGAUCGGCUCUAGAACUUAGAGUUUCAUCAUGUAAUUCUUUGUUGGCCACCUUAGCCGAUUCAAUGCAUGAUCUUUCCUUGGCCGAUUUUGCCGAUCUCAUUACUGAUUUCGCAUAGAACUUUUCAUCGGCGAAUUCAGCCGAUCUAAUACAUGAUUUUUUAUCGGCCAACUCAACCGAUUUGAUAAAGUAGCCGACUUCUUUGGUCGGCUUAUCUUGCCGAAGCUCGGCUAGAGUCUCAGUCCCAAGCUUUUAAUAUUCUAUUNAUAUAUAUAUAUAUAUAUAUAUAUAUAUAUAUUAGCUAUUGGUGGAACGUGGAGAGGAUUGGUUUCGUCGUAAGUCGGCGACCAAAUCGGAUGAAACAAAAAUUGUAGAUUCGAUGCCCCAGUCGUGCUGAACGCGCUGGCACGAUCCGAUUGAAAAUCCGACGGACGGAUCUCCGAAAAUCGCAUAAAGUUCGCUGAGGGGUCGAAAUUGGCAAAACAAAAAAAUUGCCAAAAGCCCUAUAUUUUAUGUACCGUUUUACGUGAUUUCAAAUGUCGAGGUGCGUAAGUGCGAAAUGCUCGAGCUGUGAGGGACUUGGCUAGAAAUAUGCGGCUGGGGAGGACUAAAUUGCAUUUUUGCCAACCUAUAUAAGAGCUAAUGUUAGGGUUUCCAUGCAAACCCUAACCCUAGUUGCCAUAGCUCCCUCCAGCUGCGCCCUAGCCGUCACCAGCACCCCCUGCCCUUGCCACGCCGACGAUGAGAGACUCCGGCCGCCGGAAAAAGGCCGACAUUGCCUCUCCUCCACCACACUCUCCACCAAGCUACUGUCACAUGGCCGUGGACCUCAGGGUUAACCAUACACAUUGGAUCCCUCUUCACUGGCCGCAACCCGGCCUUCGGCGCUGUUCCCGCCGGCCGCUGUCGUUCGCGCGCGCAGCUGGCCAAUCUGCAGUUUGGCUCAGCCAGCUCAGGCCAAGCUUAGCUCAGAUCGUGGCCCGCGAGCCACCAGCGCCCUAGACCGGCUGUGCCACCUUCCUGGAUCUCUAGCGACCUCCCUCAUGCUGCCCCGUGGCCUCGGAGCUCCACCGGCCGCCGCCCUAGCUCCCUGCGGCCGCCCAGACUCAGCCCGGGCCGAGGCUUGGCCGCAUAGCCUCCUGCUCGCCGCCGCCGCUGCCCACGAUCGGCUGUGCCGUCCUCCCUCGGCCUCUGACGACCGGUCGCCGUUGCCCCGGAGCUCCCCCGGCUGCCGUUUGGCCGCUGCUACCUCCCUGAACCGAGCGGAGUUGUGCGGGCUCGCGGCUCUCCACCACGUCACCGGCCACCUCCCGCCGUUGGCCAGCGAGAGCCCNGGGCCGAGCUUGAGUCAGCUCAUAGCCGCGAGCUGCUACCGCUUCGGGGUUGGCCGCGCCGCCCUUCCUCGGCCUCCGAAAACCCCUCGUCGUCGUCUCUGCGGGCCCCCGGCAGCCGCCGUGUCUUUCUGCAGCCACCCGGUGUAGGUACGGGCCGAGCUUGGGUCCGCGUCGUCUCCGCGCGCCGCCGCCGCCACCCACCAUCAGCCACGCCGCCCUUCCUCGGUCUCCGGCGACUGGCCGCCAUCGCCUCGGAGCGCCCUCGGCCACCACCAAGCCGCCGCUGCCUCCCUAAAUCGAGCCAAGCCAUACGGGCUUGUCCCGGUCCACCGCGCCACCGGUCGCCUCCCACCGCCGGCCAGCGCAUGCCCGGGCCUCCUCCCACCGGCCGCAACCAUCCUGCGCCGAUGCGCCCGCCGUCCAACUGCCGCCGGCCUUCCUGUGCUCCCACUGGUACCGGUAAGUGCAGUUUAUGAAUUCUGCACACUGUUUCGAGUUCGGAUCGCUGUUCCGGCAAUCCGAGGACACCCCGACGCUCCUGGAAGUGAGCACGACAAUCCCUGGUCUGUGCCGAUCAUCAUGCUCACCUCCUUUGGGGUCAGCGAAGCCCCGAUUUGCAUGCUAAGCACUGUUUAGGCACUGUGUGCGCUAUUCACUGAAGUUCGCGUCGCUCCCGCCCUCUCCACAGUGGUCGGCCAUGCUUCGAAGUGUGAGCACGGCCUCCGACACAUCGAGACCUGUCAGCAGGUGUCUCGGCCAGGCUCGAAUGUCCUCAGUUUGCACUGUCGAGCAGUAAAACCCCAAAAAUCACAUAACAUGAUGUGAUUUUAGGUAGUCUCAGGGGCUUAUAUGCAAUUUUACAUUUCAUGGCUGCUAUGGGCAGUGUGUGCAGGCAGCGGGUGACCUCUGGACUGGUUGUCCAAGUUUCUAGGCCUUUUCGAAAAUCGAAUGUUGAUUUCUGGUGCGUUUUUCGGCGAAAUCUGCCGACAGAACACGAUUCCGUUCAGAAUCAUUCCGACGGUGCCUCACGAAAAAUUAUAUGGUCGCUGUGCCUUGUUGGCUGGUCACCCGCGUCGUUUUGAGGGUUCAAAAACGACGGGUAAGCGACGUUGGGUUCCGGUGUCGAAAUUGACACUUCCGGGAACCCGGAUCGGAACGAUUAUCUGACGAUAAUCGUUUCAAUGUGAGGAUAUGUGUUUGCUACCAGGUCACACAAAUUAUUGUGUUUAGUGGCAGUGGGUGACUCGUGGCAUGAGUCGAUGAGUUCCGGGACGGUUCGUGGGUCCCAGUGGAGUCCCGAUGCGAUUUUCAAGACUUCCGGCAAGUUACGGCAAUCGGUUUUAGAAAAUCGAUUCCCGUGGGGAUUACUGGUGGGGAUUGUGAGAGUUAGUGGUUCAUAUUCGUGGAUUGGGUUCUAACCCGGUGGACCCUUCGUAGGUCCGGUUGAUAUUUCUUCCGUAGUUGGGAGAUCAGUGCUGCGUACGUACAGGUGGGUACUUCGAUCCGAAAUCAAUACAGUGGUGCACGCUCGAUGACAUCCUUUCCACCCUUCUCCUACUAUCAUGUUGCAUUCUAUUUGUUGAGCCUUGCACCUUUAUUUCCUAUUUAUCGCUCUACUUGGUUUAUUUACAUAUCUAGCAUCAUAAGUAGAAGUAGAGCAGGUUUAUCAUUACAGAUGAGAUUUGUGAACUAGUUGGUCGGUUCUUGUAUCUCAUACUUUGACCUGUUCGGUCGGUUCAUUGCAUCUAGCAUUAUGACCUACUUGGUCGAUUGGACUACUUGGUGACCUAUACGGUCGGUAUACCCUGAGGGGUAGGAUUGUCGGCUAGUUGCCGAUGGUUGGCUAUUGAGCAUAUCAGUAUCGAGCGCCACUACUCAUUCGUAUUUCACGAACACUAGCGGUCUGAUCCACCGCGGCCAAGUGUUCUUUUCCGAAAAAGUGGUUGGACAUGCCAACCCGUGAGCCCAGCGGCCUAGGCUGGGUUAUAUGCAGGUAGAGUGAUAGUGCCACAGGCCUGAGGCCUAAGGACCGAUAUGGCAGGUUUCAGAUUGGAUAUUUUUUGACUUAUCGUUCGAUUGAUGCAUACAUACAAUAGCGAUAGUUAUUCAUAUAUACAUCUCGAUCUUUUAUUUAUCGCUGCUACUGUAUUACUUUUACCCAUACUUUUGUUUAUCCUCCUUGACUGGUGAGUACCCUCGCCCUCGUCGGCUUGCAGUACCCACCGGGAGGGGAGACAUGUAUACAUGUUCUCACCCCCCACCCCCCUUUCAGGUGACGUCACGGGUCCGAGUCGGGAAGAUUCGUGAGGUGUGCAGCUUAGCAUUCGAUAGAUCCAUCAUGUAGUAUCCUUGUUUUAUUUAUUAAUUAAUUAAUGUACUUAAUUAUUUUAUGUCGGUUGGUGCAUGCAAAUUAAGGUGGCUUGGAUGCCACGUGCACCCAUGCAUGCUUAUCAACAAAUUAGGUGGGCAUUGCCUAAUUUGUUUACUUCUCUCUUUGUUCGACCGAAGCAAAGAGCUCGGUGGAGGUAGCCGCGAGCACGAGUUCGACGCCAACGACGCGCCGCGAAGCCGUUCGAGGGUACGGUUGGGAUCGUAGCGCUGCGAGGAAGCUAGGCGAGGGUGUGUUUUCGCCGUUCUCGACGCCGCGUCAAUGUCCGAUUAGCCUUUGAGGUGAGUGUUCCGUUGCAUUGCUUCAAGUAUUAUUAUUUCGAGCUUGGUGCUGAUUUGCAGAAUUUCCAGCGUCGACCGUCGGUAUUUCAGUUCGUACUCGGCGUAGGAGCGUCGGGUUUCGACGGGACUUGGUUCGUUGGAUUUGGGACUUCGAGAGGAAUCCACGAAGCCCUUACUUGCUGGAUUUGGUAAAGGUUUGCUAGGUCGGAAUUUCGCUCCUCUCUGUUGCUGUUUUUGGAGGCAGAAUUAAUGUUUAUUGUCGGAUUCUCCGUGUAGAGUUUAGCGGGAGCUUGACUUCGGGGCCUUUGGAGGUUUUCGGACGUUUCGGCAAGUUGUUCCGCAGCCGAGGGGAGUUCCGUGCUGCCAGGGAUUAGCGAUCGAGGUGGGUUACAUCGGUUUAUUCCUAAGUAUUAUAGUAGUCGACAUGUAUGAUUUCCUGUUUUUGUAAAUCAUGUGGUAGCUCAAUUUCGUCGAUUGUAUAAUGAAUGAAAUUAGCUUGAGGGCAUGACUUGUAACUAUAAAUAUACAUGUUGGACUUAGAAUUAAACUUAGGAGAAAACCAACGUUCGGGACCUGGCAUAUGUUAAACUACCUGAUUUAGCCUAGGGGCCGUUGUAUUAUUUUAUACUGUUGCAGUAUCCUCAUAGUGAGUAUUCCAGGUAGUUUAGUUUUUAGUUACGCUCGUGCUGGGAUGCCGAGUGUAUUUUUACAGUAGCGUUCAGGCUGUUCCGGACUGUUGGGUGUCGUCGGAGUUGACGGUGGACUCGUAUCGCCUUUUUGGCGUUAGAUUGUGCCCCGAGGGCACGUUACCUGUUGGUUGUUAGACCAGUUAGAGUAGGUUACUUGACUUAGCCUGUGAGAGCAGUAUGAACUUGACAGAGAUACUUGUAAACUCGUUGGGUCGCGCCCACGAAUGCCAUUCCGGAAUGAGGUUUCAGUGCGAUGAGUGUCGCAGUUUCUGUUGGACAGUUCUUGAGCCGGCUACCCUCGGGGUGGUGUACGGCGCAGCUAGAUACAGGCAGGGUGGGUCCGUUUUGGGCAGCCCGGAUAAGAUAGUGAGUGACGCUUUUCCCUACCUUUGGUGAGGUUGUGACGUGAGUGGAGUCUUAGCCGUCCUAUUGGACCUUUUCUGGAACCGACUACUCUUGUGAUAUGGUGUAGUCUAAUUAGGCGAGACGGGUGUAUUCACAGUCUUCAGAGAGUUUUCUCCGCCGGUUACUCUUGAGAUACGGUGUAGUCUAGUAGACGAGACGGGUGUAUUCACAGUCUCUAGAGAGUCUUCUCCGCCGGUUACUCUCGAGCUACGGUGUCACCUAAUUAGACGGGAUGGGUGUAUUCACAGUCCCUAGAGAGUUUUCUCCACCAGCUACUUUUGGAGUAGGUUACGGGUUCGAUCCGACAGGCGAGACGGGUGUGUUCAUAGUCCCUAGUGAGAUUGAGUUAGUUGUGACUUUUACUACAGUUGGUUAGUGUAGAUCAUGCUAGUGUAGCGAUAUGUAGCGGUAGAUUUCUUUCCAGCUUUUCCUGCUAGCCUUGUUACCUUCUGUAGACUUAGUGGGUGGACCGAUGAUUGUUGAGGGCGGCACCCACUGAGGACUACUUGUUUCUACAGUAGUUCUCACGCCCAGUUGUUACUCCGUUUUUACAGAGUCUUCGUAUUCGGCUGCUGCUGUUGUUGGUCAGGAGCUAGGCAAGGGCAUCACGAGUUAGAGCCCUACCCGAGGAGCAGAGCUAGAGGCACCCCUACUGCAGGUAGAUGUUUUGGUUUGGGUUCAUGUACAUACAGACUUUUAACUCGCCAACGCGAGUAGCUUUGUACUCUGGGAUUCAGUGUAUGUAUAUGGAACUCGAUUUUUUUUACUUUACUAGUUCUUCUAGCAGCUCUAUACUACUGUUUGUAGUAUUGUAUAUUUUACAGGUACAGCUGUCACUUCGUAUACAGGAGAAAUUCCUUUGCAUACGGCGGAUUUGUCGGCGUGCCCGGGGAACGUGUAAUCCGGGGCGUGACACAUCAGCCCGUUACUUUGGUUAAAUUCUCAAACUCAUCUUUUAAAUAAUUAACUUAGACUUAUUGGUUCAUGAUUUCCCUUAUUUGAAUAAUUGAGAUUUUGUGAAUGUAAUAAAGGACUUACAGUUUUCUUUUGAGAUGAAAACUGUUUUCUACCCUUCGUUGUAGCAUGUUUUACAAGAAAAGGUUUUCGUGUGGAAAACAAUUUUUAAAAGGUUUUCUUCUUGGUUUUCAGGACUUAGUAUUUCAAAAUGAGUUUCCGGAUAGAAAAUAUUUUUAAACUAAUAGAUGUGGAUAUGUGAUUAUCUGUGAUGAAAUGAAUGUGAAUGGUGAAUGUAUGUAUAUGCUCAUAUGAUUGUGGUUGUAUAUUGUACUUGUGCGACGCCGUGCAAAUACAGGAAAGACUCUGUUCGUGUCAACAGCGGACUUCCUGUAUUUGUGGCGGAUCUGACAUACUCUGGGGUCAGGUGUUUCAAAAAAAAAAAAAAAAUUGGGUGCUUUUGCAUUGAUCGCAUUGAUUUUUAAGUCAAAUCGGGACCCCGGGGCGUGACAACUCCCUCCUCAGUAACCUAUACGAAUGAAAUAUGAUCCGGGUCAAUGUCGGCCCAGUUGAUCAUAUGGCCAAUUUCUUCUACAUUAAUAUCCACCAUCUAGACCGUCCCUUGGCCCUAAUUUCUUCCAUGCGAUCUCCGACACAUUGGAAAAGCUUCCCAUGCAAGGUGGACAGUACACAUUCGUUUGUGUGAAUCCAAUCAUGCGUAAGCAACAGAUUAUAGUGACUAUCUGCAUCCACUACGAAAAAAGCUGUUCGAAAGGUCUUGGAUCCUACGUCGUGAGCACACCCCUCGCCUGUUGACCGUUCCCAGUGAAAUAGGUCAUGGUUGUAUUAGUGGGCUUGAGUUCAUCCUCACUCUUGCCCAAUUGCUUGAAAAAUGAUGUAGGCAUGACAUUGACCAUUGCGCUACCAGUGACCAUAACUCGGCCUACAGGCCGUCCUUCUAUCAUGACCCUUAUGAAUAAAGGCCUGACAAAUCUUGUCUGCAAGGCCGAUGGCUUUUCGAAAAUCACCGUAUUGGCCGCUUUCGCAUCUUCAAGCUGAAGUUGAGCCACUGUAAGCUCUUUCCCAUUGUAAUCGGUUCUUCCAAUUCUAUAGAUUCUGCCUUGAAUGAGUGUGGUAGAGCAUAUACCAUGCUUAUAUCAGCCGAACUUUCUUCGGCCGAUUUUUCCUACACUUUUUGUUUCUUAUCUUCUGAUUCUUUGCUGCCUCGGCCAAAGAAUCACUUUCCGACCGAACCUCCCUCUCCUUGGGAGGUCACCUGUCUCGCUUGAUGAUCGUCUCUAACGAGGCGAUCUUCUCCUCCAAAGCCUUCCGAGUAACUUUCUUUGUCGGUUUACUCGGUGUCAACUGUUCAAUCUUGGAUUUCAACCAUGGUACAGGCCUAGAACCGCCCGCUUCAUAAUCAUUUUUCAUAGGCCGAAAAGACGGCUGUAACUCAAGCCAAUUCCAGACAUUCGGCCUCAUCCCCUUUGCUUCCCAAUGAUAUCUUGCUUGGCUUGCAUUCUUUGCUGUCGGCGAUUUUGAGUCUUCGUCAGCAUCGGCCCAUGCCAUUUGGUCGGUGCUUUUGCAGUGUACGUACCACUGAUCAAUUGGCACAUUGGCAGGCACCUUGAUGGUCAUGAGAUGUUCUCUCAUAAUUUCUCUUCUCUCCCACGGUCUCGGCCAAGGUUGAAUGCCGAGUUCGUUGACUAAUUUUCGACCGAGGAAUUCAAUGUCAUCCUCGGUCAUCCCCUCAAACUCAGGCUCAGGUCUCAGCCUAGCCUGAUGAUGCCAGUUAGGCCAAUAUCCCGGUUACAUUUGUUGUGCGCCGAAGGGCUUCUCAGGGUAGCUUCUUCUGCUCAUUCUUUCUUCAGUUUGACAAUUAUAGUAAUCAUCUAGGACCUUUUGUAUCACCACGUCUUUCUUAUCCUUUCUAGACUCCACUUUUUAUUUGGAGUCAUUCGAAUCUUCUUCCGAACAGUCGUUCGGAUCAUUUUCUGCUUCAGAAAGAUCUUUCCAUUCUUCAGGGAAUACCAUAAACUCCUUCCAUUCCCCAUACAGUUUCUUCUCUUGUAUAAUCGCCUCCCAGUCACGGCGAGUCAUCUCGGCCUUGCAUCGUAUGCACAGCCGAAGAGAUCUCUUGGUAUUAGCAAUGUCUUGAUCAACUUUUCCCUCAAAUGAUGCUUUCCCUUUGAUGUCCACCAUGUUAACCUAUGAGGGAAAAAGAUUUUGAUCAACUUCUAUAUUUUUAUUUUCUUGGUCAGCAAAUAUGAGCCGACCUUCAUUAAUCUCUUUUUGAAUUUGUCUUUUGAAGGCGAUACAUUCAUUAGUCCUGUGGCUCCACGAGUGAUGCCACUCGCAAUACUUUCUUCUUUUUAAUUCUUCUCCGGAAGGUAUUGUUUGACCUUCCUGAAGCUUAAUUCUGCCAUCCUUUAACAACCGAUCAAAGAUCAUAUCGGUCUUUAAGACGUCAAAAGAAUAAGUAUAUGCAAAAACGGGCGCUUUCGCUUCGCUAGUUCUAGCUGGCUUCAGCAGCGCACAUUUAUAAAGUUAUCAGUUUUUAACCAUUUGCGCUGCAUAUAUUUCAGCCUCAUUAGCCGAAUCUUCAGUUCCACUAGAAGUAUUCGGCUCAUCUUGAGCCGAAAAUUUCUCAACAAAAGAGAUAUUUUUCUUUUUCCUCUUAUUCCAAUCCUUACUUCGGCUCCAUCUUGGCCGAUCCUCAUUAUUGUCUUUCCUGAAUUGCUCAUAUUGAGCAAUCCGGACGCCCAAGUCGAACAGAUUUGGGAAAUACUUAUCUUCAAAAUGAUCUUUAAUUUUGAAGCGCAAACCAUUGAAUGUCAUUUUAGCAAAUUCUGAUUCUGGCAUUCUAACGAAACAACGACUUCUUGCCAUUUUGAAUUGGUUUAAAUAUUCCUCUACCAAUUCCCCCAGCUUUUACCGAUAUUGGGCUAAAUCAGGGACCAAUAAUUCCGGCUCUGAUCUAUAAAAUUGCUCAUGAAACUUUCUCUCCAAUUCAUCCGUCUUGGAUAGAAUUGGCGGGUAAACUAGUAUACUAAGUGAAUGCCGUCUUAGUUAACGACGUGUUGAACAAUCUAAGUUUAAGAAACGGAUCUACGGCGGCCUCUCUAAGGUGGCCUCUCUAUUAUUGGGCCAUAAACCGCGCCACGUGUUCGACCAUGUUUUCGGUCUCAGCGCCCAAAAAUUUGUCGAAUUUUGGCAUUUUUCAAUUUGUUGGGUAAGAAUGUUCUAGAUCUAUGUUCGCAGGAUAAGGAGACCUAUAGCCCCCACUCUGAAAGUAUUUCGAAUGGCUUCUUCAAUCUGAGCGUACAACUCAUUAUUGUUUCCUGGUGCGGGAAUAAGAGCCUGUGCCUGAACUGGGUUCUAUCCUGGAGGCACCCAAUAUUUGUGCCGCAAGAUUCAUACCUUUCAUCACAUUGGGGGCUUGCCCCCUAGGCCUUACCCCUAUAUUCUGGGGCUGGUAAGCCGGUAAUGGCGGUGGAGGAAGUAAACCCCACGCCACUUCCAGCUAUUGACCGGUAUUUGCAUUCGCCAAUCUGUAGGCGGCUUGAAACGGUGUUACCUGAGGCUGCGUAAUCGCCGGUGUAACUGGAUUUUGCAACACCUGCGUGCCCACAGGUCCUGGCAGGCCCGCAGAUGGUUGUUUGUUUCGAGUCAAUAACUGCCCAAUCCGCAUAUGGCUGAAGAGCCGAAAUACUUAUAUAUUGCUCAGAGUUGGUUGAGAAAAGAGAAAUACAGAACCAAAGUAUGCCACUACAGUGCACACUCCCGAAAGGAAAUCUAAUCCUACAAACUACCCCUAGGAAAAGCAGUGAAUGCGAGGAAAAGAGAAAAAUUACAGUUAGACUACUCCUAGAAAGCAAGAGAAAAUGUGUGGAAUUGAAAGUGGUCUUCUCGUUCGCAGAAAAAAAAAGACCCCUCUAUUAGGCGUCCUCUUUUUAUUUAUAGCUCUGCCUGCUGGUUAUUCAGUUAUUUUCCAUUAUCGGCCACGUUCCUAUUUCUGUGGGCUGAGUAACUAGGCCAGGUAACUGAGUCCGUUAUACCCACUCUUCAGUUUUAGACGCAUCUUUUCCCAAUUCCUGUCGCAUCAUAUGUGGUCUAAUAGCUGGCUUCAGGGGUCGCUCUCGUGGUACACUUGGUCUACCACAUGGCGCAAAUUUUGUGGCAUGAACUACAUUGCAGUUUUGGAAUUUUAGCUAGCAGGGAUUUAAUGUACCUAAAUUGAGAGCCAAAAGAACUCUAUCCUGGACCUGCAGCUAAUUAACCUCGGGUUUCCAAGAAUAUUUUUUUGUGAGAUAGGUAGCACGCUACCCGCUUCGUUUAUUUCAUUUAGAAAUAAACUUAGCUAGAAAUGUGAAUCAACUAGGAUUCGAACUUAGGUCUCGGGUACCAACCACCAAGAUUAUUGAGUUACCAUCUGAGGAGAAAAGAGAACCUUUAAAAUUUUUAAUAUAAUAGAACGGACUUUUGUAGUUUAAUUACUUCAUAAACCAGAAUCAUCUACGUUAAAGUUGCACCAUGGGAGAAAUCCACAAAUAGCCAAAUAGAUUGUUAAAGUUGUACCAUGGGUAGCCAAAUAGAUUGUCCUCAUGACAUAAUUUGUCCGCACUGCUCACUACUAUUCUGUACAUACCACGAAAGGGAAAGCUCCAAAACACUCCGGUGUUUUAGAAGAAUCAUAGCCAAUGCAGUCUGCCAUCAAGAAACUGCUUUGUCAAACCAAGCCUCAGAAGCCUGAGAAUAACACACGGAAAUGUGAUUGCAGUUUGUGAUCAAUAAGGGCAUAAUUAUUGAGAGGAUGAUUUGCAUAAGUUUGACUGCAACAAAACAAAAUUAACACUUACUGUCACUUUCCAAAUGUGGAAAAGGUGAAAUUUUACUUUUCUUAGCAGGACUAAUUAAAGAUUUAAGGGAAAUCCUCAUAAAUUAGGAAUGUACAUUUGAUCAUUGUUGCUGUAGAUACAAAAAUCUCAAGGCUGUAACACUGAAGAAGUCCAAAAUUUUAUCCCUAACGAAAUCCAAAAAGAAAAAGUAGGUAGCCUUGGUUCUCUACAAGAUUUGAGAACCCUCCCAAAAUUUCUUCCUCACGAUUAAAACUCUUUCUUCUCCGGAGGAAAGAGCAUCAACUUUUGGCUCCACUUCUGAUGACCAGUCAUCCCAUCUCAAUGCUGCCAACAACCUCUUGAUGUACUCUAUAACAGGAACUUUGUCCCUGAUAAUGGCAAAACCAAGAGGUCGCAGCAUCCGAUCCAUGUCGAUAAGUAGAUCCUCCAAACUACAUCCUUGUUUCUGUAUCUCAGAGAACAAGAGCCAAGCAUGAAGCAAAUCAUAAGUGCGUGGGUAAGUCGAAAACGACUCACACCUGCAUUUAAGAGAAAUAAGAACAAUUUAACAAGCAUCCGAAGUAACUCACACUUGAAUUUAAGCAAAUUAUAAAUAAUUGAACAAGCACUUGCUGCUGUCCAACAAGGAAAACAAAACACAAUUUGGAAUUUGUCCUAUAACAAAAGCCAUUUGUAUAAAAACAAGCAGACGAAAGUUCAGAUGGACCAGGAAGAUAGUAGAACUUUUAUCUCAAGGGAAACCAAAAGUCAAAUCAGGAAACUCGACAAGUUCAAGAAAUAGAUCAGCGCCAUGUUGAAAGGUAUAGGUUGUUUGGUUUGCACGGACCAUGUAAUGACUGCCACCAAAUAAAAGAACAGUUCAAAGGUUAAUUAGGGGUGGCAAGGCUAUUCAUUGUGUGAAACGGAAAAUACAGAAACUUGGAAUUAUCACUGAAUUAUCACUCUUAAGUCUUGAAAUUCAUUAGACAAUGAUAAGGCGAGAAGCUUGUAAAUAUGAGAAUGAUGGGAAAACUUCUAGAGUAGCAGCAUGGUUAUGGAGGGAAUGAAAGACUUCAUUAAGUUUUUACACAAUGUAUGCUUGAAAAGAACGUGAGAAAAGAAAACAGUAAGAAAUCAUUCAGAGAACCUAUUUAACAGUUCACUGCAUCAACUGUGCAUGGUCAAACUCAUUGUUUAUAUUCUUAUACAAGAACAUAGGCCCGAUGCAGUACCGUUACUCGAUCCCGGUAUCGGUACUCACCAACAGAUACCGGUACUCAACACAAAGAUGCACAAACCCGAGAGCUCCCCUUCGUGUAAUCCCUCUAGUGUACCGGUACACCUCUCAGGUACCGGAACACAACACUCAAAAUCCUGCUUCUACAGAUUUUAGUGUUCGAACUCCAACUCGCACAGCUCUGAGUCCGUUUUUGCGCCUAUUUCAUGCCAAAACGCUUCUAACUCGUCCCGACACUCUACAGAUGUAUCGACAAGUCACUGAUGCUGCAGUCAGUCCAACAGCUAAACUCCAGAGACGCUAUAUUCUCCCCCACUACAAAAAGUUUCGUCCUCGAAGCAUAAAGUCAUACCGACAUAAGAGAAUAUGAUAACUUAAGAGAAUAUGGUAACUCCUACCAGUGUCAGCUCAUGAUAGUGCAGAAAUCACUAUCUGUGAGAUCUCCUACCAGAAGAUCAACUAGUAAAGAGUCUUAAUGGCUAAUAUAAUAUUAUUAUGAUUAUCAGAAUUUUAGAAGAAAGCAAAACCAUAAAAAGUUAGGCUGCAAGAUAAAAACAUAACUUGAAAAAAAAAAUGAAAUUUAUUUGGCGGAUCAUGACAUGGAUCUUACAUAUCAGAAUUAGUUGAUGGUCCAAAAUUUAAGCAAUCUGUUGAUUUUUAUAUUCCUUCAACAUUUCCGAAAAUAUUCGAUGAUAUUGAUUUUAGAGAGUCAUAGGCCUGCUAUCUCAGUCCAAUUGUUAUUGUAAAGAUUUAUGUUCAGCCUCAAUAAUGAGAGCAUGAGUAGUUUCACUGCGGCUUAAUCAUUACACACAUACACCAUCAAUAAGGAAUUGUGUAAUGAACCAACAGAGUUACAUGGAGCUGAAAGUUAGGAACAUACCAGUCAUGAACAGUUCCUAUUAAACCUCUGUCAUAGAUUAUCUUCAGUUUCCCAGAUUCAACAGCAGGAACGACAUUCAUCACCCAGACAUCUUUAUUUGUGAGUGAUGCUGCAAAACCCCCAACGUUUGCCCUCAUAUCCAUAACAUUUCUAAACAAAUCCUUUUCUAUCUCAGAUUCCAUUUGCUUCCAAUACUGUGUCACCCUAUAGUGCCAAAUCUCCUGAUUUAGCCAAUAAGUACAUGAUUUCAGGCUUGGAAUUUGAUAACAAAUGAUUGCAUGAAGGAAACUACGACAAAAGAAUUAUAACUAUACCACAUUUCACUCACAUGGUCUUCAAAGAACUUCUCAGGACUGGAUCCUAUCUCUUCUAAGCGAGGGGGUGGUGCUGUAAGCCUUUGCGGCCAUGGAAGCAGUUCACUGCCUUUUGCCCUAUGAAUUCCUGCUCCAGGGUAUAAAAAAAUAGAAUAUUGUUAGGCCUCACAAACUAUAGCAAGGCAAAGCUGUAAGCCUGUAACCAGCAAAACCUUCUGUUUAAACAAAAUUUCAAGCAGAAAGAAAUGUUAAGCUUCAAAAUAUUUAGGACCUUCCAAUGAAAACUUGGUAAUUUCUAACAACACAAAUGUUCAAGCACUUAGUUCUUUGACACCAUGUGUGAUACCCAAUAGUCUUGCAUCAGAUAAUGUGGGCGAGUGUGAAGGGCUAAUAUGUGACGGAGAUACUAGAAAUAAUAAAUAGGCUCCAGCAUUUUAGGCUAGUGGUUUUGACCCUAUGAGUAAUUACAGCUAAUGGGAUAGGUUGUCACAAUUGGUAUCAGCGCCAGUUCACCAGCCGGAAGUGUGAGAUUAGCCUUUCACAUCGUCUGGUGAUCUUGAGUUACGUCUGUGAUAGGACUGUCAAGUACAUCAAGACCUAAAAUGAGGGGAGUAUUUGACACCCCAACAGUCCCACACAUAGUUACCUAGAAUAGGGUUCGAUGUGGUACAUAGUACUAGGCCAUAAUUUAUCCGGUACCCAAUAUGAAGGGGGUAGGAUUGUGCGGAUUGCUACUUCGAUACCAAUUGGGGUUAGGGUAUUCUACUAAAUUUAAAUUUUAAAGCUCGAAGUUCAAAUAUCCAAAUACUGAAGUCCAAAACAACAAAGCUAACAACACAGACACAAAUAUAUCAGAAUAACAAUCCAAUUCCAACGCAAGUGGAUAAAGAAAAAAAAAACCUAAUUUUUUAUCACUUAUUCAUCUUUCCUUUGCCUUUCCCACUGCUUGCUGCAAAACUUGAAAUACUUGUCUGAUGAAGUCCGAUGCGACAAACUUCUUGCGCCUUUCCAACAACAGAUGACGUCUUUGAAGUCUAACUUCCUUUGACGAAUUUUUUUUUUUAUAAAUAAGCUUACUCAAAACUUCUUUUAUAAAAAUAGUCCUCUAAAUUUUAUUACAAAAAUAGGCCUCAAAUAGGCUAGGUCAGCGCGGAUAUGUAAAAUCUUUAUAUGCGGUGAAUGGUUCACCGCAUUUGUGGGACUCGGGCAAGCCUGGAAAAGUGCGUGAAAAAUUAAGAAUGUAGUAAAUUUGUUACUGCGUUCUCUUAAAGGCGGUGAACAGUUUACCACGUUUAAAGACGGUCAACCGUUCACCGCAUUUAAAGACGGUGAAAGAUUCACCGCCUUAAAAUGCGGUAAACCGUUUACCCCUUUUAUAUGUGGUAAACAAUUCACCGCCUUUAAUUAGAAUACACGAGCCCCGCCCGAACCCUUCUCUCCCCGAACCCUUUCUCUCUGACUCCUCUCCCCGAGCUCCUCUCUGUCCCCCUCACUCCUCUCCCUCACUCCGCCCGAACCCGACGACUCCGACGCCGCCGUCGCUGCAGCCGUCGCCGGCGUCGAAGCCUCUGCUGCUGCUGCCACCGCCAAGGCCGCACGAGCUCCAAGGGGAAAGGGGAUACUAGGUGAGAGCAUUUGAUGGAGGACAGCGUUUUGGGACAAUGACGACAAAUCGGUCGGAGAGUUUAAAUGGAGUGCUUAAAGGUGUACGUGGUUUACCUAUCACGGCAUUUGUGGCCGCUACAUUUUAUAAGGUGACCAAUUAUUUUGUUAAGCAUCGUGAUAAAGGUGAGACAUACUCUACAGUAUUGGUACCAAAACAGGAGGCGCUAAUUAAGAGUUGUAUGAUAAUCGCAAGAAGACAACAUGUGCAUCGCUUCGGAGUAAACGAGUGUCAAAUUACUACCGGAAAUGAACAAUUUGAGGUGGUUCUUGAUGGAAGAAGCUCGACUUGUUCAUGCCAUGAGUUUGAGCUCACUAGGUUGUCAUGCUCACACCUUCUAGCUGUAUGCAGUAAUGGUCAAAUGCACAUUGACUAUUAUAGUCUGUGUUCUGAAUGGUAUACAUGUGAGUAUUACCAUGGUGCUUACUUCCCGCAAUUUCACCCUGUUCCAGACAAAAAAAGCUGGCCACGCCCUCAAGGACCACCGCUGGCACCCCCACCUAUCAGGAGAAAGAAAGGCCGUCCGAGACCAACUCGUAUUCGAAACGCCAUAGACGAGAGAGAAGGAAUGCGAAGAACUAUGUGCACUAUUUGUAAAUAACAAGGACAUUAUAGGACUACAUGUCCAAAUAAUCAAGAUAGAACAAAUGAAGGCCGUAGACGUAGAGCUUUAGGUUGAUGACUUAUGUUUGACUACCUAUAGUAUUUCUUUUUUUAGAUUUAUCUUUUAACGUUCAAAUUAAUAGUCACUAAUUUGUAUACUUUAUUUUGCAGAUGGACGAUCACGAGGAUCCCAGGCCGGUUGAUCCAUCAAUUCUAUCAGACCAGGCUAGGCAUCAUUUGAGAUACGUGCGAUCAGAGGUAUGUUAAGCUAUGCAUAUACAAAGAAGUUUGUAAUUUAAAUACUUAAAUAGAAAAUUUUUAAAAAAGUGAAUAAACUUUAUAGGGGUACGCGCCAGUUCAGUUUACGGAGCAUGGCCGUAAACUGAACACAUGGACAGUCAAGCAUCCGGAAGUGAUAGACCAUACGGCAUGCUAGAUUUUUCUACGUCUCCCGCCUCAGACGAGUACAGCUUGAUCAGGCUCUAUUAGGGGCGUUGAUAGAGUGAUGGAGGCGCGAGACGCAGACAUUCCACCUACGAUACGGAGAGAUGACAGUUACGCUACGUGACGUGGCCGUUACAGCUGGACUACGAGUCUCCGGGAAGCCUAUUACGGGACGUGCUUCAUUUGAUUUGCCGCAUACAUGUAAGCUCCUUAGGAUGAUGUCGUCGACGGCCAGAUCCGCUUGGAGCGGUUGUUUCAACAUUUCCGGCAUGUUACUUUGGAUGCUCCGCCGGCCAUGGUUGCAACAUCUGCACGAGCAUACAUUUUAUUUCAAAUUCGAUGCAGUUUAUUUCCUAACCCCACCGGAUAUCGAGUUCACCUCAAGUGACUACCGCUACUUGAGGAUUUUGACUUUUGCGGAGGCCUAGCUUGGGGCGCAGCUACCUUGGCCCAUCUCUAUCGGGCAUUAGGGAAUGCCUCUAUGAAGGGAAAGGCCGAGUGUUGUGCCUUUGGUACACUACUACAGGUAAAAUCACUAUUUCACUAGUUAUCGCAAUGUUAACUUAGUUUCUUUUACUAAUUUUUUAAUUAACUUUUUUUAUUCUUAGAUCUAGGCAUGGAACCAUAUACACAUUGGACGUUCCGAUCGAGUUGGAGCUCCACCGGAUCUCCAUGAUUGUCCAUUAGGUUGUCGAUAUGCAAUGUAUUUGCAUAUAAUAUAAUAAAAUAAUAAAAUUUGAUAUUGUAUUGAUGUAUUAUAAAAUAAUAAAAUAUAUUAUCACUUCUGCAGGUGGAACACGGGAUUGUGAUUUCGUGGAAAUGUCAGGGUGACUGAACUUGAGUUUUACCGCGAUGAGCUAGAUCAGCAGAGAGUCACAAAUACGUAUAGAUUUCAUGAAUUAAAUACACGCACAUACAUUCUAAAAUUUUACAUUCAUUUUUUUAAUACACUUGUACAGGUUACAUGGAUGCCCUACAUGGAGGAUGUUUUGAACGGUCUUCCUGCAUUUUGUCUCGAGGGCUCUGCAGUCUGGCGUUCGAGAACUUGCUUGAUAUGCUAUCAUAUUAUGGAGCUACAUCUACCUAAUAGAGUCCUGCACCAGUUUGGAUUGCUGCAGCAUACACCGGAGCCCGUUGAAGCUAUAUAGAGGAUCACAUCGCAGGGUAGAUCAGGCGAGGACUGGGCAGCGUUUCAUGCUCCAUAUAUUCAGCGAUGGGCAGAUCGUCAGGAGCAUAUUGCGGAGCAAAGUCCUUUUGUCUAUCCAAAUCCGUUACGAGCAACCUCUGUGUACAUGAAGUGGUAUUGGGGGAUCACGAGGUGGAUUUCUCGUCCUGUACAGCAGCCUCUACUUACUUUUCUGCCGCAUAGGCAUGUCAAGCGAAGAUUGGUAAGAUAAUUUUAUUUUAUAGUUUGUUUUAUUAUAAGGAUAUUCAUUAUAUAUAAUCAUGUAUUUCUUUACAGGUGGAUGCUAUGCGGCAGACUUAUAGCAGCAUUGGUCAUUUGAUGGAUGAUCCUCCGGAGCCAUCUAAAAUGAUUGAUGCUCUAGCACAUGUAGGUAGGACCUCGAGAGUGUGUUAGAGAGCCUUCCGACAUUACCCGUGACAGGGCAUCCGGAUAUUUAUUCUCCGACUUUUGCUGAUUACAGUGAUAUUCCCUCCACCUCCACGCCUGCAUAUGAUUUCGAUGAUAUUCCCUCCACCUCCAUGCCUGCAUAUGAUUUUCCAUCAACAUCCGUCCCGAUUCAUCCAUCUGAUGUCCCUUCGACAUCGGAAGUACAGUUUGAUAUCCCAUUGGCAUCCAUCCCUCUAUUUGAUAUUCCAUCAACGUUAGAGGUAUUCUAUUUUGAUAUUCCAUUCACAUCUAUCCAUCCUUCUGACAUUCCAUCCACAUCGCAGGGUCGUCGCGAUGUUGGAUAUCGACGUAGGCCACGAUGACAGGGUCAUAUUGAGACGCAGGUGGGGAUACUACCAUCGGCUGUUGAGCAAGAGAUGGAGCCGAUUGUCGAGAGCAUCGCCAUCGAGCGUAUUAAUCAGAUGUAUGUCAUUGAGCCCGUGCAGCCUGAGAUAGAACAUGACAUGCAUAUUCGAGGACAGCGUCGAGGAUACGGCCGUGGACGCGGACGUGGACGUGGCAGCGGACGAAGGCGAGAGAAUAGGAGUGGGAUGGAGGGGACUUGAUUUUUUUUUAUCAUUUUUGGGAUUCUCAUGUAUAUUUGAUAUUUCAGAUCUUUUCUACAUUGAUUUUUUAUAGUAUUAUUUAAAUUUAUUCAUAUUGAAGUGUGUUGAUAUUGGUAUAGCUCAUUUUAUAUGCUUAAAGUGUGGUUGAAGUUGGUAUAGAUGAUUUUAUGUAUUUAUUCGUGUAAUUGAAAUGCUUGAAAACAUUAUUAUUUUGUAUAAUGUGGAAAUUUUGCAAACUACUUGCUGCUUGGAGUGGGUAAUGCUAAAUGCGGUGAACCAUUUACCGCAUAUAAAAGCGGUGAAUGUUUCACCGCCUAUAAAAGCGGUGAAUCAGGCGGUGAAACAUUCACCGCGUUCAUAACUAUUAUACCUACGCAGGGAAGGGAAUUACAUAAAGGCGGUGAAUGGUUCACCGCCUUCAUGGGAUUUUUAAAACUUUAUGAAAGCGGUGAACCAUCGUCUUCACUUGAAAGCGCUAAAUGGUUCACCGCUUUUAUCGUCUACCACCAUCUCACUGCUCACGUAGCAGUUUUGAGCCUAUUUUCGUAAAUACAAUUUUCGGAGGUCUAUUUCUAGAAUAAAAAGUUUGGAUGAGAUUAGUUGGCUAAAAUCCCCUCCUUUGACAACUGAUAGCAGCACGUUAUGAUGCUUCAUCUUCUUUUGGAUAGUUGAUUUAGUUCUCAACUUAUUUACCUUCUAAUGAUUUCCACCUCACAUCUGUGAACCUCGCAAUAGAAUCAUCAAUAUAAUUUUCCUCCAGAUCAAAGUCCAGUUUGUUGUAAGGCUCACCCCGGUAACUUUCAGUGAAGAGAGAUAAAAGACGAAGAUUAGAAUGAAUGAAUACUAAUUUAUCUGCUCUUACAGAGAAUAAGUGCUCCAAUUUCGCUUUGCCGAUUAACUUGUCAAUAGAACCUUCAACUUCUGCCAACUCCAGAGUUCUCGAUCCAUAAGUAGCCUACCAAUCUAUUGCAUCCAAUGUCACCACAUUAAUUUGAGCUGCAGCCUUAGAAUAAAUGCCUUUACAUGAAUGGAAAAUAGCAAUUGCUCAUGAAGUAGUUUUGCUUCUCCCUCGUUUUCUGCUAUUUCGCUAAAUGCUUUCAUAAACCCCCAUAAUCACUUCCUUAUCUUCAUCUAGAGCUCUUCUAGUUGUCCCUUCAGGUACUAAUGAUGCCAAGUAUCUCGAAUCACGAAAUCUAGGGGACAAUGCAAAACCAAGGCACUGUGAGGGAAUUGACAUUUUCUCCCACAUUGCAAGUACAUGGUUAUUUUUGUCCAUUACAUCUCUUAUUUCUUCAAGUGUGUUAUUCUCAUAUAUUUUGCCAUCUUUGGGCCAUCAGCAUCAAAAAACUUUAUCAACAAACAAAUUGGUUUUGUAAUAGCCAAUAUAAUCUACCUCAUCCCAAUAUUCUUCACUCCCUAUGGUUUCAGCAUUUAAAGCUCCCAUUUUUCUUGCAUGUUCAUCUCCCUGUUUCACCCAAUCUUUCCGUGUUUUUAGUACGACAUUUGUUGCUAGGGCCUCUCUACAAUCAACCGACCAUUUCAAUAAAAUAUAAUGAGAGGCAAAUCUAGUGUUGGCUACCUUUAAAAGUUCCAAUCUAGAAUCUGAUCAAAAAAUGAUGAGUGCAUGUGCGUGAUUUAAAAAAUACUUUACGAUGCUUUUUCUAGCUCUAUAUGUAUUUUCUAUGAAGCACAAAGACUUCAAAUUUCAUGCUGUACCCAUAUCGAACAAGUAUUGGAUACCGAUACACGCCCGUAACGGGAAUGAAGUAUCCGGCAUUCUUAGAAAAUAGAAAAAAUAUUAGAUACGGCUCGGAUGCGGGAAGGAUACGGGGAGAUACAGCUAGAUUCUUUUUUGGUCUAAAAUGAUCGAAACUUAGAAUUUUUCAAAAUGCCCACAUCCAAACCUAUUAGAAAUAAGGAAAAGAGUGAGAAAAAUGCCUAUCUCUAUUCAAUUUGUCAUUUCUUCUAUCUUUUUGCUUUUGAAUGGUUGAAGGCACUUCCUCUCGUUCCUCCAUACAGUAUUAGUCAUGGUUCGGUCCUUUACCACUUCUCUUUUACUCUCUUUCAUCUAAUUUGUCAACCUAGUAGUAAGCAACAAAGGCUAUAAAAAAUUUUUUUUUUUUUCUUCUAUUGAAUUGUUAGCAUAUUUUCUUUUAUUACUGUUCUAAUAAUAGAACUAGAACUAACAAAACAAAUAUAUAUGUUGAGUGGCUAGUUAUCUAGUUUGUGUGACUAAAUAUCUAUAAUUAUUAUUUGAUCAAGUUGGUUGAUAUUUUCUGUAUUAUUAUUUCAUACGAUUGAUUAUUUUUCUUUAAUGAACAGUUGUAAAAACAAUUAUACAAUUUAAUGUAUAUCAAAAUAUAUUCAUUAAUAUAAUCCAGAUAUCUUGAUUGUUCUCGAUACAUUCAUUAUAUAUACAAUCAACAUAUAUUUAUGUAUAUUUAAACUAACAUUUUACUCAAGUAUACGAGCGUAUCGUAUCCUAGAAGUUUUAGAAAUUAUCGUAUCACCGUAUUCGUGUUAUGUCGUAUCCACAUCCCCUAUCUGUAUCUCCGUAUCCGUAUCUAUGCAACAUAGUGUAUUUCUCAACCACUCAAAUUCUUUUGCGAAAUCUUUAAGAAUAAGAUUUAAAGAAUGAACAACACAAGGGGACCAAAAUACAUGGUUGUGUACCUUUUCUCUCUUUUCUGGUAAGCUUACAAUGUGCAACAUUGUCUAUUAUCACUUGAAGAUUAUGAGGCCCGGCCUCUUCUUUUGAUUUUUUAAUAAAAAUUCUGCAACAGCUAAACCCGUUUUUUCGACUCCAUAAAAACCCUCUGCAUAUAGAAAGUUAGAAACAUAGAUCCAUGACUGUUCACAGUAAGGGCAUUGAUUAGAGAUUGAUUUUUGCAAUUUGUCCACCCAUCAGACACAAUAGAUACUCUUUGCGAAUACCAUGUGUCCUUCAUUGGGAUAAAGUCUUUUUCAAUGCUUCUUUUCCACUUAUCUAAUAAAGUAGUUCCUGUGAUGCAGAAGCAGGUGCAGAUAGGAUUAAUUCGUUUAGAUUUUAAUUUUUUCUAAUUUUCGAAAUUAUUUUCCUUGUUAAUUUGUUUUAGUUGUUUUUAAAGAUUUUUUGCAGAAUUUAUCAUAUGGAAUAAAUCUCUAAAAAUUACCGAUAUAGUUAAGGUUUUUUAGAUAUAUUCAAAUUAGGAAAGAUAACUAAAAUAAUGGAAUUUGAAUUAAAUUAGGAUUAUGCUUUGAAAAUUAUAAAUAUAGCCUAUGCCUUGUAAUUUAGAAAAGUACUACAAUGGAAUAAAAUUUGGGUUUUGUGUUUUGACUGCGGCCAUGGUAUCUCCUUACUUUUCUGUCUUAACCUAUCAUGUGUCCCGGCAAAAUUCUUUUUUCUAAGAAGCUCUAUCUUCUCUUCCUCUUCUUGAUCUUUUCUCUUUUAUCUUUCUUCUAAAUUUGGAUUUUUUCCUAGUAUCGGCUAUUUUCUUCAAAAAAAAAUUACAAAAUUACAAAAUAAAGAAAAUUGUCGGAACCUUCUUGCUAGAGUCAUACUACUUUUUGAUUUUUUUUCUUUUUUUAAAUCCCAAAAAUUGAUUUAAAAAUUCAUUAACUCUUUUAUAUAUUAGAAAAAUCUAAAAAUUAAUCUAAAAUUUUUAAAAAAAAUGAAAAUUUGGGUUUAAAUUGAUUUUGGACUCAUUACUUGCAAGAUAGAUUAGGGUUUUCCUAAUUUGUCCUGCAUCAUCUUGCCUAACGGAAUGAGAGCUUUAUACCCUUUAGGAGCCCUAUUUAUUGUCACAACAGCUUACGAAAUUGACUAUUUACAGUGCAUUGAAUGGUAUUCCAUUAGCACAUAGGCCCUUUAUUACUUUCAAAUGAACCAUAACCCUCUCUGUCAUAUUAAAAGAGUCUUCAAUUUGUUGAGUAGGCGAUGAUUUGUUGUCUUGUUAGUGUGGAAUUCUUCAAUGAUGCCGAAAUUCCUACUUUUUCAGCAUCUUCAGCCUUUUUCCUCACCCUUUCAUAUUUAGCCCUACCGUUCAUCAGAAUUAAACAUCAUGUAGACAUCGAGAAUAUUUUAUUGUAAAUUUCAUAAUAUUGGGAAAGCACUGUACAACUUGAAGUUGUUAAUGGAAUAAAAUCACCACUUUCGUAUCCUAAAUGUGCUGUGGGUCGUGAAAGAGACUUAUGUGCGUGUUCGUGCGCUGAAGUGUCAUCUUGAGGCGAUCAGAGCAAGGGAAUACGACGCAACCCAAGCUAGCUUUCCUUUAAUAAAUAAAUUCAAAUUCAAAUAUCUUGUUAUUUAGAAAUAGACUUAUUUAUGCUAAUAAUGCUACGUUAAGUUAGGCGUGAUUUAAGCAUAUGGGCUCUAUAUAAUUUAAUCCAGGAAACAAAGAAUAAACAAGCAAAAAUUCUCUUUUCUCUUCAUAUCUUAUCUUCUUCUCUCUACUUCUCCUCUCUAUUUCUCUAUUCUCCGAAGACGCGAUCCCUCGAAGUGAUCGAUUCGUUCUUUCGAUACGGUAGAACCGUAUCAUUUGGUAUCAGAGCCUUGACUCAAGCUAAAAAAGAAUUUUGCAAAGGAUGGAUAGGGAGUUUGUACGAAAAGAGGAAAUGAACGCCCAAUUCUCCAAUGUUGAUGCUCGACUGAACAAAUUGGAGACCGAAGUAAGGUUCAUUACCGAUUCUGUUAAUGAUCUCAAAAAUUUAAUUAUCGCUAUGAGCACGAAAAUGGAUGUGCGAUCGCAGGCACCUGUCUGAAGAUACAUCCACUUCAAGUUCCGACAAAAAUCAUCCCCUACUCCCUACCCCUUUCAAAGAAGGGACAUCAAUUCCUUCUACGAAAAACUCUAUGAUGGCGCUAACCCGCAUCACAUGACUCGGGAAGCACCCACAAUUUCAUAGAUCACAAUUUAACAAAGAGAAUGCAAUACCAUAUUGCUGAAGAGAAGCAUUUUGAGGUGAUGGUCGCCAACGAAGAUAGUCGCAAUUGGUGGUAAAUGUUUCAACCUAUUACUCUUGUUACGACAUAUUUAGUAUCUUAUGCUAUGUUAGGAUACUGUAUAUUACAACAUAUUUAUAGAAUUAAAUCGUAUGUAAUCCUAAUUAUAUUGUUAUUAUAGUAGGGAUUGUUACUAUAGUAGACUUAUCUCUUGUACUAUAUAAUUUCAUCAAUAGAACCCAAGAGGGUGUGCUCUUUUGCCCUUCUCUCAUGGUAUCAGAGCCACAAACCCUAAUCCGGGGAUAUUGAUCUAUAACCACCUUCCACCACAAAUCACACCUCUAUAGGUGUUUUUCUUCUUGUUAUUCUUAUUCUUGGUGUGUUGGUGCCGCUCGGCUCAUCUCUGGUGUGUUGCCUUAAUUGGUGCAACUGCCGAUCCCUUCUUGCUGUGUUGGUGCCGCUCGACUCAUCUUUGGUGCCGCUCGACUCAUCUCUGGUGCCGCUCGGUGCAUCCCUGCUGCAGCUGGUUCUCUCUAGUGCCGCUCACUGCAUCGGUGCAUCCCUGCUGCCGCUAGUGUCGCCCGGGUCAUCCUUGGUGUCGCUGGUUUCUUCUUAUCUCGUUGGUGCCGCUUGUCGGUGUCGCCUGGUUGAUCUCAAGUACCGCUCGGUCCUUCUCGAGUUCAACUCUGACUUACUUUUCCUCUUUCCUCUAGAUCUGUGAUUACUCGGUCUAUUUUUCGGAUUUCUCUCUCGUGGUGGAUCUUUUUUUUCCUCUUGGUGGUAACAUGUCUUCCUCUUCAAACCUGCCAGUAGUUAACAUCAAAACUCUCAUAUCACUUAAACUCACGGAUUCCACAUAUUUAGUAUGGAAACAAAUUUUUCUUAAUGUUUUGGAGAGUUUUGGUGUUACUUCGCAUGUGGACGGAACUGGUACUAUACCGUCUCAAACUAUUGAAACAUCUGAUAAGAAAACAAGUGCAAACCAAAAUUAUCAAAAUUGGAAAAAGGAAGACACUUAUACUUUCGUGGAUUAAUGCCACAUUUUCUCUUAGCAUAUUACAGAUGGUCGUUUCUAAUUCUCCUAAAACUGCAUAUGAUACUUGGAAAACUUGAAGCAUAUUUUCUUAAUAAAACUCUUCCACGGCUUUUUCUCUAAAGUUCGAAUCGCAAAGCAUCAAGAAAGGUUCAAUAAACAUAAGCGAUUACAUGCAAAAGAUUAAAUCAAUCGGUGAUGCUCUACAAGCGAUUGGUGAAACUGAGUGAGACCAUAACUUGGUCAUGACAGUUCUUCUCGGGUUACCGGAAGAAUAUAAGGGUUUUGUCAGCGCCCUUAAUACACAUCAACAUAAGCCCACUUUUGAACAACUUCGUCCACAUCUAAUGCAAGAGGAAACUUAAGUUCAACGUCGUACUAGUUGGACGACAUUACCAGCCAAUCCCACUAUCGAUGGUGAAGCUCUUUAUGCAAAUUGUGGACGCAAAAUCCGUGGAGGUCGUGGAGGCAGAUAUCGCGGUGGUCGAGGACAGCGCGAUAGAUUCAACUCAUAUCUUGGUAGUGGAUCUCCUGGAGCCUAUUCGCAUUCUCAACCUAAUAAUUCUCUACAACCCUAUACUGCCACCCAUCAACCUUACAUUUCAAAGUCUGGCACACAAUGUCAGAUCUGCAGCAAGUUUAAUCAUUCGGCUCUUUGGUGCAGACAACGCUUCAAUCAUUCCUUUGUUGUAGAUGAUCCUCAAACCUUUGCUGCUAUAAACAUUCAUGAACCUAGUGAGGAAGUGUGGUAUUCUGACACUGGAGCAUCUAAUCACAUGACCACAACUUCUAGUAUUCUCUUAACCUCUAAACCUUAUAACGAGCAUGAAAAAAUUCUUGUUGGUAAUGAAAAUUUACUUGAUAUUACUCAGACAGGUGAAACUCAGUUGCAUUCCUUCUCUAAAUCCCUUGCUCUUAAAAAUGUUUUUGUUGUUCCUCUAUUAAGAAAAAAUUACUUUCCGUACGCCAGUUUUGUCAUGAUAAUAAUUCCUUUUUGAGUUUGAUUCUUCUAGUUUUUCUGUGAAGGACAAGAAAACCAAGACGAAGCUUCUUCGAUGCCCUAGUUCGGGAACAUCACUCUAUCCAUUCUCUUCUAAAGUUGCGAGUGUCAGAAAUAAGCAACAGCUAUCACUGGUUGCAUCUAGGGUUAAUAGUGAUAUUUGGCAUAGACGAUUAGGUCACCCUAGUUUUUCUGUUCUUUCUACAUUCCUUAAAAAUAAUGAAAUUGUCUCGGAUUCUAUUUUAAAAUUAUCUGUUUGCAAUGCUUGUAAUAUGGGAAAACAUGUCAAACUUUCGUUUAAUGAUUCAGAAUCUCGGUCUGCUUUUCUCUUUCAUAUUGUUCAUUCGGAUGUAUGGCAAUCACCUGUUCCCUCACUCUCUAGCUACAAGUAUUAUGUUAUUUUUAUUGAUGAUUACUUUCGAUUCUCUUGGCUGUAUCUUUUAAAAUCUAAACACGAAGUUUUUGACAAAUUUUUGGAGUUCAAAAGAAUGAUUCAAAACAUAUUCCAUAGCUCGAUAAAAAUUUUUCAGUCCGACAAUGGCACUGAAUUUGUAAAUGAAAAGUUUUCUGCUCUUUGUUCACAAAAUGGCAUUAUUCACAGAUUUUCUUAUCCUUAUACUCCUCAACAAAAUUGUCUUGCUGAGAGAAAGCAUAGGCAUUUAUCUAACAUUGUUAGAAGCCUACUUUUUCAAGCUUGCUUACCUCCUAGGUUCUGGACUGAGGCCAUUCAAACUGCCGUUUUUCUUGUGAAUAGAAUUCCAUCUCUCACUGUUUUAAAAGGAUGAUCGCCAUAUGACAUUCUGCAUGGUUGUGCUUCUUUUGACUUGCAACUUAUUAGAGUUUUUGGAUGUUUAUGUUAUCCCGAUGUACAGGACAUUACAGCUCACAAGCGCGCUCCCGGUCACCUCCUUGUGUCUUCUUGGGACUUUCGAACAAACAUAAAGGAUUUCGCUGUCUAUAUCCAAGCACCGGUAAAGUCUUUAUUUCUCGUCAUGUUACGUUUGUUGAACAUGUUUUUCUUGCUCGUCUUUCUAAAUUUUCUUCCUCCUCGUCCUCUUUUUCCAACUAGCAAAUAUUUCAAAAUUUUCCCUCUAAUCCGCCUUUACUGGGUGAAAGUCCUGCCACUCUUGAUGCGAUUUCUGGCUUCACCUUCACACGUCCUCCUCCUGACUAUGGUUCACACACACCGGUUUCACCGUCUGAGGACUAAUAAUCAAUAUUUCCUUCCAGCUUGCAUUUUGACCCUCCACAAGUUGUUGGUCCUGAGAAUGUUGCCACUGUUGUCGGUCCAUCUGAACUCCGGGCCUAUACCAGACGCCACACCAGUCGGCCUGCUGCUCAUUCUCCAUCCGUUACUGAUGUGCCACCUACCUCCUCUGAUCAUCCACUUUCUCAGCCUGCUACUGUAUCCUCUCCUUCAUCUUCUGUGGCUCCACUCCCUGCCUGAACCCAUUCUAUAUUCACUUGUUCUAUAACCAAGGAUUUCACAGGGUCUACUUCCUUACUCGCUUCUGCCCGUUAUACUCUUUUUACUGAGCCUACCUCUUUUCAUGAGACUUUUCAAGAUGCAGGUUGGCGUGCUGGUAUGGUUGAAGAAUUUGAUGCCAUACUGACUAAUACUACUUGGGAUCUAGUUCCUCCUGCUUCUUCCGUUAAUCUCAUUGGCUGUAAGUGGGUAUAUAAAGUAAAGCAGAAGGAGAAUGGUUCUCUUGAGCGUCUCAAGGCUUAACUUGUUGCUCAGGGUUACAAACAACAACGAGGUAUUGAUUUCGAUGAGACUUUCUCCCGGUUUCAAGGCGAGCACUAUUCGUACUGUUCUCUCCAUGGCUCUUCUCUAGUUGGUCUCUGUAAUAUACCGAAACCCCGGUAGGCUAUAUCGGACUUUAGUCAAAUUGACCAAAGUUUGGUGAGAGAAAUGGUUGGACAAAGUCCAGUUGACACUCCAACAGUGUUGGAGGGGUUAGAGUUAAGUUCCGAAUGCGAUUGAAGGGUUUUAGCAUUGCUCGGCGAGAAAUGGAGCUUGAGCACUGCCCAAACUUCAGUAUGGGCACUGCUUAACCGGUGAAGCACCAGGGCGUACCGGUACCAGGCAGGCCACCCGAGAAGCCAGCUCUCGAGUUUGGCCUCUGUCAAGCUGCUUAACCGGUGACAGUCUGGGUAGUACCAAUACCCCGCAGCAACCCGAGAACAGCAGCUCUCGGGAUUGGGCUAUUGAACAGGGGCGUACCGGUCACGCCCACCCGCGUACCGGUACGCAGUACUGCGAACAGCAGGUUGAGUCUGCUGCAAAUAAAAGAAAAGUGAGGGCUUAAAUGCAAUUGUUGUGGCAUAUAAAAACCCCACAACCUCUCCUCUCUCAUUCACAGCAGUGAGAACACCCUCCUCACUCAUUUUUCUCCCUCUCUCUCUCUAGGAACUCUCUUAGAGGUGGAUCAAGAGGAGAUUUGAAGGUGGAUUUGGUGGAGAAAAAGGCAAAGGAGUGAAGCUAUCUCUUCUUCUUCUUCUUUAGCUCAAGGAAAGGAAAGCUCUUGAGGUAAGCUCCAUGAGCUCUCAUGAUAGAUGUCUAGGGUUUGGUUUAAAUGCCCUAGAAAUGGUUUUAGAUGGAUCUCUAGAUGAUUUUAAGCUUGUUUUUGCUUAUCACCAAGAUCCAUUUGGUGCUUAUGCUAUAGAGCAUUGUUAGGGCACCAAAAUCGAGACUUUUGUCAUAGAUGGGUUUAAAUGUAAAUUGACCUUGUAGAAACCUAAUUGAAGGUAUUUCCAACACGUUGGUGGACUCGGUUCGAAAAUCCGACUAGUCUACACAAAGGGAUUUGAGAAAAAGCCUAUUUUGGCUUCGUUUUACCGCAGGCGAGAGAAUAGGCGGCUAAAAAUCACCAAAAUUGAACCGUAGUACCUUAGCAACCAUACGAGGUGGGUGGUGCUUUCCGAAAUCCUCGAAUUUCCUUUUAUAUCUAAAAUGUUAUUUCUUGAGCAUACAUGUAUAUUGAGCUUCAUGCAUUGUAGGGUGAUUUGAGAGUAUAUUGUUGUAUAUUGUGAGUACAAAUGCAUAUGAGAUGAUUGUAAACUAAUAAGAACUUGUAAAACCCUAUGUAUGCAUGAAUGAUGACAAAAACCUAGUAAAGGCAAAGAAUCUAGUGACAUUGAGAACAAAUGACAUUAUGACAUCAAUAGUAGAGUGGCAUCAAUGAGUUUUGAAUGCUAGUGUUACAAGUGUGGCAUUAAUGAAAACAAUAAAUGCAUAAGAUUGAGUAUAAAGAACAUGUAGUGUGUGUGACACUAAUAAGAGUUAAAGAAUGCAAAAGAUGAGAUAGUUGACAUUAUGACACAACAUGGCAUAACAUCCUUAUAGUUAAGGGUCAAAUGAGCAUUGCAUCCUUAGAGUUAAGGAUUGGAUUGAACUUGGCAUCCUUAUAGUUUAGGAUUGGAUCAUACUCGCCUAUAAAUCUUGGCUCGAGGGUGGUAGCUCCACCUCGAGCGAUGAGCUCCGGAGUAGUCAUCACUGGGAUGGUGUUUUCCCCAGAUAACGGUCCCGUCGGGUUGUAGUAGUCUCCCCAAUAUUAGGGAUUUUGAAUUGGUGAGUUGCUUUGGGCAAAACCUACGGGUUAGCCAAGAGAUUGAGUAAUGGAAAUGUGAUCUUGCAUGCAUCAUGAACAUUCUAUUUGAGCAUUAUUGUUAACUAUAUCUUGUUCAGGCAUAUUAGCUGCAUUUGUAUAGUUUGGUUACUAUCUAUCUGUUUAUUCUUCUAUUAUGCCUGAUUUAGACCUAGUGGAAAAGUCGGCAAGAUCGGCGGUCGAACCCACUGAAAACUUUGUUGUAGUUCUCACCCCACGAUUUUUCACAGAGCCGGGACCGAGUGAGCCGGCCGAUGAUCGCGGUAAAGGUAUCGCGCCAUAAACAGUGACUACCCGAGUCGGGUCCAUAGUUAUUUAGUUGCAUUCCCUAUAUAUCAUCUUUUGUAUUUGAUGAUGUUAGUAUUAUGGAUACGAUAAAUGUUGUAAAGAGAGUUUAUAUUUUGAAAAAUCAUGUGAUGUAAAAGAAAUGAUAGAAAGAAUGUAAAUGUAAAAGUUGAACGCAUGUAUGCGGUUAAAAGUUAAUCAUUAUACUUGUAUGACUGUUUAGUUUAGAAUCUUUCACUUUUGGCUACUGCUUGCCCUCGUGCAAGCCAUGUAUGUAUGUAUGUUUCCGCUUGUGCAAUUUAUAUACUUGAUUUGUACUUGUGUUGAGCCUUAGGCGAACAGGGGAAGUGCUGUCCGUUCGGCGUCUGUUCAACGUGCCCGAACCGACCAAAUGGGCCGGUCCCCGGGCGUGACAGUUUCUUUGACAACUUGAUGUGAAGAAUGCUUUUCUUCAUAGAACUCUCUCCGAAGAAGUUCAUAUGACACAACCACCGGACUUUGUGGACCCCUCUUCCUCACCACGUUUGUCGUCUCCGCAGGCAAUCUAUAGUCUUAAGUAGGCCCCUCGGGCCUGGUUUCAGCUGUUCACUUCAUUUUUUUCCGAAAUUGGUUUUGUCGACAAUACUGCAGAUCCCUCGAUAUUUGUUUCUCAUUCCUCUUCUUUUAUACGUUGCUGAUAUUAUUAUCACCGAUAGCUCCUUUCUUUUGGAGGCCCUCAUUGUCAUCUUACAAUGUGAAUUUGCUAUGACGAAGGAUCUCGAGGCGCUCCAUUAUUUCUUGGGCAUUGAGGUUACUCUGUCUUCUUCUGGUCUUCAUCUAACCCAGCGCAAAUAUGCACAUUAACUAUUUCAGCGCCAUGGCUUUCUUGAUUGCAAGCCUGUUUCUAGUCCUCUCUCCGACAACUCGCCUCUCGUCUCAUGAGGGACGUCUUCUUAACGAUCCCUAUGUCUAUUGUCAGCUUGUUGGUGCUCUCCAGUAUCUCACCUUCACGAGACCGAAUAUUUCGUAUGCUGUCAACUUUGUUGCUCAGUAUUUCCAUACGCCUCGUGAACCACAUAUGCAAGCCGCCAAGUAUAUCUGCGUUAUAUCUGAGGCACACAAUCUUAUGGUCUUCUACUCUCUCGCUAUGUCAAUCCUUCUCUUGUGGCUUUUGCCAAUGCUGAUUGCGCUGGUUGUUUCGAUACACGUUGCUCUACUUCUAGCUAUUGCGUCUUUCUCGAGCCCGAUCUUAUCUCCUGGUCCGCUAAAAAAUAGCCCACCAUUUCUCGCUCCAAUUCUGAAGCGGAGUAUCGUGCUGUGGCGUACACGCUUGCUGAGAAUAACUGUGAUGCCCCAACUUUCCAGAUUCACCAGGCCCAAUCAUAUAGUCCCAGUGUAAGGAAGUGGAAUCUCGAAAUCCGAGAGUCACGCUUCAUUCAGGAUCGACUAUUUGUCGAAUGGAAUGGCCAUGGGAGGGCCAAGGAUGCCUAAAGCACCAAAAGUGCAUUAAGGUUAGAGCCCACGAGAGCAAACAGUGCAAUUCUACACUUGGCAGGAUUUUGCUCUCGGGGACCGGUCCCUGGGGUGAGGGACCAGUUCCCGUACGUGUAACCAGCGAGAAAAAUAAAAAUUUGGCUAAGUCCUGAGAGUUCAGCUCUCGGGGACCGGUCCCUGGAGACCGGUCCCCGUAACUGAGGGUUGCGUGGGAGGCCGAUGCAACCGGUCCCUGGCCAAAGGGAUCGGUUCCCGUAAGCUCCCCAGCCUGGAAGGCUCUCGGGGACCGGUCCCUGGCGUGAGGGACCGGUUCCCGUACGCGUGACCCAGGGAAGGACUCUCGGGGACCGGUCUAUGGUCGGGAUGACCGGUCCCUCUGGGCGAAAAAUGCCCAGUAAGAGGCAGUGCACAGGGACAAAAGGUGAGGGACUUAAGUGGAUAUUGUUACAAUAUGAGGAGCAUGGGACCCCUCCUCUCUCUCAUUCCCUCUCAUUUCCCCCCCUCUCUCUCUCUAGAAAGAAAAGGAGAAGGAGAAGGAAGAAGAAGGAGAAGAAAAGAAGAAGGAAAAGGAAGAAGAAAAAGAAGAAGAUCAAGCUAGAAGAAGCUUUGGACCUCUCCCUCUUCCUCUUUCUCUUUGAAGCUAAAUAAGAGGUAGGCUUCUAACCCUAGUUGUGAAAUUUAGGGUUUUUAGGUUUUAGCUCUUUGGAUGGGAUCAAAUGGAUCCCUAGCACCAUGAAUGGUGGAAUUAGAACUAGAAUCUAGGAUUUUUGAAGUGGGUUUGCAUAGUGCUAACCCUAGGGCACCCAAAUUAGGGCUUUUGGAAAAGUUGAGGAUUGAUCUCAUUUGACCCUCCUAUAACCUAAUUGCUAGGUGUCUAAAUGUAAGGGCGAAGUCGGAUUUUCGAUUCGUCAAGCGGGCGAAAAGAUAUUGGCGAAACAAGGCCAACCAAGCUUCAUUUCGACCUAAGAGGCCGAGAAGUCGUCGUAACGUCCGUUGGAGGGCAUUUCUAGAGCCUCCACAUCCUCAAGAGGUGGGGGGUGUCCAUCCAGAAGCAUUCGGGUUUCCUUUUAUGUCUAAGUUACUUAUGUUGAUCAUAUUGCAUUAUAGAAUUAAUAGAUGUAUAUUUCCUUUUCCUUGCAUGCUUCUUAGUAGUAUAACUUAUAAGUCGAACACAUGGACUAGGGUAGCAUGAGGAUUGGGUCUUGUGACAUGAAAAUCCUGUAAUGGCAUAAAGAGGCGAACUUGGACAUAGCCUAGUAGAGUGGCAUUGAACUAGUAUAGUAGAAACACUAAACAUGAACGAGUGGCAUGUCAACUAGCUAGAAAACUUACUACAAUGAUCGAACGAGUGGCAUCGGGUCUAGAGUAGUAAAUGUGACAUGGUUCUAAGGGUGGUAGAGACCCCGGCAUCUAGGAUGCAUUGUAUAUGGUGCAGCAGAGGCACUCUGACCCUUGUAGAUAGGGUAUCCUCUUAUGAGGAUUGGAUCAUACUCACUAGUCUGUUUUCGCUGUCGGUGGUCGCUCCACCGUGGCACUAGUCUCCGGAGUACUUUACUAAAAGCAGACGUAGUUGUCCCGCAGACGGUCUCGAUGUGCGAGUGCAGCUUCUCCUCACCUAUGAGAAUGAGAGUGAGUCGAGGGUUUAACCUAUGGGUUAGCCAAGUAGAUUGGGUAAUAAACAUGAAUAGCAAGUAGAAUUGCAUCAUUACCUUGAGUAGACAUAGUGUAUGUUGUAGAUUGCAUUGCUAUUCACCCUAUAUACUCUUGACAUCAUAUCAGCAUGAUAGUAGUUAUUGCAUAAGUAAUCUCAUUACUAUUGUUGGAGGCAUGAUAGAGUAGUUGCAGUUUAUUUCUCUAUCUAUCUAUCUAUCUAUUUCUCUAUCUGUGCCUGCUUAGACCUAGUGGAAAAACCAGCGGAGUCGGCGGCCGAACCCACUGGAAACUAUAUUUAUAUAGUCCUCACCCAGUGUGGUUUUGGAAGAUAGGUACACACAGAGGCGAGCCGCGAUCCCUAAGUGAGUAGUUAGUAGCUUUCCUUUUUGCAUAUAGAGUACCCUGGUGUACUAGAAGAUGUAUAUUUUAGAUAGGCAUUGGAAAGCUAUGAUGUAUUUUGGGAAAAUUAUGUAUUUACAUUUUGGAAGAUGAAAAUAUAAUAUAUUCAAAUAAUGUAAAUGUUGAAUGGUUGUGAUAGCUAUAUAUUUCUCUCUUUAUACACUUGUACAUUCACUCGUGGUUCUUGCUCUUAGUUGUAGUGCACUUGUGCGCAUCGUAUUUGAUCAUGUUAUUUAAGCAAUUCCUAGGCGCUUAAUUGUACUUGAUCAGGUUGUUUGGCCUUGGGCGAACAGGGGAGGUCCUGUCCGUUCGGCGUACGUCCGCCGUGCCUGAACCGGACCAAAUUGGUAGGGGUUUCGGGGCGGGGGCGCGACACCCAGAUUCACCAGGCAUUGUGAGAUCCAUCUUACACUUCCGACUGGUUAUCAGGCUCUAAUACCAACUAUGAUACCCAACUUUCCAAGGAGUCACCUAUCCUAGGACUGCUGUAGUCCUAGCACGCUUAACCCUCUUAACCUUUUCGGCCUAGCCACUGCCCAAAAUGCUAUAGCCUGGUUAAGAGGUUUUUAACUCUAUUAUAUCUUAUAUAUAGGACUACCUGGGAUAUUACAUUCUAUAUAACACUCCAAGAGCCCCACAUUGGAUGAUGUAAGAGAGUGUGAUGGGCUUAUAAAUGACGGACACACUAGUAAUAAUAACUGAGCUUAAGCAUUUUGGGCCAGUGGUUUGGAUCCAAUAAGUUAUUAUUGCUAGUGGGAAGCAGGGCUUUACAGUUAGUAUCAGAGCUAAUUACCAGCCAGAAGUGUGAGAUGAGUCUCGGCUGAGCCAGGUUAUACAGCGGGCAGAAUGAGACUUUGGCUGAUGACUGUUGUGGGUGGAGCGCGGCUCCACACAAGGUCAACUAAGGCUAGCGAAACGAGAUACUUAUGAGCGUGUCUGAGCCUGACAAGGACGUCAAGGCUUAAAAAGGUGGGAGAAUGUAAGACACCACCCUAGAUAGUCUAUAUAUAAGAUAUAAUAGGCUAAAAACCUCUUAACCCGGCUAUAGUAUUUUGGGCGGUGGCUAAGACCAAGAGGUUAAGAGGGUUAAGCGUGUUAAGGCUCGAGUAGUCCUAUGAUGAGUGACCUCCGGGAAGUUGGGGCAUCACAAUUUGAGUCGAGAACUUAGCAUAGUUGAUUUAUGUCAUUUAAUGUAAUAAUAGUACAUAAAUAUUGAUCUAUUGCUCCAUAGCUUGGUUUACCUGUGAUUUCUUGACAUAUCCCAUACUUGUCGGCAUAUGUUUAUAUAGUAGGAAAAAAAAUCUCGAAGUUGCAUUUAAUAGAAUCUUUGUGAAUGAUGCAAUUGAGGUACUUUGAUCAUGUGCAUGUGACUAUAGCUUACAAGAGCCAAAUUGAGCUCAACAAGCAUAUUUGCUCAUCGAGGGUCGCGCCCCCACGACUUUUUGCCCCCCUUGGAGGUGUAGCCACACGGUUAUGCUAUUGUUCGAACCGUUUUUUGUUUAGCGUCUAAGUGGGUUCAUGUGCGAUUCUUCGACAUUCCACUUCACACGGCGCAAGCUUGACCAGACUUUGAGUUGGUCAGUGUAAUUGGGUAUCAUCACAAAUGACCAUACCAAGUGAAAAUAGAAAUUGAUGCAUAUAUAAGCUAUGUCGUGCAUAUUGUAGCAUCAUUGAUACUUACAUAGAAAUUUGACACUUAUAUUAACUAAGUUGAACAUAUUAAUAAUGACAUAGUUAUUUUCAUGAAGACUUGAUGUAUAUGACAUUUAGAUAGAUUAUACCCUCGUACACAUUGAACCCUUCAGAGGCAUAAUAAUUGUUUUAUAUUCGAUCACCCGGUGUUUUUGUUAUCAAUGUUAUUUAAUAUCAUCUCCUCUUUACUAUUGUGCCUCGAUAAGUCCUAGCAUGCAGAGCGCCUCUCUCGGCGGUUGUACCUACUAGGAACUAUUUCUAAUAGUUCUUACACCCAUUGUUUUGAAUGUUUUCAUACCCAAAUUUAUAGGGAGAGCUCGAGGACGUGUAAAAGGUAUCUCGAGCUAGAUAGUGCAUUGUUCCUUUUUCCGAUAAAAGGUCCAAGAGGGUAACCCCUUAAUUGAUGCCUAUGAUAUGUACCAUGUGCAAAGAGUAUGUAUGAAAAGUUGAAAUGUAAUGUAUGCAAUGGUAAUAUCUAUGUAUACUUUUGGAAGGAAAGAUAAUGAUGCAGUAUAAUUGUAACGGUUCAAUGUAGUAUAUCAUUUUGGGAUAUGCAAAAUGGUAAUCGACGAGGACUUCAUGUGUUUGUAAUUACUUUACUUUCUUCGAUACUUGUCAACUCAUAUAUCUCCUUUUAUAUUGUGUUGUAUUAAAGUGGAUUGUAUUGGUUGAUCUUUUAUGCUUCGUAUGUACGAGGGUGUCCUUGUACAUACGACUGUCUAUGCACACACCCGAAAAUGCUUCCAUUGUGGCCCGAGGCAUGCGAGCAUCCAAUAUGCAGGUUCAUGUAACGACUGCUAGAACAACUUGCAAAACACAAACACUUCUUACACCUAUCCACCAACCAAUGUAUGACUCCAUUAAUGUUGAUUGUAUCACUUUAAGAUCACUAUGAUUUAUUGAAUUUAUUGAAAUCAUUGAUCUCUCAUCUUUCAAAUAUCAAUAUAAAUGGCCUUUCUCAAAGGUUAUCAUUCACCCUUUCUUCAUCUUCGAAAGGUAUAUUGAUAGAAUGGCUCUACAAAACAAGAGAAAAGAAAUGUUGGCUAAUGAAAAAGGAUUGGAAAAUGAAAGGAUGGAAAGGUGUAGAUCUGAUCCAAUUAGUUACAGCAGACAAUGAACAAGCCUACUCAAUGCUGAUAGACCUAGCAUCAUCUUCAUUUCCAAAUAUCAUGGCUAGUGCGUCUGUAAAAUCAUAAUAUUUUGAUCAUGUCUUAACAGAGGUCUCACCUUUUUAAGAGGAUGAGCUCCAUAUCCUUCUGUUAGUCUAAUUAUUUAUGUAUUUAUGUGAUUAGCGCUAUUGCCAAUUGUACUUAUACAAGAUCUAGUUUAACACAAACCUGUGUUAUAAAGUGUUUUUUGUAAGUGUGUUCACUAUAUAUUCAAGGAAAAACUUCAAAAACCCCCCCUGUGGUUUCGUAGUUUCUCACUUUGCACCCCUGUGGUUUAAAAUGUAUCAAUUUGCCCCCAUGUGGUUUCUUUUUUCUCCUUUUCUUAUCAAUUUCAUUAUUUUUUUUUCUUAAAUCAGUGAUAAAGUGAAUAUUUGAUAAAUCUAGAUGGGUAUCUGAAGUUUUUUGUAUAUAAUUUAAUGAAAUAUUAACAAAAAAGCUACCAAAAAGAUAAAAACGAAACCACGGGGGCAAUUUGAUACAUUUUAAACCACAGGGGGGCAAAGUGAGAAACUACGAAACUACAGGGAGGGUUUUUGAAGUUUUCCCUAUAUUCAAUGGAAACCGUAGAGGGGGCUUUUAUGGCUUUACCCAAUUUUUUAUGGUAUCAAAGCCACAAAGCCUCUAGAGAAAAUCAACAGAGUUGUCUUCCUUCUUUCUUCCUUCCUGUCGCAAUUUUUCUUCCUCUCUAUUAUCGUUCUACCUUAGAGUAUUAGUGCUACAGUACUGCUGCUACAGUAUUUAGCUACAGUGCAGGCGCUAAAGUAUUUGCUACACUAGUAGUGAUCCUGUAGCCGACAAUACUCAUCUAUGUUCGUAAAACCCUUACUAAAAUUUUCUAGUCGUUGGAUCUGUAGUUAUUACUUGCUAGUUUUUCUCGAGGGUAUUUUGUAAGCGUUGUUUUUUUUUCUUUAAUUGCUACUGCCGCAGAGUUAUUCCUUGUUCUCUUCGCCUUUAUUUUUUGACGGCAGCAAAAUUUUUUUCUCUAACUGUGGUGAAUAUCAAGACGCUUAUUCCAAUAGAGCUAUCAGACACUACAUAAUUGGUUUGGAAAUAGGUGUUCCUCAACGUGUUGAAAAACUUCGGAAUAGCCUCACACGUUGAUGGAAUGGGUGGACCACCAUCUUGGAUGGUAGAGGGCAACAAAAUGCUAGCACCCAAUCCUGAUUAUUUACAAUGGAAAAGAGAGGAUAAUACAAUCCUCUCAUGGUCAAUGCAACAUUAUCCCUUUCUAUUCUUCAGCUGGUGAAAUCCAGUUCGCCGAAGUCAGCUCGCGACACAUGGGUCUUCACUGAAAAUUACUUUUUUGACAAGACUGCCUCUACAUCUUUUUCUUUUAAGGCAGAAUUGUGUAGCAUUAAGAAGGGGUCAAUGCCUAUGUCGGAGUACAUGCAAAAGGUCAAAUCUAUUGGAGGUGCACUUUUAGCCAUUGGGGAAGGAGAGUUCGAUCACAAUCUUGUGAUGACAGUUCUGCUAGGUCUCCCAAAAGAGUAUCGUGAUUUUGUGAGUGCCUUGAAUACUCACAAAACCAAACCGACUUUUGAUUAGCUUCGUCCUCUUCUAUUGUACGAGGAAAUAGAAGUGCAACGUCAUCGAGCCAUGUUACAUCCUCUUCCGGAGAUUUUAGUGCCCUAUACGCAAACCAUGGACAAGUCUCCAGGGGAGGCCAGAAUGUUUGAUCUAGAGGAGGACGAGGACAACGAGGUGGUCAUCAUCCACAUGCCUCGCACUAGGAUCCAGUGUCAAAUCUAUAAGGAAGUGAAUUCUCGAAAUACGAGAGUUGGACUUCGCUCAGAAUCGACUAAUUGUCGAGUGGGUAUGCUUCGGAAAAGCCGAAAUCGAAAACCCAAAAAGUGCAUUACAAUGGAUCCACGAGAGCAAAUUGUGCAAAAAUCUGCACUUGGCAGAAAUUGCUCUCGGGGACCGGUCCCUGGCGGGAGGGACCGGUCCCUGGCGGGAGGGACCGGUCCCCGUAAGCAGUGUGUGCGGCAGGAAGUCCCUGUGCGCAAUGUUUGCUCUCGGGUCCCGGUCCCUUGGGAGGGGACCGGACCUUCAUCCCUGAAGGUCCGGUCCCUCAGGCGAGGACCGCUCCCCGUACGCGCAAAAAUUGGGCAGAGCCCUCUGCCCGCAGGAGUUGCUCUCGGGGACCGAUCCCUCCGUAGGGAGACCGGUCCCCGCACCCGAAAAAUGCCCAGUCUGGGGCAGUGUGUAACUUGGAAAGUGGGGGGUGUUUUGUGCAAAUGUGCACUUGUGAAGAGGUAUAGGAGGGGAUGAGCUCUCUCUCCCUCAUUUCUCUCCCAAAGAACACUCUCCCUCUCUCUCUCUAAACUCUGUUUCUCUCUCUCUAGAAGGUGAAGAAGGAGGAGGAUUUGGUGGAGAUCAAGGCCAAGGGAAGGAUUAGCAUCAUCUUCUUCUUCCUCUCCACCAUUAGAGCUUGCUUUAGAGGUAAGCUCAUGAGAGCUUUCAUGGUAGAUCCCUCUGGAUGGAUUCUUAUCUUCUAGAAUUGGUUUUGUUGGAACCCUAGCUUGCCAAAUAGAAGGUUUAUGCUUGAAUCUAGGGAUUUGAGAUGGGAUUUUCGCAAGUUGCAAACCUAGGGCUCCAAAUUGGAGUUUUUGGAAAUAAAGGGUUUUGAUCUAAAUUGAUCGUGUGUUAACCUAAUUACUAGGUAUCUAAACGCGUUGGAAAGGUCGGUUCGUCGACUCGUCGAGCCGGUGCGAAGAUAUCGCCGAAACGAGUGAUCGUGGCUUCGCGUUGACUCGAAGAGUCGAAGCGGCGACUAAGGAUCAUGAAAUCAAGUUCCUAACCUCGCUACAUCGCCUAAAGGUGGGGGGUGUCAUCCCGAAGCAACUGGGCUCCUCCCUAUGUCUAAGUACUUAUAUGUUGAUCAUAUUCCAUAUGUAUAUAUCAUGCAUACUAGGGUGAUUAGAUGUUGUAGGUACUAUUCUUGCAUGCUCCUUAUAGUGUGGCAUAGUAGGCUUGACACGUGAACAUAGGGUGCAUGAGAAUGAGAUAUUGUGACAUAGAAUCCUAUAGAGAUAAGUUAAAUGAAAACUUGAUCUUGCAUCGAUGAUAUGUGACUAGUAUAGUCAAGACAUUGCAUUAUGACGAGUGGCAUGUGAACCAAGUAAACAACUUGACGAGUGGCAUUAGAACUUAGUGUUAAAAGAACACUAGUGACAUGAUGACUUAGGGGAUAGACGAGUCUCCCUACUUGACACCUUGCAUGAGAUCGGUGGCAUAGUGAUGACCCUAGUGACAGGGUAUCCUCUGUGACGAAGAUUGGAUCAUACUCACAUAGUCUGUUCAGCGCUUGUGGCGGUGGCUCCACACAAGUAGUGCGGUCCGGAGUUUGGCACGUGAGAGAUUGGGAUAGCCUAUUUGGGGUCCCAAGGGAUAGCCUAAUUGGGGUCCCGCAGACGAUUCCUCGGGUGGUUCGAGUCCUCCAUCAUAGACGGAUUUGAGAUGUGAGUCGUGGGCGCGCCUAUGGCCCAGCCAGAGGAUUGGGCAAUAAACUCAUGAGAAUUAUGUGCAUUGAGCAUAUUGAGCUUAGUAGAGUUGCAUCCAUACUUAAUGUUGGUACUAUAGCAUGUUAGUAAUUGCGUGGCUAUCUUGUUCAUUCCUGAAUUCCGAGGCAUAGUAGUAUAGUGCAAUUCUUUCAAUAUGCAUCAAUUUUAGUUCAGAUAUCUAUCUAUCUAUCUGCUUAUGCCUGCUUAGACCUAGUGGGGAGAUCGGCGGAGUCGGCGGCCGAAUUCACUGGGAACUAUGAACAAUAGUUCUCACCCCACUUUGUUGCAGGGCCGAGUUCAAAUACACCCGGCGAGGAUCGCGGUAAGGGCAUCGCGCCCUAGUUUAGCUAAAAGCUUCCAUUGCACUAAUGUACUCUCGAGGACCCCGUUGACAUAUGAUGUAGAUGUACCUUGGAAGUUGCUUAUGUAUUUUGGUAUAAACAUUGUAUAUAUUCAUUUUGGAAGUUACAAAUGUAAACUGAUGUAAAUGAAUGGUUGAAUGGAUGUAAUAGCUAGAUGUACCUCUCUUUAUUCACUUGUAUUGUAUACUUGUAUCUUGCUCUUACUUGUUAGCACUAGUGGUGCUCCGUGCUUAUCAUGUAUGUAAUUGAAUUAUUCCUGGGCGAUUCUAUGUACAUGAUCUCGUGGUUGAGCCUUGGGCGGACAGGGGAGGUGCUGUCCGUCCGGCGUCUGUUCGACGUGCCCGAACCGGACCAAAUUGGUAGCAAUCACAGGGCGUGACAAAAUCUGUGGUAAAUUCAAGCACACUACUCUUAAGUGUAAGCAGAGAUUCAACUAUAACUUUAUUGCGGAUGACAUACCCGCAAACUUUUGCUGCUGUGAGUAGGGAUGUCAAUGGGUAUGGAUACCCGAAAUUUUAUCCGAACGCGAACCCGAAUGAAACGGAUAUAUCCGAUGGAUAUGGAUAUGGAUUCGGAUAUGGAUUUUGAUUGUACCCGACCCGAACCCGAACCCGAAUUUAUUUUGUAUUAUAUAUAAUAUAUAUAUAAAAAUUUGAUGUUAUAUUUGAAUUUGUAUUUUAAAAAUUUAGAUUUAAUAUAAUAUAUUUUGAAAUAUUGAAAAAAGGAAUAAUUGUUUCGGGUUCAAAUUUUCGGGUUCAGGUUCGGGUUCGGGUUUCGGAUUUUUGGUCGGGUUCGGGUUUGGAUAUGGAUUUUUAAAAUCCGUCGGGUUCGGGUUCGGGUUCGGGUCUCGGGUUCGGAGUCGGGUUCGGGUUCGGGUUUUUAAAAAUCCGCCCCGAAUCCGACCCGUUGACAUCUCUAGCUGUGAGCCUUCAAGAGCCUUCGAAGGAAGUAUAGUACCCUGACACUAGAGCGUCCAAUCACAUGACAUCGAAUGCAGGUAUACUUUCUGAUUCUAGCCUUAGGAACAGAUAAAGUCAUUUGCUCCCUAUUACUCAUGCAUAUGAAUCUACUUUGAAUACUUCAUCCAAACCCUUUCGUCUUAAAAACUUUCUUGUUGUUCCUCAGAUUCAGAAAAACUUGCUCUCUGUUCGAAAAUUUCAUACUAAUAAAAAUUUGAUUCUGCUAGUUUUUAUGUGAAGGACAAGAAACAGGGACUAAGCUCAUCGAUGUCAUAGUUCAGGAACUUCACUUUAUCCGUUAUUGUCGACAGUUGCAAGUAUUAAAAUAAAGAUAGGUGCUUUGGUUGCCUCAAAAGUUAAUAAUGGUAACUUAUGGCAUAGAUAAUUAAGGCAUCUGAGUUUGAAUGUUUUAUUCAAAUUUGUUAAAGAUAAUAAUUUUUAGGAGAGUUUGAAGUUAAGAUUUCAAAUUGCAAUUCUUGUAAUAUCAGUAAACUUGUUAAACUUCCAUUUAAUAAAUGAGAAUCUCAGUCUAUUUCUCCAUUUCAUUUAAUUCAUUCUAAUGUUUGACAAUCACCUAUUUCUUCUAUCUCUAGUCAUAAAUAUUACAUUGUUUUUGUGGAAAAUUUUACUCGCUACUCAUAGAUAUAUCUUUAGAAACAUUAACACGAGUUUUUGAUAAAUUUGUUGAAUUUAAGGCUAUGAUUGAAAAUAUUUUUGAUAAGUAAAUUAAGUUUUUCCAAUCUGUGGAGGAAAAGAAUGUUAAUGAGAAAUUUUCGUUUCGUUUUCAUCAAACUAGUGUUAUUCAUCGUAUUUCUUGCCCUCACACACCACAACAAAAUGGUGUAGUUGGGCACAAACAUAGACAUUUGAUAAAUGUAGAGAAAACCAUUCUUUUUUAUUCUUGUAUGUCUCCUCGUUUUUUAGCAGAUGCCCUAAUGCAAGCUAUUUUUCUUACUAAUCGCUUGCCCUCUCUUACUAUUCUAAAAAGGAAGUCACCAUAUCAACUUUUAUACGGUCUUAAUCCUACAGACUUGCAACUUGUUAGAGUUUCCGGAUACUCGUGUUACCUUGACUUACAGGACAUUACGAGAUAAAACUCUCCCCUCGUUCCCUACCUUGUGUCUACCUUGGCAUUUUAGAUAAACACAAGAACUUCAGAUGUUUUUAACCACAGAUUGGUAAAGUUUUUAUCUCUCGUCAUGUUAUUUUUAUUUAGUGUUUUCCUUUUUCUUGCCUGACUAAAUUCUCUCAAACUGACAGCUCUAACUUUCAAAUGUUUCAAGAUUUUUUUUUUUUAACCCUCCUUUGUUAGGAAGUGAUCCUUUUAACUCUUCAGGCUAUUGCAAUUUUUAAUUUUCUUCCCUCUAAGGAUUCUUCUACUGUUCCUUCUUCCUCCGCUUCUAAUUCACAUGUUUCUAAAGCUGCAAAGAUCACUAAUACCAACGAUAAUUUUAUUGCUCAUUGACUGGAACUAAAAGUUUAUCCACCACCAUCGGUCAGAAUUAGCUCUAAGUAUCUAUUAGGAAAUCCACUUUCAAACAUUCUAAUAUUGAACCAUUACCUUUCUCACCACCACUCGUCCCACAAUUACCACAAGCCGACCCUGUAUCCUCUACAUCCACUUUACCUUUGCUACCGACACUUCAACACCAACCAACAGCAACAACCCCCCGCCCCCACACCUAUACCCUUUAGAACCCAUGGUAUGCUCACAUGGUCCAUGACUAAGCAACGGGAUACUUCCAUCCCUCUCUUGAUUUCCUCACAAUCUACUUUUCUAGUUGAACCUAAUAAUUUGUCUGAAGCGUUUCAGGAUACAGGAUGGCGUCAGGCAAUACAGGAAGAAUUUCAGACUCCUCUCUAAUUCUACCUAGGAUCUAGUUCCACCACCAACCUCUGUUAAUCUUAUUGGGUGUAAGUGGGUAUAAAAAGUAAAGUAAAAAGCAGAUGGUUUCUUGGAGCAUUUGAAAGCACGUCUUGUUGCGCAAGGCUUCAAGCAGCAACAAGGGAUUCAUUUUGACGAGACUUUUUCUCUUGUUGUGAAGCCCACAACUAUUCGAAGAGUUAUUGCUGUUGCUUUAUCUUCUGAAUGGACUCUUUGCUAACUUGAUAUGCAGAAUGCAUUUUUUCAUGAUGUUCUAAACGAAGUUUAUAUGAAACAACCUCCUAGGUUUAUUCAUCCUUCGUUUUCUAAUCAUGUUUCCAGACUUCGCGAGGCUAUUAUGGACUCAAACAGGUACCCCGAGCUUGGUUUCAAAUACUAGGAAUUCAGCUGAUCCUUCUAUGUUUACCUUUCACAAUGAGGAAUUCUCGUUCUCCUAUCCUAUGUUGAUGAUAUCAUUAUCCCAGACGACUUGUCCUCUAUACUAAACUCCAUAAUGUUCACUCUAGAGAGAAUUUGCUAUGAAAGACUUGGGACCUCUUUAUUUAUUUUUUCGGGAGUGGAAGUAACUAUUUCAACUCAUGGUCUUCGGCUAACUCCACAGAAAUAUGCUUAACAGCUACUUAAGCGGCAUCGUAUAUUCGUAUGCUUUCCAGCAAGUCUGUUGCUACUUCGCUAUCAUCCACGACUUAGUUGUCUUCUCAUAAGGGUCGCCUACCUGAGGAUCCCUAUAUCUGCCACCAAAUCGUUCGGGCGCUCCAAUACCUUAACUUCACUAAACUAGAUAUCUCAUAUACUAUGAAUCUGGUUGCUCAGUUUCUACAAACACCUCAGAAUCCUCACUUUCAGAUUAUUAAGUGCAUUCUAAAUUAUUUUAGAGGGACAAUGAGUUAUGGCCUUUAUUUUUCGCAUUGUACUCCUCCCUUUCUCGUCGCUUACUCUGAUGCUGAUUAGACUAGCUAUCCUGACACUCGAUGUUCGACUUCUGAUUUAUAUUUCUUGGUUCCAAUCUUAUUUCAUGGUCUAUCAAGAAAUCUCUCACUCUAGCUCUUAAGCUGAGUAUCGUGGUGUUGCAUUUACUCUUGCCGAGAGCGUUUGGAUCUACUUCAGGAUCUUGAUGUGUCACUAUGUCAUCCUCUCACUAUCUAUUGCAGCAAUCUCAGUACAACAUACGUUGCAGCCAAUCAAGUAUUACACACAGAGAAAGCAUAUCGAAUUAGACUCAUUUUCUACGCGAGGAAGUACAACUAAGUGAUUUCUCUUUACUUCACAUUCCUUCCGACAAAUAGUUAGCUGAUAUCUUCACAAAACCUUUGCCUGCUGCUCAUUUUACUGCGCUUCGUAUUAAUCUUCACAUCCAGCCUCAGGAUGCUCGGAUUGCGGGAGCACAAUAGAGAUUAAUUAUUUCUGUAUUUAUGUAAUUAGCACUAUUGCUAGUUGUACUUUACUUAUACAGCGCCUAGUUUAACACAACAUGUACUAUAAGGUGUUUUUUGUAAUUGUGUUCACUACAUAUUUAAUGGAAACCCUAGAGAGGACCUUUACGGCUUUAACGAUCUUUCAUCUUGGGCAUCUAUACUCUGCUUUGACCUAAUAUACACUAAUCUACUUGCAAAUUUAAAAAUUGUUAAUUUUGCUAAUCAACUUCAUCUAAUAGUACCCUAAUCCUAAUGCAACCAUUUAUAUGAUUAAGUUGAAAUAAGAUCCAAAUCUAGCUAGUAAAGCUUCGUUGUCAUCAACCAAAUGGCCAAGUCACAAACAAAUGACCCCUUCUGUUAUUCUCUUUGUAAGGUAAGAACCAAAUGCAAGCCAAGUAACUAUAAUCUAAACAGGUAAUAAUUCCUCUGCUGGGCUAGACCACAGUGAUUUGUGGGUGAAUGUGUAAAGCCCACAGAGCAAAAAUAACCUAUUACGAGUUUAUAGUCAAAAUGGUCAUCAAUACAUUGGAAGAAGCUGCGAUGAUUUAUGCAAAACAAUCAGUUGAUAUUAAGAUAGGUACAUAUGCAAAAAAAAAAAAAAAAAAAAAAAAAAAAAAAAAAAAAAAAAAAAAAAAAAAAAAAAAAAAAAAAAAACAUUCCUAUCUUGUAAUCAGAUAAUGUACAUCAAAUAGAUCAACUCGACAACAUGCAGUAUUUACGUUAUAAUGGGUUGGAAAAAGCCAUUUACGCUAAUUGAGCCAUAAGAGUCAGAUUAGUAAUUGCUAGUUUUGAUAAUGCGCAGGCUUUAUAAGGGUUCAAGAAAGGCCAUUUACCAAUCACUAACUGAUCAAUCAAGAACAUUACAGAGGUGCAUCUCAUUAUCUCUUCCCUUCACCAUCCAAUUUUUCUUGCCCGUUUCUUUUUUCACCUCUCCAACCAGACCAAGUCUUUUUGACCAAUUUAGCAAAAAAACUAAUGCAUUUCGUACAGAAAUGCUCUAGCAGAUUAUAGGUUACCUGCUCCUUAUUAUUUUCCUUUUGGCAUGCACGAUUAUCAUUGAGAUUUCGUGUUUAUGCAUCACCUAACCAAGAACUUACUGAAUUCUAUUGUAAAAAGAAACAGUUUGAUUAUAAUGAAAAUUAUGACAUCUAAAAUAAAGCCCUUUAGGCAAUCAAUCAAGGUAACUUACUCUUUGAGUAAGGAGUUAUGCACGCCUUCAUGGAUACAUUCCAAACUUCAUCAGGAUCAUCAUCAGGGUCGCACAUGGGAGGAAGGACUCCAAUAUCCCUUCUCAAGUAGCAACCAUUUGUCAAAGGUUUAACCCAUAUAACUGUCUGGUUCUUCUUAGAAGCUAUCCUCCAGCACAUCCUCCGAACAAGAUCACUCAUCGCACUCCAUAUCCUUCUAUUCUUUGCAUCAGGAGCAUAAGCCUCUGGAGAAGAGUACACAAAGUAUCCCCCAGGCCUCAACACCCUAUCCAACUCCAUCAGCAGAAUCCCAUCCCUUUGAAGCCAGUCAAUCCUACAACGAGAGCAGUGGACUAACUCAAAUGAUCUGCUUGGAUACAGCAGCCUUCUUGUCCCCAAUACACCCAGAGUUGAAGGAAUUCCUCUCUCAAGUGCAAACUGUAUCUGGUUCUCAUGAACGUCGUUAGGCGCCAGAGACAUUGCAAUGAUGUUAAGAGGAAGAAGGUAUGCCCCAAAGCUCGCGACUCCGCAGCCAACAUCAAAAACAGUCCGAAUUUUUCCACCAUUAUUCAGCUUGUCAUUCGAAAACUUGAGCAUCUGAUCUCAAAAAAGAUUGGAAAUAAGGGAAUGAUGAAUAAUCUUUCCAAAACAAAAACAGAGUGAAAAUGGAAGAAACGUCGGAUGGCAUAAUUGAACCUAUUAUAGACCUGCGCGAUGUGAAUGAUAUACUUGUCAGCUCCCGUGUGAAAGUGCGUUCCGCCGCCGGGGAAAUUGAUCUUAUCUCCAUUAACAACCAUCCAUCUCUGGUCCGACUUCUCCGCCGCGAGAUGGGUAUGCGGAAUAUUAGCUUUCCACACCUCAUCCCGACUUGCAGGCCACCUUAUCGGAAUCUUCAACGUGCAAAAUUAAGACAGGUUAGGCCCUAACAGCAGCACAAGAACGACAUAGCAAACAAAGACGUUCGAGAAAUACUCACGCGGUACCCAAUGGGAGGAGGGAUGAGGCAAUUGUGGCGCCGAGGUUGCACCGGGCAGUGGCGCUCGUAAUGCUCCAUGAGCGACAGGUUGAGCUUCAGCUUGAGCUGGUAGAGAAGGUUCCGAUCCAAGCAAGGAAUCAGCUCCGACAAUCUCAUAUCACACACCUAAAAUAUUUCCAAUAAUAAUCAGAAGAGAUGGUAGAAGAAUUGGAACAUCAUCAAAUCCAUCCAAGCAGAGGUCGGAAGAAGAAGCAGCAGCCGAGAUAUAGGGAGUACAGGAAAGGACUUGACGACGUGGUUAGGAGGGAGAGUGGAGAAGGCGGGGGUGGUGGAUUCGCUGUCACCGAUGAAGCUGUGGAAGACGGGGUCGGCCCCGUCGUAGCUGGCAGAGUCGCGGCGGCGGCGGCGGCGGAGGCGGAGGGCAGGGCCGAAGGAGGUGCCGUAGUAGAAGCAGAGAAGGCCGAGGGCGACGACGGCGGCAAUGAGGAGGGAGGAGAAGAGCUUCCGACGAGGAACGACACCGCGCUCUCCUCUCCGCUGCUGCUGCUGCUGCUGCUGGCUCUGCAGCGAGCCCUUCAUUGGACCCUUUUUCGAUCUUCCUCCUGCGCUCUUGUGCUUAAAUAAAUUAGCCUUUUUCUUUCUUUUACUCUAAAUUCGAUCGGAACGAAGGGUUUGAGGAGGGAUGAUGAGAAGAGGGCGGGGAACGAGAGUAAAACGGUGGCCAGUGAAAGAGAGAUGGAUGGAGUAAUUAGGAGAGAGAAGGCGUUAUGUUGGUGCGGUGGGGUGCUCUGCCGCCUGUCGUUGUUGGAACUCGGAACUCGGCGAGUGCGCGGAAUAAGCGUUGAGCGAGAGAGCGAGCAGUGUAAGCGUGGCUAAAGAUGGAAUGAACGAAUGAAUGUUUUAUGUAAUUUUUAAUUCGACCACUGUCUGACUGCGGACAAAACUUACGAGGGCGCCCGCUCACGCAUUAGGGAUUUCCGAUUUAGUGCCACAAAAUAUACAUUAAUUUUUUAUAUUAUUUUUUAGGCAUUAAAUUUUAAUUAUGAACUUCUCUAUAGAUUUUAAUUUGUUUUAAAUUCGUCGUAGAAGAAACAAUCGACGUGUUAAUUUUUUAUGUGCAAAAUAAUAUGCUUUUUUUUUUUAUCGAAUAAUGCUAAUCCUACAAUCCCAACGGAUUUAAGGGUCGUUAUUUUUUCUCUUAUAGUCUAAGCCACUUUUUAUUUUUAAAACUAAAGAACUAACAGCCUGUUUGGUAAUUACCAGAAUUAUACUCUGAAAUAUUUUACUUUAUUUUUUUAUAUUUGGAUAAAUACUAUAUUUUUACAAAAUUAAAACAAUAGUCAUUAGCUUUUUCAAAAACUAGUCCUUAAAAAAUUUUGAAUGUUAUAAAUGUACUCACAACUGAUCAAACUAGUCGUUAUGAUUGCAUAAAUAUAAUAAAAUAGUUUUACAAUAUUCAAAACUGAUCAAACUAGUCUUUAAAUUAUUGGAAUCUCAUUAUAAAAGCCUCUAACAUCUAUAUAAUACUCAAAUCUUUCACUAGAAUGCGUAUAAAUUAUUUUUUAUAUAUUCUAUCUAUCUAUAUCCAAUUUUUUUAUAUCCUUUUUAAGAACAUAUGAAUCAAAAUUAUUGGGGAAGAAUGUAAGAAGACGAUGAUUAAUAAUGUUGGAUUAAGCGGAUUCAAUUGGAUUUAAUUUUUGGAUUAAUUAUACUCUAAUAUUAGUUAGAGUAGAAUUGAGAUUUAAUCAUAAUUAAUCACCUAUAAAUAGGCGAUUUAGGGAGGGUGUACCGUGUACGGCUAAAUAAUAAUAAUAAAAUAUUGCGGCCGGAUUCUUUAUGCGAGCGUGGCCGCUGGCGGGAGCAAGAUCCGUUGGUCGUGAGGGAAAAAAGAGCGAGAGCAAGGUGAGUCUCCAAUAUUUAGUUCUUUCAUUUUUUUUCUUUUCCUCCUCCUACCUCCCCAUCUCAUCCUCCCUUCUCAUUGUACCACCGUCACCGUCACCAGAGUGGUCAUUGGCCACCUACGACCGGUGAGGGUGAAUCUUGUAUGGGGUAAUCAUAGUUAGCCAUGAGAGGGGUUUGGGAGAGAUUCUUUGAUUGGGUUGGAAAGGAGAAGAAAGAAGAUGGAAUUAUUUUGGAUCUAACUAUAUCCGGUUCAUGGUGAACUACAUUAAUUUUACAUGGUUUAUUUACGUUUGGGUUUCAAUUUAUCGUAACAAUAUUAAACAUGAUUAAAUUGUUAAUUAGAGUGUUUUGUCUCUGUUGAAUGAACUAUAAUUAACUGAAAAAGCUUCUGGUGCGCGUUGCUAGUGUUGGACCAGGUGCAGCAAAAUUUGGAUGCUUAUAAUGGCUAAAAAGAUCAGCGAGAAACCAAUCUGUAAAUAGCAGUUUUGGUUUUAGGGACUGAUUCAUAAACUAUGCAUAAACUUUUUAUUCGUAAGGCGGAAUUUUGCAAUUCAAGCGCCAUUAGACUCAUCUUCAAAAUACAGAUGAGAUCGUCCGAUCUAAUUAUCCAAAUUUACUGUAUAAUUUUCACAUAAUUAUUAAUAAUUAAAAGGGUUUGUUUGAAAAUGUAUUUUAUUUGGGUCUUUUCAUCGUUUUAGGUGUUGGGACUGCUGUGAAAUCUCAAUCUUAGAAUGUGACUAAUUUGUGAGCACUAAUAGAAAUAAGUAAAUAGCUACUUGUUGCUGGUACACCCCCAGUGGAUUUUAUAAUUAUAUUGGUUGUUGUGGCUUAUGUACUUUGCAUAUUAUUAUCAUUAUAAUAAUCUAUUGUUGUUUAUGACUAUUGCAGUCGGAUACCUUGGAGGAGAGGGAUUUAUUCUAUACGUAGUUCCCGAGGAGGAAUGGCGUGUAAUUGUAAUUCUCGUGGUUAGAGUGAUAGAGUGGAGUUGCUUCAAAUUACGAUCGUUGUGGUUUCAAAUUUAAAAUUAUCUUUAUUCUUUGAAGCAGAUUUCUUGUUAAGCGUUGUGCUUACUUUUGUUGCCUACCGUUUCAGGUACUGAGAGUCGGAGGAUGUGAGAUAAUUGGUCAGCGAUGACUCAUUAGAUAGUUUAUCUUUUGGACAUAUAGAGCGUGUUUGGUUCGCUUCUUUUUCACCAUAGAAUCGGAAUCGGAAUGGGUGAAUCCGUUUGUGAGUGUUUGGUACGCGGGAGUCCCAUUCCGAUUCCCAUUUCCAAGUGGAAUGGGAAUCCCCCAAUCACCUCUUUUUUCAAUCCGGCCUAGGAGGCCGGAUUUGAAGUUGAAUCCGGACGUAAUGGAUAUUUAUUUAGAUUAAAUUUAUUUUUUCAACUUUUUUAAUUAAAAUAUGAGUUAAAAUUUAAAAAAUAAAUAUAUUCGGAUUGGAAGUUGAAUCCGGACGGAAUGGAUAUUUAUUCGGAUUAAAUUUAUUUUUUCAACUUUUUUAAUUAAAAUAUGAGUUAAAAUUUAAAAAAUAAAUAUAUUCGGAUUGGAAGUUGAAUCCGGACGGAAUGGAUAUUUAUUCGGAUUAAAUUUAUUUUUUCAACUUUUUUAAUUAAAAUAUGAGUUAAAAUUUAAAAAAUAAAUAUAUUCGGAUUGGAAGUUGAAUCCGGACGGAAUGGAUAUUUAUUCGGAUUAAAUUUAUUUUUUCAACUUUUUUAAUUAAAAUAUGAGUUAAAAUUUAAAAAAUAAAUAUAUUCGGAUUGGAAGUUGAAUCCGGACGGAAUGGAUAUUUAUUCGGAUUAAAUUUAUUUUUUCAACUUUUUUAAUUAAAAUAUGAGUUAAAAUUUAAAAAAUAAAUAUAUUCGGAUUGGAAGUUGAAUCCGGACGGAAUGGAUAUUUAUUCGGAUUAAAUUUAUUUUUUCAACUUUUUUAAUUAAAAUAUGAGUUAAAAUUUAAAAAAUAAAUAUAUAAUUUUAAAUUUUAAUUUGAACUAAAAUUAAAAAUUAAAAUUUAAUCAAGNUUUUAAUAUUUAAUAUUUAAUUUGAAUUUAAAUUAAUAUAUUAUAAAGAUAAUGUUAGUAUAUUAAUUUGAUUACGUUUUUUAUAUCCACCUGAACCAAACACCGACAAUGGAAAUGAUUUAUUCUGAUUCCAAUUCAAAUGGUGAACCAAACAUAAUUAGGUAAUGAGUCAUUCCGAUUCCGAUUCCGACUCCGACUUCAAACUAAACACGCCCAUAGUUUAUUUUGAUUUGAGAUUGAUUAAUUCGACAUCUAGUAGUUAUUGCUCAGUUUUGUUUUAAUUAGUAAAUUAUUUUAUUUAGUCUUUAAUUGAGAGGGUAGCUUUGGAUCUAUUUAAGGCCUUCUAUUUUCGGAGGUUCUUUCUUUGGAUUCGUCACCGAUUGUUGCAAUUCGGAUCUGAGCAGUCGGAUCUCGGGCGUGAUAAUUGGAGGAAGAUACAAAGAGAUGAUGAUAAAUUCGUGACAAACCUUUUUUUUAUGAUGAACAAUGAUAUGACAGUUGAAAAUAUCUAUUCACAUUUCAAGUGAAAAAAGAGCACGCUAUGUGAAUAAAAUUAUCCAAGGUCAUGAACUUAGAUUGCAAGAGGAAGUUCAAAUGGAAACUCACAUUUUUCAUACGUUAAUGAAAUGUUUGAAAGACAAAGGUCUUCUACGUGACACAAGACCGUUAAAAAGUAGGUACCUAUAUUUUUAUACACCUUGACAAAAAAUGUAUGUAACCGAACUCUACAAUAGUGGUUUCAGCAAAGUGGUGAAAUUGCUAGUUGACAUUCUCGUCAAGGGCUAUAUGCAGUUAUACAACUCAAUAGAGAUUUUAUUCAUUUAUUAGGAUCUAUCAACACUCCAAAAAUCAGAAACAAUGCAAAAUUUUUCUUAACGGUACCAUUGAUUUUUUUUUUCCUUUUACAUUUAACUCAGUAUUGAAAAUGAGUAUUCAAAAAUGAAAGUGGAGCCCAUUUCUUCUCUUGAAACAUGCCCUCAACAAACCUCUUUUAUACUAGGUGGGUUUCCUCAUCUAUGCAUAUCCUCUAUGUGUGUUGUUUUUAGUCUCACAAUUCUUUCUUUUCUAUUAAUUUCAUAAAGAAGAGGGCAUGUAAAAUCAUGAUAUAAAAGAGCGUUUUGCAAGAGAAAUUAGGGCACAUCCGCACAUGUGAAGAGGAGGAGGAAAAGGAGGAGAAAAUGGAGGAGGAGGAAGGAAGAGAGAAAGAACAAACCUGAAGACAUAAGGGAACGAGGGCUAACUGGAGGGAACUGGCCAGGGGUGACGAGGAUAGUACGAGGGCGAACGCGAAAUAGAGUGAGCGAGAAAAAGCGCGAUAAAUGGAAAAUUUUUACACCGGUCCAACCUCUUUUCUUCUUUUUUCCAAUAUUACUCUAAAAAGCCCAUGUUAUAUAGUAAUAAUUUUAUCUUAUUAGGCUAUUCAAAAGAGCUAACUAAAAAAAAGGACUUUUAAAACACAGAGUAAAGUGGCCCAAAGUAGAAUAUUGAGGGUUUCCCAAAUGGGCCCUAAAAAAAAAUUUAAAAGAAUUAAAAAAAUAAAAAAUAAAAAAACUGAAGUAGAGGAUUACAACCCUUAUACGGAGGUUUGUAAUCCUACGACCCUCUUCGGUUUGUAGACUUUGUUUUUUUCUUAUUUAUAUUGCUUCCAAUUUGGAUCAUUUUCUCCACAGCUGCUUUAAAAUGAAUUUCGGAGUUAUGAAAAAAAGUUCAAAUUAAUUUCUUUAAAAUAUGUACAAAAACUAACACAUGAUAGCAGAUUGCAAAUUUUCUAACAAGAUGUCAUCGAAGAGCUCUCCACUUAAAAUUUUUCCAUCCACAACUUCUAAAACCCGCUAGUCUUGUGUUGACUAACACUCCGAUGUCCCCAUCCAUGACUAGAACGGUGCAAAAAGAUAACUAAACUAUAAACUAAAAUGGACAAAUACAAUUAUAUAUUAAAUGUAUGAACUAGGCUGGAAUAUUAUCAAUAGCACCAAGUUAUUGGUGCUAUUAAUUUUUUAGCCCUUGGAUUGAGAAAUGUGUGGUUAGAAUGAUAUGGGUCCCCUAGGGUUGAGUGAGUGGUUGGUUGAAUAGUAUAAUAUAACGGAUAAAAAUAAUUAAAGAGUUAAAUCUAACGGUGGAAAACUCGAUAGCACCAAAUCCUUGGUGUUAUCGAUAGUACCCGAGCCAAACUCUUAAAUGUAUUCACAUCCACAACUAAAAUCAUGUUUGAAUGUAUAAAUAUGUUAUUUUAUAUAUUUUUGAAUUUAUUUAAAAAUAUAAUAUUUGUUAGAUUACAAGUAUGAGCAAAUUCUGCAUAUCGAAUAAGUACUUCCAAAAACAUAAGAAAUUUUAUAUAUCGAAUAAGUUAUUAUCGGAUAUCUUACUUCAAUAUACUAAUAAGAUCCUAUUUGGAUGCAUGAACAUCUUUUUCCAUAGUUCUUCUUAGGAUGUGUUAGUUUUACCAAAAGUGUGGAAAAGAUGAAGUUAUUUUCUCUCAUGGCUGACACCUCAGUGGAAGCCUACCCGGGCACACUGCCGUGCACACAAGGUCGCUCCCUACACACACAAAGUGUCUACAAUCGACAAUAUCCACCAAAAUGAAAUACACAUCCUACACAUGAUAAUGAGAGCAUAAAACAUAAAACAAAACUAAUUUAGACAAUUUCAAGCAACUACCACAUAUACAUAAAUCGAUAUCCUCAGCACAUACAUAACCAACUACAAUACUCUAUGAGUACAUAAACCCUAGGAUGUCAAUAGCCUCCAUAUACAACAUCUCACCAAGAGUACAUCACAAAAUGGGUAUAUCUCAAAUACAACAUCGUAUGCCUUAAGGUAAUCUAUUUAAAUAGGUACAUAAUUACCUCUCACAUAUAACACCCAAAAAUAAAAUAUGUAUUAGGUCUACAUCUAAGGAAGCUCGGUAGAGACGGCUCUAGCUAGACGCGACUCCCUUGCCACUGUGAUGCCCCAUUUUCCAGGGGGUCACCCAUCCUAAGACGUAGUACUCUAGUUGUCAUGCCCCGGAGCCCAGCGGAAGCCCGCCUGACGCGUGUCUUGACCCGCCAUACGUCUAAAACAUAUAAGGCGUCUAAAACAAAACGAUAAAUGAGACACUAAAAGAAAACAUCUAGAAGUAUCAGAGUAAUAUACAUCAUCUAGAGACUAAAGCCAUGUGAAGAGUAGAGAGCUAAAAUCACUAAUAAACUAUAAAGUAGUACAACCAAAGAUCCAAAAUACAAAUACUAAAAGAGUACAUAGGUGGUCUCUAUACAUGGUAAACAAAAUAUCUCUCUCUCUCUAAUACAAAAUAUCUCUCUCUCUAAUACAAUAAAAGAAGAGUAAACCACCUAAGCUCAAAGGAAGCUCCCCGCUAACUAGCUACGCGACUCCCUUGCCGCGAUACCGUGCCUCAGCCGGUACCGAAGGCUCUGAAAUAAAAAUCAUAAAACAGAGGGCGUGAGAACUAUUAAAUAAUAAUUCCCGGGCAAUUACUGACUUCAGUGAAAUGCGCCACUAGGCCCAAAAGCUACAAAAAAGGGGGGUCGGUGUAUAAGUAUAAGCAAAAGCGAUAAGAACAACUAGAAAAAUAAACAUAAAUACUACUCAACCAUGAUGUCUCUACUUAGCAUGAUUUGCAUAAGUAAGAAAGCAACUACUACAAGUAUGUGCAUAAGAGUAUUCAACAUGCAAAUGCAUAAGUAGGCAGCUAACCCAAUAUCCACAAUGUAAGUAGUAAAGAUGUCAUUGUUUACUAUUCUAGUCAAUGUCCACUUGUCACUUUAACUGUUUAAAGUUUAACUCUGAUAAGACCCACCCGAAGGCUGUCUGGCAUAAGACCGACCAGAAGGCUGUCUGGCUUUACCAUGCCUAAUGGCCCCGUGGUAGUCAACAUCCCCACCCUCGGAAUGAGCCUUUCCCACGGCAAUCCACUUCGGCGCCUAAUCCCGCACGGUAAACGUAUCGCGAUGGCCAACUCCGGAGUGCCGGCUUAUAGGGAGCGACCCUCACAAGCAUGUGCGAAUGAGCACAAUGGCAAGCAUGCGUAUCAGUCUGUCUCAAGUACCAGGUCCUCAUGUCUAAAACAUGGAAUAUAUGUCAACUGUGUCGAUGGCCUAUCACUAUGUCAUCAUGUCUAAAACAUGGAAUAUAGUCGAUAUCCAACGGCCUAUCACUAUGUUUCUAUAUUACAUUUUCAUAGUUUUCUAGUUUCAAGUGCCCCUUAAUGACACUAUUGUUCAACGAGUUCAAGCAUGGUAUUUAUAUUCAUGAUACAUAAUUCUACUCAUUUCAAACAUAGGAGACAUGUUGUCAACUUGCAAAGCCAACUACUUUUGACAAUACAUGCAGUCUACACAUAUAGCUCUACUAUAUAGAGUGUAAAUUUUAUGAUACAUAAGACAUGCAUAUUAAGUGUUCUAAAAUUCAUAUAAAUCAUGUUUAACAUGGAUUUGCUCUUAAAAAGACUUUACGAAGAGUUUAGAAAGCAUAGGGGGCCAUUUUGCCCCUUUUUCAUGAAGUCAAACCCACCAAGGCCAAUCGAAACCUUUCGUUUGCUCCGACGAAGGUGUCCACCACUCUCCUAGUACCCUAAAGGUAGAUAAACAAGAGUUAAACGGAUCUUAUGAACAACCAUAAGGUUGAUCAUUAACCAUCUCAAGCUAAGGUGGGGAAAAACUCACCUAGAUGAAGAAAUCCUCAAAUAAAGCUCAAGUGGAAGCCAAAUCCCUUCCAAAGCAACCUAAUCCAAGGUUCAAAACCCAUCAAUUUGGUUCUAGGAGCUACCAAUCCAAAAUCCCAUUUCUAACCCUAAUAUCCAAAAUCUAGGAUUUCCUUUAGUAAAAACUACUAAAACAAGAUCUAAAGGAGAGAUCAAGCCUACUCACCUCUCUUGAAGUCCCAAACCUAGCUAGGAAGGUGCUAGGGUUGAAGUUCUCCCUUUAAACAAGCUCCAACAAAAACCUCUAAGCUUCUCCAAUGGAGAAAAUCCAACAUGAGGCAAGGAGAAGGAGAAAAGAGAGAUCAAAACCAUAAAAACCAAGCCAAAAUGGGGUAAAAUCCAAAGAAGAAGCCCUCACCUGGUUUCUCCACGAAUUAGGGCUCAAAAGGGCUCUCUAAGGGGGCUGGGGUCACCUAUAUAGGUGUUGUAACAAUUGCAAAAACACCCCUGCCCGAAAACUACUCGCACUGCACUGUGUACCGGUACAUGGGCUCGCGUACCGGUACAAUACUUACGAAACAGCCAAACCCGAGCCUCGGGUUUGUGCGAAAUCCAUCUGUGUACCGGUACACCAGCCCUGUACCGGUACAGCCAUCAGCGCAUACCGGUACAGCCAUCAACCCCGUACCGGUACACAGCCCUGCUGAGGCUACCCGAGAGCUGACCAAAAAUUCGACUUUUCGGAUUUUGGUGCUAGGUUUUAAACCUCCAAUCUCGGGGUUCGAACCAUGGGUCGGAACACUGUCAACGACCCUCCACGAAGCGUGGAAAAGCUCAGAACACGAAACAAACACUCGAACCUCGCAAUUUGCAAAGGUCCAGUGCGUCACAUUCACCCCUCCUAAAAAGGAGUUUUGUCCGCAAAACUCGAAAGCAACGUACCUCAAGACUUCAUCUGAAAAAGAUGGGGAUAAUGCUCCAGCAAGGCGCUCUCCAGCUCCCACGUGGCCUCCCGCUCCCCGUGGUUGCUCCAAAGAAUCUUCACAUACGGAAUAUCCCGAUUCCGCACUUUCCGUACCUCGCGAGCCAAGAUCUUCACGGGCUGCUCCUCGAAGCUCAAGUCUUCCCGCAACUCUAAAGGUGUGGCAUCCAGCACGUGAGUCGGGUCGAAGAUGUACUUCCGAAGGACCGAUAUAUGAAAGACGUUGUGCACGCCCGAUAGGUUUGGUGGUAGAGCAAGUCGAUACGCUACCGGACCUACACGCUCCAAAACCUCAUACGGUCCAAUGAAACGGGGGCUCAACUUAUCCCGAAUUCCGAAUCUCUUGAUCCCUCUAGUCGGCGAGACCUUCAAGAAAACAUGGUCUCCAACUUGAAACUCCAAGUCUCGCCGUCGUUGGUCGGCAUAGCUCCUCUGUCUACUCUGCGCUGUCAAAAGUCGCUCCCGAGCAAUUCGAACUUUAUUCUCAGCUUCCUGGAGCACAUCUGGUCCUAAAGCCACUCGCCAACUUCACUCCAAUGAAGUGGCGAUGUACACUUCUGUCCAUAAAGUGUUUCGAACGGUGCCAUCUUGAUGCUUGCUUGAUAACUAUUGUUAUAAGCAAACUCCGCCAUAGGUAGAUGCAGCGACCAUCCUCCUGCUUGGAGCAUAUCCUCUAAGAUCUGUAUGGUGCGCUCCGACUGCCCAUCACUCUGAGGGUGGAAAGUAGUGCUAAAAUCCAGUCGAGUGCCUAGGGCGUCCUGUAGACUUCUCCAAAAGUGAGACACAAACCGGGUGUCUCGAUCUGAUACAAUCGACGUGGGCACUCCGUGAAGUCGCACAAUCUCAUCAAGGUACACUUGUGCGAGCUUCUCCCCAGUCCAAGUAGUGUGAAUAGAUAUGAAGUACGCCGACUUCGUCAACCUAUCCACGAUCAUCCAAAUAGCAUCAUGCCCGGCCUGAGAGCGGGGCAAUCCAGUCACGAAAUCCAUGGUGAUCUUCUCCCACUUCCACACGGGAAUAGGCAAACUGUCACGCCCCAAUCCCCCUAAAACCCAACACUCAAUAACCCCAAUUGUCUCAAUUGGCCAUUCUAACCCAUUCUCGGUUUCAAACUAAUACUAACCUCGUACGUACGUAAAAGUAAUAGCGUAACUUUAAUAUAUAGAUGACUGAAGAAAGAACAUCCGUAUCAUAAUCAACGUAAUCAUCACCAAUGAAAAGGAGGAAACUUUAUGAAUACGGACCUACCUGGAUCACCCAUUCAACCGCUCCAGCCUACGGCUCGGGUGACCCUUGAAGUAACAUCAAGAGUGUGGUGAUUGGGAUGUCCAGGAUCGUGCUCGCCCCGCCGCCUCCUGGCUCCGUUCCCAAAUCGCGGCAUCCAUCGCCGGUGGCCUCAUCGUAAUGUAAAACAUCAGUAAAGGGAAAACCACAUGUACAUCGUCGAAAUAAAACAACUUAAUCUCUACAUUUCAACAUUUGUUAGUACAUAAACCACCUACUGAUUUACAUUUUUCUAUACUACCAACUUACCUUACAUUAUUAAGACAAAUGAACUUAAACCAAAUUUACUUUAGUUUAUAGUACACACUACAUAUAAAUCGAAUCUCGAAAGCGAAGGCAACACCGAACGGGAGCGCGUUCGGAACAUAAUAUAUACGUUAAGAGAAUAACUAACGCAUAAAUAUGUACAACAAUCUCGGAACCCGCCUGUCCUCUCCGAGACAGGCAAGCCGCAGACAACUGCACUGGGCUUGGGCUGGUUUAACCGCNCCUUUUGUACAUGGACUAUACUCUAUUAUUUUCGUAAUGUUAAACGGAGUUGCCCAACGUGUUUAGGGCACCCCCAAUUAGGUUUCCACGGGGUCAAUUUGUCCCCGAACAAUCCUAGGGCAAAAGCCCCAAAUUCAAGCCCUAAUAUUGUCAUUUAGGGUUUUCUCAUGAAUCGAUCCCAAUCUUAAGCAAACAAUAGCUUAGGAUCAUCUAAUAAGCAUCCUAGUAAGGUUUCUAGACCCUUAGAACCAACCCUAGGGCUUCCAUGACAAACCCUACCCAACCACCAUAAGAGCACUUGAGCUCUCAUGGGUUCUAUGGAGUUCAAGGCAUAUAGAAGGCUCCCAUGGCCAAAAACAACCCAAAGCUCCAAAACAUAGGGAUUAAAACCAAGCCCUAGACUCAUUUCUACCAAAAACUCAUCUUAGCCCAAGCCCCUCCAAAUCCUUCUUGUAGGAGAGCCUGUAGAACCCACCAAAGCCUCCAAAUUCACAUUCCCUUGCUUCUUCUUCUUCUUCUCCAAGCCCUAGAGCAAGAGUUCUAGAGAGAGGAAGAGAGGAAAUGGGAGAGAAGGGUGAAAAUGGCUGUGGGAGAGAGAGGGGUGUCCACAUAUAGUGUUGUGACAACUGCAUUUAAACCCCUCAACUUGUUUCCCCUUGAUCUGCCCAUACUGGGCGUUUUUCGCCUUCGGGGACCGGUCUCCCCGACCAGGGACCGGUUCCCGAACGUGGGUAUUCCAGGACUUAGCCAAAUUUUCGGGUUUUUCGGCUGUUACGCAGCGAGGGACCGGUCUGCCCCUUCAGGGACCGGUCUCCCGAGGACCGGUCUCACCACCAGGGACCGGUUGCCUCAAGACUUCCUGGCAGGCUACGUGUACGGGGACCGAUCUCUCCUUCAGGGACCGAUCCCCGAGAGCACAAAAUCUGGGACUUAACCAGAUAUUCUGAUUCUCCCUCUCGGGUCCCUUUUUGCUUCUCCUAUGAGCCCUAAUGUGCUCAGGGUCCAUUCUAACUCGUUCAAUUCCGCGUUCCGCUCUUUUUGACGGAACUCGGCACGAUUUACGAGGGAUGUGGUAUGUUACACAAACUCUGAAGUUUUUCUGCAGGAACUCGAUGCUCAGCCUUAACUUGUUGGCAAGUUCGACAACGAGCUACAAACUCGCCAACAUCUUUUUUCAUCCCGGGCCACCAAUAGAGCAACUUUAAAUCCUUAUAUAUCUUGGUGCCUCCCGGAUGUAUAGCGUAGGGCGCUCGGUGCGCUUCUUGAAGAAUAUUCUCUUUAAUUCCCGAAUCCGCCGGUACACAAAUCCGUCCACGGAAACGCAUCAAUCCUUGGUCAUCCACAAAGAAAUCGCUGGUGCAACCAUCAACCAUUUUACCUUUAAUCUUUUGCCAUUCCACAUCGGAAGCUUGUUUUUCUUUAAUUCUAUCCAACAAUGUAGGUCGCACCACCAACGUCAUCAACCUCAAAGGCGUGUCAGGAGUCACCACCUCCAACUCCAACCGUUUCAUCUGCUCGAUCAACUGCGGUGAGUAACAACGUACAUCGCUAAGUUUUCUGUCGAUUUCUGACUUAGUGCAUCGGCCACCACGUUAGCCUUGCCCGGGUGGUAAAGAAUCGUCAGAUCAUAAUCCUUGAGCAGCUCCAACCAUCUGCACUGUCUCAGGUUCAACUCUUUCUGAGUGAAUAACUACUUCAAACUCUUGUGGUCCGUGUACACUUCACACCGCUCACCGUAAAGAUAGUGACGCCAUAACUUCAAUGCGAAGACUACGGCCGCCAACUCCAAAUCAUGCGUCGGGUAGUUCUUUUCAUAUUUCUUUAGUUGGCGCGAAGCAUACGCGAUCACUUUGCCAUCCUGCAUCAACACACAACCCAAUCCAUUAAGUGAAGCAUCACUAUAAACCACAUACCCUGCUCCAGCCAUCGGCAGGGUUAGGAUCGGGGCGGUCGUCAAUCUUUGCUUCAACUUUUGGAAGCUUCUCUCGCAUGCAUCAUUCCAAAUAAACUUAACGCCUUUAUGCGUGAGCCUCGUGAGGGGAGUAGAUAACUUAGCAAACCCCUCGACAAAUCUCCGGUAGUAACCGGCCAAUCCAAGGAAACUCCGAAUCUUCGUGACGCUCGUCGGUCUCGGCCAAUCCCUGAUAGCCUCAAUCUUCUUGAGAUCCACCGCAAUACCUGAUCCCGAAAUCAGAUGCCCAAGGAAAGCUACCUCUCGAAGCCAAAAUUCACAUUUCUUCAACUUGGCAUAAAGCUCCUUUUCCCGAAGUUCUUGAAGUACAAGCCUCAAAUGCUCCUCGUGGUCUGCAUCACUUUGGGAAUAAAUCAAGAUGUCGUCGAUAAACACCACGACGAACCUGUCUAAAUAUGGCUUAAAAACACGGUUCAUUAGAUCUAUAAAAGCUGCCGGGGCAUUAGUAAGCCCAAACGGCAUAACAGUGAACUCAUAGUGUCCAUACCGUGUUCUAAAAGCCGUCUUCGAAACAUCCUCGGGUUUGAUCUUUAACUGGUGGUACCCCGACUGCAAAUCGAUCUUAGAAUACACACACGAUCCCUGAAGCUGAUCAAACAAGUCGUCAAUCCUCGGCAACGGAUACUUGUUCUUGAUCAUGACUUUAUUAAGUUCACGAUAGUCCACACAUAGGCGUAGCGAUCCGUCUUUUUUCUUGACGAACAAAACUGGCGCUCCUCAAGGCGAGACGCUCGGUCGAAUAAAGCCUUUAUCCAGAAGAUCCUGUAGCUGUGCCCUCAGCUCCUUCAGCUCCGCCGGUGCCAUCCUAUAGGGUGCCUUUGAGAUUGGGGUAGUCCCGGGAACGAGGUCUACCACAAACUCAAUCUCCCUAUCGGGUGGCAUGCCCGGUAGCUCAGCUGGAAACACGUCACAAAACUCCCGUACCAUCGAGAUAUCCUCGAUCCUAGGGGUGUCACCCUCGCCCCUCAACACAACACUAGCGAAGUAGGCUACACAACCUCUGCUGAUUAGCUGCCUAGCUUGAGACGAGCUGAUCGUCAUCGCAAAAAGCGAAUUCUGGCAUCCUCUAAAUAUCACCUCAACUUGUCCCGGUUCUCUAAAAGUAACCGUGCGAUUCUUGCAAUCGAUCGUGGCAUAGUACUUGGUUAGCCAAUCCAUGCCUAAGACCACAUCAAAUUCCCCCAGCUUGCGCAAGGCUAACAAGUCCACAGGCAUAACCCAAUCUCCUAUCCGAAUAGGGCAACUGGGGAAAUACUCUCUAAUAUCCAAAGAGUGGUCGGGGACAACUACACGUCCCGGAUGCAACAAGGAAAGCAUAGGGAUGCCAUGCAAUUCGGUAAACAGCCGAUAUAUGAAUGAAUGUGAUGCACCAGUAUCAAAUAAUGCACGAACUUUAAUGCCAUCAAGUAAAAUGAUACCUGCGACCACAUCCUCGGCUGCUGCCGCCUCCUCGGUCUGAGCGGCAUACAUGCGCCCGCUCGGGGCCUGUCGAAAAUCCUCGCUCUGCCGCUGGACGGAGGGCCGUCCAGGCUGGUACUGCGCCGAUGGAGUCCCGUGGCUGGCGGCUUGUAGAACUGGUGCCGAUGCAGUCGACGGUGCCGGUGAAGAACCCCUCGGGCACUCAGUCCGCACGUGGCCCUCCUGGCCACACUGGAAGCACCUGCCCGCCCGCUGUGGACACUGCGGUGGGUGAUGAGGACUACCACAGAUCACACACGGGAAGGGCCGGCGUCGGUCAGAUCCUCCUCGCUGCGCUGCUGAGCCGCGUCCACGCUGCUGGCUCUUAGGAUGCUUCGGCGGCCUCCUAGAGUGCGUCUGGCUCGCACCCUCAGCCGCAGGCCUCUUGGCCUUGCCUUUGUCCAUGGCCUCAUACCGCUCCUGUACCUCUGCCGUGCUGCUCUCCACGAUGAGUGUGCGAUCCACCACCUCCCGGUAGGUUUGGAGGUUAGAAGAUUGCACGAAUCGGUAGAUCGAAGGUCGCAAUCCUCGGUCAAAGAUACGGCCUUGUCCUCGUCGUCCCGCACUACAAAGGGCACGCAGUGCAAAAGCCGAGAGAACUCCCUCUCGUACUCGGCUAUGGUCCGAUCACCUUGGCGCAAGUUGCGCAAGUCCUGCUCCAUCUUCCGCUUGACACUAGUCGGGAAGUAGUGCGCCAACAGAAGCUCCUUGAACUUCUUCCAUGUAAUAGCCACCAAGUCGGUGCUGGGGUUCUCGUGAAGAUCCAACCACCAGCGACAGGCCUCGCCGUCCAGAUGGUGAGUGGCGAGCCAAACUCGAUCUCUCUCCUCCACGAAGGUGUUGCGGAAGAGUUUCUCUAUAUGCAUCAACCAAUUUUCCACGAUCCAGUGGUCGACCUUCUCGCCGUCAAAGAUCCGGGGACCGCACCUCCUGAACUCGUUGAGGCGUUCCAUCAGUCGGUCCCGCUCUGCCCCCUUUACCAUCACGGGGAAAACAGCUCCAAUCGGGGGUGCCUGAACAGGUGGCGCCGCCAAAGCCUCCUCCUGAGGCGCGGCCACGGGCGCCGCACGCGACGAACUGGGCGCAGGAGACGGCGCUCUCGGCGCGACGUCCACAACUGGUGCUGGCGGUGUAGGGACCUGGGUCUCUCUGAAAGCUGCCGCCUGCUGCAGAUGAAGGUCCUCCAGGCGCUUCAUUCGCGCCUCUUGUCGGCGCGCCGCAUCGGCCUCCUGUUGGGCCGCCGCCGCCUACUGAGCCACGAGAUCAGUAAGAGUAGCAAGCUGGCUCCUCAACUCACGGACCUCGCCGGCUCCGGAGGUAGCGGAGGUCUCGACCUCCUCCAAGUUUGCCGCAUUAUCCGCUCCAGCAGAUUGAGAGCGUGUGAUCGGCAUCGCCACUACAACAUCAUAAGCGCACAAGUUAGUAAAACUCACGCUAUCGCAUCCCCGCUCAAAUAGACAAUACCCAAAUCAUGCGAAAGUAAGGAAGUGUUCUUCACCACUAACUCUCGAUGUUACGUUGUCGGCCGCCAACGUAACCCUCCGCGAAGUUAGAAGCUAUACACUUCAAUUUAACUCCACUUUCUAGAGUUAUCAAAGAUACCCAAUCAAAAUACUUUCGCUUGCAAGUCGAAUAGACCUUGUCUCUCACGAGCCUAUUUCCUAUAGUCCAACCGGCCUAAGGUUUGCUAGUAUUUCCUAUAGUCCAACCGGCCUAAGGUUUGCUAGGUCCACUAAGACUCAACCCUAGGCUCUGAUACCAAUUUAGUCUGUCACGCCCCGGGGCCCAGCGGAAGCCCGCCCGGCGCGUGUCCAGACCCGCCAUACGUCUAAAACAUAUAAGGCGUCUAAAACAAAACGAUAAAUAAGACACUAAAAGAAAACAUCUAGAAGUAUCAGAGCAAUAUACAUCAUCUAGAGACUAAAGCCAUGUGAAGAGUAGAGAGCUAAAAUCACUAAUAAACCAUAAAGUAGUACAACCAAAGAUCCAAAAUACAAAUACUAAAAGAGUACAUAUGUAAUAUACCGAAAAUUUGAAAAAUGAAUGUCGAACUUUAGUCAAAUUGACCAAAAUGCGAGGACGGUACACUUCGGAAAGUCCGAAGGUGUUAAAAUGAGUAAAAGUGCGUUGUGGAAAGUUUUCGAGAGCUAAGGAAUCAAAAACCUGCAAACUGCAGUUUUUGAGCUCUCGGGGACCGGUCCCUGGUGGGAGAGACCGGUCCCCGAAACGCGCAAGAAUUGAGAAAAGCUGAAAAUCGGCUAAGUCCCUGAGAACCAGCUCUCGGGAACCGGUCCAUCCCUGAGAGACCGGUCCCCUCAAAGAGAGCCCGGUCGCAUCGCGCGCAGCAGCUCUGGCUGCGCUGGGACAAGCUUCGGGAACCGGUCCCUGAUGGAGAGACCAGUCCCCGCCUGCGUGAACUGCCCAGUCCAGGCAGUGUGAAAGAGUAAAAGUUGAGGGGUUUAUUUGCAUUUUGGUAACCCAAUGAGUUAUGUAUGAGGGUAAAUGAGAUAUUUCUCUGAUUUUACGCCCCCUCACACUCUCUCCUCUCUUUCUCUCUCUAGAAGACAAAGAAGGAGAAGAAGAAGACAAGGAAAGGAAGGAAAAGAAGAGGAAGAAAGUGAAGAAGAAGACAAGGAGAAGAAGAAAACCUCUCCUCUCCUUCUCUAGCUUGGAAAAGGAGCAAGCUUAGAGGUAAGCUUUGCCCCUUCUCAUGCUAAAUUCCAAACUAGGGUUUGGAUUAGGCCAAGAAUGGUUUUAAUGGAGUAUUUAGAGUCUUUGAAGCUUUCUUUUGCUUCUUUUGAGAUCAAAACCAUGGUUUGGUAUAGAGGUGAAGCUUGAAGGUGAGCUUCAACACCUCUCAUGGUGAAACCCAAAUUAGGGUUUUGAUUGAGCUAGUAAUGGUUAGAAUGGACUUUUUAGAGUACCAUGAAGCUUCUUUUACUUCCCAAUGAGAUCAAACCCUAGGUUUGAUGUAUGCAAUGGAGCUAGGGCACCCAAAUUGGGGCUUUUUCUUAUGGGGGUUUCUAAGAGAAAUUGACCCUCUAGAAACCUAAUUGGGGGUAUUUUCGACACGUUGGUGCGAUCGGAUUAGCAUUACGAAAAGCCAAUUUAAAGUUAUGGGCAAAAUGACCUAAGUUGGCUUCGUUUUGCCGCAGGUAAAGAACGAGAGGCCUAAAAAUUCCAAGAAAAUCAUCGGAGCACCUUUGAGAACCUACGAAGUGGGUGGUGCUUCUCAAACUCGUUGAACUUCCCUCUAUGCCUAAUGUGUCAUUCAAUUGAGCAUAUGUUUAUACAUUGUUGCAUGCAUUUUAGGGUAAAGUGAUGAGAAAAAUGUAAUGUUGCAUGAUUGUGAGCACAACUUGCAUAAUGAGAUGGUUGAGAACCUUAUGAAUGUCAAAAACCCUAUAUGUAUGCAUGAGAGAAAAUGUGAGCACCAAAGUGAGGCUAGAGAACAGAGUGACACUAUGACAUAGGUCGAGUGGCAUUUGAUAAUGUAAAGUAAAGUGACACUAGAGGUAGUGUAAGCCAAAGAAUCAAUGUGAUGUAAAGAAUAAUGUUAAUGACUAUAGUGAAAACGAAGUGAAAUGUAAAGAACAUGAUUGCUAGAGAUAGCAAAAGUAAUGAAAGGCAAAGAACCGUGAUUGCUAGAGUAGCAACAUAAUGUGAUGUAAAGAACACUAGAGUUAGUGUAAGGUCAAGAUUGAACAUACAAUCCUUUGAGUUAAGGAUUCGAUCAUACUUGCUAUGAGUUCCGUGCUCGAGGGCGGUCGCUCCCCCUCGGGCAAUGCGCUCCGGAGUUUUUGCAUCACGGGUUGGAGUAAACCCAAAGGACGGUCUUAGCGGGAGGAAGCUGAGGGCCCGCGAUGAUGGACUUAAUGUGAAGCAAGUUAAUGUGGUGAAACCCCCGGGUUAGCCUUGAGAUUAAAGAACAAAGAUUAAAGAACAAAGAACAAAGAUAAAGUGUAAAGUGUAAAGAACAAAAGAACUUGCAUAAUCUGCAUAUGUUUAAUGUUGAGCAUACUUCCUGCUUUUUGUUCAGACAUAUUAGCAUCAUAUUAUAGUUUGGUUACUAUAUGUAGUUUUUCUUUCUAUUAUGCCUGAGUUAGUCCUAGUGGGAAAGUCGGUGAAGUUGAGGCCGAACCUACUGGGAACUUUGUUGUAGUUCUCACCCCCUCUUUUUUCACAGAGCCGGGACCGAGCGAGCCGGCGGGCGACCGAGGUAAAGGUAUCGCACCUUAGACAGAGGCCACCAGAGUUGGGUUCACAUUUUGUAGUAAAGUACCCUAUGAUCAUCUUUUGUACUUGAUGAUAAAUGAUGUAAAGAAAAGAAUGUAAUGUGUAUUUUGAGGUAAAUGUGAUGUAAGAAAGAAUUGAUGAAGUGAAAUGUAAGGAAUUCGAAAAUGUACAAGAUGAAUGCAAUGUAUAUGAUUGAAAAUGAAUCAUAGUACAGUGAAUGUUUAGUUUCCUUUUCUCUCACUCGUGGCUAUUGAUUACCCUCGUGUAAGCCGUAUUUGUAUGUUUCCGCUAGUGCACUUCUUGUUUGAAAAUGUACAUGUGAUGAGCCUUGGGCGGACAGGAGAAACUCUGUCCGUUCGGUAUCUGUUUGACGUGCUCGGGCCGGCCCAAAUUGGUAUCGGUCCCGGGGCGUGACAACAUAGGUGGUCUCUAUACAUGGUAAACAAAAUCUCUCUCUCUCUCUAAUACAAUAAAAGAAGAGUAAACCACCUGAGCUCAAAGGAAGUUCCCCGCUAACUAGCUAUGCGACUCUCUUGCCGCGAUCCCGUGCCUCCGCCGGUGCCGAAGGCUCUGAAAUAAAAAUCAUAAAACAGAGGGCGUGAGAACUAUUAAAUAAUAGUUCCCAGUGGGCAAUUACUGACUUCAGUGAAAUGCGCCACUAGGCCCAAAAGCUACAAAAAAGAGGGGUCAGUGUAUAUGUGACGCACUGGACCUUUACAAAUUGCAAGGUUCGAGUGUUUGUUUCGUGUUGUGAGCUUUUCCACACUUCGUGGAGGGUUGUUGGUAGUGUUUCGACCCAUGGUUCGAACCUCGAGAUUGGAGGUUUAAAAUCUAGCACCAAAAUCUGAAAAGUCGGAAUUUUGGUCAGCUCUCGGGUAGCCUCAGCAGGGCUGUGUACCGGUACGGGGCUGAUGGCUGUACCGGUACGCGCUGAUAGCUGUAUCGGUACGGGGCUGGUGUACCGGUACACAGACUGAUUUCGUGCAAACACGAGGCUCGGGUUUGGCUGUUUCGCAGGCGUUGUACCGGUACGCGAGCCCGUGUACCUGUACACAGUGCAGCGCGAGCAGUUUUCGUGGAGGGUUGUUUUUGCAAUUGUUGCAACCUCUAUAAAAGUCAACCCCAGCCCCCAUGGCUGCUCUUUGAGCCUCAGACCAGUGGACGAUAAGUGAGGCUCUUCCCCCCUCUGUCUUUUUUCAUUUUGAGGAUUUGAUGCUAGUUUGAUCUGUUCUUUCUUCUUCUCUUGAUUUGUUGUCAACACCCUCUAGGACCAUUGAGAAGCUUGGAUGAGUUGAAUUCCCGGGAGCUUGAGAUUGAGGAAUCAAGGCUUCAACCCUUGGGAGCGUUAGCACUUUGGUUUAUUGGAGCUUUCUUAAGAGAGGCUAUUUACGUAACAGUAUUUCCUUUUGAAUAUCGUGUCUUUGAUGGAUUUCCUAGAGAAAACCUAGAUCUUUGGAUUUCCUACGGGUUAGAAUUUAGGGAUUUUGAUUUGUAAGCUUCUGGAACCAAAUUAAUUGCUAGAACUUUGUCUCAGGUUGGAAUAGAAGCCUCUAACUCCCUUAUUGGAGUCGCUCGAGAGUAUUUUCUUAGCUUUCAGUGAGUUUCUUACACCUUUGAUGUGUGUAGUUUACAUGUCGAGCAAUGGUUGUUCGUAAACGUUUUGUAUACUCUCCUUUUCUAUAACUUUAGGUACAGGAAGUGUGGACCACUCGUCGGAGCAACACGAAGGGUUUCGAUUAGCUUCGGUGGUUUGGCUUCUUUGAUAUAGGGGAAAUGCCUCUAUGUGAUUAAAUUGUUUCGUUACUAAAAUGCAUCGCAAAUUCAUGGAAGAGGUAGAAUAUUAUAAUGAAUUUUGGAAUGCUAAAACACAAUGCAUUAUGUAUUCCUAAUGAAACUUACUCUAUGAAUAGUAGAGCCUUAUGAGUAAGUAUGGCACUGACACAAGUGCUAUACGUAUUCCUCCUAUUACUUGGAAAUGUCUCUGUGUGGAAAAUGACUCAAAUGUAUGUACUCUUUGAAGCAUAGAAUGGCCAGAUGCUCACGCCAGUGCUAUGACUUAGUGAACAAAAGUGCAUAAAGGAGACGACUUGAACUAUAAAAUGUUUGAACUGCAACUUGGAGACAUAGGAUAGGCCACCUAGACAUCUGCUAUAUCCAGUAUUUAGAGCUGAUGACAUAGACGAUAAGCACAUUGAGAACGAGCACGUUACAUUAUAUUCCAUGAAUUUUAGACAAAGAUCGCAAUUAGGAGACAGGAUCCCUUGAGAUCAAUUACUAUAUUCCAUUUUAGACAGUGAUAGAAAGAAGUAUUCGUGACAUAUGAGAAUAGGCCAUUGAGAUUAGUUCUACUAUAUUUUCGCUGUAUUUAGACACGAUGACAUAAGACGGCAUGGCCUUUGGGACAAUGUGACGUAUUCAGGCGUUUAGAUCCGAAUGAAAUUCAGUAUGAGCCACUGGAACGCUGCGACGAACUUAUUCGCUUGCAUGCCAUUGUGCUCAUUCGCACAUACUUGUGAGGGUCGCUCCCCACAAGUCGGCACUCCGGAGAUAGCCAUCGCGACACAUGCUCCCCCGUGCGGGAUUGGACGCCAAAAUGGGAUACCGUGGGGGAGGCUCAUUCCUAGAGUGGGUAUGUUGACUACCACGGGGCCAUUGUUGGCACGGCGCAGGCCGGACUACCUACGGGUAGCUUCCGCAGGAUUGGGUUACUAGUGACAUACUACGCCAUUUGGACAUUGACUAGAAUAGUAAAUAUUGACACAUUACCAUUCUAGCUUGUGGUUAUUAUUUUCGGCUCAUACUUGUGCAAUUAUGCCAUGAUAGUUUAUUACUUAUGCAAAUUCAUGCUAAGUAGAGAUCAUGUGGUAGUUUAUUACUUAUGCAAAUUCAUGCUAAGUAGAGAUCAUGUAGUAGGUUAUUACUUAUGCAAAUUCAUGCUAAGUAGAGAUCAUGUGGUGGAUUAGGGUGUGUUCUAAUGCAGAAUGGUAGAGUAAUUGCUUAUGCAUCUCGUCAAUUGGAAGAUUAUGAAAAGAACUACCCUACACACGAUUUGGAGUUAGCAGCUGUGGUAUUUGCUUUAAAGCUUUGGCGCCACUACCUCUACGGCGAGCGUUGCGAAGUUUAUACAGAUCAUAAAAGCUUAAAGUAUCUGUUUACACAGAAGGAAUUAAACUUGAGGCAACGUAGAUGGUUGGAGUUACUCAAGGAUUAUGAUUUGACCAUCCUCUAUCAUCCUGGAAAAGCUAAUGUCGUAGCAGAUGCUUUAAGUCGAAAAUCGACGGAAAAUUUGGCGAUGUCGAUAACAAUGCAACCACUGUUGGUAAAGGAAAUGGAGCAAUUGAAUUUGGAAGUGGUAGCUCCUGAUACACUUUGGAGACUUAUGUCAUUAGUGGUGCAACCUACCCUGAUCAAUCGAAUUAAGGAAAAGCAAACUCAAGAUGAAUUCCUGCAGAAGAUUCGGGAUAAGAUCACUGUUGAUCAUGAUAGUGAUUUUCGAGUAGAUGAUCAAGGACUAUUAAAAUUCGGUGAUAGGCUUUGUAUACCGGCAGAUUCUGGUAUUAAAGAAGAGAUUCUAGCAGAAGCACAUCGGGCGCCGUAUACUGUGCACCCUGGAAGUACAAAAAUGUAUAAGGAUUUGAAGUUAACUUACUGGUGGCCUGGAAUGAAAAAGGACGUUGCGAACUUCGUGGCUAAGUGCUUAACUUGUCAGCAGGUUAAAGCUGAACAUCGACUUCCUGCGGGGAAACUUCAGAGCUUACCCUUACCAGUGUGGAAGUAGGAGAGGAUCACUAUGGAUUUCAUCGUUGGAUUACCUCGCUCACAGGCAGGUCACGAUGCCAUUUGGGUAAUUGUAGACAGAUUGACCAAAUCUGCCCACUUUAUUCCAAUCCACACAACUUGGUCAGGAGAGAAAAUCGCACAAUUGUACCUUGAUGAAGUUGUGCGAUUACACGAAGUGCCUGUUUCCAUUGUUUCAGAUCGAGAUACCUGCUUUAUUUCACAUUUUUGGAGGAGCUUACAGGAGGCUAUGGGUACCCGACUGGAUUUUAGUACUGCUUUCCACCCCCAGAGUGAUGGGCAGUCUGAGCGUACCAUCCAGACCCUUGAAGAUAUGUUGCGAGCCUGUGUAAUUGACUACCAGGGCAGUUGGCCACAGUUUCUACCGAUGGCUGAAUUUGCUUAUAACAAUAGUUAUCAAGCAAGCAUUCAGAUGGCACCUUUUGAAGCCCUUUAUGGUAGAAAGUGCAGAUCACCACUUCAUUGGAGCGAAGUGGGAGAAAGACUAGUUUUGGGUCCAGAUGUACUGCAAGAAGCUGAAGCUAAAGUUCGACUGGCACGUGAACGUCUACUGACAGCACAAAGUCGACAAAAGAGCUAUGCGGAUAAGCGUCGGCGAGAACUGGCAUUCCAAGUUGGCGAUCAUGUAUUUCUAAAGGUUUUCCCGACAAAAGGAGUUAAAAGAUUUGGUAUUCGAGGAAAGUUGAGUCCUCGAUNNNNNNNNNNNNNNNNNNNNNNNNNNNNNNNNNNNNNNNNNNNNNNNNNNNNNNNNNNNNNNNNNNNNNNNNNNNNNNNNNNNNNNNNNNNNNNNNNNNNGUGGAAUGUAAAAUGUAAUAGCUGAGAUGAAUGCUUGUAAUAGCAAGUAGAUUUAUGUUUUUGAUACUUCCUUAUGCAAUCUUUGGUUGAAAUGUGUUCCUAGUUGGAACUUCGUACAUUGUAUUGAUUGCGACGCCUUGAACGUACAGGGGAGACUCUGUCCACGGUACAGGAGAAACCCUGUCCGUUCGGCGGUCUGUUAGCGUGCCGAAUCCGACCAAAGAGGCGGGCUCGCGGCGUGACAAAUAUACUCUAAAUAGUCCAUUAGAACCAUUCCUAACUCAUUCCAAACCCUAGUUUGGAUUCUACCAUGAGAGGGGAUGAAGCUCUCCUUCAAGCUUCACCUCCAACACUAAACCUAUGGUCUUGAUCUCAAAUGAAGCAAAAGAAAAGCUUCAAAAACUCAAAAUGCUCUAUAAAAAUCAUUUCUAGGUCACAUAGCCCCCAUUUACAGUUUUAGCAUGAUUAGGGUUCAAAGCUUACCUUGUAAGCUUUCUCUUUCCAAGCUAGAGAUGAGGGAGAGGGAGUUUCUUCACUUCCUCUUCUUCUUCUCCACUUUCUUCCUCUUCUUUUCCUUCUUUUCCUUCUUUUUUUCUUCUUUGCCUUCUAGAGAGAGAGAGGGAGAGGGAUGAGUUUGGGUGUGAGGGAAUGAGAGGGAGAGGCUCUCUCAGCCCUAAACAUGACCCACAGAAUGCAUUUUUGCAGAUAAGUCCCUCAGCUUUCAUCUCAUUACACUGCCCGAACUGGGCAGUUCGCGCAGCCGGGGACCGGUCUCUCCUUCAGGGACCGGUUCCCGAAGGUCGUCCCAGCAUAGCCAGAGCUGCUGCACGCGAUGCAUUCGGUCUCUCCUUGGGGGACCGGUCUCUCGGGGACCGGUAUCUCAGGCAGGGACCGGUUCCCGAGAGCUGCCUUCCCAGGACUUAGCCGAUUUUUCGGUUGUCUCACUUCAUAAGCGUUCGGGGACCGGUCUCUCCCUCCAGGGACCGGUCCCCGAGAGCUCAAAACUGCAGAAUGCAGAUUUUGAUUCUAUAGCUCUCAAAAACCUCCCAUAACUCGCUUUUAAUCACUUUAACACCUUCGGACUUUCCGAAGUGUACCGUCCUUGCACUUUGGUCAAUUUGACUAAAGUUGGACAUCUUUAUUUUCCGAAUUUUCGGUAUAUUACAAACUUCGUUGUAGUUCUCACACCACUAACCCUACAGGUCCUGGCACGAGCGGGGCGGCGGAGGACCGAAGCAAGGGUUUGGCGCCGUAGGUAGCGGCCACCGGGACUUUAUACAUUUUGUAGCCAUUCCUUUUUGAUAUACUUGUAUCAACUUUAUUCUCUUGAUUUAGAGAUGCAAAGUGUAAACAAUCAUGUAUUUGGUGGAUGACUAAAUGUAAAAAGAUAUGAUGCAAAAAUGUAAUAGUUUUACUUGAAUUUGGUUUAAAUAUAAUCAAAUAUCAUGUAUGUUGCUUAAUUAGCUUAGAGCUUUCGCCUCCGUUGUUGCUUGCCCUCGUGCAAGCCUUGUAUUAUAUAUGCAAAUCUCUUGUUGAUUGCCUAUUUAUACAUGUUGUUAGAGCCUUGGGUGGACAGGGGAGGCUCUGUCCGUUCGGCGUCUAUUGACGUGACCCGAACCCGACCAAAUUGGCGGGGAUUGGGGCGUGACAGAUAUAAUGGUAUCAGAGCGAAGCGGAAAGCAAAAGUCUAGGGAUGACCUAGAAACCCUAGGAAAUUGGAGACCUUAGGAGUUUAGGAAACGUUUAACGUGGACUUGGUUUAUGCGAAAGCGAAUAAUUGGGUCAGGGUCAACUUCCUGGAGAAGUAGAGAUUGGACUAGGGGCUUAAUUGCUUGUCGUAACUUAACAGGACCUUGUUGACGGCAGCUCGGACCACAUAACACGAAAGUGAAAAUAAUUAGCUUUGUGCUUUUCGCUUAAUUGUGGGUUAGCUACUUUGAACGUGUAAUCAGUCACGUGUGUCGAGUGCUCCAGAAGAUAUGUGCAUUGCGUUGCAGACGCUGAUGGCACCACCAAGGAGAGUUACGAGGGUCCACCGGCGGAGCUCGGAGGAGGCCCGCGCAGUCGGUCGUACGAAGUAUGCGAGUUGCGAGCUCCAUGGUAGCGCUUUGGCAACGGGCUAUGCGAAAACUCAAUGGAGCAGAAUUGACAGCUCCCAGAGAUGAUGGCACACCAGGCCGCGGGCAGCAUUAGUGCCGUAGGUAGAACUGCAUGGGUAGCGGCUAGCGCAAGCGCCAGUGACGGCUGACCUCUGGCAGCAUCGGGUUCAGUCGGUUCCUAUUUCCAAUGUGCUUGAGGCCGGAGCGAGGCGUACGUAGCGGUGCUAACGGCAUUCAAGCGUUUCAGACCCUCGACCUUCAACCGCGGAGUCUGGAUGUGAAGGAUCCGUGGGUGACGGAAUUGGUUGGCCGCGGUGAUGAGACUAUCGAGGAUAUCUCAUACCUCGAGAAAGGGAUAACAGUUCAUCCUGGCGGCUCAUUUUUUGGAUGGUCGGCUAGUUGUGGUGAAUCAACGAAGAAGAACCCGCUGGGCAGACUUCACUAUGGAAGGCGGUUUUCGGAGAUGCUUGCUUAUUGAGUAGUUCCACGAAGUGACAGAAAGACAAAAAUCAAGGUGGAUUUUCGAAAACUAAGCAGAGGAAGCAGAAUGGUGGGGAGUUACGAAAGGAAUUUACGCACAUAUUAACUGCAUGCGGACUUGUUCACGGCGAUAGGGGAAUGACGCUAGGUGUUUGAGCGCGUUGGACCCGAGAUUUUCGAAGUCAAUUCAUGCAUUCUCGUGAAGACCUGUGAGGAGUUUGACCCGCGCCUGGGUGUGAGGCGGAAAUGCAGUGCGCUGACGAACUUGAGGCAUUUGAGCAAGGAUAAGGAGGAGAAGACUAAUGAACGAUCCUGCUGUGAUCGGCGGUCGAGUCGAGUUCUAAGCGAACCAUCGGACCUCAGCGGGAUCACCAGUGGCUGGGGCAGUAUGUCACGCCAACAGAUCCCCCCAAUUUUGGUCGGUCGGGUCGCACCAAGCGACGCCGAACGGAAACCACCCCUGUCCGCCUAAGGAUCUAUCAACAUGUAGAUAAGAUAGCAAGUCAAAGAGAAUUGCAUAUGUAAUACAAGUUUGCACGAGGGCAAGCCAAAACGAAAGCAAAAAGCUUAAAGUUAAUUAGCAAUCAUACAUGAUAUUUGAGUUACAUUAAUCAAAUCAAGAUAAACCAAUUAUUAAUUCACAUCUAUUCAACCAUUAAUCUUUUACAAUUUGUCAUCCACCAAAUACGAUGAUUGUUUACCCUUUUACAUCGCCUAAGAUCAACAGAAUAAGGUUGAUUACAUGUGUAUCAAAGGGAAUGACAUAAAUGCAUAAAUCCGUGCGCUACCUACUGGCCAAACCCUUGCUCGGUCCUCGCCGCCGCUUGCUAGGACCUGUAGGGUUAGUGGUGUGAGAACUAAACAAAGUUCCCAGUGGGCUCGGCAUCCGACCUCGCCGGCUUACCCACUAGGUCCAUCCAGGCAUAAGUAUUACAAAGGAAAGAGAAGUAACCAAUACUAGUGCAGCUAAUACCAUGCCUGCAAAAGAAUGUCAGUGGAUACAUAUACUCGAUGCAAUAAUAGAAAAUGCAUGCAUGCUCAAAUCACGAAGAAGCUUUGGCUCGUACCCAAUCUUACCGGUUAACGUUGUUAACCCCAAUAAUUCACCACUCAAAAUCCCUUAAUAACGGGGGACUCGAACCACCCUAGGGACCGUCAAUUGGUGGGACUUUACCACGCCCAGUGGUGACCAACUCCGGAGCGCACCGCUCGAGGGGGAACGACCUCCCUCAAGCCAAGACGAAAUGUGAGUAACGAUCUAAUCCUCAACUUGAGGAUUCAUAGCCACUAGUCACAAUACCAAUGUCACGAUAGGUCUCUACCUAUUCAUUCUUGCCACUCUCAAGGCUUUACCUUUGACGAUGUCAUAAUUGGUUAAACUAAGUUUAACAGUUCAUCUCUCAAUGCAAUUCUUAUUAACAAUAGCUUAGGAUUAUCUAAGAAGCAUCCUAGCAAGAUUCCUAGACCCUUGGAACCAACCCUAGGGCUUCUAUGACAAACCCUACCCAACCACCAUGAGAGCACUUGAGCUCUCAUGGGUUCCAUAGAGUUCAAAGCAUAUAGAAGGUUCCCAUGGCCAAAAACAACCCAAAGCUCCAAAACAUAGGGAUUAAAACCAAGCCCUAGACUUAUUUCUACCAAAAACUCACCUUAGCCCAAGCCCCUCCAAGUCCUUCUUGUAGGAGAGCUUGUAGAACCCACCAAAGCCUCCAAAUCCACCUUACCUUGCUUCUUCUUCUUCUUCUUCUCCAAGCCCUAGAGCAAGAGUUCUAGAGAGAGAAAGAGAGGAAAUAGGAGAGAAGGGUGAAAAUGGCUGUGGGAGAGAGAGGGGUGUCCACAUAUAGUGUUGUGACAAUUGCAUUUAAGUCCCUCAACUUGUUUCCCCUUGAUCUGCCCAGACUGGGCGUUUUUCGCCUUCGGGGACCGGUCUCCCCGACCAGGGACCGGUUCCCGAACGGGGGUUUUCCAGGACUUAGCCAAAUUUUCGAGUUUUUCAGCUGUUGCGCAGUGAGGGACCGGUCUGCCCGUCAGGGACCGGUCUCCCGAGGACCGGUCUCACCACCAGGGACCGGAUGCCUCAGGACUUCCUGGCAGGCUAGCGCACGGGGACCGGUCUCUCCUUCAGGGACCGGUCCCCGAGAGCUCAAAAUCUGGGACUUAGCUAGAUUUUCAGAUUUGCUCUCCGGGUCCCUUUUUGCUCUGUUUAUGAACUCUAAUGUGCUUAGGGUCCUUUCUAACUCGUUCAAUUCCGCGUUCCGCUGGUUUUGACGGAACUCGGCACGAUUUACGAGCGAUGUGGUAUGUUACAAGGUAGGAGUCAGACACAGGGCCAGAUUACCUUCCCGUGCGUGAUAUGCGACGGAGAGCAUAGAGCCACCAUUUGCCCGCAGUGGGAGGGGCGGUGUUACCGAUGUGGCCAACCGGGACACAUGAGCCAAGAGUGCCCGGGCGGCGCAUCCCCAGCUCCGUCAUCAGCUUCAAUUCAGUACACUCAGCGACAGCUGGCGGGACUGCCACCCGCGACAUCUGCUCGACGAUCGUCGGCACCUCGUCAGCCGGAGGCCUCUCGAGCACCUAGUGGGCGCGUAUUUGCCACUCAGGUGGAGAAGCCACCAAUCAUUGUUCCUGACGACGUCGUGGCAGGUAUUAUUCUGAUCAAAGGCACUAGGGCUAGAGCCAUAUUUGACACGGGUGCAUCUCAUUCAUUCAUAUUAGCAUCAUUUGCACAAGCUCAUAAUAUAGAGAUCACUCAUAAUGAGGAGUAUUGGUCGGUGAACACUCCCGGACACUCGAUCGACGUUUACGAUGAGUGCUUGGACUGCCCAGUGCAAAUAGGCGAUUGGAUUAUGCCGAUCGACCUUCUAGUGUUGAAAGAAAUGUGGGGAUUCGAGGUAAUCUUGGGGAUCAAUUGGCUCUCCAAGUAUUACGCGGUUAUAGAUUGUGAAAGAAGGGUGAUCACGUUCCGUGAACCCAACCAAGAGGAGUUUGUCUACCGGGCGUGCAAGGGCAAACGCUUUGCAGCCACUAUAUCGACGGUGAGGGCGAAAAGGAUGAUCAAAGGCGGCUGUAAGGCCUACUUGGCGACCAUCGUAGACUCUCGAAAAGAGUACCCGGAAUUGGAGAGUAUUCGAGUUGUGCGGGAGUAUCCGGAUGUAUUCCCCGCGGAGUUACCGGGAUUGCCCCCGGAUCGGGAAGUCGAGUUUGUGAUUGACUUGAUUCCCGGGGCGGCGCCAAUUUCGAAGGCUCCGUACAGAAUGGCACCGGUGGAGUUGAAGGAAUUGAAAGCUCAGUUACAAGACUUGCUCGAUAAGGGCUUCGUACGGCCGAGCGUGUCCCCGUGGGGAGCUCCGGUGCUAUUUGUAAAGAAAAAGGACGGCACACUUCGACUCUGCGUUGAUUAUCGCGAGUUGAACAAAGUGACGAUCAAGAACAAAUACCCGUUGCCAAGGAUUGAUGACCUGUUCGAUCAGUUGCAAGGGUCAAGGGUAUACUCGAAGAUUGAUCUACAGUCGGGGUAUCAUCAGUUGAAGAUACGGCCCAAAGACGUGCACAAAACGGCGUACCGUACGCGGUAUGGCCAUUAUGAGUUCACGGUAAUGCCGUUUGGGCUUACUAAUGCCCCAGCAGCAUUCAUGGACUUGAUGAAUAGAGUCUUCCGUCCGCUAUUGGACCGGUGCGUCGUGGUAUUCAUUGACGACGUAUUGGUAUAUUCUCGGACCGAAGAAGAACACGAAGAGCAUUUAAGACUCGUGUUGGAGAUACUCCGGAAGGAAAAGCUUUACGCAAAAUUAAAGAAAUGCGAGUUUUGGCUUUCGGAGGUUACUUUCUUGGGCCACGUUGUGUCCGGAGAUGGCAUCUCGGUGGACCCAAAGAAAGUUGAGGCGAUUAAAGAUUGGCCUCGCCCGACGAGUGUAGCGGAAAUUCGUAGCUUCCUUGGACUUGCGGGCUAUUACCGGCGGUUCGUGGAGGGGUUUGCUAAAAUAACAACUCCACUAACGCGCCUUACGCACAAAGGGGUGAAGUAUGUUUGGAGCCCCGAGUGUGAGCGGAGCUUUGAAGAGCUAAAGACUAGAUUAACAUCUACUCCGGUGCUUGCUUUGCCGACGCCGGGAGAGAGCUAUGUCGUGUACAGUGAUGCCUCGUACGUGGGACUCGGGUGUGUCUUGAUGCAAAACGGCCGAGUCAUAGCUUAUGCUUCGCGCCAACUGAAGAAUUAUGAAAAGAACUACCCGACUCACGACCUUGAGCUAGCGGCGGUUAUAUUCGCGCUAAAAUUGUGGAGGCAUUACUUGUAUGGGGAACAUUGUGAGAUCUACACCGAUCAUAAGAGUCUCAAAUACUUGUUCACCCAAAAUGAGCUAAACUUGCGGCAGCGGCGGUGGUUAGAGUUGCUCAAGGAUUAUGAUGUCACGAUCCUCUACCACCUCGGGAAAGCAAACGUCGUGGCCGAUGCUCUAAGUAGAAAGUCGGCGGAAAAUUUGGCGGCGAAGGUUACGCCUCAACCGGCAUUGCAAAAGGAGAUGCAACGGUUUGGCCUAGAGGUUGUAGCACCGGGGGUGCCGGCAACACUUGCCACCCUGGUUGUACAGCCAACCCUGUUGGAGAAGAUUAAAGGAUUACAAGCGUCGGAUGAAUUUCUCCAAAAGGUGCGGAGUAAAGUUGAGAGGGGUAAUGCCGAUGAUUUCGGCAUUGGAACCGACGACACACUACGAUAUUGAGAUCGUUGGUGCGUAUCCAAGGACGACGACCUUCGGAAGGCGAUUAUACAAGAAGCGCAUCAAUCUCCCUACAGUAUACACCCGGGCGGCACCAAAAUGUAUCGAGACCUGAAAUUGCAUUAUUGGUGGCCGGGCAUGAAGAAGGAUAUAGGAGAGUUCGUAGCGCAGUGCCUCACGUGCCAACAAGUUAAGGCGGAACAUCGAUUUCCGGCGGGAAAGUUACAAAAUCUACCAAUACCCGUGUGGAAAUGGAAAAAUAUCGCAAUGGAUUUUGUGACGGGCUUGCCUAGAUCACAAGCUGGACACGACGCGAUUUGGGUAGUUGUGGACCGGUUGGCCAAAUCGGCACACUUUUUGCCGAUCCACACUACUUGGUCGGGAGACAAAUUGGCUCAAGUCUAUGUUGACGAGGUGGUGAGGCUUCACGGGGUUCCGGUAUCUAUUGUAUCGAAUCGGGACCCUAGGUUCACAUCUCAUUUUUGGAAGAGCUGGCAAGAUGCAUUGGGCACACGGCUCGAUUUUAGUACGGCAUUCUAUCCUCAAAGUGACGGUCAAUCGGAGAGGACAAUUCAAAUACUUGAGGACAUGCUUCGAGCGUGUGUGCUUGACUAUAAGGGCGGAUGGCAUGAUCAUUUACCGAUGGCGAAAUUCGCAUACAACAAUAGCUAUCAAGAAAGUAUUGUGAUGGCGUCAUUCGAGGCCCUUUACGGAAGGAAGUGUCGCUCGCCAAUACAUUGGAGCGAUGUGGGCGAGAAAAUGGUUCUUGGCCCCGACGUGGUGCGAGAGGCGGAGGAGAAAGUCCACCUUGCCCGACAAAGGUUGGUGACGGCGUAGUCACGGCACAAGAGUUAUGCCGGCAAGCGGCGAAAGGACAUUGAGUUCGCGGUAGGAGACCGCGUAUUUCUAAAGGUAUCGCCGAUGCGAGGAGUUAAGCGGUUCGGUGUUCGUGGGAAAUUAAGUCCCCGCUAUAUCGGACCCUUCGAGAUUUUGGAACGAGUUGGUACGGUGGCCUACAAGUUGGCAUUACCACCGAGACUCGUGGGAGUACAUGAUGUAUUCCAUGUAUCCCAACUCCGCAAGUAUGUGUACGAUCCAGAUCAUAUUCUCUCGUAUAUACCGAUGGAGCUUCAAGAGGAUAUGACAUAUGAGGAAUUCUCGGCGUAUAUUGCCGAUCGGGAGGUGCGAAAGCUUCAGAACCGCGAAAUCCCGUAUGUUAAAGUUCAUUGGUACGAACACGAUGACCGGGAAGAAACGUGGGAGCUCGAAAGCGAAAUGGGGGAGCGUUAUCCUCACCUCUUCGAGGAUCCGAAGUGAGGUAAGAAAUUAAAUUCCAAUCUUAGUAGUUUCGCGGACGAAACUAAAUUUUAGGGGUGGAGAAUGUAACAUACCACAUCCUCGUAAAUCGUAUCGAGUUCCGUCAAAAUGAGCGGAACGCGGAAUUGAACGAGUUAGAAUGGACCCUAAGUGCAUUAGAGUUCAUAAAUGGAGCUAAAAGGGACCCGAGAGAGCAAAUCUAAAAAUCUGGCUAUGUCCCAGAUUUUGAGCUCUCGGGGACCGGUCCCUGAAGGAGAGACCGGUCCCCGUACGCGUAGCCUGCCAGGAAGUCCUAAGGCAUCCGGUCCCUGGUGGUGACACCGGUCCUCGGGAGACCGGUCCCAGACGGGCAGACCGGUCCCUCGCUGCGCAACAGCUGAAAAACUCAAAAAUUUGGCUAAGUCCUGGAACACCCACGUUCGUGAACCGGUCCCUGGUCGGGGAGACCGGUCCCCGAAGGCGAAAAACUCCCAGUCUGGGCAGACCAAAGGGAAACAAGUGGAGGGGCUUAAAGGCAAUUGUUACAACACUAUAUAUGGACACCCCUCUCUCUCCCACAGCCAUUUCCACCCUUCUCACCCAUUUUCUCUCUUUCUCUCUCUAGAACUCUUGCUCUAGGGCUUGGAGAAGAAGAAGAAGAAGCAAGGAGGAGGUGGAUUUGGUGACUUUGGUGGGUUCUACAAGCUCUUCUACAAGAAGGACUUGGAGGAGCUUGGGGCUAAGGUGAGUUUUGGUACAAAUGAGUCUAGGGUUUGGAUUUUGGCUUAGAAAAUUGGAGCUUUGUGCUCCCUAGAGGCUUUAGAGGCUCUUUUGAGCCAUGUAUACCAUGGUACCCAUGAGAGCUCAAAGUGCUUUUAUGGUGAAUCCUUAGAAGUAGUGUUUGGACCCCUAGGGUUGGUACCAAAGGUCUAGAAACCUUACUAGAGUGCUUCUUAGAUGAUCCUAAGCUAUUGUUUGCUUANNNNNNNNNNNNNNNNNNNNNNNNNNNNNNNNNNNNNNNNNNNNNNNNNNNNNNNNNNNNNNNNNNNNNNNNNNNNNNNNNNNNNNNNNNNNNNNNNNNNNNNNNNNNNNNNNNNNNNNNNNNNNNNNNNNNNNNNNNNNNNNNNNNNNNNNNNNNNNNNNNNNNNNNNNNNNNNNNNNNNNNNNNNNNNNNNNNNNNNNNNNNNNNNNNNNNNNNNNNNNNNNNNNNNNNNNNNNNNNNNNNNNNNNNNNNNNNNNNNNNNNNNNNNNNNNNNNNNNNNNNNNNNNNNNNNNNNNNNNNNNNNNNNNNNNNNNNNNNNNNNNNNNNNNNNNNNNNNNNNNNNNNNNNNNNNNNNNNNNNNNNNNNNNNNNNNNNNNNNNNNNNNNNNNNNNNNNNNNNNNNNNNNNNNNNNNNNNNNNNNNNNNNNNNNNNNNNNNNNNNNNNNNNNNNNNNNNNNNNNNNNNNNNNNNNNNNNNNNNNNNNNNNNNNNNNNNNNNNNNNNNNNNNNNNNNNNNNNNNNNNNNNNNNNNNNNNNNNNNNNNNNNNNNNNNNNNNNNNNNNNNNNNNNNNNNNNNNNNNNNNNNNNNNNNNNNNNNNNNNNNNNNNNNNNNNNNNNNNNNNNNNNNNNNNNNNNNNNNNNNNNNNNNNNNNNNNNNNNNNNNNNNNNNNNNNNNNNNNNNNNNNNNNNNNNNNNNNNNNNNNNNNNNNNNNNNNNNNNNNNNNNNNNNNNNNNNNNNNNNNNNNNNNNNNNNNNNNNNNNNNNNNNNNNNNNNNNNNNNNNNNNNNNNNNNNNNNNNNNNNNNNNNNNNNNNNNNNNNNNNNNNNNNNNNNNNNNNNNNNNNNNNNNNNNNNNNNNNNNNNNNNNNNNNNNNNNNNNNNNNNNNNNNNNNNNNNNNNNNNNNNNNNNNNNNNNNNNNNNNNNNNNNNNNNNNNUGAGUUAUUGGGGUUAACAAGGUUAACCGGUAAGAUUGGGUAAGAGCCAAAGCUUAUUUGUGAUUUGAGCAUGCAUGCAUUUCCUAUUAUCGCGUUGAGUAUUUGAAUCCACUGACAUUCUUCUGCAGGCAUAGUAUUAGAUGCAUUAGUACCGGUUACUUUUCUUUCCUUGAAAUACUUAUGUCUGGAUAGACCUAGUGGGUAAGUCGGCGAGGUCGGAUGCCGAACCCACUGGAAACUUCGUUGUAGUUCUCACACCACUAGCCCUACAGGUCCUGGCACGAGCGGGGCGGCGGAGGACCGAGGCAAGGGUUUGGCGCCGUAGGUAGCGGCCACCGGGACUUUAUACAUUUUGUAGUCAUUCCUUUUUGAUAUACAUGUAUCAACUUUAUUCUGUUGAUUUAGAGAUGCAAAGUGUAAACAAUCAUGUAUUUGGUGGAUGACUAAAUGUAAAAAGAUAUGAUGCAAAAAUGUAAUAGUUUUACUUGAAUUUGGGUUAAAUGUAAUCAAAUAUCAUGUAUUUUGCUUAAUUAGCUUAGAGCUUUCGCCUCCGUUGUUUCUUGCCCUCGUGCAAGCCUUGUAUCAUAAAUGCAAAUCUCUUGUUGAUUGCCUAUUUAUACAUGUUGUUAGAGCCUUGGGCGGACAGGGGAGGCUCUGUCCGUUCGGCGUCUGUUGACGUGACCCGAACCCGACCGAAUUGGCGGGGAUUGGGGCGUGACAUUCGGCAUCCAACCUCGCCGACUUACCCACUAGAUCUAUCCAGGCAUAAGUAUUUCAAGGAAAGAAAACUAACCAAUACUAAUGCAUUUAAUACUAUGCUUGCAAAAGAAUAUCAGUGGAUACAUAUACUCAAUGCAAUAAUGGAAAUGCAUGCAUGCUCAAAUUAUGAAUAGGCUCUGGCUCUUACCCAAUCUUACCGGUUAACCUUGUUAACCCCAAUAACCCAUAACCCAAAAUCCCUUUCUUUACCGGGGAGGCUCCAAGAACUACCGACCCGAGGGACCGUCUUCAGGAACCGCGCUCCCUGUGGUGGCGAUUUUCGAAAACACACCGCUUGAGGAGGAGCGACCUCCCUCAAGCCAAGACUUAUUAUGAGUGUCGAUCAAAUCCCCAACUUGAGGAUACUAAGCCACAUGUCACGUUGCCACUUUUGUGAUAGGUUUUCUACCUAUGUUUUUCAUAUCACUUUCUAAUCAAUCUUACCACAAUGUCACUAUGGUUAAACCUAUGUUUAACAAUUAUGUUCUCAAGGCCAAUCUCGUCUCUAAUGUCCAUGUCACCUUUGUUUACUAUUGUCAAGUCCACGUCUCACAUCAUACAAUCUCUAGGGUUCCACUAUACAUGCCCAUCAUGGUUCCAUAACUCUCGAUAUUCAAUUACAUUAAAUACACAUAAUGAAGGCAACCAAUAUUCACAUGUAACUUAACCCUACAUGCUUGAAUGUUUCAAUAUACAAGUAUGCUCGAAAAAAGGUGAAAACAGACAUAAUGAGGAAUCCGGUGAUUCCGUUGUGCACCCCCCACCUCUAAUGGUUGUUAGGUCCUAUGUGUUGGCAAGUUUCGUGGCUCGAGUCGGAGUCUUGAAGAAGUAAAGAGCGGAGUAUUGAAGAUCGAAGAAUCCAAGACUUCGAAGAAUCGGAAAGGACGCAAAACACGCAAAACAUGAAUCACGAUACUUAGGUAAGCUUUAAAUCUUGUUUAUGGUGAUUCAUACUUAAUUAUAGAUUUUAGAAUCAUGCUUUCAAGUUGUAAUUGAUUAGAAAGUUUCUAAGAGCUUGUAAAACUCCAAACAAUUCAUUUUCAGCGAAAAUUGCAUUAUUGUACUGGUACGAGGGUUUUCUGUCCAGGGUAAAGCCAUCAACGUUUGCGCAGAAAAAUUUGAUGGUUGUUCCGGUACAACCUUCACGCUGUACCGGUACAAGCCCUGUUCCGGAACAAGCUGCAGCCUAUCCAAGGUACAGAAGCUUCGCAGAAAAAUCUUCCGUCAUGCUGUACCCUGGACAGCNNNNNNNNNNNNNNNNNNNNNNNNNNNNNNNNNNNNNNNNNNNNNNNNNNNNNNNNNNNNNNNNNNNNNNNNNNNNNNNNNNNNNNNNNNNNNNNNNNNNNNNNNNNNNNNNNNNNNNNNNNNNNNNNNNNNNNNNNNNNNNNNNNNNNNNNNNNNNNNNNNNNNNNNNNNNNNNNNNNNNNNNNNNNNNNNNNNNNNNNNNNNNNNNNNNNNNNNNNNNNNNNNNNNNNNNNNNNNNNNNNNNNNNNNNNNNNNNNNNNNNNNNNNNNNNNNNNNNNNNNNNNNNNNNNNNNNNNNNNNNNNNNNNNNNNNNNNNNNNNNNNNNNNNNNNNNNNNNNNNNNNNNNNNNNNNNNNNNNNNNNNNNNNNNNNNNNNNNNNNNNNNNNNNNNNNNNNNNNNNNNNNNNNNNNNNNNNNNNNNNNNNNNNNNNNNNNNNNNNNNNNNNNNNNNNNNNNNNNNNNNNNNNNNNNNNNNNNNNNNNNNNNNNNNNNNNNNNNNNNNNNNNNNNNNNNNNNNNNNNNNNNNNNNNNNNNNNNNNNNNNNNNNNNNNNNNNNNNNNNNNNNNNNNNNNNNNNNNNNNNNNNNNNNNNNNNNNNNNNNNNNNNNNNNNNNNNNNNNNNNNNNNNNNNNNNNNNNNNNNNNNNNNNNNNNNNNNNNNNNNNNNNNNNNNNNNNNNNNNNNNNNNNNNNNNNNNNNNNNNNNNNNNNNNNNNNNNNNNNNNNNNNNNNNNNNNNNNNNNNNNNNNNNNNNNNNNNNNNNNNNNNNNNNNNNNNNNNNNNNNNNNNNNNNNNNNNNNNNNNNNNNNNNNNNNNNNNNNNNNNNNNNNNNNNNNNNNNNNNNNNNNNNNNNNNNNNNNNNNNNNNNNNNNNNNNNNNNNNNNNNNNNNNNNNNNNNNNNNNNNNNNNNNNNNNNNNNNNNNNNNNNNNNNNNNNNNNNNNNNNNNNNNNNNNNNNNNNNNNNNNNNNNNNNNNNNNNNNNNNNNNNNNNNNNNNNNNNNNNNNNNNNNNNNNNNNNNNNNNNNNNNNNNNNNNNNNNNNNNNNNNNNNNNNNNNNNNNNNNNNNNNNNNNNNNNNNNNNNNNNNNNNNNNNNNNNNNNNNNNNNNNNNNNNNNNNNNNNNNNNNNNNNNNNNNNNNNNNNNNNNNNNNNNNNNNNNNNNNNNNNNNNNNNNNNNNNNNNNNNNNNNNNNNNNNNNNNNNNNNNNNNNNNNNNNNNNNNNNNNNNNNNNNNNNNNNNNNNNNNNNNNNNNNNNNNNNNNNNNNNNNNNNNNNNNNNNNNNNNNNNNNNNNNNNNNNNNNNNNNNNNNNNNNNNNNNNNNNNNNNNNNNNNNNNNNNNNNNNNNNNNNNNNNNNNNNNNNNNNNNNNNNNNNNNNNNNNNNNNNNNNNNNNNNNNNNNNNNNNNNNNNNNNNNNNNNNNNNNNNNNNNNNNNNNNNNNNNNNNNNNNNNNNNNNNNNNNNNNNNNNNNNNNNNNNNNNNNNNNNNNNNNNNNNNNNNNNNNNNNNNNNNNNNNNNNNNNNNNNNNNNNNNNNNNNNNNNNNNNNNNNNNNNNNNNNNNNNNNNNNNNNNNNNNNNNNNNNNNNNNNNNNNNNNNNNNNNNNNNNNNNNNNNNNNNNNNNNNNNNNNNNNNNNNNNNNNNNNNNNNNNNNNNNNNNNNNNNNNNNNNNNNNNNNNNNNNNNNNNNNNNNNNNNNNNNNNNNNNNNNNNNNNNNNNNNNNNNNNNNNNNNNNNNNNNNNNNNNNNNNNNNNNNNNNNNNNNNNNNNNNNNNNNNNNNNNNNNNNNNNNNNNNNNNNNNNNNNNNNNNNNNNNNNNNNNNNNNNNNNNNNNNNNNNNNNNNNNNNNNNNNNNNNNNNNNNNNNNNNNNNNNNNNNNNNNNNNNNNNNNNNNNNNNNNNNNNNNNNNNNNNNNNNNNNNNNNNNNNNNNNNNNNNNNNNNNNNNNNNNNNNNNNNNNNNNNNNNNNNNNNNNNNNNNNNNNNNNNNNNNNNNNNNNNNNNNNNNNNNNNNNNNNNNNNNNNNNNNNNNNNNNNNNNNNNNNNNNNNNNNNNNNNNNNNNNNNNNNNNNNNNNNNNNNNNNNNNNNNNNNNNNNNNNNNNNNNNNNNNNNNNNNNNNNNNNNNNNNNNNNNNNNNNNNNNNNNNNNNNNNNNNNNNNNNNNNNNNNNNNNNNNNNNNNNNNNNNNNNNNNNNNNNNNNNNNNNNNNNNNNNNNNNNNNNNNNNNNNNNNNNNNNNNNNNNNNNNNNNNNNNNNNNNNNNNNNNNNNNNNNNNNNNNNNNNNNNNNNNNNNNNNNNNNNNNNNNNNNNNNNNNNNNNNNNNNNNNNNNNNNNNNNNNNNNNNNNNNNNNNNNNNNNNNNNNNNNNNNNNNNNNNNNNNNNNNNNNNNNNNNNNNNNNNNNNNNNNNNNNNNNNNNNNNNNNNNNNNNNNNNNNNNNNNNNNNNNNNNNNNNNNNNNNNNNNNNNNNNNNNNNNNNNNNNNNNNNNNNNNNNNNNNNNNNNNNNNNNNNNNNNNNNNNNNNNNNNNNNNNNNNNNNNNNNNNNNNNNNNNNNNNNNNNNNNNNNNNNNNNNNNNNNNNNNNNNNNNNNNNNNNNNNNNNNNNNNNNNNNNNNNNNNNNNNNNNNNNNNNNNNNNNNNNNNNNNNNNNNNNNNNNNNNNNNNNNNNNNNNNNNNNNNNNNNNNNNNNNNNNNNNNNNNNNNNNNNNNNNNNNNNNNNNNNNNNNNNNNNNNNNNNNNNNNNNNNNNNNNNNNNNNNNNNNNNNNNNNNNNNNNNNNNNNNNNNNNNNNNNNNNNNNNNNNNNNNNNNNNNNNNNNNNNNNNNNNNNNNNNNNNNNAAGCAUUCUUGUUCGGUACAAGGUGCUGAUUUUGGAAAGAACUUUCUAAUCCUACUCCGUUUUGAUUCUAAAGCUAUAAAUAUAGCUAUAGGGUCUCUAACUGAUUAAGCAUCACGAAAUACAUGUUUGAGAAACCUAGAGGCUCGAUUUCAUUCUAAACCAUUUUCUACAAAUUAGCCUCUUUAGAUCAAAUCGAGAUAUCGUUUCGCAUUCUCUAUAUGGAUUUGAUCUCCGCUUCGCUUGGAGUCUAUUCCUGGUUUUCUACAAAUCCUAAGCGAAGGAUCACCAUAAUCAUGAUUACUCUUCAUGAACGGCGUCGUGGAUUCGGCGUAAACAAAGGCGGUUCGUGGAUUGGCUCGUUGGCCUCGUGGAUUCGAAGUGGCGUCGUGGAUUCGGCGUGAUUGAAGCUUCGUGAAUUCGAAGUGGAGUCGUGGACUCGAACGGUGGGGCGUGACAACCGGAGGUAGUAAAAAAAAAGGAGAAAAAGAAACUCCUAUGUUUAAAAGAUGUGGAAAGAGUUACAUCCUAAAAGGAGUGUGAAAACUACCACCACAUGUAGGAAAGAGCUACCAACCCGGUCGUCCGGCAAGUGUGUGAAGCUACCACAUGAAGAUUGAAUUGAGUAACCGAAAAAAGUUGAAAAAAAAUUGAAUAUUUUAGAAUUUUCGGAGUUAUAAGGUGGUAAGUUGAAAAGAUGCUCAAAGAGCCACCCCCGGUGCCAUAUUAGUUAAAUCUCUAUUUUGAACAUGUUUCGGCAAAUUGGUGUCAAUUUUGGUGAAUUUCUAAAAAUCAUUUUUCAUCAACUUACAUCUUGAUAUUUUUUUUGAAUCAUUAAAUUAUUUUUGAUUUUGAAAUUUUGAUGUUUUGAUGUGUUUUGAAAUUUUAUAAUAUCUUAUUUUCAUUAUAAUGAUUCUUGGAGUAAAAGUCUUAAUUAUAUGAAUUUAAUUUAAAUUUGAUGGGUUUUUAAAGGAUAUUUUUUGAAAAAAAAAUUUCACAUUUUGGUCCUUGUACCAGUACAAGGAACCGUGUUCCGGUACAAGGUCUGCGGCUGAGCGGCUUAUAACCGGGUAUAACGCUUCGAUCUCUCUCAAAUCUCCAUCUUUUUCAAAAAUUUUUGUUCCUGAGAGCUCCAGCGACUCUUCUUCAACCGUUCUACACGUUUUUCUCUUGGAUUUGUAAGUUUUUAGCAUCAAAUUUGUGAGUUUUAUCCCGAUUUUUUGCUAUUUUUCUUAUUUUUGCCGGAUAAGGGUUUGAUCUCUGUUCUAAUCCGUUUUUUAUGCGAUUUUUUGCUAUAGAUCAGUGUCUUAGGCUAUUACCUUGCUUGUAGAACACUUGAACAACAUCAAAACAAGUUAUUUUUCGCUGAUCUAAGUUUUAUGAUCUAAUAUGCAUCUAAUUUCGAGAUUUUUCAAAAAGUUCGAUUUUUUGAUGAAAUUUUUUGCAUGAUCUGGUUAGAAAUAGCAUUUGUAUACAUUCUAAUACUAUUAGAAAUUUUUUCGCUAUUUUUACAGAUUUUUUCAAGAUUUUGUUCAUGCGAGGUUAAUUUUUGUGUAGGAAAAAUGACGUUUUUGCUCGUAUUGGUGUUAUUGGUGCUAAUGGCUGGGAGACGGAGCCGUGGUGGUGGUAGAGGUCGUCAUGGGACUUCUAAAAGGACACGCACAACUAAAGAAGCGUCCGGGUCUGAUCCGGAUUAUCAGGCGAGCUCCCCGGAAGAAUCUGAAGAACCUAUUGCUCGACUUGACAAAGGAAAAGGAAUAGCUGGCGAAUCAUCUCAUGGUGGUGGUUCUCGUACUCAUGAGGGACAUUCAAAACAAGCUGCAGAUGUUCCUCUAGCACGGCGAAGGUUGUUUGCAUCGAAGUCGUGUAUAGCUGAACGCUUUGUGAACUUCCAUGAUCUGAUUCGGGAUGUUCCUGAUUUUGGACGGCUACUACAGCGCGCGCCUAUUGAGCCUGUUGGACGGGUUCCUGCGAAGGCUCCUUUCUGUGUAGAACUCAUUAGGGAGUUCUAUAUGAAUGGAAAGGUACUGGCUGAAGAUGAUGAAACAGGCACUUUUAUCUUCGAGACUGUUGUACGUCAGAGGAGAUUUCCAGUUACCCCUUAUGAUAUUGGAGAGAUCUUGGGAAUGCAUGUGGACACUACAGGUCUUCUCUAUACGUCAGGAGGAUUCCAAGCAUCAUCUCACAUGAAUAUCAUUCUUGGAGCUAUAUGCAAAGCCGGUGUUUACAUGACUCAUGGUUACAUUGAAUCGAAGGAUUUAUUACCUGAGUAUCACUUGCUAUCCUUGGUUAUGAGCUAUAAUGUUCAACCAACUAUCGGCACAAAGAGGAUUCGCUGGGAGAGAUUAGUGUUGCUAUAUCUACUUGGUCAUCCCGAGCAGGCUCAUGGAUUGAACAUCAACAUUCCAUUUCUGAUCUGGCAAAGGAUGAUACAUGUGAUUCAGGGUGCCACUCGACGGGAUCUACUUCCAUUCCCUGUUCUGAUUACGAGGAUUCUUCUAGCAAAUGGAGUGGAUACAUCUUGUGACAAGUAUGAUGUUGGCCUUGGGCCUAUUGACUCAGUGACUUGGGCUAAGUCUGUCAGCACUCUCAAGUCAUUCCAUCAGACCAAAUGGGCACCUCCUGAAGCAUCUAGCCCCAAAAAAAAGGGUAAGUCAAAAAAGCAAUAAUUGAAAUGCUAAGCUACUAUAUUGCAAUUAAACAUGGUGUUAAAGAUAAUGCACCUUUACUUUGUCACAACCAAUAUGUCUCUACAUGGCUACAAGUAUGUGUCACAGUUCACUUAUGAAGUUAUAAGGAUCAUGCUUUAUCAUGGCAACAAUGUAUAUAUGAAUGCAAUAAGCACUUCUCCUAGCAUACUACAUGUAAGUAUGUAUACUCAAGUGUCCAAAACUAUGCUAGAAGAAAGUCCAAGUAAUCCAACUACUACUCACUAUCUAGUACUUGAUUAUAACACACUCAACACUGUGUCGAUUUCCAUUUCUAAUUAAGGACCUACCAAAGGUAAUACAGCUUGUGCCGCCUAAGUGCCUGUGGUAGCCCAACAUCCCUACUUUUGGAAUGUGUCUGUCCCACUCGACCCCGUAGGCUUCUCAAUACCGCACGAGCGAACAUAAGUCACGUAGGCUAACUCCGGAGUACCGGCUUGUAGGGAGCGACCCUCACAAGCAUGUGCGAAUGAGCACAAAUGGCAAGCAAGCGUAGUCAAAGACUCAAAUAUCCAACCCUCAUGUCUCAAACAUGGCAAUGGCUACUAGUGACCCAACGGCCUAGCUCUAUGUCACAAUGUGAUAACCCAACACUCACUUGCUUAGUGCCUCUUUAUGACACUUAAGCACCACAACUAAUCAAGCCCAAAUUAUGUUCUAUGUUCCGAUUAAGACAUUAAUACCAAUGCUCACUAAGGUCGGAGUCCAAUGCCUCUUUAUGACAUUAGCCCAAUAUCUUAAAUGGUCUAAGUCCCCAAGCCUCUCUAGGCUCCCAAAGUCUCUUAUGUCACAAUUGGGCAUACAUGUUAAAUGCAUGAAAGUAAUGUUCAUUUUCAUAAUAGGAAUCAUGGUUCCAAGUUUUCAGUAGAAUGCUACAUCCCACAUGCAUGCACCCUACCACAUGGAGGUCCAAAAAUUUACUAUGCAUAACAUAUGCAUGUUAAGCAUUCUAAAAUUCAUAAUAAAUAUAUCUAACAUGAUUAUGCCUGUUUUAUCAAUUAACGAUACUCAAAACAUCACAAAUGAGAUUUUCCCAUUGUGUGGCUAGGUCAAACCCACCGAACCGUCGCGGUGUCCUUCGUUUCGCCGAAAGAAGGUGUCCACGAGUCUCAAAAUAUCCUAAAAGUAUUGAGCGAAGAGAUACACGGGCAUUACGAUCAACUAUAAGAUCAAACAUUAACCACAAGGCAAAAGGGCUAAAACUCACCUAAAGUAUAGAAAAUCUCUCUCAAGCUCCUAAAGAGAGCUAGAAUCCUUCCAAUCCAACCGAAAGAAAGAUUCUAAUCCAAUUAAUCUAGCCUCAAAAGCCCUAAAUCAAAAAGCCCCAAAAUCAACCCUAAAUUCCCAUUCUAGGGUUCCAUAUGGUAAAAUCUACCAAAACAAGGAUCAAAAGGUAGAAUCGAAGUACUAACCUCUUUAGAUGCCUCAAAACAAGCUCCAAAUCUUCUAGGGUUGAAGAUUGGCCCACCACCAAGCCCUACAAGCAAGCUCCAAGCCUUGCAAGGGUGGAAAGAAGAGAAAGGGUUUGAGCUCUAAGCUUCCUCAAGCAAGCUCCUCUUCUUCUUCUCCUCCUUCUUUUUCUUCUCUCUCUAGAAGGUGUAGGGAGAGGGUGAGAAAUGAGGAGGGAAGAGAGUGAAAUGGCUGUAAAGACCAUUUAGAAAAACAAAAUCCAGAGAGGCCCCUCAAAAACUCAAAUUUACAACAGCCCGGACUGGGCAGUUUUCGCCCAGAGGGACCGACCUCUCCCUGCAAGGGACCGGUCUCUCGUGUCGAACCCGAGAAACCAUCGUUUGGGAACCGGUCUCUCCCCGCGUGGGACCGGUCUCUCACUGCCAAGACGCGCUCGGGGACCGGUCUCGCCCGCCAGGGACCGGUUGCCUCGCCGACAGCGCAACACUGCUCACUGGGGACCGGUCUCUCCUUUCAGGGACCAGUCCCCGAGAGUAAAAACUCUCAGGACUCAUCCAGAACUCAGGUUUUCGAACUUUUUGGAUCGAAAAACAUUCUAUGACCCUCCACCAAGUGUGGGAAAAGCUCGAAACACAUCCAAUCACUCGAACCUCGCAAUUUGCAAAGGUCCAGUGUGUUACAACGGGAUUUCGCGGUUCCGAAUCUUUCGCGCCUCCCGAUCGACAAUAUACGCCGGGAACUCCUCAUAAGUCAUAUCCUCUUGAAGCUCUAUCGGAAUAUACGAGAGAAUAUGAUCUGGAUUGUACACAUACUUGCGGAGUUGGGAUACAUGGAAUACAUCAUGUACUCCCGCGAGCCUCGGUGGUAAUGCCAACUUGUAGGCCACCGAGCCAACUCGUUCCAAAAUCUCGAAGGGUCCGAUAUAGCGGGGGCUUAGCUUUCCGCGAACACCGAACCACUUCACUCCUCGCAUCGGCGAUACUUUUAGAAACACGCGGUCUCCUACCGCGAACUCAAUAUCCUUUCGCCGCUUGUCGGCAUAACUCUUAUGCCUUGAUUGCGCCGUCACUAAUCUUUGUCGGGCGAGGCGGACUUUCUCUUCCACUUCCCGCACCACUUUCGGGCCAAGAACCAUCUUCUCGCCCACAUCGCUCCAGUGUAUUGGCGAGCGACAUUUCCUUCCAUACAAGGCCUCGAAUGGCGCCAUCGCAAUGCUUUCUUGAUAGCUAUUGUUGUAUGCGAAUUCCGCCAUCGGUAAGUGAUCGUGCCAUCCUCCCUUAUAAUCAAGCACACACGUUCGAAGCAUGUCUUCAAGUAUUUGAAUAGUCCUUUCCGAUUGACCGUCACUUUGAGGAUGGAACGCUGUACUAAAGUCGAGCCACAUGCCUAAUGCGUCUUGUAAGCUCUUCCAAAAAUGAGAUGUGAACCUAGGGUCCCGAUCCGAUACAAUAGAUACCGGAACCCCAUGAAGUCUCACCACCUCGUCAAUAUAGACUUGAGCUAACUUGUCUCCCGACUAAGUAGUGUGGAUCGGCAAAAAGUGUUCCGAUUUUGUCAACCGGUCCACAACUACCCAAAUCGCGUCGUGUCAACCUUGUGACCUAGGCAAACCUGUCACAAAAUCCAUUGCGAUAUUUUUCCAUUUCCACACGGGUAUAGGUAAACUUUGCAAUUUUCCUGCCAGAAAUCGACGCUCCGCCUUCACUUGUUGGCACGUGCGACAUUGCGUCACGAACUCUCCUAUAUCUUUCUUCAUGCCCGGCCACCAAUAAUGCAACUUCAGGUCUCGAUACAUUUUGGUGCCGCCCGGGUGAAUGCUAUAGGGAGAUUGAUGCGCUUCUUGCAUAAUCGCCCUUCGAAGGUCGUCGUCCUUGGGCACGCACCAACGAUCCCGAUAUCAUAGUGCGCCGUUGAUUCCAAUGCCAAAAUCAUCGGCACCACCGCUCUCAACCUUGCCCCGCACCUUUUGGAGAAAUUCAUCCUAUGCUUGAAAUCCUUUAAUCUUCUCCAACAAGGUUGGUUGCAUAACUAGGGUGGCAAGUGUUGUCGGCACUCCCGGUGCCACAACUUCUAGACCAAACCGCUACAUCUCCUUUUGCAAAGCCGGUUGAGGUGUAAUUUUCGUCGCCAAAUUUUUCGCCGACUUUCUACUUAGAGCAUCGGCCACGACGUUCGCUUUCCCGGGGUGGUAGAGAAUCGUGACAUCAUAAUCUUUGAGCAACUUUAACCACCGCCGCUGUCGCAAGUUUAGCUCCUUCUGGGUGAACAAGUAUUUGAGACUUUUAUGGUCGGUAUAGAUCUCACGAUGUUCCCCAUACAAUUAAUGCCUCCACAACUUUAGCGUGAAAACAACCGCCGCUAGCUCAAGAUCGUGAGUCGGGUAGUUCUUUUCAUAACUCUUCAACUGGCGCGAAGCAUAAGCUAUGACUCGGCCGUUUUACAUUAAGACACACCCGAGACCGAUAUAUGAAGCAUCACUAUAUACGACAUAACUCUUUCCUAGCGUUGGCAAGGCAAGCACUGGAGUAGAUGUCAGUCUAUUCUUUAGCUCCUCAAAGCUCCGCUCACACUCGGGGCUCCAAACAUACUUCACCCCUUUGUGCGUAAGGCGCGUUAGUGGAGUUGUUAUCCUGGCAAACCCCUCCACGAAUCGCCGGUAAUAGCCCGCAAGUCCAAAGAAGCUACGGAUUUUCGCUACACUUGUCGGGCGAGGCCAAUCUUUAAUUGCCUCAACUUUCUUUGGGUCCACCGAGAUGCCGUCUCCGGAUACAACGUGACCCAAGAAGGUAACCUCCGAAAGCCAAACUCACAUUUCUUUAGUUUUGCGUAAAGCUUUUCCUUCCAGAGUAUCUCCAACACGAGUCUUAAAUGCUCCUCGUGUUCUUCUUCGGUCCGAGAAUAUACCAAUACGUCGUCAAUGAAAACCACGAUGCACCGGUCCAAUAGCGGACGGAAGAUUCGACUCAUUAGGUCCACAAAUGCCACCGGGGCGUUAGUGAGCCGAAUAGCAUGACCGUAAACUCAUAGUGGCCAUGCCGCGUACGGUACACUGUCUUAUGCACGUCUUUGGGCCGUAUCUUCAACUGAUGAUACCCCGACUGAAGAUCAAUCUUCGAAUAUACCCUUGACCCUCGCAACUGGUCGAAUAAGUCAUCAAUUCUCGGCAAUGGGUAUUUGUUCUUGAUCGUCACUCUAUUCAACUCGCGAUAAUCAACGCAGAGUCGAAGUGUGCCGUCCUUCUUCUUUACAAAUAGCACCGGAGGUCCCCACGGGGACACGCUCGGCCGUACGAAGUCUUUAUCGAGUAAGUCUUGCAGCUGAGCCUUCAACUUCUUUAGCUCCAUCGGUGCCAUUCUAUACGGAGCCUUCGAAAUUAGCGCCGCCCCGGGAAUCAAGUCAAUGACAAACUCGACUUCCCGAUCCGGGGGCAGUCCCGGUAACUCCGCUGGAAACACAUCCGGAUACUCACGCACAACUCGAAUACUUUCCAGUUCCGGGUAUUCCCUUUGAGGGUCUAUGAUGGUCGCCAAAUAAGCCUUGCAACCACCCUUGAUCAUUCUCUUUGCCCUCACCGUCGAUAUGGUUGCUACAAAGCGUUUACCUUUGCACGCCCGAUACACAAACUCCUCUUGGUUAGAUUCACGGAACGUGAUCACCCUUCUUUCGCAAUCUAUAACCGCGUAAUACUUGGAGAGCCAAUUGAUCCCCAAGAUUACCUCGAAACUCCAUAUUUCUUUUAACACUAGAAGGUCGAUCGGCAUAAUCCAAUCACCUAUCUGCACUGGGCAGUCCAAGCACUCAUCGUGAACGUCGAAUGAAUGCUCGGGAGUAUUCACCGACCAAUACUCCUCGCUAUGAGUGAUCUCUAUGUUAUGAGCUUGUGCAAAUGAUGCUAAUAUGAAUGAAUGAGAUGCACCCGUAUCAAAUAUAGCUCUAGCUCUAGUGCCUCUGAUCAGAAUAAUACCUGCCACGACGUCGUCGGAAACAAUGAUUGGUGGCUCCUCCACCUGAGUGGCAAAUACCCGCCCACUAGGUGCUCGAGAGGCCUCCGGCUGACGAGGCGCCGACGACCGUCCAGCAGAUGUCGCGGGUGGCAGUCCCGCCAGCUGUCGCUGAGUGUACUGAACUGAAGCUGAUGACGGGGCUGGGGACGCGCCGCCCGGGCACUCUCGACCUAUGUGGCCCGCCUGGCCACACCGAAAACACUGCCCCUCUCGCUGUGGGCAAGUGGUAACCCGGUGGUCUUCAUCGCAGAUCACACAUGGAUAGGUGAUACGGCUCUGGGUCUGACUCCUACCUCCCCGCCACUGUGAUCGCGGAGGUCGCGGGGGUCCCUUAGAACUCGAUUACCCCGCAGAUCCACCAGCCGGUCGCUUCUUGGUCUUAUCUCUUUCCCUGUCCCUCUCAAAAGUCUCGCGCUCAUCACGCGCGAUGGCAUUCCCGCGCUCCACCCAAAGCACGCGAUCGAGCACUUCCUCGUAGGUCUUCAACCGGAAGGCAUGUAUGACCUUGAAAAUCUCGGGUCGCAACCCGCGCUCGAAUAUUUCCGCUCGGUCCCUAUCACCGUGAACCAAGUCCGACACGCAGUUAAUCAUGUGCGUGAAUUCUCUCUCGUACUCCCGCACUGAUCGGCUUCCCUGCCUUAGCUUCCGAAAAUUCUCCUUGAUUUUCCUUUUGUCGCUCUCAGGGAAAUACUCCAUGAGCAGCAUCUCCCGAAACGCCUCCUAAGUAAUAAAAGCGUGCUCUAGCAAGCGAUUUCUCUUUGCCUGGGUCUACCACAGCCGAGCCGACCCAUCAAAACAAUGAGCCGCAAGGUGAACCUUAUCAUUCUCGAGGGUGUAAAUAUCCUCGAACAAGGCCUCCAUCCCGGCUAGCCAACUCUCCGUCGUCCAUGGGUCCUUCACAUUACCGCUGAAGGUCGGAGGGUUGAAUCGCUUGAAUGUCGUCAGCGCCGCCAACGUGCGCUCCUGCUCGGCCUCAAGUACAUCGCAGGAGGUGGUGCUACAGGAGCAGCCGGUGGGGGUGGAUCCCUCGGCACUUAUGCCGCUGCUGCCUGUUGCGCCAUCAUCUCAUGGAGCUGUCCAAUCUGCUCCCCGUGUUGUCGCAUAGCCCCGGCCGAAGCCGCUACCUGGGCUCGCAACUCGCGCACUUCGUCCGACCCCGACUGCCUGGGCUCCUCCCGAGGCUCCGCCGGUGUGGACCUCGUAACUCUCCUUGGUGGUGCCAUCGCGUCCUGAAACGCAAUGCACACACACAUUAGUACUCGAAACACGCGACUCUUACACGUUCCAAAUAACUACCCAAUUAAGCGAAAGCAACAAGCAUAAUCGUUUCCACUCUUGGUGUCAUGUGGUCGGCCGCCCCACAAAGUCCCUUAAGUAGACAACAAUUAAGCCUUCUAGUCCAUCUCUACCUUCUUCUAGAGAAGUGUUACCAUUAACCCAAUCACUCGCUUUCGCACAAACCAAGUCCUCGUUAAACGUUUUCCUAAGUCCCUAUGGUCUCCAACCUAUGGUUUCUAGGUCAUUCUUAGACUUUUGCUUUCCACUUCUCUCUGAUACCAUUAUAACUGUCACGCCCCAAUCCCCGCCAAUUUGGUCGGGUUCGGGUCACGUCAACAGACGCCGAACGGACAGAGCCUCCCCUGUCCGCCUAAGGCUCUAACAACAUGUAUAAAUAAGCAAUCAACAAGAAAUUUGCAUAUGUAAUACAAGGCUUGCACGAGGGCAAGAAACAACGGAAGCGAAAGCUCUAAGCUAAUUAUACAGCAUACAUGAUAUUUGAGUAAAUUUAAACCAAAUACAAGUAAAUAAAACUAUUACAUUUCUAUUUAUCCAUCAUAUCUUUUUACAUUUAGUCAUCCCCCAAAUACAUGAUUGUUUACAACUUUGCAAUUCUAAUUCAACAAAAGAAGUUGAUACAUGUAUACCCAAAAAGUGGAUUGACUACAAAAUAUAAAAAGUCCCGGUGGCCGCUAUCUACGGCGCUAUGCCCUUGCCUCGGUCCUCCGCCGCCCCGCUCGUGCUAGGACCUGUAGGGUUAGUGGUGUAAGAACUACAACGAAUUUCCAGUGGGUUCGGCAUCCGACCUCGCCGACUUACCCACUAGGUUUCUCCAGGCAUAAGUAUUUCAAGGAAAGAAAAGUAACCAGUACUAAUGCAUCUAAUACUAUGCCUGCAGAAGAAUGUCAGUAGAUACAUAUACUCAAUGCAAUAAUGGAAAUGCAUGCAUGCUCAAAUUAUGAAUAGGCACUGGCUCUUACCCAAUUUUACCGGUUAACCUUGUUAACCCCAAUAACUCAUAACCCAAAAUCCCUUUCUUUACCGGGGAGGCUCCAAGCACUACCGACCCGAGGAACCGUCUUCAGGGACCGCGCUCCUUGUGGUGACGAUUUUUGGAAACACACCGCUUGAGGAGGAGCGACCUCCCUCAAGCCAAGACUUAUUAUGAGUGUCGAUCAAAUCCCCAACUUGAGGAUAUUAAGCCACAUGUCACGUUGCCACUUUUGUGAUAGGUUUUCUACCUAUAUUUUUCAUAUCACUUUCUAAUCAAUCUUACCAUAAUGUCACUAUGGUUAAACCUAUGUUUAACAAUCAUGUUCUCAAGGCCAAUCUCGUCUCUAAUGUCCAUGUCACAUUUGUUUACUAUUGUCAAGUCCACGUCUCACAUCAUGCAAUCUCUAGGGUUCCACUAUACAUGUCCAUCAUGGUUCCAUAACUCUCGAUAUUUAAUUACAUUAAAUACGCAUAAUGAAGGCAACCAAUAUUCACAUGUAACUUAACCCUACAUGCAUGAAUGGUUCAAUAUACAAGUAUGCUCGAAAAAUGGUGAAAACAGACAUAACGAGGAAUCCGGUGAUUCCGACGUGCACCCCCCACCUCUAAUGGUCGUGCGGGUAAGGAAUAUGAAGACUCCCGAUCGCUACGAACACCGGCUCCGCACCCUAUAACCAAAUUAGUGCCCUAUUAGGCCGUUUAUACAUGAACUAUACUUGAACAUUUUCGUAACGUUGAACGGAGUUGUCCAACGUGUAUAUUUGACCCCCAAUUAGGUUUCUACGAGAUCAAUUGGUUCCCGAAAAAUCCUAGGGCAAAAGCCCCAAUUUUCAAGCCCUAACAAUGCCAUUUAGGGUUUCUCUUUGAAUCGAUCUCAACCCUAAGCAAAUAGUAGCUUAGAAUCAUCUAAGAUGCAUCAUAGUAAGGUUUCUAUACCUUUGGAACCAACCCUAGGGCUUCUAUGGUGAACCCUAACCAUCCACCAUGAGAGCACUUGAGCUCUCAUGGGUUCCAUGAAGUUCAAGGCCUCUAGAAGGUUCCCAAGGCUAAAAACAACUCAAAACUCCAAAUCUUAGGGAUCAAAACCAAACCCUAAACUCAUUUAUACCAAAAACUCAUCUUAGUCCAAGCUCCUCUAAGUCCUUCUUGUAGGAGAGCUUGUAGAACCCACCAAAGCCUCCAAAUCCACCUUCUCCUUGCUUCUUCUUUUUCUUCUCUAAGCUCUUGUGCAAGAGUUCUAGAGAGAGAAAGAGAGAAAAUGAGAGAGGGGGAGAGAAAUGGGUGUGGGAGUGAAGGGGAUGGCUAUAUAAAGUGUUGUGGCAAUUGCACUUAAGCCCCUCCACUUGUUUCACAGUGCACUGCCCAGACUGGGCAAUUUUCGCAGUCGGGGAUCGGUCUCCCCGACCAGGGACCGGUUCCCGAACGUUGGGUUUCCAGGACUUAGCCGAUUUUCUGGCUUUUUCAGCUGCUGCGCAACGAGGGACCGGUCUUUCCCUCAGGGACCGGUCUCCCGAGGACCGGUCUCACUGCCAGGGACCCAAUGCCUCAGGAUUCCUGGCAGGCUACGUGUACGGGGAUCGGUCUCUCCUUUAGGGACCGGUCCCCGAGAGCACAAAAUCUGGGACUUAGCCAGAUUUUGAAAUCUCACUCUCUCGGGUCCCUUUGCACCUUAUAUAGGCUCCAAUACACAUAGGGCCUAUACCUACUCGUUCCACUCCGCGUUCCGCUCGUUCGACGGAACUUUGCACGAUUUACGAGGGAUGUGGUAUGUUGCACUUAUGUUGUUGUUGUUUACCCUCGUGCAAGCCAUAUAUAUACAAAUUCUUCCUGGGCAAAUUUGUUAUAUAUGAUGUCAUUGUGUUGAGCCUUGGGCGGGUAGGGAAGGCUUUGUUCGUUCGGCAUCUGCGGACGUGCCCGAACCGACCAAAUUGGCGGUCGCGUGGCGUGACACACCCAUCUCCAGGUAAUUGAUAGUAUCUAGAUAGAUCCUAGAGUUCACAUAACUUACACAAAUGUAAACGUCAAAAGUUAUAAAAUAUUGUUGAUACCCUUUCAAAAUUGUCAAUAUUAUUUUUUUAUAAAAAGUACCUUUAAUCACAUUGAUGAAGAAUUUUGGGCUAAUUUACCCCCAGUUAUAUCUAAUUAUAAAUAAUUAUGUAGUAUCAUGUUGGGCAAAUAAAUUACUUUCAUCAAAAAAUUACUCAAUUUUUGUUUAUUAUUAAAUUUAUGAAUGUAUUUUUUUUCGCAAUUAAGUUUUUUUUUAAAUCAAUAUCAUAUGGCCGGAUCUCAUAUCAACGAUAAUAAACAAUUAACAAAAGCUAAAACUGCAUUAUAUUUUUUUGGUAUAAAUUAAUACAAUUUUUUAUUUACUAUCAAUGUACUGUAGUUUAAUUAUUGCAUUUAAUUAGUUUUAAUUUGAUAUACAUUCAACUAUAUUUACAAUGUUUUCAAAGAAAAUAAUUCAUGAUUAAGUUAAUGAAAAAAGUAUAGAUAAUAGAUGAUGGGAAAAGUAAAAAUUUAGUUUAAUUUUUUGAUGAAUCAUUAUCAAUUUGGGUAUUUAUGAUAGCUUUUCUGAAUUACAGAGAUAUUUUUUGUAUUGACACUGUUCGAUGAGUACCUAUGUAAUUCAAGGAGGGAGGAAGGGUAUGUAUGAUUUUAACCAUUUAUAUUUACAUGAAUUACAUAAAAUGUAUUAAUUAAAUUCGUAGAGACAAAUACUGCAUUCAAAAUUUAGUCAUUAUAGCUUAAAUUAUAUAAAUUUAAAGAUUGGAUAAAAAAAAUAAAAUUUUUAAAGGUUAGAUAGGUCGGAUCGGAAUGGGUGAUAGUUAAGAUAUACCAAUUAAAGAGCAAUGCUCCUAUGCACCAAAAAGAUUUCGGCCCUUAAAUUUUUUAAAAUGAAUAAUAGAGAUAUCUUUUAGUUAAGAGGGUGACUGGCUUUUGUUGCCGUAGGUAUCAGUCACCCUCUUACCAAGGGCAAAACUAUUUCCUCAUAUGUAAAAUUAGCAUGAAGGGUUUUUUUAUAAAUUUCUAUUUUCAUUCCCAAAUGCCUCUCUAGUAAUUAUAAAAUACCACAUUCUAUUUUUGAAAAGUUUUCACCCACAGAUAUUGCUAUGUGUCAACUAAAGAGAGAGAAAGAAAAGUUAAUUUAGCUGGAAAGACUUGGCAUUACAAGAAAGGUGUGUUUACCUUUCCUAAAUUAACUUUUCUUUACUAAUAUAUCACAUUCAAAUUUUAAAUAAAAAAUGAUGUAUUAUUGAAAUCAUUUAGUCUACCCCUUAAACUUGAGCCGGACUUACACCAGAGAUUAAAAGUUUAGCCAAUUUUGAAUUUAUUUGUAUGAUUUGAUUAUGAAAUAAAAUCUUAAAUUUGUUUCAAAUUUAAAAAAUUUUUUGCAUCGAAAAUUAUAUGUAAAUAUAAAAUAUUGCAACUGACAAGUUAUAUUAUACAAUCUCUUAGUAAUUGAAUAUGAAAUAUUAUCCCCAAGUGAAUGUUUGAAAAGUUUUGUAUUUGACUUUGUGAUCAAUAGUACUAACAAAUUCAGUUCAAUACCUUAAUUAAAAUAAAUUAAACUUUUAUAAUCUUUACAAGUUUCAGAAUUAAUUAUACAUUUUCUUCUCAAAUUAUAAGAAACAUAAUACUUUGGUUGUCCAACUUUAUUCAAAUCUUCUAGAUUAUUACAUCGAGCCUUACGCUCCAAUUUAAAUGGUUGAAUGAUGACUUAAAGUUGAUGUGGUCAAACUUCGAAACAAAACUCUUAAUAAAUUGAAAUUGGAUGGUGAAAGCUAAAAUUCAAUUAAAAAGAAUGUAAUAUAUUAAUUUUUUAACUUUUGAACAUGGAUAGUCGAUCCAAAGUUGACUGUUCGAGUUAUGAUUAUUUGAUUGGAUAGCUCAAUCAGUGUAAUAUUAACCUAAUUAAUUUAAUUUUUAUUUUAUUAAAAAAUCCUAUGUCAAAAUAGGUGGUAAAGUAAAAUUUUUAAAAAAUAAUGUGGUGGCAAAGUGAAAAAUGCGCUAAACUUUGAAUGGGCACAGAGUGAUUUUUUAGAUCAUGGAAUGCCAAAAUAAAAAUGAGCUAAACUAUAAAGAGAUAGCAAAACUUUUUUAAUUAUAGGUUGACAAAGUAAAGAUAAGCUAUACUAUUUGAACAAAUGAUCCAAGUUAAAUGAACUUAAUAUGUAAUUUAAACAAGCUAAAAGCCUUUUUAAAGGUAAUUUGAAAUUAUAAUAGCUAAAAUUAAAUUCAGAUUUAUAAUUUAAAGUUAAUUUUCAAACAUAGAAUCGUUUAGUUUAAAUAGUUAACAAAAUUUAUUUUUUUAACUAUAAUAUAAACUAAAUCUAAAUUUAAAAUUUAAUUUUAAUCAAUAUUUUUGAACUUUAAUGUUGGUUUUACUAUCGAAUGAACAAUUUGAAUUUAAUUUUAAAAAUAGAAGUCUUUAAUUUAAAUAAAUAAUAAAAGUUAUGUUUAUAAAUACAGCAUAAUUUACAAUUUAAAAUAAGUUAAUAUAUUUGAAAUUUCUUGUCAUUUUAAUAUCAAAUUAACAAUUUGAAUUGAAAUAUACUAUUCAUUUAAACAUAAAUUUUUCCGUUCUGAAAAUUAAAAGUAAAAUUAAAUUUGAAUUUAAUGUACACAAUUAUAAAGUUUAACUCAAAUUGAAUUUUAAAUUCAAUUUUAUAAAGGUUUAUUACUUAUGAAAUUAGCACUAUCUAAUUUGGUAAGUAACAAAAUUAAAUAAGGAAACAAAUAUUUAUGUAGAGUUAAUCAAAUUUGGUAAUUAGCUUGUAUUUGUUUUUCCAUAUUACCCUUACGAAUGGUAACUUAUUGAGCAGGUAACUACUAUUGAAAAGUCAAUCUCGCUUUUAAAAUAUUAACGGCUAGAUUUAAUUUAGCCGGUGUAUUGAAGCAUUCCUCCCAAUUAAAUUUGAUAUAAAGUACUUAUAAAUUUAAUAAAACUAUCAAUCUACUUGAAAAAAAAUUAAUUAAUUGUAAAAAAAAUUAAAAAUUUGAGUGGAUGUUAAUCUUAAAAUAUUAAAAUGGAGAGGUCUAUUUCAAAAUAACUUCUAGGUGAUGAGUACAUCCUCAUACAAUUCCGUUCUUAAAACAAAUAAUAAUAACAGUACAAUAAACUUGAUAGCCAGGCGCCGACGCGAGAAACCAAUUUAGUUGUCCUUUGACAUUAAAAAAGGGACAAUAUUUUCCACAAAGCAAUCUAACUUAUUUGAAUUAGAAUAAUUAGGUCUUGUGUGCUAUUAGGAGCAAGGAUGCAUGCCUUCGUGCUUUUAAGCCAUUUUUAAUGAUACAGCUUCCGAAUCGACAAUCGGUUCCAUUAAAAUUGAUCUAGCAUAUUUGAAAUAUCUAAAAAAUAAAUUUUGCGGUUUUUCGAUAUCAUUAUCUAGCGAUCGAAAGGUUUAAAAUCAAUAAUUUUUAAUGGUUGAUAUAUAUCAUUUGUAAGUUUAAUGGUGUAAAAAUAUUCAAAUUAGAUGAAAUUUUAAUAAAAUUUUUUUAUACUAUUUACUGUAAAAUCAAUAUUUUGAUCGAAAAUUUUAAUGUUAUAUCACCAGUUUUUGUGAGAUUUUUAUUUUCAACUGUUGAUUUUCAACACUUUCGAUCGAAAAAUCGCAAAAUUUAUUUUCUAAAUACUUCAAAUAUCUAGAUCAAGUUUAACAGAACCGAUCGUCGAUUCGGAAGCUCCAUCGUCGAAAACGGCUUUUAGGAGCAUGGAGGCCUCCAUGUUCCUAAUAGCACACAAGACCUACUCCAUAUAUUUUGUUUAAAAGUGAUUAUCCAUAUAUUUUGUUUAAAAGUGAUUAUGGAGGUAAACCUACCUUUUGUUUAAAUAUAUUCUAAUUGCAGCAGUUGGAAAUUCGUUCAAUUUAGAUAUAAUUCCAACCUUUUAUAUUUGAGCCUCCUUAUGUAAUUAUUCCAGCUGCAGCAGCAGUUAAAUUCACAAAUAUCAAAUUAGACACCAAAUUUGAAUAUGCAUGUAAUUACAUAUGAAAUCAAAUAGCCCCUUAAAUACAUUGAAAAUUUCUACAAGAUUUGGAAAGCAUUGAAGAUUUGAUUGCAACUGCGUACUGUAUAUUGUCAGUACAUGGAAAUUUUUUCCGUUACGUAAUUGAUAUAACUAGCUAAAAUUUCCAUAGUCAUUUCCAACUUCUAGAUGAGUGCUUAUCAGUAUUAAUUGCGGUAUACGAUUAAUCUGCCGGAUUUCCUAAGCAUAGACAUGCAUGCAAUCAAAUUUGAAGUCCGGUGAGAUUCAAAUUUGAAGCUUACUGUUCUGCUAUAUGUGAGAUAGUUAUUUGUCUGGAAGAGAUCUGUUUUAAUUAGAUGAGUGAAUAUUUGUUCAACAUAUUCAGGGUCAAUUGUACAUCUGGUCCUCAAACUAUGUGGCUUCUUCUCAAACUUUAAUUUGUUGUAAUUGCUAAUUCAAACAUUUAAAAUUAUCCAAAUUAAGUUGUAUAACCCAAUUUAGUUGACUAAAUGUUACUGUAUCGCUAAUAUAGAAGUGAUAUAGCAGUAUCAUGAUUGACGAUGUGUGUCAAUAAUUAAGAUGCUGUGUCACUUUUACAUCAGCAGACGACUUAGCCGACCAGCACUUAUAACUCGUAGAAUCCUAAACUAUAUAAAAUGCUAAAAUGUAAUUAUUAUUAUUAUUAUUGGAUCCUUCGAUCUUUAUAUUCUUACUUACAAUUUCUUACCAACGUGAUGUGGAACUUCUGGGCCAAGGAAGAAAUUGUCCUAAUUUGGUUAAUCAGCCAUCGGUGCUAACUCAUAUUCCCUUGCUGGAUUUUUCAACCUUUCUACAUUUUGAAUUUAUUUUCUUAUUAGGAGUUGUGGAAGAAUGAAGAUUGAAAAUGGAGAUGCUAUUCAUGGCAAAUCCUUAGGCAGUAUAGACGUGACGGAGUUGACAACAUAAUAUCUCGGAUAUAUAAAUUGCACGCGCAUUUGGUCCUAAGUAUAUUUUGGUCUUUAGAUUUCACUUUUUGUAAAAUUUUGAUUCAAACAUUUAGAAUUAUUACUAUCAAGUUCUAUAAUCCAAUUAGUUGACUAAAUACUAAGGUAUUGCUAGCAUAGAAGUAAUGUAACAGUAUUGGGAUUGAUGCUGCAGUAAUAAUUAAAAUGAUACAUCACUUUUAUAUCAACAAUGUAUCAAUAUCUGGCCAACUAAACUAUGUUGUUGUGGGACUUAAUUACGAAAAUUCUGAAAGAUCGAAUCAGGAAUUGUAAUAUAGUUUGAGGACCAAACGUGCAAUUUUACCCUAUUAAUUGUUUCUUUCUAGCAGGGGAAAAAAGAAAAAGGAUAAAGCGGCGCCCUACCCGUGGUUUAGCAUAAUUUUACUUUACCACUGUAUGACUCGAAAAGUUAUACUUAACUAAGUUUGAAUUCUAGUUGAUUCACAUUUCCAGUUAAGUUUAUUUCUAAAUGAAAUAAACGAAACGGGUAGCGUGCUACCUAUCUCUAAAAAAAAAAACUAUCAUGUCGUCAAAAGGACCUAUAGUAAAAUAGGAUCGUUAAAUGAAAUAUUUUGCAAACUACGGGAUGGUACAAUAUAGCAUCUUAUUAUUUUAUAAUCUAAACUUUAUAAUUUGUAAAAAAAAUACUACUUCAAUAUUCUAUUUAGUAAACGAUUUUACGGUGAGACAAUAUCAAAAUUAAAAGAUUAUUAAGUGCAACUUUUUAAACUAUAGGGAUGUAAAAUAAAACGCGCUAUCUCCAUGGAGGAAGGUAGGCAAAUAGAAUUAAACAUCCACUAAAAAAGAGCAAAAGGUUAGCCUGAUUACAGUUAGCCACUGAAGUUGAAAAUUACCACGUAAGUAAUGAUAAAUUAGUUUACAUAGCUAUCUUGCUGGAUUUUUUGUUUUCUACUUGCACGUGGCUAUCCCAUAACAAAUUAACUUUUAUUUUAAAUUUCAUAAUAUAGUAUGGAAAUUUUAUAGUUCAACAGUUUUUGACAAAUAAGUUUUAGGUCUCUGGCAAACAAGUUUUUAAGUUUGGAUGAUAAUUUGUACUUCUGCAGAAGAAAAUUUCAACUGAUUCUACAAAUUUGCACUCUGAUUUACCAUCAGCUGGUUCUAGUUUAUGUUUUUCUUGGCAAGAUAUAUGGUGCCUAAAAAUUAAAUUAAAAAAGUUCUUUUAUUUUUAUAGGGAAUUAUUGCAUCAAUCUAGAUCUAUAUAUACAAAGUCUCCAAAAUCCAAACUUACAUGUCCUACAAUCUAAAUGCAAAUAAGCUUGGCUGGGGUGCUAGUAAUAUAUAUAGCACAACAAAAGCUCUUCAUAAUUGAAGAGUGAUUUUUGAUGUUUAGACAUUUGUUUUGACGAUCAGCAACUUUUAAUAUGUCGUAAUUAACUUCUCAAGAAUUAAUUCCAUAAAUUUCUUACUUCAUUUACUAUAUGAGCUCAUGGGGUUUGAAAAGAAACAAUUUUAAUGGUGUGUAUGAGUUAUUUUCUACUGUAAUAUAUGGUGUCAAAUAUUUUUUUUCUUUUUAACUAUCUAGGUGAAGUUCUACUUUUUUGGUUAUGAACUUAACAAUUGCACCCUUUAUGUUUAGAGGCUAGCUUGUUGUUCAGUUUGCAGUCGUUUGAUGAAAUAGAAAGCAAUUUCACACAAUUGAAAACUUGGGUUCCAAGAAAAAUCAAAUACCUGAGUUCAUAUUCAACAGUGUCAAAUUGCUGAUUUAAAUAUUACAGGCCGGGUCAAAAAUAAGUCGAUAGUACAAAAGGUUAGAGCUAUAAUUAAUAGUACCCCUUCUCCACUCAAUGUAAAUUAAAUCUCUACAUAUUAUUUAAAUCACUGCAAAGGUUAAUAUUAUCUAUAGCUUAAAUAUUUAAAUUAAUGUCAAGAGAUGUUAACUGUUUGAAGAUGUUUUAAUUAUAUGCUAAUUAUGUUCAUAUAUAUUUAUAUAAGUGUUUAGCAUAUCCUUUCAAAUUGUAAAUUUGCGUAGAAAUUAAAAAGUGUGAGUGACACACGCAGUUACCCUAUGUCUUAUACCACGUAGUAAUUGGACGACAUAUUUUCAAACUAAGGCUACGGACCUCUUCAGAGCUUAUUGCAGAAUAUAGCUAGCGCUAUCAAUUAUCAAUAGAAUAUAGUUUUUUGAAGAAAUAUUGGAUUAGGCACUAUAACAAGUUUACUCAAGGACUUUUCUCACCAAUAAAAUUAAUCUGAUGCUCUAAAAUUACUAGGUUUGAACCGUACGUUCAAUAGUAUUAAUUUUUGCUUUCUCCUGCGCGCAGGAUGUUUUAGGAUUGUAAAUAUUACGUUAAUUAGGAAGAAUUCUAACUGAAAGAAGAAGGUCCUCGAAGAGUUAGCUAGGAGUCUUCAAAGAAAAUUAUGCUUAGAAUGAGAAAAACUGAUGGCGGCUGAGGACAUUUUCCCUUUUUUUUUUCUUCCACCAGUUAGGUUUCUAGGAAUCGCUUAUCCAAAUUUAAAAAGUUGAUCAAAGUCACCUUACGGUGCAAAUUUUUCCACAACUCUCCUUGCUAUAAAGAGCGACCAAACCAUCUUGGUUUCGCCGUGCCAAAUUAAUUCUUGUGUAAAUUAAGUUCGCUAAAUUUAGAUAAAAUUUUCGCAACAUAGAGCGAAGAUGGCGAAGAAGAGCUUGGUAGUGCUGACGGUGGCAACAUUACUAGGCCUAGCGUCGCUCGUCGCGGCGACGCCUGGCACAGCGACCUACUACACCGUCUACACACGUAUAUAUGCAUGCAUAUGUUUUCUUUUUCUUUUUGAUAAGACGGACGAUCGAUCGAUGUAUGUACAUGUAUGUGUAAAUUAAUAUGCAUGCAUGCAUGCGCGCGCGUGUGCAGCCUCGGCGUGCUAUGGGUACCAGGAUGAGGGGACGAUGAUCGCGGCGGCGAGCGAGAGCAUCUGGAACAACGGAGCGGCGUGCGGGCAGAUGUACACCAUCACGUGCACCGGCGCGACCAACCAGGGCGUGCCGCAGCCGUGCACGGGCCAGAGCGUGACGGUGAAGAUCGUCGACUACUGCCCUCCGCCGGGCUGCCAGGCUACCUUCGACCUUUCUGAGCAAGCCUUCGCAAUCAUCGCCAAUACCGCCGCCGGCAAGAUUGACAUCGACUACAAUCUGUAAGUCCUUUAUCUCUCAAAAAAAACAUUCUAGCUGUAAGUCCUCCUCAAUCGAUCGCUAUAUAUAUAUAUAUAUAUAUAUAUAUAUAUAUAUCUAUCAGAGGCUAGCCACCCGCGUGUUCUUUUCUCUUAAUUAAUCUAACAGCUUAAUUAAACAUUAAAAAGAAACAACCAGCCGUUCGUUCGCGUCGUAUGGUACAUGAGAUCGAUCGGAUUCCGAUGGACUUCUAAUAAUAUUUAAUUCUCUUCCAUUUAAUUUAGCUUUAUGUAUGUUCCAUUAUUAAAGGUAUUAAAAUAUAAUUUUCUGGUAGUUUUAGCUAGCUAGGGCUUUUAAGGCAAACAUUUGUUUUAUGGUUUGCAUAUGAACUACGCUAAAAAAGAAUUUCAGAUUGAGAAAACACUUUUACGAGUGUGUGGUUGAGAGUCUUUUUAAGCAUCUUGAGAAAACAUAUAUAUGUGUCUUUUCAUUUUCUGAGUGUUAUUUUUUCUAUAUAUGUAAAACAGAAAUUGGGGACUACAAACACAGAGAUCUCUCUUGCUUGCCUAGUCACACUCGCUUCGUUUUGUUUUCUUAAAGUCAAAACAAUCAUGCCACCUUAAUUAAUUUUGAGGAAAAAUAUUUGGAGAUCCUUUGAACUUAAACUCUUUAAAUAAAUAUGUACAUGAACUUCCAAAUUUGAUAAUUAGAUUCUCUAAGUUUUACCAAAUAGUUUAAUAUAUACGUCUCUCUUCUUUAGUGUAAUUACUAAUUAUACAAUCGUUCUGAACACAUAUCUUACACAUAAUCUUAUAAGACUUCACAGUAUAAAAAAAUUUUAUUUUUUUUCUCUUUCAUUUUUAAUAAUUAAAUUUGAGAAUUGAAUAAUAUGGUGAGUCUAAUUUUGAUUUCUGUUAUUUUUUUGUUUCUUAAUUAGAAUAUGAAAAAUAGAUAUAUUUUUUUGUUUCAAUGUUUUAUCAGAUAUAAGCGCAAUAUCGAACAAAAUAGUAAUUUACAACUUCAUCCAAGACGAGGGGUUUGUUGAAUUAUUAGAAAAAGUUGAAGAAAUCUAAUUACUAAAAUUGAAAGUUUAAACACUUGUUUACAAAAGUGGUAAAGUUUAGAGGGUCUCUAUAUAUUUUACCCAUUAAUUUUAAAGAAAAUGCUAGUGUUACACCUUAAAAAAGGAGAGUGUAAAUUUUACAUUUCUCAUCCUAUCCUAGGUUUCAUAACCUUUCCUAUUUUUUUUAAUAUUAGAAAAAGUUGACAAGACAUCACAAAAUUAUUAGUCCUUGAAUAAAAGGGUAUAAGAUUUAUAUUCACUUUUAGACGUGUAAGAUUUAUAUUCUUCUUUCUUUGGAUGUAUAGACAGUGUUGUUCUAUAUAUAUAUAUAUAUAUAUAUAUAUAUCGAACCAAACAUGAAUAAACAUAAUUACUUCGUUUUUCUAUGAAAAUUUAUUUCCCCUUGUCGCUAUAUUUGAACAAUUUUACAUGAAAUCUAAUUAAUGUAAUGUAUUUUUUUUUUCUUUUCAACACUAACUUUUCUCUCUCUCUCUCUCUCUCUCUCUCUCUCUCUCUCUCCUUGUGGACCUUCUCUAAUGAUUUGACAGGGUUUGAGAAUCACUAGAGUGAAGAAUAAUGGUGGAGUAUUUCCUCCCUCUAUCCAGGAAAGAAAUAAGCAUUGACUUCUUCCGAUAAUGGUUGUUUAAUAAAACUCUGUGCAGAUCGGAUAGACUGCAAAGAACUAAUGGAAUAAAUAAAGUAUCACUUUCGAUAUUAAUUGUUCUAUUUCUACUUUCGGAUUUAUUUUUUUUUGUUUUUUCGGUUUGUUGGUUGAGUGUAAAAAGAUUAUCGAGAAUUAAUGCAUGGACGGGGAAUACUAACCUAAUCUAUAUCAAUAUACUAGUUAAGGGACCCGCGCAAUGCGGCGGAAAUUUUUUUUACAAUUAAUCACUAUGGCUUCCUGAUUAAUAUUUUUCAGUUCAAUUAGGAGUAUUUACAAUUUGGAUUCCAACCAAAAAUCUAACCGAACCGAACCAAAUAAAGUUUUUUUGGUUUAGUUAUAUUGGUUUUUUAAACUUCUAAACCAACUAAACCGAACCGAAGCUGCAUAGUUACACACAAUUAUGUAUGUAGUUCGGCCACUAUACUCUUAUAAGUAUAGAUAUUUUUAUACUAAUAAGUUUUGGGCUACUAAAUCUACCCCUUUGAAUAUUUUCAUCCGAUAAAUCAUAUUAUUUAAUUAAUCACCCACUCAAGCGUAGAGAAUCAUUGUCAUAAAUAUAAAGGAGUCUAUAUUCAUACGAAUAUAUAUAUAUAUAUAUAUAUAUAUAUAUAUAUAUAAUGGGAGUGUAUAUACUUCUAUUUUUCAAUUUUUAAAAAAUUCUUAUUUAUUAAUGGAUGUAAAAACUUGGCAAUAUUUUAUAUUACUUAUAAAAGAUGAAACGGAAUAGAUGAAACAAAAUAAACCAAACCAAACCAAAAAAACCCCAAAUUCAAAAUCAAAAUUUGUAUCUCAAAAUAAUUUACAAUACAUGAUUAUUGGAGAAAACAAACCCCUCUACUAUCUAUAACUAUUCUUAUCUAUGUGUAUUAAUGCAUUUAAGAAUUUUCUUUUAAUCUCGAUGUUGAAUAAUUUAAAAUUAAAUAAUAAAAAUAAAGUAAUAGUUUUUACGUUUUUUUCAGGAGAAUAUCUAAACUAAAUCAUAAAACUCAUUGAUGUAACAUUAGAAAAGAUUAAUAAUAUUUUUCUACCAUCAUCACUAUAGAAUUUACAAAUGAAAAAUAUAAGAAACUUAAUUGGCAUUGCUAGUUCAUUAAUUUUGACAUUUGCAUCUAUGCUUAACAAUAUGUAUUAUUUGAUAUAUAUUUGGCUAGAAAAAAUAAUAAUAAUAUCAAGUUUAACUACUAAUUUGGUAUCGAAUCGUUAGAUGUUAGAGGGAAAAAAAACAGUUCCAUGCCCAAGCAACAAACAACCAAUAAAUAAGGGAGCAAAAUGAAAUAUGAGAAAAAUUAAUUAAACGUUGGAAUUUUUUCUUUAGGAUAAAUGUUGGAAAAUUUAUGAUCUUAAGCACUGACAGAUAGAAAAUAUGGCCAACGGCAAGUUAGAAGUAAACACAAACCACAGCAAAAGCACCACCGGUAGUUUCAACACCAAAGUAUAUAGAGCCAUAUACAGUAAAAAGAAAAAACUGUAGGCCGGAGGAUGCAAAACAUAUAACCACAGAAAUUAUCCAGAAACGACAAACCUGAAGGUUAAUUGUAACUAAUACAGCGGCCAACUUGAAGACAAAUUGCUUUUAAAAAGAUCUCCAGAUUUAUGGCCAAACAUGUGAGAAAGAAAAAGGAGUUUGUCCCUGCAAAAUCUAGAAAUUGAAUCAAAUUAAGUUAUGAGAGUCCCAUGAAAUUUCUAGAAUCAAAUUAAGUUAUGAGAGUCCCAUGAAACAUUAGUUUGUUUCAAUUGACUAUUUAAUCCUUAAUUUCGGCUUUUCUUAAUUUUUUUUUGGGAACAAUCUUUAGUGAGAUGAUAGUUUUCUUUUUUUUUAUUUUAGAACAAUCUUUAGUUAGAUGACAGACACACAUCUCGAAUACUUCUUAAAUUAUAUGAGCAUUCAAAAAAAGAAGGCUAUUCAAGUCGAUUGAAGAUUGUUAAUGAUAAUUAACAUAAUUGAGGGAUCGGCAGCUAAUAUAAUUCCUUUAUUUUUUUUUAGUUUAGAUGUCGAUAUACAACCAAGCAAACAUUUAGGGAAAUUGAUGUAUUCUCCUCCAAUUAAAUUAUGUCACUUCAAUAAAAGACUAAGAUAUCUUCACCAAUAAACUAUAAAGAAAGUAACAUCAUAUGAGGGUGAGUUAUAAACCUUAACUUUUCAUAAGUAGACAUUAGUGCGGCAGAAGGAGGUGCACCGCUAUAUUCUAUGGCGACGUCAUCUCUACCUUCUCGAUUGCCAGCAUAUUUCCCACCUAUCAUGCAACCGUAGUUGUCUCAAACAAUGUAUUCGGCAUCAUUAUUAUACAUUCAUGAUCAAAAAAUUAAGCACCACUAAAUUAUUUACUAAUUACGUAGCUACCCUGAAUUUUAAAGCAUACCAAACGAUCAUUGCCAUUCGGCUAAAAAGACAUUUAUUUCCACCUUUUUUGUUUGAAAUAAAUAAUUAUUAUCCCAUGCCAGUUAGAAAAUAAUCUCACAAUAAAGAAUAAUUUGAUUAUUUUAUGCGAUGUAGUAGGGAGGUAUUAUAACAAUUAAUAUUAUAUAUUUUAUAUGUACAAAUAUAUGAAAAAAAUGUAAAACCUACACAUGUGAUUCGAUUAGUAGUUGGGAAACAAAUCAAUUUAAAGAAGCAAAAGAGAAGUGUUGGCAUUCGGUUAAAUCGAAUCGGGUACGCCCAUAAGCGGGUUCGAUCCGACGGAUAUUAUGUUAUCUAAUUGGAUUAGGAUUAAUCUCGCUUUCAAAUUGGAAAGCUAAUUAGAGAUAAAUCUAAUCAUAUUAGGAUAACAAAUAAUAACCGAUUUGGCCUUAUCUCUAACGCUAUNACGCCCAUAAGCGGGUUCGAUCCGACGGAUAUUAUGUUAUCUAAUUGGAUUAGGAUUAAUCUCGCUUUCAAAUUGGAAAGCUAAUUAGAGAUAAAUCUAAUCAUAUUAGGAUAACAAAUAAUAACCGAUUUGGCCUUAUCUCUAACGCUAUUAGGAUUUUGGAAUUCCUUAUAAAUAGACGGGCGAUCCCACAUGAAACGAUGUACAUGGAAAGAACGAAAAAGAGAGAAUAAGAAAAUAAUAGAGAGAAACCACAUCCUCCAUUGACCUAUUAUUCUAGAGGGACUUGCACGGUGGAUUUGCGAUCGCGCUCGUUUGUAGUUCGAUCCACCGCGAGUUCGUGGAGCGUGAGAAGACAUUCAAGGACGAUCCGAGGACACGUGAAUCAAUCUAAACGAUCCGGGCUCAUCGCGUUGUUGCGCGAAUCGCUUCCGAAAAAGGUACGAACGAAUACUUCCGCUGCGUUCUACAAGAAGAAACACGUUUUUCUUAGUUACAAAGAGAAAUAAAAAUGAGCAAUUCAACCAAUAAAUAUAGAAUAUUUAUUGCAUUUCAUAUUAUUCUCUUAAUAUCGGUCAAUAUUUAUACGAAGCGAAUCAAUUUGUGCAAUAAUUAGCUAACCCUCUUACAUGUUACUCCUUAAUAGAGUAUAAUACCAACAAAAAAGGAAAAACAACUUUUGCUACUUAGUUGAUAUUUACCUAUACUCCAAAGUCUAUAGUGAUUGUGGCUUUACAACGUUUAGAUAGAUCUUUCCUCACAUAUCCCAGCCUGGUUUCUUCCAGAAUCAUCACUUUAAGGUAUGAAAAUCAAUAUGGUAUUGGAAAAGGAGAAUAAACGAUCAAAGAGAAAGGACAAUCCAAAAGGGAUUAGGAAAAAGAAAAUGAUCAGUUUAUAGCCAGUAUUGAGGUUGUCCAAUUAUGAAGCUGUGAGAGUUGAGAAAUGGCAUUGUUCUCUAUCUGUUUUUCUUUUUCGUGUGUGUGUAUGCCUCCCUCUUUGAGAAGCUACUCCUCCAUGUCUCAUCUCCUGCAGAAAAGAAAAACAAAUUCAAGAAAAUCAUGAAUUUAAAAAAAAAUCAAAAAUAGAGGAGGUAUUUUCGCAAGAAAAAUAAAUUCUAGAAGACUAAUCAAAAGUGUUUAGUUAGCUCAGGAAAAUUAAAGAAAGAGUAAUUGAAUUGAUAUUACCAGAAAUAGUAAUAAACAGAUAAACUUGAAGACACUUCACAGAUACUAAGUUAUCCAAUAAGAGAACGGUGAACUUUAAUAGAUAUAUCAAUAAUUACAGUAAUAGAGACAGCAUCAAUAAUUGGAGUAACAGAGGCGGCAUAGGUUCCCAAUAGUUUAGGCAAAAUAAUAAUAACAAUAAAAACCACUAAAUAAAGCAUGGAUAAAUUAAAAGACAUGCCUCCACCAAUAUCAUAUGCAUGAAAUUCAUGAGUUUUUUCCUACAUGUCGAACUGUUUCAUUAUUCAGAACGAUAAGAGAUAGUAGGAAAGAAAAGUAAGAACUUAAUUAGUAAUCUAAUAUCACAAUGCAUAGGAUAAAAAAAAAGUAGACUGAAAAAACAAAUAUUAACAAUACAAAUGACUUGAGAUAUUUAAUAAAACUCAAAAGUAUCAUUUAAAUUGAUAAUUCCACUUUUUUUUUUCGGCUUUUGUUUAUAGUGUCUAUAUUUCGUUCACAACCUACUUAUAGAGCUAAAACUAAAUAUUAUAUUGUCAGCAUGUGAUCUUCUUUAGCCUCUCAUCUAUAAAGUCAAAAAUGCAACUAUGGAAUCAUUAUAUUAAAAUCUUAGACCUGUGCAAUUCUAACUUGCAUCGCUUCUUGCUUAAGAUUACGUUAACAUUGAUUACUAUAAUACUUUGACCAAAUCAAUUACUAAAGUGAAUCUAAGCCAAUAGAUUAAAGCGUUUACUCUGUUGGCUGAAAAUUAAAGUCUUGACUGCUUAGAACUGAAUUUUGUUAUUGCAUCAACAACUUGUUAAAUUCAUUAACAUGGUAGAAUCACGGCGUUUGAUCUCUAAUUAGUAAAAUCAUCUAUCCAAACAUCUCAUUCGUGGACCAAAUUUAUUUAUUAGAGCUCAAGGCUUAAAGUUGAAUAAAGAGAAAACUCCCGUCCUGAAAUAGCAAAUAAAUUCUACAUUUAAAUGACAUCGUUAGACAAAAUCCUUAUCGGCCUAAAUUUGGUAAAAUGACACAAUUUUCAUACUGUUAACUAUAAUUUUUAGAUUUCGCCUGAGAUUUGAGAUCACUGCUCAAAAUCCUUAAAUAAUGCAACAUCAUAGCACCUCUGUCGAUUGAUAAUAAUAGUUGUGAGUCUACAAAUCCUCACCACAAUAAGAAUAACAUAAAAGCUAAUGAAAAGAUUUUGGUAAUAGCUAUGACUCUACCUCAGAUUUGUGAUUGGAGAUAUAUAGGUGAUGAGUGCAGAGUGGAAUCUGGAGAAGCCAAUCUUUUCGAAUGCAUAGAACCAGCCGUCGAUUUGUGAGGUUCAUUUAUGGCUACACAUUUUUCAAUUGUUGGUGCACGUUCAUUGGAAUAGUGCUGGAUUUAUAAAGUAGGCUACAAAACAUGUCAAAGCAUGUCUUCACUUAAUUCUAGUUAGCAAGAAUUUGAUUUUUUUCAUCCAUUAAAGAAUUGCAGAACCUCUUAAGAACGCCAUGUUCUAUGUUAAGCAUGUCACAUUCACUACGUAGAUUUUCGUACUUUCGAGAAAUACGAUCAUACAAUUCUUCUAUCUUUUUUUCUUUCAUCAUAAUUAGCAUCUCUAAUUUCGAAAUCAAGCUGUUUGCAUAAUGUUCCAACAGCAACCCGGGCCGGAUCCUCCUCAGACUCAUUCGAAUUUGUAGACGGCGAACCCCAGCAUGUAAUAGCCUCCAUAAAUCGACUAUACCUUAAGACCUAUACAUCAAUAUAUGUGCAAAAUUGGCCAUUGGAUCCUUGGCAGUGUUAGACAAAAUCCCUUGUCCUAAAUUUGGUAAAAGGACGCAAUUUUCAUGCUAUUAACUAAAAUUUUGAAGCUUUCACCUAAGGUUAGAGUUCACUACUCAAAAUUCUUCAAUAAUGCAACAUCAUAGCACCUCUAUCGGGAAAAAUAAGUUCUAACUAAUAGGAUCAAAAUUAGAUAUGUAUGUGUCAUAUUUACUAAUUUGUUACAUAUUUAGGUCAGUUUAAAAAUGUUGAAUUCUAGUAAAUCCAGGAAUUAAUUACAUUCAUUUUUUGUUUUAUAUCUAUNUGUGCUUUCCUUGGCCUCUGCGUAUAAGUAAUUUUUGAAUUGUAGGCUUUCCUGUUCAUUGUUCUUCUACAUAAUAUAUAUACUUAUUUUGAUUUACUAAUUUGUUACAUAUUUAGGUCAGUUUAAAAAUGUUGAAUUCUAGUAAAUCCAGGAAUUAAUUACAUUCAUUUUUUGUUUUAUAUCUAUAACAAACAUAUGUAUUACAUAAGUAAAUCAAAAUAAGUAUAUAUAUUAUGUAGAAGAACAAUGAACAGGAAAGCCUACAAUUCAAAAAUUACUUAUACGCAGAGGCCAAGGAAAGCACAACAACUGAAAAAUAUCAUUUUUUUCAAUUUUUAGAAGUUCUACAUAUCGAAAAGCUUUCAAAUUCAGAGCCAGACAUACAUGAAAAAAAUAAUAAGGUAACAAAUUUUCAAGUCGAAGAGGAAUUUUUUUUUUAACUAAAGAAAAAGUACAUAGUAGACUAAUCAAAAUAAUAAAACAAUCCAAUAAUUAGAUCAUCAAUUGUGUUGCAAUUCACUCAUUUUUUAUAUUUUGUUUAGAUCAGCAGAUGAUGGACUCAACACAAAAAAUUUAUAACACACACAUGCAUACAAUAGAAGACUUAUGAUCUGGGAGCUUGCCGAUUCAGAUCUGGACGUUUUUUUUUUAUAAAGAAAUAAGGUAGUUAAAUCUAAGUAAUCAAAUUGAUAAACAAAUCAACAAAUACUAUCAAAUUAAUAAAACAAAUUAACAACUACUAACUAACCGACGAAGAUCCAAUUAAUGGAAGCUACCACAUGCAGGGCUGCAGGAGGAUUAAUAGAGAGCACUUGGAACAGAUUUUGGAAUUUUGAAAAUCUUCUUAGAGGCAUCUUGAUACAAAAUCAAACAGUAUUUAGUAUUUUAUUAAAAAAAAUUUAGUAUUAGGCAAACUAAAAUAGGAAAAAAAAAAAAAGCAUUUAAAACUCACAGGAGAUAUGCAUGGAAGCGUAGAUGUAGUAGGAUGAACAACAAAAGAUUGUAGAUGACCAUUAAGAGGUAUGGAAAGAAGUAUAGAACAACCCUUCGGAAUCAACAGGUUUAAAUAUCCGAUGCGGCACAGGAGACGAAACGAUAUUGAAUCGGUAUCAUUUUUUCGUCUGGAGAGGGAAUCAACCGACGGAAUGAAUCGGCAUUAUUGGAAACGGCGGGAGUGAAGAAGGAUCGACAACGCACCUUCUUUAAUUUUCCAUCCGUAGAGCAGGAACCCUGGUUGUCGAAGCGACGGGAAUGAAGAAGAGAGCCGGUUCAAUUUUGAGAAGGGAUUCCGGUUGGGUUCAACUCUUAGAAUAGGUUCCGAUCUUUUUUAGAUAAAAAAAACCGGAAAAAAAUCGUUUAAGGCAAAACUGAAACAAUGAUAGGUAGGCCCCAUAUAUAUCCAAAAUUAAGCUAAAACAUGCCACGUGUACAAAAGAUUAGGGGAAUUAAUAGAGGUUAUAGAUAUACUUACUAUAAAAUAAUUGGGUGCCAUGUGUAAAAUAUAAUGGGUAAAAUUAGUUCUUACUUACUAUAUAAGAAUAAGAAUAUAUUUUACCCAUUAUAUUCUUAUAUAUACUUAGUUCUUUACUCACUAUAUUAAAGGUGAGUUGACAUCAAAAAAUAAUUGGGUGCCAUGUGUCCCCUCCCAACCAACUGCUCAACUAUAAAAUAAAAUUAACUGCAACUAGUAAGUAAAUAUCAUAGGCCCAACCUAAUUAAAAUAUAAUUUAAUAGAUAUGAUUUUAUACUAUAUAAAAAAUUUAUAUAGGGUUUUAACUUUUAUAGUGUCGUUUUAGGAUAUAAAGUGUAUAAAAUUUGUUUAUACAUUAUUUCAUCUUUCCUUCUCAACUAUGAAAAAUCAUCGCCUACCCGCUUGUACUAAUUAGUUACAUAUGCCAAACUGAUCAAUAACAAUUCAUCCAAAUAUUAAUAAAAUUUUAUUUUUUCCCAUUAUCUAUCAAUGCCUUUGUAAUCAACCCAAUAUCACAUUCAAUCCAGUGUACUAAAAAUACUGUCUCAGAAACAACCAAAAGGACCUUAAACUGAGACUUUAAAUAUAUUUUGUAUUUAUACCUAUAUUCCUUAAAUCAUAAAAUAUUUCUGUCUGUUACUAUGAUUGUCAGAGCAAAUUGAUGAGUAGUUACUUAAUAGAUUUUAAAAUUAAUGAUUUUUCUAUACAAAAAAACUUUAAAUAUUUUAAAUUAUACCUACUGAAUUAAAAAUUUAUUUUAAAAAUUUGCAGUUAAAUAUUAGUACGGUGUUAGAGAUACACCUGGUGUGGGCAUAUACACGUGCAAUUUUUUUUGUCUAUCCUAACGUCAAAUUCAAUACGAUGGUCCUCCAACUCGGAAAAUAUUAUUUAAUUAUGCCAAGUGCACCCCAUAUCUAUUCAUUGUUCAUCUAUCAAUCGUCUUUCCGUAUUAAAUAUAAAUAUAUAUAUAAACCAUUUAGAUAAAUUUAGCAAUCUUUUUAUUAUGUUUUUGACCAAUGGAUCAAAAAAUGUAUAGGAUAAAAGGAUCGUAGACAGGUUGUGCAUGCAGUAGACAGGUAGUGCAUGCAGUACUUCCUAUGAUUUUGUCAACGUUUUUGGAGAAGAAGUCCGCUUUAAUCUCUCCUUUCGAUCUUUCCAAGAAGAAGUUCCAAAUCAAGCCGUUGCAUCUCUUUUUGUAAUAAUUGUUAGCUUAAAUGGCCGAGCAUCCUAUCCUGUGGCGGGAGACCAUGUGGGCUGAGUCAUGUUCGAAAUGGCGUGAGGCUGGGUUGGGCCGAGUCAUGUUCGAAGUGGCGUGAGGUCAGGUUGGCCGAGUUACAAUCGAGACCCUUGGGCGCUGUUUCUGUACGCUUUAAGUGAAUUGGUUGCGUAUUUCUAACAGCUCGAGCUUUUGGGAAUAAUGGUUAGCGCCAACGAUCCGACAAUAAUGGUUGGGGUGUAAUUGCCGAAGCCAAAUUUUUCUCCGAUUUCCUACUAAGUGCAUCGGCCACGACGUUCACUUUUCCGGGGUGGUAUAGGAUAGUGACAUCAUAAUCUUUCAACAACUCCAACCACCGCCGCUGUCGCAUAUUCAACUCCUUUUGGGUGAACAAAUAUUUAAGACUUUUGUAAUCCGUGUGGAUCUCGCAAUGUUCACCAUACAAGUAGUGCCUCCAUAACUUUAGCGGGAAAAUAAGCGCCGCUAGCUCAAGGUCGUGAAUCUGGUAGUUCUCUUCAUAAGUUUUCAACUGGCGCGAAGCAUAAGCUAUAACUCGGCCGUUUUGCAUCAAGACAUACCUGAGACCAACAUAGGAAGCAUCACUGUAUACCACAAAGUUUUCCCCCGGCGUCGGCAAUGCAAGCACCGGGGUUGUCGUCAACCUUUCCUUCAACUCUUCAAAGCUCCGAUCGCAAUCGUCGCUCCAAACAUACUUGACUCCCUUGUGUGUGAGGCACGUUAGCGGAGUGGUUAUUUUGACGAAUCCCUCCACGAACCGCCGGUUGUAGCCCACAAGUCCAAGAAAACUGCGGACCUCCGAUACGCUCGUCGAGUGAGGCCAAUCUUUAAUUGCCUCUACUUUCUUCGGAUCCACCUAAAUACCCUCAUCCGAAAUCACAUGGCCUAAGAAUGUGACCUCCGAAAGCCAAAAGUCACAUUUCUUCAACUUAGCAUAUAACUUCUCCUUUCGAAGUUAUAUGAAUUUAUGUGAAUUUUAGAACACUUAAAAUGAAAUUUAUGUGAAUUUUAGAACACUUAAAAUGCAUGUGUUAUGUAUAAGAAAAUUUUCACUCUAUAUAGUAGAGCAUUCUGGGUAUUGUUACAUGCAUUUGAGUAGUGUUCGCACUAGUCGUUUGGAAACAUGCUUCAUAUGUUUAAAGUGGCUCAAUUAUGCAUUUAUGAACAUUUGGUUUAAGCUUGGACUUAGUAAAUAAAAGUGUCAUAAAGGAGCACUUGGAUUAGCAAACUAUGAGACUAUUGUAUUGAGACUUAGAGAUAGGCCUUAGACAUCUACUACUUUCCAUGUUUUAGACAUGAUGAGAUAGAGAUAGGCCUAUGAGAGAGUUGUGAUAUAUUCCAUGUUGUUAGACAUGAGGACUUGGUACUUGAGACGGAUCUUUUGUUACUUGUCAUUGUUCUCAUUCGCACAUGCUUUUGAGGGUCGCUCCCUACAAGCCGGCACUCCGGAGAUGGCCAUCGUGAUACAUAUUCGCCGUGCGGGAUUAGGCGCCGAAGUGGAUUGCCGUGGGAAAGGCUCAUUCCUAGAGUGGGGAUGUUGACUACCACGGGGCCAUUAGACUCGGCACCGGUCAGACAGCCUACGAGUGGGUCUCAGGGCCAGACAGCCUUCGGGCGGGUCUCUUUAGAUUUGAUUUUGAGCAUUCAUCAUGCCAUAUGAAAUUGAUUAGAAUAGUAAAUAAUGACAUCUUUACUAUUUGACUCAUGGACAUCAUACUAGCGAUGCUUGGGUACAUUCUUAUGAGAAUAGCUUUUUCUACUUAUGCUAAAUCAUGCUAAGUAGAGAUAUCAUAUGGUAGCAAAUAUUCAUGCUUAUUUACUUGUCGUACAUAUCGUUUUUGUUUAUAUCUGCUUACUGACCCCUUUUCAGAGCCUUCAGCACCGGCGGAGGCACGGGAUCGCGACAAGGGAGUCACGUAGCUAGUUAGCGGGGAGCAACUUUUGAGCUUAGGUGGUUUACUCUUUCUUUUAUUGUAUUAGAGAGAAAGAGCUUUGCACCAUGUAUAGAGAGACCACCUAUGUACUUGUUUAGCUUUAGUAUUGGGAUUCCUAUUGUAUUCACUUUAUGUUUUUAUUUAGUGGACUUACUUUUAUGUUCUCUUCCCUUAUUGUAGCUUCUAGAUAUACUCCGCUCUGAUGCUUCUAGAUGUUCUCUUUUAUCGUCUUACUUAUCGUUUUGUUUUAGACGCCUUGUAUGUUUUAGACAUACGGCGGGUCUGGGCACGCGCCGGGCGGGCUUUCGCUAGGUCCCGGGGCGUGACAGAUUAGUUUGGUAUCAGAGCCUAGGGUUGAGUCUUAGUAGACCUAGCAAACCUUAGGCCGGUUGGACUAUAGGAAAGAGGCUCGUGAGAGACGAGGUCUAUUUGACUUGUAAGCGAAAGUAUUGUGAUUGGGUAUUUUGGAUAACUCUAGAAAGUGGAGUUAAAUCGAAGUGUAUAGCUCCUGACUUCGCGGAGGGUUACGUUGGCGGCCGACAACGUAACAUCGAGAGUUAGUGGUGAAGCACACUUCCUUACUUUCACAUGAUUUUGGGUAUUUCCUACUUGAGCGGGGAUACGAUAGCGUGGGUUACUAACUUUCGCUUUUAUGAUGUUGUAGUGAGAUGCCGAUCACUCGCUCCCAAUCUGCCGGAGCGGAUAAUGCGGCACAUCUUGAGGAGGUCGAUACCUCCGCUACCUCCGGAUCCGGCGAGGUCCGAGAGUUGAGGAGCCAGCUUGCGGCUCUCACCGACUUAGUGACACAGCAGGAGGAAGCGGCCCGACAGCAGACGGAGGCGGCGCGCUGACAGAAGGCGCGGAUGAAGCGCCUGGAGGACUUUCUUUUACAGCAGGCGGCAGCUUCCAGGGAGACUCAGGCCCCUACACCACCAGCACCAGUUGUGGACGUGGCACCGAGGGCACCGUUACCCGCACCCGGUUCUUCGCGGGCAGCACCCGUGUUUGUUCCCUAGGAGGAGGACAUUGUGGCACCACCGGCUCAGGCGCCACCGACGGGGGCAGUUUUCCCCGUGACGGUUUCUGCUGAGGAAAGGGACAGACUGAUGGAACGCCUCAACGAGUUCAGGAGGUGCAGUCCCCGGAUCUUCGACGGCGAGAAGGUCGACCACUGGAUCGUGGAGAAGUGUUUGAUGCAUAUGGAGAAGCUCUUCUGCGACACCUUCAUGGAUGAGAGAGAUCGAGUUUGGCUCGCCACACACCAUUUGGACGGCGAGGCCUACCGCUGGUGGUUGGAUCUCCAGGAGAACCCCAACACUGAUUUGGCGGCUAUUACUUGGAAGACGUUCAAUGAGCUUCUUUUGGCACAUUACUUCCCGACCAGCGUCAAGAGAAAGAUGGAGCAAGACUUGCGCAACUUGCGCCAAGGAGACCGGGCUGUAGCUGAGUACGAGAGGGAGUUCUCUCGGCUUCUUCAUUGCGUGCCUUUCGUCGUGCGGGACGACGAGGACAAGGCCCGCAUUUUCGAGCGAGGGUUGCGACCGUUGAUUUUCCGGUUCGUGCAAUCCUCUAACCUCCAAACCUAGCGGGAGGUGGUGGAUCGCGCGCUCAUAGUGGAGAACAGCGCGGCAGAUGUCCAGGACCGGCGAGAGGCGAUGAACAAACGUAAGGCCAAGAGGCCUGCGGUAGAGGGUGCGAGCCAGACGCACUCUAAGAGGCCGCCGAAGCAUCCUAGGAGCCAGCAGCGUGGACGCGGCUCAGCAGCGCAGCGAGGAGGUUUUGACUGUCGCCGGCCUUCCCCGUGUGUGAUCUGCGGUGGUCCUCAUUACCCACCGCAGUGUCUACAGUGGGCGGGCAGGUGUUUCCAGUGUGGCCAGGAGGGCCACGUUCGGACUGAGUGCCCGAGAGGUUCAUCAUCAGCACCGUCGACUGCAUCGGCACCGGCUCUACCAGCCGCCAGCCACAGGACUCCAUCAGCGCAGUAUCAGCCUGGGCAGCCAUCCGUCCAGCGCCAGAGCGAGGGUUCUCGAUAGGCCCGGAGUGGGCGUUUGUAUGCUGCUCAGACCGAGGAGGCGGCAGCAGCCGAGGAUGCGGUUGCAGGUAUCAUUUUUCUUGAUGGCAUUAGAGUUCGUGCUUUAUUUGAUACUAGUGCAUCGCAUUCAUUUAUAAAUCGGCUGUUUGCCGAGUUGCAUGGCAUCCCUUUGGUUUUCUUGUUGCAUCCGAGACAUGUUGUAGUACCCGACCACACUCUGGAUAUUAGAGAGUAUUGCCCUAGUUGCCCUGUUCGGGUAGGAGAUUGGAUCAUGCCCGUAGAUUUGCUAGCUCUGCGCAAGCUAGGGAAUUUCGAUGUGAUCUUGGAUAUGGAUUGGCUAACCAAGUACUACGUCACCAUCGAUUGCAAGAAUCGCACGGUUACUUUUAGAGAACCGGGGCAGACUGAGAUUGUAUUUAGAGGAUGGCAAAGUUUGCUUUUUGCGAUGUCGAUCAGCUCGUCUCGAGCUAGGCAGCUGAUCAGCCGAGGAUGUGUUGCCUACUUGGCUAGUGUUGUGUUGAGGGGCGAGGAUGACACCCCUAGGAUUGAGGAUAUCUCGGUAGUACGGGAGUACCAAGACGUGUUUCCAGCUGAGCUACCGGGUAUGCCACCCGAUAGGGAGAUCGAGUUUGUGGUAGAUCUCGUCCCUGGGACUACUUCAAUCUCAAAGGCACCCUAUAAGAUGGCACCGACGGAGCUAAAGGAUCUAAGGGCACAGCUACAGGAUCUGUUGGACUAGAGCUUCAUUCGACCGAGCGUCUCGCCAUGGAGAGCGCCAGCUCUAUUCGUCUUCGCCUAUGUGUGGAUUAUCGUGAACUCAAUAAAGUCACGAUCAAGAAUAAGUAUCCAUUACCGAGGAUCGACGACUUGUUUGAUCAGCUUCAGGGAUCGUGUAUGUAUUCCAAGAUAGACUUGCAGUCGGCAUACCACCAAUUGAAGAUCAAACCCGAAGAUGUAUCUAAGACGGCUUUUAGAACACGGUAUGGACAUUAUGAGUUCACAGUGAUGCCGUUCGGGCUCACUAAUGCCCCGGCAGCUUUUAUGGAUCUGAUGAACUGUGUUUUCAAGUCUUAUCUAGACAGGUUCGUCGUGGUGUUCAUCGACGACUUUUUGGUUUAUUCCCUGAAGCGAUGCGGAUCACGAGGAGCAUUUGAAGCUUGUACUUCAAAUACUUUGGAAAAAGGAGCUUUAUGCCAAGUUGAAGAAAUGUGAAUUUUGGCUUCGAGAGGUAGCCUUCCUUGGACAUUUGAUAUCGGGAUCGGGUAUAGCUGCGGAUCCUAAGAAAAUUAAGGCUAUCAAGAAUUGGUCGAGACCCACGAGCGUUACGGAGAUUCGGAGUUUCCUUGGACUGGCCGGUUACUACCGGAGGUUUGUCGAGGGGUUUGCUAAGCUAUCUACUCCCCUCACGAGGCUCACGCAUAAAGGUGUCAAGUUCAUCUGGAAUGAUGCGUGUGAGAAAAGCUUCCAAGAGUUGAAGCACCGAUUGAUAACCGCCCCGAUCCUGACCCUACCUGUUGCUGGAGCAGGGUAUGUAGUUUAUAGUGAUGCUUCACAUAAUGGAUUGGGCUGUGUUUUGAUGCAGGACGGCAAAGUGAUUGCGUAUGCUUCUCGCCAACUGAAGGAAUAUGAAAAGAAUUACCCUACGCACGAUUUGGAGUUGGCGGCCGUAGUCUUCGCAUUUACGUUAUGGCGCCACUACUUGUAUGGCGAGCGGUGUAAGUAUACACGGAUCACAAGAGCCUCAAAUACCUAUUCACUCAGAAGGAGUUGAACUUGAGACAGCGCAGAUGGUUGGAGCUACUCAAGGAUUAUGAUUUGACUAUUCUUUACCACCCGGGCAAGGCUAAUGUGGUGGCGGAUGCGCGAAGUAGGAAAUCAACGAAAAACUUAGCGAUGCAUGUUGUUACUCAACCGCAGUUGAUCUAGCAGCUGAAGCGGUUGGGGUUGGAGGUGGUGACUCCUGACACGCCUUUGAGGUUGAUGACCUUGGUAGUGCAACCUACACUCUUGGAUAGAAUUAAAGAGAAACAAGCUUCCAAUGUGGAAUUGCAAAAGAUUAAAGUUAAAAUGGUUGAUGGUUGCACCGGCAAUUUCCUUGUGGAUGAUCAAGGAUUGAUGCAUUUCCGUGGACGGAUUUGUGUACCGGCAGAUUCGGGAAUUAAAAAGGAUAUUCUUUAAGAAGCGCACCGAGCACCUUAUGCUAUACAUCCGGGAGGCACCAAGAUGUACAAGGAUUUAAAGUUGCUCUAUUGGUGGCCCGGGAUGAAAAAGGACAUUGGCGAGUUUGUAGCUCGUUGUCUAACUUGCCAACAAGUAAAGGCUGAGCACCGAUUACCCGCGGGAAAACUUCAGAGUUUGCCUAUUCCCGUGUAGAAGUGGGAGAAUAUCACCAUGGAUUUCAUGACUGGAUUGUCCCGCUCUCAGGCCGGGCAUGACGCUAUUUGGGUGAUCGUGGAUAGGUUGACGAAGUCGGCGCACUUCAUACCUAUUCAUACUACUUGGACCGGAGAGAAGCUCGCACAAAUGUACCUUGAUGAGAUUGUGCGCCUUCAUGGAGUGCCUACAUCGAUAGUAUCAGAUCGAGACACUCGGUUUGUGUUUCACUUUUGGAAGAGUCUACAGGACGCUUUGGGCACCCGAUUGGACUUCAGCAUUGCUUUCCACCUUCAGAGUGAUGGGCAGUCGGAGCGCACCAUACAGACUUUAGAGGAUAUGCUUCGGGCAUGUGUGAUAGACUUCCAGGGAGGAUGGUCGCAGCAUCUACCUAUGGCAAAGUUUGCUUAUAACAACAGUUAUCAAGCAAGCAUCAAGAUGGCGCCAUUUGAAGCACUUUAUGGACGGAAGUGUAGAUCGCCACUUCAUUGGAGUGAAGUAGGCGAGAAACUGGCUUUAGGCCCUGAUGUGCUCCAGGAAGCAGAGGAUAAGGUUCGAAUUGCUCGAGAGCGACUUUUGACGGUGCAGAGUAGACAGAGGAGCUACGCCGAUCGACGGAGGCGAAACUUGGAGUUCCAAGUUGGAGACAAUGUUAUCUUGAAGGUCUCGCCAACUAGAUGGAUCAAGAGAUUUGAAAUUUGUGGUAAGUUGAGCCCUAGGUUUAUUGGACCGUAUGAGAUCUUGGAACGUGUAGGUCCGGUAGCGUAUCGACUUGCUUUACCACUGAACCUAUCAGGCGUGCAUAACGUCUUUCAUGUAUCGAUCCUUCGGAAGUACGUUUUUGACCCGACUCAUGUGUUGGAUGGUAUACCUAUGGAGUUACGGGAUGAUUUGAGCUUCGAGGAGCAACCCGUGAAGAUCUUGGCUCACGAGGUGAAGAAACUGCGGAAUCGGGAUAUUCCGUAUGUGAAGGUUCUUUGGAGCAACCAUGGGGAGCGGGAGGCCACGUGGGAGCUAGAGAGCGCGCUGCGGGAGCGCUAUCCCCAUCUUUUUCAGAUGGAGCUUUGAGGUAUGUGUUUGCUUUUGUGUUUCGCGGACGAAACUCCUUUGUAGGAGGGGUGAAUGUAGCACACUGGACCUUUGCAAAUUGCAAGGUUCGAGUGUUUGGUUGGAUUUCGAACUUUUCCACACUUGGUGGAAGGUCGUAGAAGGUAUUCCGACCUAAAAGUUCGAUUCCUGGAGUUUUGGCAUUGUCCUGAGAGUUUUCACUGUCGGGGACCGGUCCUUGAUAGGAGAGACUGGUCCCCUCAAAACAGUGUUGCGACAGGACUUGAGGCAACCGGUCCCUGGCGGGUGAGAUCGGUCCCCGAGCGCGAAUACGCGGGGAGAGACCGGUCCCAUGCGGGGAGAGACCGGUUUCCUAACGUUGGAUUUUUGGGACAGGCUGAGAGACCGAUCCCAGGUCGUGGAGAUCAGUCCCUCAGUCCGAAAACUGCCCAAACCCGGGCAGUGCACAGGUUACUUUUUUGAGGAACCUAGGUGGAUUUUGUUAUAUUUGAAGGCUUAUAGAGCCUUUUCUCUCCCUCUCACCCUCAUUUCUCCCCCUCACAUUCUCUCUACACUCUCUAGAAAGAGAAGAAGAAGGAGAAGAAGAAGGAGUUGGAGGAGAGCAAGAUCUUGAGGCUUUGGAGCAUCUUCCUCUCCCUUUGCUCACCAUUGGAGGCUUGGAGCUUGGGUUAGGAGCUUGAUAGAGGAUCAAUCUUCAACCCCAGAGCAUUUUGAGCUUGGUUUGGAGCUACCAUGAAGGUUAGUUGCUUGUUUCUCCCCUCUAGACCUAUUUUUGGUGGAUUUUGGGAGAUGAAACCCUAAAUUUGGAUUUUAGGGUUUAUUUUGGAGCUUUUUGUUUGGUGGCUUUGGGGGCUAAUCUAAUGAGAUUAGAACCUUGGUUUAGGUUGCCUUGUAUGGGAUUUAGCUUCCGUUUGAGCUUUGAAGAGGGUUCUCUACACUAGGUGAGAGUUUAGCCUCUAUGCCUUGUUGGUUAGAAUUUGAGCUUUCGAUGUUCGUUUCGAUUGUGUAAUCCUUGUUCCUACAUCUUUAUGGUGCUAGGAGAUUAGUGGACACCUUCGUUGGAGCAAACGAAGGAGCGCAAGAGUUGUGGUGGGUUUGGCUUCAUGAAAAUGGGGCGAAAUAGCCAUCGUGCUUUCUAUACUCGUCCUAACGUCAUUUUAAAUGCAAAUCUAUGCUUAAUGAAAUUUAUGUGAAUUUUAGAACACUUAAAAUGCAUGUGUUAUGUAUAAGAAAAUUUUCACUCUAUAUAGUAGAGCAUUCUGGGUAUUGUUACAUGCAUUUGGGUAGUGUUCGCACUAGUCGUUUGGAAACAUGCUUUAUAUGUUUAAAGUGGCUCAAUUAUGUAUUUAUGAACAUUUGGUUUAAGCUUGGACUUAGUAAAUGAAAGUGUCAUAAAGGGGCACUUGGACUAGCAAACUAUGAGACUAUUGUAUUGAGACUUAGAGAUAGGCCAUGGGCAUCUACUACUUUCCAUAUUUUAGAUAUGAUGACAUAGAGAUAGGCCUAUGAGAGAGUUAUGACAUAUUACAUGUUGUUAGACAUGAGGACUUAGUACUUGGGACGGAUCUUUUGUUACUUGCCAUUGUGCUCAUUCGCACAUGCUUGUGAGGGUCGCUCCCUACAAGCCGGCACUCCGGAGAUGGCAAGCGCGAUACAUAUUUGCCGUGCGGGAUUAGUUGCCGAAGUAGAUUGCCGUGGGAAAGGCUCAUUCCUAGAGUGGGGAUGUUGACUACCACGGGGCUAUUAGGCUCGGCACCGGCCAGACAGCCAACAUGUGGGUCUCAGGGCUAGACAGCCUUCGGGCGGGUCUCUUUAGAUUUGAUUUUGAGCAUUCAUCAUGCCAUAUGGAAUUGAUUAGAAUAGUAAACAAUGGCAUCUUUACUAUUUGACUCAUGGACAUCAUACUAGCGAUGCUUGGGUACAUUCUUAUGAUAAUAGCUUUUCCUACUUAUGCUAAAUCAUGCUAAGUAGAGAUAUUAUGUGGUAGCAAAUAUUCAUGCUUAUUUACUUGUCGUACAUAUCGUUUUUGUUUAUAUCUGCUUACUGAGCCCUUUUUAGUUUGGGCCUAGUGGUGCAUUUCACUGAAGCCAGUAAUUGCCUACUGGGAACUAUUAUUCAAUAGUUCUCACGCCCUCUGUUUUAUGGUUUUAUUUCAGAGCCUUCGGCACCGGCGGAGGUACGGGAUCGCGACAAGGGAGUCGCGUAGCUAGUUAGCGGGGAGCUACUUUUGAGCCUAGGUGGUUUACUCUUUCUUUUAUUGUAUUAGAGAGAGAGAGAUUUUGCACCAUGUAUAGAGAGACCACCUAUGUAUUUGUUUAGCUUUUGUAUUGGGAUUCCUAUUGUAUUCACUUUAUGUUUUUACUUACUGGACUUACUUUUAUGUUCUCUUCCCUUAUUGUAGCUUUUGGAUAUACUCCGCUCUGAUGCUUCUAGAUGUUCUCUUUUACCGUCUUACUUAUCGUUUUGUUUUAGACGCCUUGUAUAUUUUAGACAUACGGCGGGUCUGGGCACACGCCGGGCGGGCUUCCGCUGGGUCCCGGGGUGUGACACUUUCUUAGGCCACGUGAUUUCGGGUGAUGGCAUCUCGGUGGAUCUGAAGAAAGUAGAGGCAAUUAAAGAUUGGCCUCGUCCAACGAGUGUAGCGGAGGUCCGCAGUUUUCUUGGACUAGCGGGCUACUACCGGCGGUUCGUGGAGGGGUUCGCUAAAAUAACCACUCUGCUAACGCGCCUCACACACAAGGGAGUGAAGUAUGUUUGGAGCGACAAUUGCGAUCGGAGCUUCGAGGAGUUAAAGGAAAGGUUGAUAACGACCCCGGUGCUUGCUCUACCGACGCCGGGGGAGACUUUUGUAGUAUACAGUAAUGCUUCAUACAUUGGUCUCGGGUGUGUCUUGAUGCAAAAUCGGUGGGUUAUAGCUUAUGCCUCGCCCCAAUUGAAGACUUAUAAAAAGAAUUAUCCGAUUCACGAUCUUGAGCUAGCGACGGUGAUUUUCGUGCUAAAGCUUUGGAGGCAUUACCUGUAUGGUGAACAUUGUGAGAUCUACACAGAUCACAAAGGCCUUAAAUACUUGUUCACCCAAAAGGAGUUGAAUAUGCGACAACGGCGGUAAUUAGAGUUACUAAAGGAUUAUGAUGUUACUAUUCUAUACCACACCGGGAAAGCAAAUGUCGUGGCUGAUACACUUAGUAGAAAAUCGGGAAAAAACUUGGCUUUGGCAAUUACACCUCAACCACUAUUGCAAAAGGAGAUGCAACGGCUUGGAUUAGAAGUAGUAGCGUCGGGAGUGCCAGCUACACUUGCCGCAUUAGUGGUGCAACCGACCUUGUUGGAGAGGAUAAAAGAGUCGCAAGCUUCCGACGAGUAUCUCCAAAAGGUGCAUGGUCAAGUGGAAAGUGAUAGUGCCGACGAUUUUGGCAUUGGGAUCGACGGCACACUUCAAUUCCGAGAUCGUUGGUGUGUGCCCAAGAGCGGGGACAUCCGCAAGGCGAUUAUGUAAGAAGCGCAUCAAUCUCCUUAUAGUAUCCACCCGGGCGGCACCAAAAUGUACCAAGAUUUGAAGAUGCACUAUUGGUGGCCGGGCAUGAAGAAAGACAUUGGGGAGUUUGUUGCGCAAUGUCUUACGUGCUAACAAGUAAAAGUGGAGCGUCGGUUUCUGGCGGAGAAAUUACAAGGCUUACCUAUACCCGUUUGGAAGUGGGAGAACAUCGCAAUGAACUUUGUGACCGGAUUGCCUCGAUCGUAAGGUGGGCAUGAUGCAAUUUGGGUGAUAGUGGACCGGUUGACAAAGUCGGCGCAUUUCCUACCGAUUCAUAUUACAUAGUCGGGGGACAAGUUGGCUCAAGUAUAUAUCGACGAGGUGGUGAGACUUCAUAGGGUUCCGGUGUCUAUCGUAUCGGAUCGGGACCCGAGGUUCACAUCUGACUUUUGGAGGAGCCUGCAGGAGGCAUUGGGCACACGGUUCGACUUUAGCACGGCAUUUCAUCCUCCAAGUAAUAGUCAAUCGGAGAGGACGAUACAAAUACUUGAGGAUAUGCUUCGAGCGUGUGUACUCGACUAUAAGGGUGGAUGACACGAUCAUUUACCGAUGGCGGAGUUCGUGUACAAUAACAGUUACCAAGAGAGUAUCGCGAUGGCGCCAUUCGAGGCCCUUUUAUAGAAGGAAGUGUCGCUCUCCUAUUCAUUGUAGCGAUGUGGGCGAGAGGGUCACUAUUGGCCCGGAUGUGGUGCGGGAGGCGGACGAGAAAGUUCGCCUUGCCCGCCAACGACUCGCUACGGCGCAAUCUCGGCAAAAGAGCUAUGCCGACAAACGAAGGAAAGAUAUAGAGUUUGCGGUUGGAGAUCGCACAUUCUUAAAGAUAUUGCCAAUGCGAGGAAUAAAACGGUUUGGAAUCUGGGGGAAACUAAGUCCCCGGUACCUUGGACCGUUCAAGGUAUUGGAGAGGGUCGGCGCGGUGGCGUACAAGAUAGCACUACCACCGAGACUUGCGGGAGUGCACGAUGUGUUUCAUGUAUCGAAUUUCCGCAAGUAUAUUCAUGACCCCGAGCAUGUCCUCUCGUUUGAAUCGUCCGAGAUUCAAGAGGAUAUGACUUACGAGGAGUUCCCGACAUUCAUCAUCGACCGAGAAGUAAGAAAACUACGGAACCGUGAAAUUCCGUAUGUUAAGAUCCGUUGGUGCAACCACGAUGAUCGGGAGGCCACUUAGGAGCUCGAGAGCGCAAUGCGGGAGCAUUAUCCCUACCUCUUCGAGGAUCUGGAAUAAGGUAUGGAUCUGAAUUUUAAUCAAGUUAGUUUCGCGGACGAAACGAAUUUGAAGGGGUAGAGAAUGUAACGUAUCGAAACCUCGAUAGCGAUUAUCGAACUUUAGCCAAAUUGGUUAAAGUGCCGAGAGAAAUGGAUGGACAAAGUCCAGUUGACAUUCUAACAAUGUUGGAAGGGUCAAAAUCGAGUCCCGAGAGUGUUAAGCAAGUUUUAGCAUUGCUCGGCGCAAUUUAAAAGUGAACAAUGCGAAAAACUGCAGUCUGGGCAAAGUGUACCAGUACAACAUUACCAGUACAGCAAUUACGGACCGAGGGAAGCAGCUCUCGAGUUUGAAGUUGGCUGAAAUUGUACCGGUACAAAUGCUGCGCAACCUAGAAACCUGCUCUCGGGUUUGCCUCUGCGCGAUCGUGUAACCAGAGACAGAACAAACUGUACCGGUACACUUUGGACCCGACAGCAAGAUUAAGUGUGCUGCAAUUAUUAGUGUUUGGGGGGCUUAGUUGCAAAUGUUACCCACUAUAUAGCACCCAACACUCCUCUCCUUCACAGCAAACACCACUCCACUUUCUCCCUCUCUCAUUUCCCUCUUUCUCUCUCUAGAGAGCUUGACCUAGAACUUGGAGUUGAAAGGGAAGAAGGCUUGGAGGUGGAUUUUGGAGGUCUAGAAGGUGAAGAAGCUCUCCAUCAAGGUGGAACUUGGGAGGAGCUUGGGCUAAGGUGAGUUUAUGCAAGAACUCUUCUAGGGUUUGGAUUUCCACCCUAAGAUUUAGUGUUUUGGACUUCUAGCAAGCUUAGAAACGUCGAACAAGCCAUGAACUCCAUGAAAACCCAUGGAAGCUCAAGAUGCUCUCAUGGUGAUCACCUAGGGUUUGUGUUAGAUGCCCUAGGGUUGGUCCAAAUGACUUAGUAAUGGUAUUAGAGAGCUUCCAAGAUGGUUCUAAGCUAGCAUUUGCUUAGGAAUGAGAUCAAUCUAGGAGAAAACCAAAUAUGACAUUGUUAGGGCACCAAAUUUGGGGCUUUUGCCUCCGACCGUUUCCAAGGCAAAUUGACCUUGCAGAAACCUAAUUGGGGGUAUUCCCGACGCGUUGGGCAACUCGGUUCGACAAAACGAAAAGGUCUAGAUAAAGUUAUGGAAUAAAAGCCUAAUUUGGCUUUGUUUUGCCACAGGCGUGAGAGUAGACGCCCUAAAAUCCCAAGAAUUGAACUGUAGCAUCCUCUCAACCAUCAAAGGUGGGUGGUGCUUUCCGAAGUCAUCGAACUUCCUCUUAUGUCUAAAGUGUCAUUUAUUUGAGCAUAUGUGAAUGUUGAGCAUUGAGCAUAGUAGGGUUAUUUGAAAGUAUUUUCUUGCAUGUUAUGAGUAUAAAUGUAUGUGAAAGAAUGGUAAAAGACUAAGAACAUGAAAACUCUAUGUAUGCAUAAAAAGUGAUAAGAACCUAGAGGAGGUAAAGAAUCAGAAUGACGUAAUGACAUAUGGAUUGGGCGGCAUUAGUAGGUGUCAAGUAUGCAAAUGAACACUAAAGUGAGUGGCAUUAGUAAAUGACAAGAAUGCUAGAAAUGAACACUUAGAGAAUAAGUGUGGUGUCAAUGUGAGUACAAGAACAAAGUAGUGUACAUGACACUAGUAUAAGUAAAGAAUGCAAGUAAAUAGAGAUAGCAACAUAUGAGCAUUGCUUCCUUGAAAUCAAGGAAUGGAUUUAAUUCGGAAUCCUUAAAGUUAAGGAUUUGAUCAUACUCGCCUGUUAGUCCUUGCUCGCAGAGCGGUAGCUCCCCCUCAGGCGAUGAGCUCCGGAGUAGUCAUCACUGGGGCGUAGGAGUUUCUCCCCAGAGGACGAUCCAGUCGGGUCGUAGGAGUUUCUCCCCGAUACUGGGAUUUAGAGUUGGUGAGUUUGUUGAGGGCGAAACCUAUGGGCUAGCCAUGAGAUUGGGCAAUGAAAAUGUAAUCUUGCAUUCAUCAUGAGCAUUCUAUCGCGCAUAGCAUUGUUUAUUGUUCAAGCAUAUUAGCGGCAUUUGUUAGUUGGUUACUAUCUAUUCUUUCUUCUAUUAUGCCUAAUUUAGACCUAGUGGGAAAGUCGGCGAGAUCGGGGCCGAACCCACUGGGAACUUUGUUGUAGUUCUCACCCCACUAUUUCCACAGAGCCGGGGCCGAGCGAGCCGGCGGACGAUCGCGGUAAGGGUAUCGCACCCUAGACAGAGACCGCCCGAGAUACUUUUACAUUUUGUAGUUGCAUACCCCUUUAUAUCAUCUUUUGUAUUUGAUGAUUAUAGAUGUUUAAGUUAAUUGUAUUAAAGAUACUUUAUGAUGUUAAAUGCAAAGGCAUAUUUUGGGAAGAUCAUGUGAUGUAAAAAGAAAUGAUGCAAAGAAUGUAAAGAAUUUGAUUAAAGCAGUAUGCAUGUAUGUGAUUUAAAGUUAAUCAUAUUACUUGUAUGUUGAGUAGACAGUACUUUCACUUUGGCUAUUGCUUGCCCUCGUACAAGCCAUUAUGUUUGCUUCCGCAUGUGCAAAUUUUAUACUCUAUUUGUACUCGAUGUUGAGCCUUGGGCGGGCAGGGGAGAUGCUGUCUGUUCGGCGUCUGUUCGACGGGUCCAAACCGGCCAAAUAGGACCGGAUUCGGGGCCUGACAGUGGUGGUCGCUCCACACAAGCAGUGCACUCUGGAGUUGUCACAUGAGCGGGGUAGCUCACCGGGUGGGAUACGAGCGGGGCAGCUCCUUACCAUAAGGCUUGAGAUGUGAGUUGGGUUGAAGAGCGGGGCAGCUCUUCACCUGUGAGAUUUGAGAUAUUGAGCCGGGGCAAAGAGCGGGGUAGCUCUUCACCCACUAGAUUUGUGGUGUGAGUACCUAUGAGAUUUGGGGAUUUGAGUCGGGGCGAAGGGCGGGGUAGCUCUUCAUCUAUGACAUCCGAGAUGUGAGACGGGUGAGAUAAGAGCGGGGUAGCUCCUCACCUAUGAGAUUUGAGAUCUUAGGCGGGUUAGCCUAGUGAAUUGGGUAUUAUACAUGAAUAGCAUAGUUGAUUUGCAUUCAUACCAUGAGUAGACAUAGUGUAUGUUAGUAGAUUGCAUAACUAUGUUGUAUUUGUAUCCAUGACAUGUUGAAGCAUACUAUUAUGAUAGUAGGCUUGUUGCUAGAUGAUACUCCAUGCAUUGCUUGCAUUUGAAGGCAUAGUAGAAUGUAGUUGCAGUUUUAAGUCUAUCUAUCUAUCUAUCUAUCUGUGCCUGCUUAGACUUAGUGGGAAGAUCGGCGGAGUCGGCGUUAGAACCCACUGGGAACUAUAUUUAUAUAGUUCUCACCCCACUUUGUUGCAAAACCGAGUGCGAGCGUUCCGGGGGAGGAUCGCGGUAAGGGCGUAGCGCCCUAGCUAGCUAAUAGAGCUUUUCCUAUUUGUACCCUCGUGUGCAUGAUUAUAGAUGUUGUAUUUUGGAGAGCUAGCAUGUAUGAUGAAAUCCAAUUGUAAACCUUAUGUAUUCAUUUGGGAGAUGGAAAAUUAUAAAUCAAGAGAUGUAAAUGUGGAAUUGUGAUGUAAUAGUUAGAACACUCUCUCUUUUGUUUACUUAUGGUAUUACUUACUUGCUCUUGUGUAUGCUUGUAAAAGUACUCGCUUGCUAGAUGAUGUAUGUUGUUAAGUUUUUCCUGGGCAACUUAUUGUGCAUGAUCUUGUUGUUUGAGCCUUAGGCGGACAGGGAAGGUGCUGUCUGUCCGGCAUCUGUUCGACGCGCCCGAACCGGCCAAACUGGCGGUCUCGGGGUGUGACGGUAAAAUGGUAUCAGAGCAAGCUAAGAGCAAGUAAAGAGAGAGUCUAGGAUUGACCUAGGAGACCCUAGGACGGUAAACCGUAAGGCUAUUAGUGCGUGGGUGGAACGUGAACCUAUAGCGGUGACGGAAGUUGAUUCGAUUGGGUCGAAAUGGUAGUAUGUUUCUAGUAGUGGUUAGAGACAGAUUCAAGUGGUAUGAGUUCUUGACUCGAAGUGGUUGUGUUGGGCGGCCGACAACAUGACGCUAAGAGUUUAGAACAAGUACACUUGUGUGAAAGAUUAUCGUCCGCCCUCAGCCAUAAGUCCAUGACUUGUGAAGUCACUCCAUUCCUUGAUAUUAGGUGCCAUUCCGCGUACCUCCGACCAUCAGAAUUGAUAGUAGCAUGUCUAAUCAAGAGCGGAGCACCACCAUUCCCAUAUCAUUGAGCGGCCACUGCCAUCCUUUAAGAUAGAGCAUUGCACCGCCAUCCUCAUGGCAUUUGCUGAUGAGAUUGUCGACCACAACGGACUAUCGGGUUGUUAGGAGUUUCGGAAUUUCUUAUUUCAUGGUCACAAAGGUUUAUUAUCUUUACCCUACAUUGUGAAUCUUUCUAGGUUCGAGUAAUUCAUGUCCAAGUGGUCACCCUACCACUUUAUUUUCCAACCUAUAUUCAAUGACACUAGGUUCAAUAACUUUUCGAUCCAAGUGGUCAUUCUACCACUGUUUAUCAACUUGUGUUCAACAAUAAUAGAUUCAAUUUCCAAUAAUGUUCUUUUUUAUCCUAAUUGUCCAUACCUAGGAUUCGUGAUUUUCUUGACAUUUAGUUCUUGAUUCCUUGUCGAGUUCUUUUUCUUAGAGUUAAUUGACCUAUCUUCAUUGUCCAUACCUUGGCAUACACAUAUACAUACCUAUAUAUUUUCACAUGUUUAUUGUUCUUGUCAUAUGGUAAUUAAUUAUUCUACUUAGCAUAUAUCUCAUGUAUGCUUGUUUGCAAGUUAAACUACCUAUUACCAAUUCUCUAUCACCCUUAGAAAUCAAUGUCAUAACCCUAGUUAUCCACAUCUAGGUAUAUACUUGUUCCAUGAUAGUAGUUUAUCUAAAGCAAAAAACACUUUCGUGCAUGUCAUUUUACCAAUUAUUCUACUGAUUUAUCAUGUAUCAACUUUAGUUAAAUUACACCUUAGACAUGGGAAGUGACCAAAUCACAUCGAUGAAGCACAACCUACCUUAUUAUGCUCCCAAUUGCUCGUCGAACAUUCUUUACUUAUACUAGUGUCAUGUACACUACUUUGUUCUUGUACUCACAUUGAUGCCACACUUGUUCUCUAAGUGUUCAUUUCUGGCAUUCUUGUCAUUUACUAAUGCCACUCACUCUAGUGUUCAUUUGCAUACUUGACACCUACUAAUGCCACCCAAUCUAUAUGUCAUUACGUCAUUUUGAUUCUUUACCUCCUCUAGGUUCUUAUCACUUUUUAUGCAUACAUAGGGUUUUCAUGUUCUUAGUCUUUUACCAUUCUUUCACAUGCAUUUAUACUCAUAACAUGCAAGAAAAUACUUUCAAAUAACCCUACUAUGCUCAAUGCUCAACAUUCACAUAUGCUCAAAUAAAUGACACUUUAGACAAAAGAGGAAGUUCGAUGACUUCGGAAAUUAAAAUUGUAAGGUACCGGACUUCUAAAAUCAUGAAGUUACGGUGUACGUUUGGUUGGAGAGCCAUUUGAAUAGUCCCGGUGAGGUCCGGAAGCAUUCGGGCGUUUCGGUGCGCGUAAGCGCUAAAACGGAGCCCGCAAGGCCAUGUUGGGCCGUGAGCUAAAUCCGACAUUAGCGUGGAUGGAAAGAUGAUGAAAACAUGCUCAAAAACAUAUUUGGAGAGUCUCAGUUCGAUUUGAAACGAAUCGGAGGUCAAACGAGCGAAAACGAGCGAAAACGGAACGAAAACAGACGAAAGGCUGAAAAUUGGCUACGUCCUAAAUUGCAGGAAUUCUGGACCUACAGGGACCGGUCCCCCAAGUCCAGGGACCAGUCCUCUAUACAAAAAUUGGCCCCGCGGGGGCUAUGUACUAAAAUGAAAGUUGAGGGGCCUAAUUGCAAUUAUGACAUUAAGAGAGUGUAUAGAAGUGGGUUUUGACUCACUUCUCUCUUCUCCCUCACCCCAACCGUGUCCCUCUCUCUCUCUAAAUGUAAAGAAAGAGAAAGAGAAGAAGAGAAGAGAAGAAGAGAAGAGAAGAAGAAAGGGAAGAAGAAGAAGAAGAAGAAGUUGGAGGAGAAGAAGUGGAUCAUCAUCACCAACAUCAUCUUCUUCUUCCUCUCACCAUUAGAGCAAGCUUAGCAAGGUAAGCUUCAAACCCUACAAUGGUAGAUCUCUAGGGUUUGAUCCUAAUGCUCUAGAAAUGGUUUGAUUAGUGUUCUAGCAAGCUUAAUAGAUGUUUAAUGCUUGAAUCUAGAGUUCGAAUGGUGGAUUUCACCGUAGUGCAAACCUAGGGCUCCAAAAUGGCGUUUUGAUAUAUAUGAGGGUUUGAUCUCAUUUAACCCUCUGUAAACCUAAUUGGUAGGUAACGAAAUACGUUGGCGAAGACGGUUCGGCAAUCCGACGAGCCGUUACAAAGAUAUUGAAGAAAAGGACGCUUGGAGCUUCGUUUCCGCCUGGAGGGCCAAGGCGACGUACAUAAAUCAUGAAAUCGGGUCCCGAGCACCGUAGCAGUAAGGCGAAGACCUUUAACUCUUGAAACGGCGAAGCGACGCGCUCUUGGAGAGCAACUGUGAGAUCGGGCCCAAACGGGUGCCGAGUGCCGCGGGAGGCCGAUUGCAAGUGUAGACAAGCAAUCGGAACGCGAGUUAAGGUGGGUUGUGCUUACCGAAGCGACUAGGUCGCCUUUAUGUCUAAGAAAGACUAAGAAUCCAUGUUGAUGCAUGUUAAUGUAAAUGCUAAGUAGAUGCAUAUAAAAGAUUAUAUAUGUAUGUGAAUAAGAAUGAAAUGCAUGUUGAUAACUAUAGAAUGAGUAGAAUGCUUACUUGAACAACUAGCUUGUGAAUAGAUCGAGUGGCAUCUAACUUAGUGUUAAAGAACAUAGGUCAUGAGUAGACCUAGAAUCAAAUAGAUCGAGUGGCAUCCAACCUAGUGUUAAUAAACGUAGGUCGGACAUAGUGAUGUGGAACUUAGUGUCCGUGAACAUAGGUUAAACUAGUAAACCUAGAGUUUUAUAACCUAGGCUGUGGAAUAGUAAACCUAGAGUGGCAUUGAACCUAGGUUGUUGAGUAUAGUGGUAGCGACCACUAGGAUGUUUUAGGUCGACAGCAUAGGGUUGGCUAUAGACCCUCGACCUGUGAAAGUGGAUUCCGGAAUCCCAGGACUUGUGCUAUGCUAACCUUGGUAUCAAGGCUAGGGCGUGUGCGACGAUUUCGCCGCCGAGGUUGAUACCAAGGAUGGAUUGGGAGGUGAGCGCGCAGAGAUCACCGCCCGGGGCUUGAACCAUUGUCGUGGCGUGUGCGACGAUUUCGCCGCCGGAUGGUUAAGCCAGCUUGUGGAUUAUGCCGCCAGAUCGACUUGAGCCAUUGUUGGGUAAGGUGCGAUUCGUUCGCUGCCAGAUGGCCGAGUCAAGGGACUUGAACCAGUGUUCGGCGUGUGCGACGACUUCGCCGCCAGCUGGUUAAGUCUUAGAGGGCGGCCAGUGCGCGGACUAUCCGCAGAUAAUUAACUCGAGGCCAAGUCGGGUGGUUAGCUUGAUUAGGUUAAUAGAAACCUUAUAAGCUAGUGAUAAUGGUAAGAGCUAAGGUAAUAGAGACCUUAGAGGCAAUGUGAACUUGAGUUGUGAACUGAUGUAGUAGAACCUUAGAGGCUAAAUGACAUGAGCUAAAGUUAGUAGAGUUGAAUGUAGAAUCAAUAGAUCUACUAAAUGGUUGCAUAUUUGCAUAGAGCUGCAUAAUAUUCAUAUUGCACGUUGCGAGGCAUGUUAUCUGUUAGUUGCUUAAUACACUAUGAUAUGUAUCUAUAGAUGUUUUUGGACUAACAUAAUUGCAGUGCCUCCUUGGACCUUUUGGUCGAGCUUUUUCCUUGGGUGGCCGUACCCACUGGGAACCAUGAAAUUGGUUCUCACCCCACGUUGUUUUGGGGUAUUACAGGUUCGCACGUGAACGGCGCGGCGGCGCGAGGAAAGGGCGUAGCUCAGUAGAUAGCGCCCUACCCAGAGACCGAGGUAGCAGUACCCUGAGGCAGCCUAGCUUAGGGGACUAAAGGGAAAUGAAAAGAACACAAUGUAUGAAACUGUAAUAAGUAAAUGAUGCAAUAACUUAGAUUGUAUUUGGAGGAAUCAAAUGAGAACUGUGAUGUAAAAAUGUAUGAAUGUAAAUGUAUGUAAUAACAUAGGAUGUGUUAUGUUGUUGAUACCUUCAUUAUGCAAUCUGUUUGUUAAGUACUGUUCCUGGUUGGAACCUUUGUAUUAUAUUGAUUGCGAUGCCUUGAACGUACAGGGGAGACUCUGUCCGCAGUACAGGGAAAACCCUGUCCGUUCGGCGCUGUCGGGGUCGCGACCUCGGCCAAAUAGACGGGUGGUCGCGGGGCGUGACAAAAAUGCUAGUCCACAUUUAAACUAUGAACAAUUAUUAUAGUGUUAGUCUCACAUUGUCGUUGACAUCACAUCGCUAUAGGCAUUAUGAAACUACAUUUCUCUAUUAAACAUCACAAGUGUUGGUUAGCUACGACUAAGGUUGUAAUGCAACAAUGUCCCACAAGAAUGUCCAACUACUACGAAUGCACCAAAUAGUAAUGUAAAGUAACAAACCACGAGUAUGUACAUCUAUUAGGUAUGCAUCAACUUGUGUCAAAGGGUGUCACCUCACUAGUAUGUCUACCAUAAAGUCAAGUUUAAUUAACUUUUGAAUGUCAUAGUUCAAUCCAUUAGGACACACAAGUGUAGUCCGACUUGUGCCGCCUAAUGGCCCCAUAGUUGUCCAAUCCGAGGCAAUCGGCCCCAAUCAUCAUGUCUAAAAUAUGGAAUCUCUUACAAUGACUCAAGGUCGGGUACCACACAUGGAUGUCAAAUUUUAUAAUCAAUUAACUCAAUGGUGUGUCUCUACCAAUAUGUCACAUGUGUCAAGCACACUAAAGUCCACAUUUUAUUUAUUCUAUUGGGGUGGUUCUAUGACUCAUUUAUGAACCUAAUAGGCUUCACCCGUAUACCAACAUAUGCUCCCACCACUAAAAUGCAAAAGGAAUAGUUUUCCAAUGUCAUAUUCAACGUAACACAAAGGUGUCCACAAAAAUCAUAUUGUGUUAUGCAUAGGCAUUUCUACAUAAUGCCUCCACUUCAUGGAGUAUAAUACUAGAUAAUAUAUAUAUAUAUAUACAUAUAUAUAUAUAUACAUAUAUUAUAUAUCUAUAUAUAUAUAUAUAUACAUAUAUAUAUAUAUCAUUAAUUAUAUAUACAUAUAUAAUAUAUUACAUAUAUAUAUAUAUAAUAUAUAUAUAUAUACAUAUAUAUAUAACAUAUAUAAUACAUACUACAACAUACAUAAUAUACAUAUACACAUACAUAUAUAUACAUAUACAAUACAUAUAUUAAUUAUAACAUACAUAUAAUACAUAUACACAUACAUAUAUAUACAUAUACAACAUACAUUAUAUACGAUAUCACAUCAUAGCUAUAUAUACUCGCUAUAUACACAAUUCAUAUAUACAUAGCCUAUACAAUAUACUAUAUACUGUAUAUAUACAUCUAUAUAUAUGUAUAUAUAUAUAUAACAUAUAUAUAGUAUAACAUAAUAUAUAUAUAUAUAUAUAUACACACAGUGUCAUGCAAUUAAUUAGUUCUCAUUAGACUACUCAAGAAUGUGCUUGUCAUUUACAUAUUCCAAUGCAUAAAAACUCUUUUCACAUGCCUAAGCAUAGGAUUUCAUCUAUGGACUCAAGGGUCGGGGAAUACCAAUACCAUAUUGUUUACAAGUAUGCAUCUUAUUCAAGUGCCACAUAACUUUAUAUUAUGUCACUAAUAUGCAAAGGUCUACAUUCACCAUUAUCUAUGUUAUAGCAUUCAAGAUCUAACCCUCAAGACCCAAUAGCCAAGUAAUGCAUCAUAUGCCAUUACCACUCACCUCUAACAUGCAUAUCCGUAUUUGCAUGAAGGGUCUUAACACAACUCAAGCCACCAUAGUUUUGCUACCAUGAAUAUGUCAACUAACCUAUACUAAAUAGAGUAUGCCACUUAUCUCUACUAAAUAGAGCAUGCCAUUUGCAUAUAUGUCAUUUUACCUCUACUACAUAGAGUAUGCUAUUUUAUCAUACAUAACAUAUGCAUCUCAAGCAUCUGAAAAUUCUAUCAUGACAAGAAUAGCAUGAUUCUCAACAAUUUAAGUCCUAUAACAUUAUAGGAGAUAUAGAGGGAGUUCACCUAUUUCGGUGAGGUCAAACUCACCGAAUACUUCUUGAACCCUUUCGUUCCUUCAAACGAAGUUGUCCCCCAAGCUUCUAGUACCGUAAGAAAAAUUUCCAAAGGGUUACGAGCUUCGAACGAACAUCCUCCAAAAUUCACCAACAAUUAAGCAUAAAAUAGGUGAAAAUUACCUUUGAUCAUGUGGAACUUGUCCAAAGUCCAAAUCGAAGCUAAGAAGCUUCAAAUCCAACCUAUAAGAUUGUUCUACACUCAUCAAUUCCAUCCCAAAAGCUCAAAAUUGAAAAACCUCAAAAUAAACCCUAGUUUUUCAAAAAUUAGGUUUUCUCCCAAAUCUCAUGUAAAUUUCUUAAAUAGAGAGUAAGAGAAAGAUUCUAACCUCAAAACAAGCUUCAACUUAAGCCGUGAUGUACUAGGGUUGAAGUUUGAUCCAUCAACAAACUCUUCAUGCAUCUCCAAGCUCCUUUCCAAGGUCCCAAGGCAAGCAUCCAUGGAGGAAGAAGAGGAAAGAAGAUCAAAACCCAAAAACUAGAUGUAUUGAAGAAGAACUUCUAGAUAGAGAGAGAGAGCAAAAGCUACGUACCCUAGCCUCUUCUCCAUCCUCGGCCUAUUAGAAAAUUGCGUACGGUAAAAAAAAAAACGCAGCGAAAAAAGAAUCAAACAAAUUUGAUUUUUGAAAACUCUCGAGAUCCAAUCUCAAAAACCACGCAAUUAGGAUCCCUCAUGUUCUUUAAGAUUAAAGGAGAAAAGUAAGAUCGAAUCUUUACCUUAUUCGCGGAUAAAUCUUCACCUCAAUUUGAUGAUCGUAGAAUUCGAUUCUCUUGAAGCCGCACACGCGUCCGGCCUCUAUAGGUAUCCACAUGAGAUUCUUGAUUUGAUCGAUGUCCUCACCGGGGUGCUAGCUCCCUUACAAAAGGACGUCUUUCUUGCUAGAAGAUGGAAGAGAGAAGAGAGGAUAGAUGACGGCUAGGGUUUUCUAAAAACUCCCGUAUAUUAUAUAUAGGAAUAUAAUCCUAUUCCUAAUAAUAUAAUGACAAUUAAGGAUAAGUAUAAAUCUAGAUUUAAAUUUAUCUUUUCCUUAAUUGGUUAGAUCGAUCAAAUCCUAAUUUGAUUCGACUUGAAUUUUAUAUUAAUUUGAUCUUAUCAAAUUAAUAAUGCAACAUUUGCACAUAAGUCCUCUUAUAAUUUACUAACUAUUAGUAAGUCCUCUCUUGUAACAUUUACACUUUAAUACCACUAAUUUGUAACAAUUACAAAUUAGUCCAAUUAUCAACAUAUUGACAAUUAGGUCCUCCGGCGAUUCAAUAAUCGCGAUCUAGCUAUCCGAUCAAUCACAACCUCUUAUGUGUGUGACCCCAUAGGUUCUAUUCUAUCUGGUAGUGAGAUAUAUUUUGAUCACUAUCAACAAUAUCACUGAAACUCCUUUCAAUGGAUUAGAACAAUUCCAACUCAGCCCAAUGAGAAUUAUCGAUCAUCUAGAUAAUUCUCAUGAGUCUCACAAUCCACCAGUGACGCCUAGCAGCAUGUAGUGGCAUUCCAGUAGAAUGGAAUACUGAACCUCUUGGUGCAGUUACCGUGUGAUACAAUCCUUCUAUCAUGAGUCCCGACUAGACGGAGGUUAUGGAAUAACUCGUCAAACCCCAUCGUCUGUCAUAUGUUAAAUUUAUUCGACUCGAGUUUCUAAUAUCGGAAACCCUUUUCCGCUAUUUAUUCUGCCCUGGCCAAGGUCUUCUAAACUCGGUCUCAUAAAUCACAUAGGACUAACACCCCUAUCUACCAAGGGAGAUAGAUUCCAUCUAAGUGCGCACCCUAUUCCUACAAUGAACCUACUGCAGCCAACAUGCACCGCAAGGACCCGAAUGGCUAGGGACCAAGUGUAUGUACAGUCAAACUACAGUAACCUCAUUGUGAAUAGCCGAGGCACCGCAGGUCAAAGGACCAGUCACACUACUGCAACAUUAAGUAAGUCACUGACGAGUAAGUAGACAUCCAAGUGACUUCUUGCGUUGGUCACGCUCGGUACCCUUGUUUUCUAACAACCACCUGCAUAUUCGCUUCAGUGUCCCCACACUGUCGACUCGAGACUCGUCUACACAAAAGGAAAACGACCUAUGCAUGAAUCUCACCGGAUCAAUCACCGUCCCCAUGAUGAUCCAUUGAUCGGGAGCAUUUAGGAAUUAACCACCAAUGACACAUGUCUCAAAUUCUCAACACUUGAGAAUAUAUGUCAUCAUCUUAUUAAUUCCUUGGACGAUUCAUGAACACAUACACAACAUGAAUGGAAAUAAAAACCCAAAGUUAUUCAUAAUAUUUAAAAGUCAAAUACAAAUCUAUGUCUUAGAAAGAAUAUAUGUGUCGGCCUGGUUGGCUUCUAGGGCAUACAUCUAACAAUCUCCCACGUGCACUAAAGCCAAUCAGCCAUAUACCUAAGUCCCAUCUUCUCAAGAUAGACUUUAGUCUUCUGCUGGCUAAGUGGUUUAGUCAAUGAGCCUGCCACGUUCUCAGUGGAGUCUACUCUCUGCAUCUCGAUAUAUUUCUAUCGAGGUAGUCGCGUAUAAUAUGAAAUCGCCGCUCUAUAUGCUUGGACUUCUGAUGAGACCUAGGCUCCUUAGCUUGGGCUAUGGCGCUAUUUUUGUCGCAUUAGAGUGGUAUGACAUCCGAUGGCAUCACGCUUAAUUCCGCGACAAACUUUAUGAAUCAGAAGACCUACAUCAAAUGCGGCGAUAUACUCUACUUCCAUGGUUGGGUGGUUGUUUGGAACUCUUCCAAUACACCAAACCACCAUUGCAUAAGAAUACAUAUCCUGACGUAGACUUUCUAUCGUCAACAUCAGACAUAAAGUCUGAAUCAGUAUAUCCUUGUACUUUCAACUCUCCUCCUCCAAAAAACCAAGAACAUAUCCUUAGUCCUUCUCAAGUACGUGAGUAUGUUCUUCACAGCAAUCCAGUGCUCGCUCACUUGGAUUAGAUUGAUAUCUACUUGUGACACUCACAGAAACGCGAGCGCUAUCAGGUCGUUAAUACAUGGCUCGUACAUAAGACUCUCCCUAUACGCUGAGGCAUAAGCGAUCUACUCAUCAUCGUAAUCUCUCAAAUUUAUUGGGCACAUUUUCUUAGAGAGAAUAAAUUCCAUGUUUAGAGAGUAAUAGUCCGCUUAUUGAGAUUUUCCUGCCGAACAUUUCAGCACCCUUCUCUAUUACAUUUUUCUGUGAGAGGCUAGCAUUCUUUUAAAUCAUAUCUCUAUAGACCUUAAUCCCACAUAUAAUAGAAUGCUUCUCCUAAUCUUUUAAUGGAGAAUUCUUUAAGACAAUUCACAUCUUAACCGACAGUCGGCAUUGGAAAAUGUCAUUUUCCAAUGGAGAAUGUCCUCCAGCAACAAUACGAGGGAAUAUGACAGCUCCCCACUGACUUCUUAUAAAACACAUCGUUCUCCUCAUUUAAGAAAUCAAACGUUUUAAUCAACGUCAUCGUAAACGAGUAUUCCAAGUUCGAGAUGCUGCUUAAGUCCAUAAAUGGACGUUGCCCAACUGAUAAUUGUGACUUAUCCGUCACCGAAAGUGAAACCAAAGGCUGAUCCUAUAGUGUCUUCCUCAAGAUAUCCAUUUAGGAAGGCGAUUUCACAUCCAUCUUGCCAGAUCUAUAAUCACUACGUAUGCCGUGGCAAGGGCACAGUAGUUCAAUGAUUUUAAGCAGCUGCCAGCAUCUGGUAAAAGUUCUCCCCCAUGAUAGUCAAUUGCCCUUCGCGCUGUGACUAUAACCUUUCAAACCAGCUUGCUUUAUAGGAUCUCUCACCUUUCCAUCCGAACUAUCUUUCUUUUAGUAGAUCCAUUUAUACCGAUAUGGACUAUACCUUCUGGUGGUUACAAAAUCCAAACCUGGUUGGAAUGCAUUAAGUCAAUUCUGACUUCAUGGCAUCCAGCCAUGCUCGCGAAUUCAGAUGUUAAUACAUCGCUCGUUGAUAGGUUUUGGGUCAUUCUUCAUGUUCCCUAUCUCCCUGAGGAACAUUUCCCUUACUUUCUUUGUAACGAUAACCUCAGAUCUUUUAGUGGGAUGGGAGAUUCUGGUACUCGACUACGAGGUAGGAGGAGGACUACCAUGUACGGCUUAGCUUUAAUAAGGUAUCUGUAGGUGUGAUGACUCGUUGUCUUCAGAGACUCUCUCUUCGCAGCACAAUUUUUCUCCAUAGCUUCUUGAAUAAACUGUUUUCCAAAAUAGCUGUUUGUUGCUCACACUCAUUGUGAUUCUCUGCGCGAUAUAAAGAAUAGUAACCUAAAGUUUGUUUUAGGAUAUCAAUAAACGAGCCCUCACAAAACUAUGCCUCUAACAGUGUCGCCUGUAGUGCUUAACAUGGCCGGACAUCCCAAAUCUUUCGAUAUGACCACAGGCUCGCGUUUUUUUACCAUGCACAAUCUCAUACGGCCGUCGGUUAGGCAACGGAUUUAGAGGGAACCUAUUUAACACAAUAAACUGCGGUAAGCAAAGCAUGUCCCAAAGAAAUAAAGGAAGAUCAGUGAAGCCUCAUCAUAGAUCGAACCAUAUCCAAUAAGAUUUCGGUUUCUCCGUUCUGACACCCGUUUGAGUUGAGGUGUUCCCGGAAAAGAGUCCCACGGUGAGAUAUGCAUUUCUUUGAGAUAAUUUAGGAACUCUCCACUAAGGUAUCUCCUUCUCGAUCUGAUCGAAGAAUCUAUGAUGAAUUUUCAGUUUAGUUUUUCUACUUCAUAUCUGAUUCUUUGAAUUUCAAAUAGCCUCGAUUUGUGUUUCAAUAAAAUACACAUACCCAUACCGAAAUAAUUCAUCGGUAAAGUUAUGAAGUAGAGAUAACACCCUGAUACAUUCAAAUGCCACACUUCAUCAGUGUGUAUUUUAAGAAAAGUAUCUCAGUGACCUUCCCCUUGUCCUACAAGGUAAUUUAGUCAAUUUUUCUUGCAAGACAAGAUUCACAAACUGGAUAAGACUCUGAAGUCAAUGAGCCGAGAGCCCAUGUUUAUCCAAUUUAUUUAUCCUUUUUCUCCAAUAUGCCAAGCUGAGGUGCCAAUAUACUUUAGGAUCAUUCUCAUCUCUAGUCUCUUAUGACCCAACAGCAGUCUCUACUUGCUCAGACAAAUAUUUUGCAAAUACAUCCGUUGUAAAUAAUAAAGAACUGUCAAUUAUAAACCACGGCUAAUAAUUUUAUUUCUAAAAUAACAUUAUGCAGAGUAGUUUUGUCAAAAAUUAAACCACUCCUGUUGCCCAGAAAUUAAAUUUACAUGUAGCGGGACGGUACAUAAUUGUAGUCUCUAAGUAAUAAACAAUACCUGACACGGUAGUCGCAAAGCGAGACAGGUGCCAGCAGCCACAGCCAGCAACUCUUGACGCGUUGCUAUCGCGUAGGGUCACUUCACCUUCCGCUAAGCCAUUACUUUCUCUUUUUGGCCGUUAGAGGAAACGUUCGUGGUCUAUUACGAGCAGUGCUGACAUACUUCCGACAGCGGUGUCCUUCUUCUUAUUCUCUUAAAAGCUCUCCAGGUUAGAAGGCAGUUCUCUUCCAAUGGCGUCAACAUUGCCCAGUGGAAAACAUUUUCCUUUGUCGGACGGCCUUCUAUUCUUAGAAGCUUUCAUUCUUGGGCUUGUUUCCAUCUUUUGUUUCUUCCGCCCAGGUUUUUCUUCCCAAUUAGACUUUUUUUGGAAGAGGGUCGUCUACAACGGAGAACCGAGCCCCUUUGACUUUUCAAAGUCUCCUCUGUAUUUACCAACAUGUUCAAUAACUCUUGCGUUGGUGCAAUCAAUUUUAUUUAUAUAGUGUUACAAUAAAUGGUCCAAUACAAUACAGGAAGGGAUUGCAGGAUCCAGAUCAAUUUUGCAAUUCGCUUAUCCGUUUUCACGCCGAGUUUCUCAAGCCACCUCGACGGUCUACGACAUUGUCAACAAUGAUAUGAACGGAAACUGCCAUUGGUUAGCUUAUUGGACGGUUUAGGUACAUGAGGUUUACCUGGUCUAGAACAAUGCAGGUUAUUGAAUUUAAACUAUUCUUUAAGUUCUUCAGCCAGUCUUUAUAAAUAUAGUUUCAGUUUAAGGAUUUUGGUCGAGAAUACGAUGAGAAUAAUUGGAAGCAGAAUAUUACUUCUGCAGAGAGUUAAAGAUUCAAAUAGAUAUUGUAUUAUUUUUGAAAUUUAUUUUUAGGGGAAUCUCUUCUUGGNNNNNNNNNNNNNNNNNNNNNNNNNNNNNNNNNNNNNNNNNNNNNNNNNNNNNNNNNNNNNNNNNNNNNNNNNNNNNNNNNNNNNNNNNNNNNNNNNNNNCAUAGUUCUCAUUCAUCAUAUUAUGCAAGUUGUACUCACAAUCAUGCAUCCUUACAUUUUCAUCAUUACUUUACCCUAAAAUGCAUGCAACAAUAUAUAUACACAUGCUCAAGUGAAUGACACAUUAGACAUAGAGAGAAGUUCAAUGAGUUUGAGAAGCACCACCCACCUCGUAGGCUUUCAAAGGUGCUCCGAUGAUUUUCUUGGGAUAUUUAGACUUCUCGUUCUUUACCUGCGGCAAAACGAAGCCCUAAUAGGUCAUUUUGCUCAUAUCUUUACAUACACUUUUCGAAAUGCUAUUCCGAGCACACCAACGCGUCGGAAAUACCCCCAAUUAGGUUUCUAGAGGGUCAAUUGCACUUAGAAAUCUCCAUGAGCAAAAGCCCCAAUUUGGUGCCCUAGCUCCAUAGCAUUCAUCAAAUCUAGGGUUUGAUCUCAAAGAGAAGCAAAAGUAGCUUCAUUCUACUCUAAAGAGUCCAUCUAAAACAUCUUUAAUUCAAUCCAAACCCUAGUUUGGAUUCUACCAUGAGAGGGGUCAAGCUCACCUUCAGGCUUUACUCAUUACCCCCAUUUCUUGGUUUUGAUCUCUAAAGAAGCAUUUCAAAGACUCUAAACAAUCCAUUAAAACCAUUUCUAGGUUUAUUCAAAGCCCAUUUUAGGGUUUUACUACAAUAGGGUUCAAAGCUCACCUUAUAAGCUUUCCUUUCUUGCACUAGAGAGGAAGAAGAUGAAGUUGCUUCACCUCUUGAUCUUCUUCUUCACCUUUUUUUCCUUCUUUUCCUUCCUUUCUUUCUUUCUUCUUCUUCUCCUUUGCCUUCUAGAGAGAGAGAGGGAGAGAAGAGUUUGUGUGUGAGGGAGAGAAUGAGAGAAAAGGCUCUCUCAGCCCUCUACAUAAUCCAUGGGUUGCAAAAAUGCAAAUAAACCCCUCAACUUUCAUCUUAUUCAACUGCCUGGACUGGGCAGAUUUCGGGCUCGGGGACCGGUCUCCCCGACUAGGGACCGGUCUCCGAGAGCUCUCCCAGCGCAGCCAGAGCUGCUGCGCGCAAUGCGACCGGUCUCUCUUUGAGGGGACCGGUCUCUCGGGGACCGGUCUCUCAGGCAGGGACCGGUUCCCGAGAGCUAAUUCCUCAGGACUUAGCCGAUUUUUCGGCUGUCUCAUUUCAUACGCGUUCGGGGACCGGUCUCUCCCACCAGGGACCGGNNNNNNNNNNNNNNNNNNNNNNNNNNNNNNNNNNNNNNNNNNNNNNNNNNNNNNNNNNNNNNNNNNNNNNNNNNNNNNNNNNNNNNNNNNNNNNNNNNNNNNNNNNNNNNNNNNNNNNNNNNNNNNNNNNNNNNNNNNNNNNNNNNNNNNNNNNNNNNNNNNNNNNNNNNNNNNNNNNNNNNNNNNNNNNNNNNNNNNNNNNNNNNNNNNNNNNNNNNNNNNNNNNNNNNNNNNNNNNNNNNNNNNNNNNNNNNNNNNNNNNNNNNNNNNNNNNNNNNNNNNNNNNNNNNNNNNNNNNNNNNNNNNNNNNNNNNNNNNNNNNNNNNNNNNNNNNNNNNNNNNNNNNNNNNNNNNNNNNNNNNNNNNNNNNNNNNNNNNNNNNNNNNNNNNNNNNNNNNNNNNNNNNNNNNNNNNNNNNNNNNNNNNNNNNNNNNNNNNNNNNNNNNNNNNNNNNNNNNNNNNNNNNNNNNNNNNNNNNNNNNNNNNNNNNNNNNNNNNNNNNNNNNNNNNNNNNNNNNNNNNNNNNNNNNNNNNNNNNNNNNNNNNNNNNNNNNNNNNNNNNNNNNNNNNNNNNNNNNNNNNNNNNNNNNNNNNNNNNNNNNNNNNNNNNNNNNNNNNNNNNNNNNNNNNNNNNNNNNNNNNNNNNNNNUGAAUCGGGUAGUUCUUCUCAUAACUCUUUAACUGGCGCGAUGCAUAAGCAAUGACCCGCCCAUUCUGCAUUAAUACACACCCGAGACCAACAUACGAGGCAUCACUGUACACUACAAAGGUCUCUCCCGGAGUUGGCAAGGCAAGCACCGGGGUCGACGUCAACCGGUUCUUUAACUCCUCGAAGCUCCGAUCGCAAUCGUCGCUCCAAACAUACUUUACUCCUUUAUGCGUGAGGCGCGUUAGUGGAGUGGUUAUUUUGGCGAACCCCUCCACGAACCGCCGAUAGUAGCCCGCAAGUCCAAGAAAACUGCGGACCUCUGCUACAUUCGUCGGGCGAGGCCAAUCCUUUAUUGCCUCAACUUUCUUCGGGUCUACUGACACUCCGUCGCCCGACACCACAGGGCCCAAAAAUGUGACCUCCUUUAGCCAAAAGUCACAUUUCUUUAACUUUGCAUAAAGCUUCUCCUGUCUGAGUAUCUGCAACAAAGCUCUAAGAUGCUCUUCGUGCUCCUCUUCACUCUUCGAGUAGACCAAUACGUCGUCUAUAAACACCACGACACAUCGAUCCAACAACGGCCUGAAGACUCGAUUCAUCAAGUCCAUAAACGCUGCCAGGGCGUUAGUAAGCCCAAACGGCAUUACCGUGAACUCAUAAUGGUCAUACCGCGUACGGUACGCCGUUUUGUGCACAUCCUUCGGCCUGAUCUUUAAUUGAUGAUACCCCGAUUGGAGAUCAAUCUUCGAAUACACCUUGGACCCUUGCAACUGAUCGAAUAGAUCGUCAAUCCUCGGCAACGGGUACUUGUUCUUUAUCGUCACUUUGUUCAACUCGCGAUAAUCUACGCAGAGUCGAAGUGCGCCAUCCUUCUUCUUCACAAAUAGCACCGGAGCUCCCCACGGUGACACACUCGGCCUCACGAAGCCCUUAUCGAGCAAGUCUUGUAGUUGACCUUUUAGCUCCUUUAACUCUACCAGUGCCAUUCUAUACGGAGCCUUCGAAACUAGUUUCGCCCCGGGAAUCAAGUCAAUGACGAACUCAACUUCCCGGUCCGGUGGCAGUCCCGGUAACUCCGCCGGAAACACAUCCGGGUACUCACAUGCUACUCGAAUAUCCCCCAACUCAGGGUACUCCUUUCGAGCAUCCACCAUGGUUGCCAAAUAGGCCUUACACCCUCCUUUGAUCAGUUUCUUUGCCCUUACCGACGAUAUGGUCGCCGCGAAGCGCCUACUUUUGCACGCUUGGUAGACCAGCUCUUCUUGAUUAGGCUCACGAAAAGUGAUCACCAUGCUUUCACAAUCUAUCACCGCAUAGUACUUGGAGAGCCAGUUGGUCCCCAAGAUAACGUCGCAUCCCCACAUCUGAUCUAGCACUAGCAAAUCAAUCGGCAUAAUCCAAUCGCCUAUUUGCACUUGACACGCCAAACACUCGUUAUGGACACUGAAUAAAUGCUCUGGAGUGUUCACCCACCAGUAAUCCUCAUUGUACACCAUCUCUAUGCCAUGAGUCUUAGCAAAUGAAAUGCUAAUGAAUGAAUGAGAUGCGCCUGUAUCAAACACUGCUUUAGCUCCAGUGCCUUUAAUCACAAUUAUACCUGCCACGACGUCGUCGGGUGAAGCAGGUUGUUGCUCCUCCACCUGAGCGGCAAAGACUCGGCCGCUAGGCGCUCUCGAUCCCUCCGGCUGACGUGCGCCCAGCCGACAUCGUUGGUGGUAACCCCGCAAGCUGUCUCGGGGUAGACGGUGCUGAUGCCGCCGUCGGCGCAGAUGACAUCCACGUCGGGCACUCCCGGAUAAGAUGUCCCGGAUGGCCGCACUUGAAACACUUGCCAUCGCGCUGCAAGCAAGUCGACACCUUGCACUCACCGCCACAUAUGAUACAUCGAGGUGGUCUCCAGUUCCUCGACUGCUGUCGGGGAUACCGAGGGGGUUUCUUAGCAUUUGUCCGGCCCCCGGCACCGCCCGCCGUUCUCUUCUUGCCCUUAUCUUUGGACUCGGCCAUAGCUUCUCGUUCUUCACGUAAAUGGGCGCUACCGUGCUCCGCCCACAAUGCUCUGUCGAAGACCUCCGCAAAGGUCGUCAGCUUCAAUAUUUUCACCUUUUCAUAAAUCCGGGGUUGGAGUCCUCGCAAGAACCAAUCCGCCCGGUCCCGAUCAUUGCGAACAACGUCGGGAACGCAAUCAAUAAGGUGGGAGAACUCUUGCUCGUACUUCCCCACCGAUCGAUCGCCCUGUCUCAACUUGCGGAACUUGUCUUGUAGCUUCCGCUUCACCGUGUCGGGAAAGUAGUUCGCGAAUACCGCUCUCUUGAACUGUUCCCACAUCAUAGGCGGGAGGUCGAUAGGUCGAUCCCGCCUAACUCGCUUCCACCACAUCUUCGCCGCUUUCUCAAAACAGUGUGUGGCAAGGUACACUUUGUCCUUCUCCGAGGUAUUCAAGUCCUCGAAGAGCGUCUCCAUUGAGUCAAUCCACGACUCCACAAUCGCUGGCUCCACCAAACCGCCUUCAAAGGUAGGUGGAUCGAACUUCUUGAAUUGUAUAAGUGCCGCCAAUGUGCGCUCCCGCUUCGCAUCGACUGCCGCACCGUCGGGGUUUGAGGUUCCCGAACCGGCCGGUACUACUGUAACUGGCGCAGCCGCCGUUGCCGCCGCUUCCUCGACUGCCCUCGGCACUACGGCAGGGGGCACUGGUGGCUCCGCGCCCACUUGGGCCGCCGCCGACUGUUGACGCUCCAUAACAUCCUGGAGCCGUUGAAUCUGCUCCCCUUGGCGUUGAACAGACUCCGCUUGUUGCCGCACUACUCCAAUAAGAGCGGCCAUUUGCUCCCUAAGCCCACCGUCGCCACUUGCUCCGGAUUGCUCGGGCAUCACGUUUGGCUCCUUAGGUAUCGACCCUUUUUGUGAUCGACGACGAGGUGCCAUUGCUUCCUGAAAAGAAGCAACUCGCAUUAGUUACUUGACCAACACUCUUGACCAUACCCAAUUAGGCGAAAGCAACAUGCACAUUCAUCCUUGCUUCAAGCGCCAUGUCGUCGGCCGCCCGACACAACACUAGAAGUAGAGGAUAAACGAAAAUUAAACGUAGCCUCUAAUCACAUUAGAGACAUCCCAACUUAACCCAAUCACAUGCUUCCGCUAACUUUGAUUCCACGCAACUCACGUUUCCUAGAACCUUAAGGUUUUCCAAUCCUAAGGGUCUCUAGGUCCAUUCCUAUUCUUUCACUCUUGGCUCUGAUACCACAAUAUCUGUCACGCCCCGGGACUGAUACCAUUAGUGAAAGAAAGGAAAACUAAACAUUUACAUGUACUAUGAUUCAUUUUUGAUCAUAUACAUUGCAUUCAUCUUGUUCACCUUCGAAUUCCAUACAUUUCAUUUCAUCAUUUCUUUCUUACAUCACAUUUACCUCAAAAUACACAUUACAUUCUUUUCUUUACAUCAUUUACCAUCAUGCACAAAAGAUGAUCAUAGGGUACUCUACUAACAAAAUGUAAACCCAACUUUGGUGGCCUCUGACUAAGGCGCGAUACCUUUACCUCGGUUGCUCGCCGGCUCGCUCGGUCCCGGCUCUGUGGAAAUAGUGGGGUGAGAACUACAACAAAGUUUCCAGUGGGUUCGGCCUCAACAUCACCGACUUUCCCACUAGGACUAACUCAGGCAUAAUAGAAAGAAUAAGCUGCAUAUAGUAACCAAUCUAUACAUGAUGCUAAUAUGCCUGAACAAUAAAGCAAGGAGUAUGCUCAACAUUAAAUAAAUGCAGAUUAUGCAAAUUCUUUGUUCUUUACAUUUUACUCUUUGUUCUUUGUUCUUUGUUCUUUGCACUUUGUUCUUUGCUCUUUGUUCUUUAAUCUCAAGGCUAACCCGGGGGUAUCGCCACAUUAACUUGCUUCACAUUAAGUCCAUCAUCGCAGGAACUCACCCGCUAGGACCGUCCUUCGGGUUUACUCCAACCCGUGAUGCAUAACUCCGGAGCGCAUCGCCCGAGGGGGAGCGACCGCCCUCGAGCACGGAACUCAUAGCAAGUAUGAUCAUAUCCUUAACUCAAAGGAUUUAUAAGUUCAAUCUUGACUUUACACUAGCUCUAGUGUUCUUUACAUCACUUUAUGUUGCAAACUCAUGCAAUCACAUUCUUUACAUUUCUUUACUCUUGCUAACUCUAGCAUUCUUGUUCGUUACAAUACUUGUUCUUAUUGCCCCACUUUACUUUAAUUUUACACAUUGUCAUUUUCAUCACUCUUUACAUCACGUUAGUUCUUUGCAUCACACUAACUCUAGUGUCUCUUUACUUUACAUUUUCAAAUGCCACUCGAUCUAUGUCAUUGUGUCACUCUGUUCUUUUGCUCACUUUGGGUGCUCACUUUUCUCUCAUGCAUACACAUAGGGUUUUUGACGUUCACAUAGUUCUCAUUCAUCAUAUUAUGCAAGUUGUACUCACAAUCAUGCAUCCUUACAUUUUCAUCAUUACUUUACCCUAAAAUGCAUGCAACAAUAUAUAUACACAUGCUCAAGUGAAUGACACAUUAGACAUAGAGAGAAGUUCAAUGAGUUUGAGAAGCACCACCCACCUCGUAGGCUUUCAAAGGUGCUCCGAUGAUUUUCUUGGGAUUUUUAGACUUCUCGUUCUUUACCUGCGGCAAAACGAAGCCCUAAUAGGUCAUUUUGCUCAUAUCUUUACAUACACUUUUCGAAAUGCUAUUCCGAGCGCACCAACGCGUCGGAAAUAGCCCCAAUUAGGUUUCUAGAGGGUCAAUUGCACUUAGAAAUCCCCACGAGCAAAAGCCCCAAUUUGGUGCCGUAGCUCCAUAGCAUUCAUCAAACCUAGGGUUUGAUCUCAAAGAGAAGCAAAAGUAGCUUCAUUCUACUCUAAAGAGUCCAUCUAAACCAUCUUUAAUUCAAUCCAAACCCUAGUUUGGAUUCGUCUACCAUGAGAGGGGUCAAGCUCACCUUCAGGCUUUACUCAUUACCCCCAUUUCUCGGUUUUGAUCUCUAAAGAAGCAAAAGAAAAGCUUCAAAGACUCUAAACAAUCCAUUAAAACUAUUUCUAGGUUUAUUCAAAGCCCAUUUUAGGGUUUUACUACAAUAGGGUUUAAAGCUCACCUUAUAAGCUUUCCUUUCUUGCACUAGAGAGGAAGAAGAUGAAGUUUCUUCACCUCUUGAUCUUCUUCUUCACCUUCUUUUCCUUCUUUUCCUUCCUUUCUUUCUUUCUUCUUCUUCUCCUUUGCCUUCUAGAGAGAGAGAGGGAGAGAAGAGUGUGUGUGUGAGGGAGAGAAUGAGAGAAAAGGCUCUCUCAGCCCUCUACAUAACCCAUGGGUUGCAAAAAUGCAAAUAAACCCCUCAACUUUCAUCUUAUUCAACUGCCUGGACUGGGCNACCCGGGAGUUUCACCACAUUAACUUGCUUCACAUUAAGUCCAUCAUCGCAGGAAUCACCCGCUAGGACCGUCCUUCGGGUUUACUCCAACCCGUGAUGCAUAACUCCGGAGCGCAUCGCCCGAGAGGGAGCGACCGCCCUCGAGUACGGAACUCAUAGCAAGUAUGAUCAUAUCCUUAACUCAAAGGAUUUACAAAUUCAAUCUUGACUUUACACUAACUCUAGUGUUCUUUACAUCGCUUUGUGUUGCUAACUCUAGCAAUUAUAUUCUUUACAUUCUUUACUCUUGGCUACCUCUAGCAUUUCAUGUUCUUUACUCCCCACAUUACUUUAACUUUAAAUAUUGUCAUUUUCAUCAUUCUUUACAAUACAUUGGUUCUUUACCUCACACUAUCUCUAGUGUCCUUUCCCUUUAACUUUAUCAAAUGCCACUCGAUCUAUGUCAUUGUGUCACUCCGUUCUUUUGCUCACUUUGGGUGCUCACUUUUCUCUCAUGCAUACACAUAGGGUUUUCGACAUCACAUAGUUCUCAUUCAUCAUAUUAUGCAAGUUGUACUCACAAUCAUGCAUCAUUACGUUUUCAUUGUUACUUUACCCUAAAAUGCAUGCAACAAUGUAUAUACAUAUGCUCAAUUGAAUGACACAUUAGGCAUAGAGAGAAGUUCAGUGAGUUUGAGAAGCACCACCCACCUCGUAAGCUUUCAAAGGUACUACGAUGAUUUUCUUGAGAUUUUUAGACCCUUCGUUCUUUACCGGCGGCAUAACGAAGCCAAAUUAGGCUUAUUUGACCAUAACUUUACAUUGGCUUUUCGUAACAUUAAUCCGAGCGCACCAACGCGUCGGAAAUACCCCCAAUUAGGUUUCUAGAGGGUCAAUUGCACUUAGAAAUUCCUAUGAGCAAAAGCCCCAAUAUGGGUGCCCUAGCUCCAUAGCAUCAUCAAACCUAGGGUUUGAUCUCAAAGAGAAGCAAAAGUAGCUUCAAUAUACUCUAAAGAGUUCAUCUAAACCAUUCCUAGCUCAUUCCAAACCCUAGUUUGGAUUUCACCAUGAGAUGGGUCAAGCUCUCCUUCGAGCUUUACCUCCAACACCAAACCCACGGUCUUGAUCUCAAAGGAAGCAAAAGAAAAGGUUCACAGACUCUAAACAAUCCAUUAAAACCAUUUCUAGGUUUAUUCAAAGCCCAUUAUAGGGUUUUACUACAAUAGGGUUCAAAGCUCACCUUAUAAGCUUUCCUUUCUUGCACUAGAGAGGAAGAAGAUGAAGUUGCUUCACCUCUUGAUCUUCUUCUUCACCUUCUUUUCCUUCUUUUCCUUCCUUUCUUUCUUUCUUCUUCUUCUCCUUUGCCUUCUAGAGUGAGAGAGGGAGAGAAGAGUGUGUGUGUGAGGGAGAGAAUGAGAGAAAAGGCUCUCUCAGCCCUCUACAUAACCCAUGGGUUGCAAAAAUGCAAAUAAACCCCUCAACUUUCAUCUUAUUCAACUGCCUGGUCUGGGCAGAUUUCGGGCUCGGGGACCGGUCUCCCCGACUAGGGACCGGUCUCCGAGAGCUCUCCCAGCGCAGCCAGAGCUGCUGCGCGCAAUGCGACCGGUCUCUCUUUGAGGGGACCGGUCUCUGGGGGACCGGUCUCUCAGGGAGGGACCGGUUCCCGAGAGCUGGUUCUCAGGGACUUAGCCGAUUUUCGGCUUUUCUCAAUUCUUGCAUGUUCGGGGACCGGUCUCUCCCACCAGGGACCAAUCCCCGAGAGCUCAAAAACUGCAGCUUGCAGGUUUUUUUGAUUCCUUAGCUCUCGAAAACCUUCCACAACACACUUUUACUCAUUUUAAGACUUUCGGACUUUCCGAAGGGUACCGUCCUCGCACUUUGGUCAAUUUGACUAAAGUUCGACAUUUAUUCUCCGAAUUUUCGGUAUAUUACAGCAACGCUCGCCAUAGAGGUAGUGGCGCCAAAGUUUUAAAGCACAUACCAUAGCUGCUAACUCAAGAUCAUGUGUAGGGUAGUUCUUUUCAUAAUCUUUCAAUUGGCGAGAUGCAUAAGCAAUUACUCUGCCAUUCUGCAUUAGAACACACCCUAAUCCAUUUAGCGACGCAUCGCUGUAAAUCACAUAAUCUACUCCAGUGCCCGGCAGUGCUAGAAUCGGGGCGGUAGUCAGUUGUUUCUUCAGCUCUUGAAAGCUUCUUUCGCAGGUUUCAUUCCAUAGGAAUUUAGCUCCUUUAUGAGUCAGUCGAGUGAGAAGAGUAGACAUCUUUGCAAACCCUUCAACAAAUCUUCGGUAGUAUCCCGCCAAACUAAGGAAAUUCCGAAUUUCUGUGACAUUGGUCGGCCUAGGCCAAUCUUUAAUCGCUUCAAUCUUCUUUAGGUCCACCCCUAUUCCUAUUUAAGAAAUUACAUGUCCCAGAAAUGCCACUUCCCGAAACCAAAAUUCAUAUUUCUUCAACUUGGCAAACAAUUUUUUUUCUCGAAGUACUUGUAACACCACUCUUAAAUGGUUUUCAUGUUCCUCGUCACUUCGAGAAUAGAUCAAGAUAUCAUCGAUGAACAUGACCACAAACCUAUCCAGAUAGGGCUUAAAGACACGGUUUAUUAAAUCCAUAAAGGCUGCUGGGGCAUUUGUCAAUCCAAAGGGCAUCAUUGUAAAUUCAUAAUGCCCAUACCGUGUCCUAAAAGCGGUCUUAGAAACAUCUUCAGGCUUGAUCUUAAGCUAAUGAUAACCUGAUUGUAAAUCGAUCUUGGAAUACACUUUUGAUCCUUGCAGCUGAUUGAAUAAAUCAUCGAAUCGGGGUAAUGGAUACUUAUUCUUGAUUGUGACUUUGUUGAUUUCUCGGUAAUCCACACACAAUCGAAGAGAUCCAUCCUUCUUCUUAACAAACAACACCGGGGCUCCCCAGGGAGAUACACUCGGUCGAAUAAAACCCUUAUCUAAUAAAUCUUGUAAUUGUGCUUUUAGCUCUUUCAACUCAGCGGGUGCCAUCCUAUAGGGUGCUUUUGAGAGUGGGGUAGUUCCAGGGGCAAGAUCUAUCACAAACUCAACUUCCCUAUCAGGUGGCAUACCCGGCAAUUCAACUGGAAACACAUCCCCGAAUUCUCGCACAACUGGGAUAUCAUCAAUCUUGACGGCUCCUCCGUCACUCAUAGAAAUACUAGCCAAAUAGGCUAUACAACCCCUCCGUAUCAACUGUCGCGCUCGCGAAGAGCUAAUAGUCAUUGCGAACAAUGAACUCUGACACCCCUUAUAAACAAACUCUUGUUGACCCGGUUCCCAAAAGGUCACCGUUCUGUUCGUGCAAUCUAUGGUGGCAUAAUACUGUGUCAACCAAUCCAUACCCAAGACUACAUCAAACUCACCUAGUUUGUGUAGUGCCAAUAAAUCCACCAGCAUAAUCCAGUCGCCUACCCUAACUGGGCAGCGAGGGCAAAACUCACGAACAUCUAGGGUAUGGUCGGGCACGAUCACUCGUCUCGGAUGCAAAGUAGGUACUACCUGAAUGCUAUGCAACUCGGCGAACUGCCGAUCAAUAAAAGAAUGCGAAGCACCAGUAUCAAAUAAUGCACGAACACGAACAUCAUAAAGCAUAAUGAUACCUGCUACGACCUCCUCUGCUGCUGCGGCCUCCUCUGUCUGGGCGGCAUACAUACGCCCACUCGAACCCUGCCGAGGACUCUCGGACUGCCACUGUCCCGGUGGUCGUCUGUACUGCGAGGGUGCUGUCGGGGUCCCCUGGCUUGGAGCUGAAGAUGUAGGUACUGAUGCUGAUGAUGGGGCAGGCGAAGAACCUCUCGGGCACUCGGAGCGAAAUGGCCCUCCUGGCGGCAGAUAAAACACUUGCCCCCACGUUGUGAACACUGUGGUGGAAAGUGAGGCCCACCACAAAUGAUACAACGUGGCUGUCGACGACGCUCGGGUGCUCUACGGGGUACCGAAGAACCUCGACCCCUCGACUGGCCCGGCUGGCCCCUCGGAUACUUUGGCGGUCUCCUGAAAGAUUGUUGACCACUGCUCUCAGCUGCUGGUCUCUUUCCCUUACUUCGAUCCACAACAUCUCUUUUUUUCAUAAUCUCUACCCCCUUCUCAACAAUCAGUGCCCGGUUUACCACCUCUCUAUAAGUCGAUAGGUUUGAUGCUUGGACCAAUCUGAAAAUCGCAGGCCGCAAACCCACCUCAAAAAUACGAGCCUUAUCCUCAUCAUCUCGAACGACAAAAGGAACACAGUGCAGUAAUCGAGAGAACUCUCGCUCGUACUCAGCUACUGUCCUGUCCCCCUGUCUCAAGUUUCUCAGAUCCCUUUCCAUUUGCCUCUUUACAUUCUGAGGAAAAUAGGUAGUCAACAAUAAUUCCUUGAACCUCGUCCAGGUGAUAGCGGACAAAUCAGCACGGGGAUCCUCACGGAUAUCCACCCACCACCUGUAAGCCUCGCCAUCAAGGUGGUGUGUCGCAAACCAAACCCGAUAUCGCUCCUCGACGAAAGUAUCAUAAAAUAGCUUCUCCAUAUGCAUUAGCCAUUUCUCUACCACCCAAUGAUCGGCUUUCUCCCCAUCAAAGACACGAGGGUUGCAAUGACGAAACUCAUUCAAUCUUUCCAUCAUUCGCUUUCGCUCCUCAACCGCCACCAUCUCUGGUAACACGGUCCCUGUCGCAGCCACAUGUACUGGUGGUGGUACUACUGUCUCCUGCCGGGUCUCCACCCGCGGAGCUACCGGUGGGGUAUUUGGUACUGGUGACUAUGCUCACUGUCGUAUCCCUAUCUAGUACUGUAGGCAUGGAAUCAGGAAUCCCUCUGUCAGUCGUCUGCUGCAGUAACAAAUCCUCUAACCGCUUCAUCCUGUCCUCCUGUCGACGCGCGGCAUCCAUCUGCUGUUGCGCUGCUGCAGCCUGCUAAGCCACCAAAUCCGUCAGCUUCACGAGCUGCUCGUGCAACUCAUGAAUCUCACUAGAUCCAGAAGUAACGGAGGUCCCCACUUACUCCGCAUCCGCCGCCUCAGCUGCCCCGGCAGCUUGCGAACGAGUCAAAGGCAUCUUGAGCUGCAGCACAAAAACAAAUAUAGAUUAAUAAAACCUAUACUAUUGAACCUUUAUUUCAGGUAUAAACCAACUAAUCAAGAGAAAGUAAUGAAAUGUAACGCGUACUAACUUCCGAUGUCACAUUGUCGGUCGCCAAUGUGGCCAUCUGCAAAGUUAGUAAUUGCACAUUCCGAUCAAACUCCUACCAUUCGGAGUUUAUAAAUCACCCAAUCAAAAUACUUUCACUAACAACAACCUCAACUAGACCUCGUCUCUCACGAUCCUAUUCUUAUAGUCCAACCAGCCUAAGGUUUACUAGGUCUACUAAGACUCAACCGUAGGCUCUGAUACCACUAUAAUCUGUCACGCCCGGGUACCAGCAGAAGCAUAUCUGGUACGUACACAGACCCGCCAUACACCUACAGUAUAUAAGGCGUCUACAAGAAAGCAAGUCGAUAGGAGAAAACAUAGAAAACUCCUAUCCUGAUAUCAGAGCAUGUAUAAGUCAAUAGGACUAUUAACAAAAAACAAGAGUGUCCAACUCAAAAUAUAAGUACAAAAGAAAGUACUAAAACUAUAUGUAACAUACCACAUCCCUCGUAAAUCGUGUCGAGUUCCGUCGAAACGAGCGGAACGCGGAGAGGAAUGAGUUUGAAUGGACCCUAAGUACAUUAGAGUCCAUAACUGAGGCUAAAAGGGACCCGAGAGAGAGUAAUCUGGAAAUCUAGCUAAGUCCCAGAUUUUGUGCUCUCGGGGACCGGUCCCUGAAGGAGAGACCGGUCCCCGUACGCAUAGCCUGCCAGGAAGUCCUGAGGCAACCGGUCCCUAGUGGUAAGACCGGUCCUCGGGAGACCGGUCCCUGAAGGAGCAGACCGGUCCCUCGCUGCGCAACAGCCGAAAAACUCAAAAAUUUGGCUAAGUCCUGGAACACCCACGUUCGGGAAUCGGUCCCUGGUCGGGGAGACCGGUCCCCGAAGGCGAAAAAUGCCCAGUCUAGGCAGAUCAAGGGGAAACAAGUUAACGGGUUUAAAUGCAAUUGUCACAACACUAUAUGUGGACACCCCUCUCUCUCCCACAGCCAUUUUCAACCUUCUCUCCCAUUUCCUCUCUUUCUCUCUCUAGAACUCUUGCUCUAGGGCUUGGAGAAGAAGAAGAAGAAGUAAGGGAAGGUGGAUUUGGAGGUUUUGGUGGGUUCUACAAGCUCUCCUACAAGAAGGACUUGGAGGAGCAUGGACUAAGGUGAGUUUUUGGUAUAAAUGAGUCUAGGGCAUGGUUUUAAUCCCUAUGUUUUGAAGCUUUGGGUUGUUUUUGGCCAUGGGAGCCUUUUAUAUGCCUUGAACUCCAUGGAACCCAUGAGAGCUCAAGUGCUCUCAUGGUGGUUGGGUACGGUUUGCCAUGGAAGCCCUAGUGUUGGUUCCAAGGGCCUAGAAACCUUACUAGGAUGCUUCUUAGAUGAUCUUAAGCUAUUGUUUGCUUAAGGUUGGGAUCGAUUCAUGGGAGAACCCUAAAUGACAAUGUUAGGGCUUGGAAAUUGGGGCUUUUGCCCUAGGAUUGUUUGGGGACAAAUUGACCCUGUGGAAACCUAAUUGGGGGUGCCCUAAACACGUUGGGCAACUCCGUUUAACAUUACGAAAAUGAUAGAGUAUGAUUCAUGUUCAAAAGGCCUAAUAUGGCACCGUUUUGAUUAUAGGGCGCGGAAGCGGCUUUCGUAAAAUCCGGGAGUCGUUAUAUACUACACCCACACGACUAUUAGAGGUCGGGGGUGCACGUCGGAAUCGUUGGAUUCCCUUCUAUGUCUGUUUUCUCUAUUCUUGAGCAUAUAUAUAUAUAUAUACCCAUUCAUGCAUAGUAGGGUAGAUACAUGUGGAACUUGGUUUGACUUCAUUUAUAUGUUUCCAACUAACUUGAACAUAUCGGACGAUAGAACCAAAAUGGACAUGUGUGAUUGGACCCUCAAGUUGUGUGAAUGUGAGGUUGGACUUGGACAAUAGAAAACAAGGGUGACAUUGACAUAGAAACAAGAUUGGCAUUGAGAGAUAAACCGUUAAACAUAGUUUAACCAAAUUAUGGCAUCAUCAUGGGUAUGGCCUUGAGAGUGGCAAGAAUGAAUAGGUAGAGACCUAUCAUGACAUCGGCAUUGUGACCAGUGGCUAUGAAUCCUCAAGUUGGGGAUUAGAUCGAUACUCACAUUACAUCUUGGCUUGAGGGAGGUCGCUCCCCCUCGAGCGGUGCGCUCCGGAGUUGGUCACCACUGGGCGAGGUAAAGUCCUACCAGUUGACGGUCCCUAGGGAGGUUCGAGUCCCCCGUUAUUAAGGAAUUUUGGGUUGUGAGUUAUUGGGGUUAACAGAGUUAACCGGCAAGAUUGGGUAAGAGCCAAAGCUUGAUUAUGAUUGGAGCAUGCAUGCAUUUCCGUUAUCGCAUUGAAUUAUAUAUAUCUACUGACUUCUUUCUUGCAGGCAUAGUAUUAGUCACAUUAGUAGUGGUUACUUUUCCUCCUUUGAAAUACUUAUGCCUGGAUGGAUCUAGUGGGUAAGUCGGCGAGGUCGGAUGCCGAGCCCACUGGGAACUUUGUUCUAGUUCUCACACCACUAACCCUACAGGUCCUAGCACGAGCGGGGCGGCGGAGGACAGUGGCAAGGGUAUAGCGCCGUAGAUAGCGGCCACCGGGUCUUUAUACAUUUUGUAGUCAUUCCCUCUUUGCUAUGCUUGUAUCAACUUUACCAUGUUGACUUAGAAACGUAAAGUGUAAUCAAUCAUGUAUUUGGUGGAUGACUAAAUGUAAAAAGAAAUGAUGUUUGAACACAAAUGUAAUAGCUUAUUUACUUGUAUUUGGUUCAAAUGAAAUCAAGUAUCAUGCAUGUUGUAUAUUAGUUUAGAGCUUUCGCUUCUGUUGUUGCUUGCCCUCGUGCAAGCCUUGUAUUAUAUAUGCAAUUCUCUCGUUGGUUGCCUAUUUAUACAUAUUGUUAGAGCCUUGGGCAGACAGGGGAGGCUCUGUCCGUUCGGCGUCUGUUGACGUGACCCGAACCCGACCAAAUUGGCGGGGAUUGGGGCGUGACACUAUAACAUCUGGAUCCAAAACUCAUAUACAACCCAGGGUACAUAAAAUAUCUGUACAAUGGUAGUCUCUCUAUACAGGACAUCACCCUCGGCCGUAGCGCGAGUAGCAAGGUGAUCAACUAGCACGCUCCUAGCAAUGUCUAGCUAGACGCGACUCCCUUGCCACGAUCCCUAGCCUCUCCUGUAGAUGGCUCUGUAAAAACAACCACAAAAAGGGCGUGAGAACUAUUAACAAUAGUUCCCAGUGGGUAAGCCGCCAGCCUCGGCGAAUUACACCACUAGGCUUAUGAUGUACUAAAUGAAAAUAAGAGAGUCUGGUACUCACACAUGGGUUAACAAAGACGCUUAGAAUCACAAACAUAGCAGCAAAAUAAGGUACUUACAAGAUCAUGAUAAACUGAUAGUAAGAAAGAAGCAAAAGACUAAAAAAAUUCAAUGGUUCAUUUUUUGGAAGGUACAAAUUUAAAAUCAUUGCUCAACAGAAUCAGCUACCCAAUUAAACCAAUUAUAAAUAGCAUAAUUCAAUAAAAGAAAGUAGACAACUAUGUAACCAGACGGGUGCUAAGAGAGUACCCAAUAUGACCAAGAGAUGCUAUAUAGGAAAACCUGAAACAUUUGACAAAUUAUUCAGCAUCUGAAGAAAAAUUAUUAGCUAAUUAGAAGGGGAAAAAAAAUGAUGAUGAUAAAAGAGAUAGGGAAGUUACAUGUGUGCAGCUUGCCAAAAGCCCUAUAGUAAGUAGUUUCUCCUCGCCCACACUGUGGGCCAAGAAGGGCAUCAGAGUCAGCUGCAUAACAAGUAAUUCUUAGAUGCAAAUGGCAAUUAUUUUAACUGCAGCACAGACACCACAAGACACUCGAGUGCUGUGAUAAUACAAGUUUCAAAUAUGUUACAACUGACAAGAGGGUGAAACAGCACAGACACCACAAGCAUGUCUUUUUCGCAUUUAAGAUCUCUAACUUCGAGUGUUUCGAAGACUUUGGUCGGUCCAUGCAACGUAUUGUUUCUACUCCACCAACCGUCCCUAGCAUAAAUAUCAAAGAGCUUGAAGAUCAGUGAGUGAAAUUUCAAGUUCGAAGCCGACUCCUUCCUGAAGAUCAGUCACUAAUAGAAGAGCGGGAUGGAAUUUAGGGACAAGUCGCUUGUACUCUGGGUUAAAGAAAGUGGCUUCUCAUACACUCCACCUUUUGGCCUAGGGCUUUUUCUUUUAUAUUUUUUAUAAGCUAGGUGGCCAUGGAUGCUUCGGAAAGGAUAGGUACAGUUGUGGGGUUAAUAAUGUACAAAUUAUGAGGAGAGUUUGGAUUUUUAAGGUGACAAGCUGUUGGUUGUCUUAGUCUAUGAUUAUAUUUCCAGGUGUGUGGAUGUGUACAUAUAUAUAUAUAUAAGAUGGAGUUUUCUCAUCACUUGUACACUAGCUCAGUAUGAAAAUAUCAUAUAUGAAUACCAGCAGAAUUAUGGCAAUGUUAUAAGAGACACAAGUAUAAAUUUGUUUCUUAUAUGUGAAAUUGAUAUUUCGUGGGCUUCAAUAAAUCCAAUGCUCAAGUAGAUUUAGUAGGACAAAGAGAUCUAUAGUAGAAUAUCAUGAAUUGAGAGUUCUUAAUCCAUGUGUCACUAGUAUUAAACUUCGACAACUUCAGUCUGAGGAAGAAAAGAUAGUGUUUACUAUACAUUCCUUCAAUAAAGAGUUUACAUCAAGUUCAUAAUAUUGUCUAUCAGCUUCAGGAACCAAGUUAAGCAAAACACUAUUCAAAGUAAACAGAAAACUAGAUAAAAUCAACUAAAGGCUGAUGAUAAGACUAACCUUAACAGUUGAGAGAACAAGAGUAGCAUGCCUCGCUUGCCAUUCGCUAAGAUCCUGCCGAACAUUCGACACUGUAGGAACCUCAGAUAUUUCUGGUUCAUCUACACAUGAAAAGAACAGAACACUCCGCAUUAAAUUGGGCAAACAACAUCAAAUUCCAACAAGGAACAGGAAAAAAAUUCCUAACAACUUCAAUAACAAUAGGAACGCAAGAGAAUUCAGUACAUUGCUAACACAAUGAAAUUAAUAACUUCAAAUGACACUAAUCUAUAUACGCCAUUUCUUCGAUCCAAACACCGCCGGAAUCCAAUCGUGAACCUAAAAUCAAACAAAGAGAAGAGAUCGAAUGAAACAAAACCUCACUGUCCGAAAAGUGAACGCCAUAAAGCAACCCUCGGAACUCCUCCCACAUCAUCGGGGGUAAUGUAGGGGAGCGAUUUUGACGAGUCGCCUUCCACCAAACACGGGCGUACUUCUCAAGGCAGUGCACAGCUAGGUGCACCUUAUCUUGCUCAAGGGUGUAGAGAUCCUCGAACAAUUUCUCCAUUGUAUCCACCCAGGACUCCAUCUCCCACGGGUCACCUGACUCCCCGUUGAAAAUAGGCGGAUUAAACUUCUUGAAGGCGGUGAGGCAAGCGAGGGCUCGGUCCCUCUCGGCCUCCAACGCCGGAUCAAUAGGAGUCGAAGUACUUGACAUCGCCGAGCAAGUACCCGCCGCAACGCCCGGUGGCGCAGUGUAUGCCAUCGGUGGUGGUGCUGCCGCACCCGCCCCCUCAACUCCAGCAGGGGCACGCACAGGUGAGAUGGGCGGCUGCUGAGUGACAGGUGCCGUCGCCGCCUGUCGGGACACCAACUCCCGAAGUAGCGCCAUCUGUUCUUCUUGUCGCUGGGAGGCCUCAGCCAACUGCUGAGAAGCUUCAGCUUGCCUCCGUACCACUCCAACAAGAGCGGCAACUUGAUCCCGCAAAUCUUGUAUCUCAUCGGCUACCGACGACUCAGGCACAUCAAGAGGCGGUGCCGAAUCAGGAGUGGGUACCAUUGGGGGUGGCCUUCCACGUCUCAUUACGUCCUGAAAGAAACAACACCCCCGGUUAAACUCCACAAAUUCAUAACUAACAUUAGUUAGUAACACCAACGGGACAACCCAAUUAGGCGAAAGUUAGGCAAGGGUGCUCAUUCUCUUCUCUCGGCAUCAUGUUGUCGGCCGCCAACAUGACCUCCUCAAGUUAAGGAUAAAUCACACCCUGAAUCCGUCUCUAAGAUCCAUUAGAGACAUACAUCACUACUUGACCCAAUCACUACACUUUCGCCACUAACAAAGAGUCAUCGUCACUCACGUCCCUAUGUCCCUAAGGCCAUAAGUCCUAAGGUUUCCUAGGUCCUCCUAGACCGUUCUCCGCUCUGAUACCACCUCAAUCUGUCACGACCCGACACCGUCAAUUUGAACAGUUCGGGCCCAAAACAGACCCGCCGAACGGACAGAGUUUCCCCUGCCCGCCCGAAGCGUAACAAAGUCUAUGCAUACAUAUCCAAUAAGAGAUGUUAGCAUUCAACAUUGAGAGAGGCAAUCACAGAUACAAGAGAAUUUAAACUAUCCAUUACAUCACUUGUUCACACACAAGAAACAUUACAUAUUUCAUUUGACUUCUCAUACAUACAACCAAAAUGCCAUCCCUCAUAUACAUUACAUUUCUUCACAAAAGGGUUUUACAUAUCAUUCUUUCCUUUUUUAUUAUACUCGAGGGUAGUGAGCUAACGCCGGUGGUCCAUGCUAUCUACUGCGCGACGCCCUUGCCGCGAUCCUCGACACACGCGCUCGAACUAGGCUCUGCAAAACAGGGUGUGAGAACUAUUAUCCAUAGUUCCCAGUGGGUUCGGCCGCCGACCCCGCCGAUUUUCCCACUAGGUCCAAGAAAGGCAUAGAAACAAUAAAGAGGUCAACAUGUCAAAGGAAUAAUAGAUAUAACAAUAAGCCUACCUUGCUCAUCCACAUCUAUAUCAUGCUCAAAUGUGUAGCUAUGCCUUUACCAAUGAUGCAAUCAUGUCAACAAGUACAUGUUUAAGUUCUAUCAUGUAUGCAAACUAUAUACGAAAUGCCAUGAUCAUGCCUGUGUCAAAUCCAAACGAUUCGCCCGAAGGUCGAAUCACUCGCCACACAUACUGUCACGUGACCGUGACCGUCUGCCGAGGGCGCACCGUCGUGACUCUCUCCCCCGUCUUAAUCUCAUUGUGAUACAACUCCGGAGCUCACUGCUUGGGAGGCGCGACCAUCCACAAGCUUUAACAGACAAUGCGAGUAUGAUUAAGUCCCCCUACCAGAGGACCGCGGGAAUACUACAUCCCAAUCAUCACAAGGCAUGCUUUGCUCAGCCACAUAUGCAUUAGUUUCCAAUUCUCACAAUGUCAUUGGUUCACAUACUAGUUCCUCAUGAAUCUAGUCUAUUCUUAUAUCACAUCCACAUGUAUAUGUCCACUAGCAACUCAUACAACAUGUACAAAUAUCUAUAUUGGUAUCAUAUAAAAGUUCUCAUGCAACAUACAUGUCCACAUCUAUCUCAACAUCAUGCAAAUAAAUAUUCCUACAAGUAUCAUGCAAUCAUGGAUCAUUAUCCCUCACACUAAGCAUGAAAUUACCACAACUCAUAGGAUUCUCACUAUUCUAUGCAUGAUGAUAUAUGAUCAAUAAAAGUAGAACUUAGACAUAGAAUGAAACUCAGCUAUUUCGGAUAGCACCCCCCACCUCGUGAUGUCGACACGAAGCGAGUAGCCUAGCAGCGCGAUUUACGGCCGUUGUUUUCUUCCAACUGCAACAAAUGAAGCAAAAAUAGAAUUUUCUUCACUUUGACCACCACCGGCUCAACGGAAUCUCAAUCCGAAUGAUCCUCCGCGUCGGUUUUACCUUAAACAAGCUUUCUUCUCUAAUCCAAGUGAUGAAGAAGAUGAAGAAAGUAGCUCAAUUCCAAACCUUCUUCUCCACCAAGCUUGCUUCACCACCAAGCAAAUUUCAAUUUUUCUUUCUUCUCUACUCCUCUCUUUGGUAAAGAGAACCAAAGAGAAAGAGAGGUCAUAAAGUCAAAGAGAAAAAGAGAGAAAACCCACCCUCUCUCUGUCACGUCCCGCUAUCGCCAAUUUGGUCGAUCCGGGCCCGUUCACAGACGCCGAACGGACAGAACCUCCUCUGUCCGCCCAAGGCUCAACAACAACGAGUACAUGUAUAAAGAAAUAAACAGUUCCCAGGAUAACAUUUCAGUAUACACGGCUUGCACGAGGGCAAGCAACCACACAAGUGAUAGUAAGCUAGCUAUGCUGAAAAUUCACUGUAAUUUAAAACUUUUAAACUGAACUGAAUAACUGAAACAUUUAGUUAUUUACAUGCUUUAUAGUACAUUCAUUCACAAGUCUCUGUACAUCAAAAUAGAUGAUACAUGAUCCCAAAAUGGUACACAACUAUACUCUGGUGUCAGCUAGCUAAACUGCUGGGCUCUUGCCACGAUCCUCGGCCACAACGCUCGUACUAGAACCUGUAUGGUUAGUGGUGUGAGAACUACAGAAAAGUUCCCAGUGGGUUCGGCCGCCGACCUCGCCGACUCACCCACUAGGUCUAUUCAGGCAUAUGUAGGCAAGAAAAGUAAACAGAUUGUAACCUGCUAUAACAUGUAACUACUACAAUGCCUGUGCAAAGCUGAAAGAAAGCAGUAUGUGAAAACUGUAAAUAUGCAUGCAUGCUUUUACUGAAUUUACCCAAUUCAUGUUGGUUAACCCUCUGGUUAACAAUAACUCACUGACGCUAUCCCAAAUAUCGGGGAGACGCAACCUGCACCCGACGGGACCGUCAACUGGGGGAGACGCACCUCCUGGUCCAGUAAAGAUGACUACUCCGGAGCUCAUCGUUCAAGGAGGAGCGACCUCACUUGAACCAAACGAAUGUGAGUAUGAUCUGAUCCUCUUUUAGAGGAUUCAACAAUAGACGAUGUCACACUUAACUCUAACUAGCUCUUUAUGCUAGUUUCACAAUUCCAUUUCUCGAUGCUAACCAACCCUCUAAUUAGAAUGUCACCAAGUUUACUAUUGUUAUAGUCCAAGCAUUCAUAGGGUUCUAUGUUCACAUUCUAUUGUUCAUAUAUUCUCAUGGUUAAUAAGCAUUUGCAUAAUCAAUAUCAUUUACAUAAUAUCAAUACCCUAUAAUGCAUGAUUACAAUGUAAAUAUGCUCAAUGAAUUAGCAUAGACAUAAAAGGUGAUUCAAAGAUUUCGGAUAGCACCACCCACCUGUACGACUCGGGAUAAUCGAAGACUAGAACCACAUCACGGUAAACCGUAUAGAACAUCCACGAGUCAUGCGACUCGAUUCGGCAGUAAGCUAAGAACGGAAGCGUUUCUUAAUUACCUGCUCGUAGUCCGUUCGGAGGUGCCAAUUCAACUUCCCGAGCAUCUCUUACCCUCCUUCCUAAAGAAUAAAAAGGUUAAACUGAUCACAUGUUCAUCUUUUACAAAACUUUUGCAUUUAACCCCAACUAGUAUGUUAUGUAAUCACUAUGUACAGUAUCCUAUAGUUAGUCUUGAUACAUUUAUAUUAUUAGAGACAUUUAAAUAGCCUCCUCAAUCGAUCUACUACAAGCCUAUUAUUCUACUACUCUAACUACUAAUUCAGAUUUAAACUACUAAUUCAUUCUACCAUUUCAGUUAUAGUCCAUAGACCAUCAUUAUUUAGUACAUACAUGCUAGUAUAUGUGUGUGAGCUAAACUUUAUAGAGUUUAAAUUAGGAAAUUUAGCAAAUGCAUUUUGGCCUUUCCAUUUACGAUCAAAAUUUAAAGCUAAUUUAAAUUCCAAAUCUCCUUUAUCUGAUCAACUUUCCUAGUAUGUACAUGUAUAUGAGUGUAUAGCUAGUUUUAGUAAUCAAACAUAGUAACUCCUCAAUGCAUGUUUAGGUUUCAUUAACUCAAAUCCCGCAUAGAAAUCUUAUUAACAUCCCUACUAUUACAAUAAUCUGAAUUCGCUACAUCAUGAUACAAUCAUCAUUUACCUGUCAUUCGCCUGCUGCAAUUAGUUGUUCUCAGCUCCACAGCAAGAAUUUCUAAUGCUAGAAAAUUUUGUCACUUAACUUCCUCUUCGCCGCCCCAUAUAGGUCCAAUUCCAAUUAAUCUAAAUUUCAAGUACUCUAUAACUCUUUAGAUAUACUCCUUAUCACUCAAACUGCAGAGAAGAACUAUUACACUUACCCAAUUUGAAAGCUUCACCUAAGUUACUCUUUUCCAUACUCACAAUAGCAAGUAUAUGCGAAAUUCUGAUCGGCAAAUGCAGAAAUUUUCAGCACCUCGCUUCUCUAUGUUGCUCUUAACCUUUCAUAGAGUCGUUUUAGCUGGCCUCGUUGAUAUCAACAGCUCCAAUAACCCAACUCUCUUUCACUGAAUCUCUUCAUUUCGAGCAGCCUCAAACACAUCAAUUCAAGUCUCAAUUUUCAGCAGUAAUGAAUCCUUCUAUGAAUUAAUUCUGAGGCAAGUAUAGUUUAAGUCACACGUAAGUAAUUAACAUUUAGCUUACUUGCUGUCUCUUGGAUUACUCUCCAGCUUUGCCACUUUCUCCUAACUAUCCGAACUAAAUUUUUUCCUCAGCACAAUACAUCAGGUUGCCUGUCGGCCUUGGCACCUCUACAAUUUGGAGAGCAUCACAGGCUAGCUUACUUUGAUGCUACAAAUAAGUCCAUAUAGAACAAGUCAUUUGCUAAGUAAGGUAAAUUAUCUAGAUAUUCUCAUAGCCAAUUCCUAAUAAGUCCUAAACAGGCCAGAACAAUCAUUCUAAAGACCAGGGAAUGAAUCAAUUCAUACUCCUCUGAUUUCAGCUUAUUACGUUGCAGCUUAUACUACAACUAACCAUUCAUAAAAUAACUCGCACAUAUCAGACGCCACUGAAAAUUGUCGGUAAAGCCUUCUCAUGGUGUAAGAGCUCUAAACUCUAUAAUUGCGACUUAGAUCUCUUAGAAUUGUAAAUACAUAACCUCAAACCAGAAUUGCAUGUUUCUCAAUUCAAUUUUUUGACUUCUAAUCCAUGAAUUACCUAUGUGCUGGUCCAUGAUACAGCUUCUUAACUUUCUAUAUACUGUAUUAUCAUGAAACUCCAAUAAAACUAAUCUGUGAAGGUAAAUAACUCAAACUCUACACAAGGAUUUGAUCAAGUUACCUUGAAAUUCAGCUCUACCCAAGCUUUUCCUCUGCCAAAAUCCUUCUUUCUAUCAACAUCCAACCCGACCAACCGUUCAGAGUUUAGAGAGAGAGAGAAAGAAACGAAAAAAGAUUAAGAAGGAAGAUUUUCUCAAUCCCAAGUACAAAAUUGGGUGAGCUGGGCUGUAGAUAAGACCAAAAAAAACUGACAACUAACCUCCAACUGACAAAGCUUUAAAUAAUUAUCCUUUACAAAACAUUAUAUUCUGUUAACAAAACAUCCCUGCAAGUUUACAAAGCAUCGCUUUCAGCUACAUUCACGUCUCCUGCACUACAUCACUGGCAGCAGCUAAGAUGUCAAACUUCUUUGCGCAUCUAAUUCACUCGCGAGUCCUUCGCAACACUUCCAAAACAUACUAAUACGUUGCCGGAAGCUAACCAAUUCAAGCUCGAAAACAACCCAAUUUUAUUUUGGCAUUCAUUUUGAUCGCAUUUGAUCAUACUAGCAUAACAUACACCAAAAUCCUACACUCACUCACCAUCCAAGCAUCUCGAAUUUGCCAUUAACCACAAAUCCUCUUGCCUGCGCACCUGUGUCAAAAUAACUUCGAGUAUAAAUUAAUAACACUCAUACAUCACUAGUGAUACGCUUGUGAGCGUCGAAGUUACGUCAUAGAUCCGAAAAUGCCCCUUUCAAGUUUUAUUUCGGUGCCCAGCGAUUUGUGCCCUAGAUCUCAAUUUAAUCUAGAGAUCAUUCCUUACACGUCCAGAAAACCACUCUGGAACUGGUACAAACAACAUCUCAACAUUCAAUACCUCAUUUGAUCUUCCAUGAAGAGAAAGUUAAGCAUCGUCAACUAAACAAAUUUCCAUAUUAUUCAUCUCCUCCACCGAUUAACAAAGUUCGUGCCGGAAACUUAGAUACAACUUAACAUAUCUUCCAUCAUUCCAUUAAACAUAAUGAAGAUAGGGUCCAACACUCACCAAUAUAACAGAAUUAUAAUGCUAUUUCUGCACUUUCCCUCAUGUCACACAAAUUCCAAAAUGCAUAAGUUGACACUAUUUCCAAGUUAUUUUCUCUAGUAAUUGUAAUAGAUUUCUCGCCCUGGGAACAAAUGAAGGAUUCUGUUCAUCAAUUUGAUAUAUCAUUUGGGCUAUUUCUUGUUAUAUCUCACAAUCCCAGAGCUACAUUUUCUUAUGUUUCACCCAUCAGCGCCUUAGUAUAUAGGGGUUUACUCUCGGUACUCUUAGGUGUGAGCAGGCCAUAAUCUCAAACAAUUUUGUAACAUCACUUCGCUGCCAAUCACCUAAUAAUCACAUUCCGAGGCACAUCCAGAAUAUGCCGCAUUCUCCGCUGAAAAACUGAUUAUUUAAUGUCUUCUAAACUUCCAAUGGUCAAUGCAAGUCACAAUUCGUGACUUACUAAUAGUCAACCUCCAUUCUCCACCUAUCAAAGACUUAUGCCUGUUAUUAUACAACAUUUAAUUCUCACUUUAAUGACAGCUUUAGAAUAGACAAUUCUUUCAUACAAUCAACAACUAAAUCCGUCCGCACUAUCAACUUAACUAUGCUCAGUGAGAUCUCCCCCUUAUCAAUCAAAUCGAGAUAGAUAACCAAAUUCCGAGAUUCACCAAAUAAACAUAUCUACUUAACUUUCUAAGAAUAGUAACUAUCGUUUUUUUUCAGGCCACGAUGGGGAUCAUUCCUGUGCAUGCCCCCUCUUACUUUCAAAAAUUCGUAAUAACUACUUGAUUCAUAUACAAACUUAUCAAAGUAACAUCCGCUAUACCUCAUUGACUCUCUCAAAUAGUGGAAUCUAUUUUGAUUUCUUCACCUGGCAUCGCUACCACCGGCGCUCGACUCACUCACAGAGUACAUCACUCAAUUGUGAGGUUCCACUCACCUGUUCACAAAUGUGUCCACUGCCUCGACAAAAGGGCUCAUUCUAACAUCUCCACUACCACUCUAAUGAUUUAAGGCCAUAAAUCCUCACCCAAAAUCUCACGAGCUUCCAACUACAAGCACAAAUGACUCGAAAGAAAACUUUUACUUUUUCCGGCCUACGUUCGCCUGAUAUAUAUCACACACCAAUACUCUCAGGCAAACAACACAGUCACCCAUGAUACACUUUUUUAGUGUCGCCUCUAAAAUCUUAACACCUCCUCAUCAGCUAGCGAUAACUGGGCAUAAAAAAGGCAAACGAGGUAGGACGCAGAGCCUUGCUCCCAAGUCACUACAGCCCGAUUCACAACACUAACUAUACCCUCGCAUUUCGAAAUAAUCGCUCGACAUUAUUAUGCUUCGAUUACCAAUCGAACUGGUCAUUAACCCGUAAUUCCAAUCUAAGGCCUACCGCCUAACUUGAUAUACGAUAUCACUUAACGUGUCUCGCUCGCAAGCGCAGACAGCGCAAUCAUACGAGCACACAAUAAGUCUCAUUUAAAUCCUCGCACAUUUUACUCUCCAAUCAUGGAGUAAUCCCAAAUCUCCAAACCAUUUGAAUUUUAGGGAUGGGUCAAAUUCACACCUCUCCGUGUACACUAAUCUCAACGGUCAAGAUACGUGGCCUGGGCCAUUCGUUACCAUCAAGCUGGAACUAACCGUCCGUGACCAAAUCUCUGCCACCAAUAGGUAUCCGGCCGCGUCGCACACGCAUAAACUCUUAACUUCGAAUAGCCUCAUCUCCAAGUCCACACAUGGUCCAGCACAGAUCGUCCUCAAGCUAGUAUCCUCCAACGUCUUCACACACAACAUGUUCUAUCGAGCAAAUCCACAUUAAUAUCGUCUCCUAAGUACUUAAGUGUGUCAGCUACAGCGCCGCGAGUGAUGCAUGCACGCUUCAACCUAAGCAUACGCUCACGUGCUACUGCCAAAACUCUCUUUGGCUGAGCGGCCACAAAUCCACACUCUAACGGACAACUAAAGCUCAAGAUGUCCAUACACUAUCUCAUCUCUCAAUUAGAUAUCACACCACUAGGCAACUUCUGCUAUAUGCCUUCAUAUAAUUACACAAAUUCACCAGUCACUAUUUGAUUACAACUCAACUAACAUCGCCAAAAACCAGGUGAUCAUCUUAAACCGUUCUAACCACAAUGACUCUAUUAACCAAAUUACAAGCCAGUCUUCUUGGAAUAUCAUCCAUAUUUCUGCACUCUAGACGUCUCUAAUUUCAAUUAAUUCUCAUUACAAAUUUCCGAUAUGCUUUAUAAACAUAUUUACCAUAUUCAUUCUUUUAUCCGCAAGCCUCCAACAGUGCUCACAUAUUUACUAUUUAGGUCACCAUUCCCAUCGCUUUAUCUCAAGCCCCAGUAUAGUUGGGUUUACUAAAUUACGCUCACUACGCAUUAUCAACGCGUCUAUGUCUAACCAAUAAACGAACAAUUUUUUCCUCAUCCUUGCUGCUAGUUUAAAUCCUAAGGCUCUACCUACAGAGCUCUUGUAAAAUAACUCAUUUUCGGUAGUUACACAAUCUUCCCAUUAUAAAGCAAUCUGAAUCCUACUGGAAGUCAUAUUUACCUUACCAUUGUCACGUAUCGAUAAUACAGCGCGGCCUUACACAACCGCGGUGAGAUUACCACAACCACCUCUUGAAAGAAAAGUUUAAGUCGAUCAGAGCCUUUUUCGAAUUCGUAGAUGAAAGACUGUAACUCUCUAUCCGGUGCGCUUUAACACUCGAAUUGGAGCACCCCGACCAACAAUCAAUCGUUCAUGCCCAUUCUUACUAAUCCAUUCGGCUCCUUCGCGCGAAUAUCACCUUAGACCUCAGCCAUAAGAUUCAGUUUCAAUACUAUCAGAAGUUCAUAAUUAGGCACAUGCGUAUAUUAUUUGACACAUCCUCUAUCGAAGUCUUCCACACUCGUAACGGCCUUGCUCCAAUUGACAACGUAUUGCUCAACACUCUUCAGCGUGCAGAAAAUCUCUUCUACAGUACUUCUUUCACUGACAGUUCACGUGCUGCUAUAGUUCUCUCAACUUAUCUAAAAGGUCACCUGUCGUUUAUUCCAACAACAAACUCUCUGACUCCUGUCCUAAUACACAAAUCCUACAGGAAAAAUUUUUCUGUAAGCCAAACACAGAUUCUUGACCGCCGGCCGAACAUUCCUUAUUAUCCCAAUAACAAUGGACUAAACUUUCCUGAAGGCCACAAGAUUAUCUCAAACUUAUGUCACAGCCUUCUAGAGUUCGCAAUGACAUAUCAGAUCCACUCAAAUACACUUAAUGCUACGUCUGACAUUGGAACUAUGACUAUAACAACACCAACGCGCCACCGUACAGUUGUGACUAAACUGAUCCGAAAGCAUUUCAAUUUUCCUUCAACGCCCGCGGUCAAGUUCAAUGGAUUCCACUCUAUGCCCGAAUCUAAUAUCGAUUCUAUUUUAGAGAUACAACUAACACUAAACCACUAAACGCGUAAACAACCGUACAAUUCUUCCGACCUUGCAAGAUCAAACACGACACAAGCUAUCGUCACCAAUCAAAUCGGCGAAAGUCCUGCAAUUGAAGCCUAUUCUCAUCCUCGGUUUUAUGUGUGUCAACCCAACAAACACUCUGCUGCUGAUAAUACAUUUCAUACCUUGGAUCCACCAAAACUAAAGAUCCUUUUUAGAGGUAUAUAAAUCAAAACCACAAAUCGUUUAACUCUUUCGCACAUUACCAAAAUAUUUCUCAGUCACUUUGCCACGCCACCGAACUAGAUCCUUAUGGUUUUCCAUUCCUGAAGGUCCCUAGGUCCAUCUUAGACUUAUCACUAUCACUUACUCUGAUACCAAAUUUAUCUGGUCAAACGUCCGCUAUUUCCCGCAAUUUUGUCGAGUCCGGCCCGUUCAACAAGACGCCUGGAAGCGGAAGAACCUCCCUCUGUCGCCAAGUCAACACCCACAAGAGUUACAUGUAAAUCUGUAAGAAAUAAACAGUUCCCAGGAUUAACAUUUCUAGUAUACACGCUUAGAGAGGAAAGCAAACCACUAAACAAUUGAUAGUAAGCUAGCUACUGCGAAAAUUCACUGGUAAUUGAAAAUAACUUUUAAACUUGGAACUGAAUAAACUGAGAGAGCAUUUAUUAUUACGAGUGCUUUAAUAGUACAUUCAUUCACAAGUCUCUGUACAAUUCAAAAUAGAUAUAUCAUGAUCCCAAAAUGGUACAACAACUAACUCUGGGUGUAACAAUCUGACUAAACUGCUCGGGCUCUUGCCACGAAUCCUCGCCCUACUAACGCUCUUACUAGAACCGUAUGUUAGUGGUUGUGAGAACUACAGAAUAAGUUCCCGGCUUCGUGGCGCCGACACUAGGCCGACUUCACCCACUAGUUCAUUCAAGGACAUAAUGUUAGGUCAAGAAAAGUAAACAAUUGUAACCUCGCUAGCUAACAAUGGUAAACUACUCCACUAUGCCUUGCAUAAGCUGAAAGAAAUUGCAGUAAUGUAAACUGUUAAAUACUGCAUGCAUUCUUUUAGCUAGAAUUACCCUUGUGGUUUUGGUGUCAAUUGCAUGUAGUUUAACCUCUGUUAACAAAACUCCACUGACGCUAUCACCAAAUACAUCGGAGCCCCCACUCGUGCACCCUGACGCGGACCGUCAAGCUGUGGAACCACCUCCCUGGUCCAGUAAAUAUGACUACUCCGGAACUGCAUUCGUCACGGAGACGACCGUCACUUGAACCAAAACGAAUGUGAUAAUGAUCUGUCCUCUUUAGAGGAUCAACAAUAUACAUGUCACAACUUUAAUUCUAACUAGCUCUUUUAUUGCUAGUUUCACAAUUCCACUUCUCUCGAUGCAACGGCACUCUAAAUAAUUAGAUAUGGUCACCAAAGUUUAUUCUAUUGUUAUAGUCACAAUGCAUAUUCAAUAGUUUUCUAUGUUCGACAAUUCUAAUUUUCAUAUAUUCUCAUGUUAAUAACAUUUUCAUAAUCAAUAUAUUUACAUAAUAUCAAAUACCCUAUACAUCAUGAUUACAAUUAAAUAUCGACUCAAGUGAAUUAUCAUAGACAUAUAAAGGUGAUUCAAAGAUUUCGAUAGCACCACCCAAUCUGUCGGGAUAUCCGAAGACAGAACCUAACGCACGAAACGCGUAUAAACAGUUCACACCUGAUGCGACUCGAUGCAUAGUAAGCUAGAACAAGUCGUUUCUUAAAUACCGCGUCGUAGUACGUCGGAACGUGCAUAUCCUCGAAAACUUACCGAUCAUUUGCUUACCCUUCCUUCCUAAAGGAAUAAAAAGUAAACUGAUUCACAUUCAUAUUUUACAAAACUUUGCUUUAACUCCAACUAGUAUUAAUAUAUCACUAUUACAUACUAUAGUUAGUUUAAUACAUUUCAUAUUAUGUAUAGACCGUUAAUAUUCCUCCCAAAUCCAUUUCUGCUAACAGGCCAUUAAUUCUUACUGCUAAUGUCAAGAAUUUUAAACUACUUAUUCAGUCUGACCAGUUGUUGACAUUAUAUCCAUAAUCAUUGCCAUAUGUAAUAUACAUACAUGCUAUUAAUAAUGUGGAGCUAAUUUAUUAGAGUUUAAUUAGGAAUUUUAGCAACUGCAGUUUUGCCUUUCCAAUUAGCCUCAAAAUUUAAAGCUAAUUUAAAUCCCAAAUUUUCUCUUUACUGAUCAUUUCCUAGUAAAGUACAUAGUAUAGAGUGUAAUCUUAGUUUUAUAAGGUUUCAUAACUAGAAACGAUCCUCAAUGCAGGUUGAGUUUUCAUUAACUUCAAUACCCUAGAACUCUUAAUUAACAUCUCUAUUACAAUUAACUGAUUCAUAAUACAAUCGAUACAAUCAUAUUUACUGCUAGUUCGGCUGCCCAAUUAGUUCGUAUGCUGCUAGCUCGCACAGCAGAGAACUUUCUAAUGCUUGAAUUUCUGCACUUUACUACUCCUCUUCGAGCCUAUACCCAAUUCCAAUUAACUUAAUUCAUAGUACUUAUUAUACGCUCUUUAGAGUAACCCUAUCACUGUCAACUCAGAAGAAGAACUAUUCACAUCCUCAAUUUUGAAGCUUCACUAGUUUCUUUUCAACUCCAAUAGCAAGUAAUCUAGCUUGAAAAUUCCUGCGCAAAUCAAAAUUUCAGCACCUCGCUUCUCUAGGUUGCUCUUUAACUUCUAGAGUUUCGUUUUAGCUGGCCUCCCUGAAUCAACAGCUCAAUAGGCCCAGAAUCUCUCAGCUGUAAUCCUUCGAUUUGGCAGUCCCAAACACAUCCAAUUUUCAAGUCUCAUAUUUCACAGUAAUUGAAUCCUUAUGGGAUUAAUUCUGAGCAAUUAAUUGAUCAUAAUCACUAAGUAUUAACUUAUAGCUUACCAUUGCUGUCUUCUUUCUCUGAGAUUACUCUCAGCUUUUUGGCUACCUUCCCUACUACUUCCAACUAAUUUUUCCCUCACGGCAACCAAUAGCAUCAGUUUCCGUUGCGGCACUCUACAAUCUGGAAGCAAUCCCAAGCUGCUAACUUAUGCACAAAUAAGUCCAUAUAAACAUCAUUUUCUAAGGUAAGUAAUUCAGCCAUAGCCAAUCCCUUUAUCAAUCCUUAAUACAGCAGAGAACAUCAUUAAACCAGGAGAAUUGAAAAUCAAAUUCAUCGNNNNNNNNNNNNNNNNNNNNNNNNNUGCCCCUGAUGACACUUUAGGACAAUUUGAUGGUCGACAUGGUUUUCCAAAAUCCCUCAAUUGGCCCUAUCCACUAAAUUCACACAAGUCCUGAGCUCAAUGGGCCGCUUUGAUGACAUUAGCUUUUUCUCCAAUUACACAUGAUAUCAAGUUCGAUGCCCUAAUAUGAAGCCAAUGUCAUCUUUCAUGGUCUCAAUAAAACUUAUGGUUUAAACGCCAUGAUAUCAUAGCUCAUUUACCUCUCUAGAAUCCAUGAAAUCAAACCCCAUAUUAGAAUGCUAAAUGCAAACCCAAGAUCUCCCAAACAACUCUCUUACCUACCAUUAGGAGUCCAAAGAUACUCAUACGUAUAACAUAUGGCAUUUUUAAGCAUUCUAAAAAUCGAUUAAUAAAUACAUUUAAUAUGAGAAAAUGCAUGAAUAAAUUUAGUAACCAAGACUUUCACCAAAUAUGAGAUUUUAUCUAUAUACAAAGGCUAGUGUCAACCCACCGACGACAACGAGAGCUUUCGUUUGCUUCCGGAUUGGAUGCGUAAUCCCAUAGCUUCCUAGCACCUAGGAACAUUCAAAAUUAGUGUGCAUCAAUCGAUUACGAGAUGCAAUAAGCGUCCCUCUUUACAUGAAGCAAAAAGGGGUCAAACUCACCUCAAGAGUAGAAAUCUCUUCUUGGCUCAAAAGGGAGCUUAGAACCACUUCCAAUCUAACCUAGAGCGAAGGUUCUAAUCCAACCAAUUGAGCUUCAAAAGCCCCUAAAACGAAAAUGGCCCAAAGUAAACCCUAAAAUCACAAAUCAUAGGGUUUCAUCUCAAUGAAACUUCAAAAAACCACAAUUAGGAGGAAAGGCAUUUUGGGCAUUACCUCCUUAGAAAGCCUCAAACUCAGCUCAAAGUUCUCAAAACUUCAAGUAUCUUCCUCAAUCAACUCCAAACCCAAGCUCAAGCCUUCAAAAAUGGUGGGGAAUGGGCUCCAGAGAACAAGAAGAGGGAGAAAAACCAUCAAAAAUUUCAAGCUAAAUGGGAUCAAAUCAAAGGUUGAAGGGGGAGGGUGCCCGUACCUUUUCCUGGCAGUGGAGAGCUCAAGAAAGGGCCUAGGAGACGUGGUGCCUAUAUACAGAAGACCCAAAACCGGCAAAAACAAAACCCCUGCCAGUUCGAAACUGGUUGCAAAAUCUGCCUCCUUGUACCGGUACACGGAUCUUUACCGGACAAGAGCUACGCAAAAUGCAAAACCGAGGCUCGGUGUGCGCUGCUGCCCGGGCAUGUACCGUACAAGCGCCAGAUGGCUGUACCGGGGUACAACCAUCAGCAUUGUACCGGCUACAAGCCAUCCUUGUACCGGUACACAGACUGCGAAUGCAAACCGAGUUGCUCGCGGUUUGCGCAGUUGUCUCUGGUACCUACAGGGUCCGUACAUGGAUGUACCCGGUACAGCCGCGCCAGACAGCCAAUCGAGAGUGACCAAAAUCCAAGAUUUUUGGGUUUUGCGAUGCAAGGCUCGCUACCCACCUCCACGUGGACACGUUGCCACAGGUCGAGAACGACAGUCAUACGAUCCCUACCAGGAAUCUGGACAAGCUCAGUUUACGUACGCAAUCAUCGAACCUCGCAAUUUGCCAAAGGUCCAAGUGUGUUACAUUUAUCUUAGCAAAUCCUUCCACAAACCGUCACUAUAGUAGCCGGCAAGGCCCAAAAAGCUCCUGACCUCGGUCACAUUCGUUGGCGAGGCCAAUUCUUUAUUGCCUCAACCUUACCCGAAUCAACUGAAACUCCGUCAGCCGAGAUCACAUGCCCAAGAAGAACGCAACUUUUGAAGCAAAAGUCGCAUUUCUUCAACUUGGCAUAUAACUUCUCCUCCCGAAGUAGCUGCAGCACAAUUCUCAAGUGCUCCACAUGCUCCUCAUCACUCCGAGAGUAGACUAAGAUGUCGUCUAUGAAGACCACGACAAAUCGGUCCAAGUAAGACUUGAAGACACGGUUCAUUAAGUCCAUAAAGCCGCUGGGGCAUUCGUGAGUCAAAUGGCAUAACCGUGAAUUCAUAAUGCCAUAUCGCGUCCGAAACGCAGUCUUAUGCACAUCCUCUGGCUUGAUCUCUUAAUUGAUGAUAGCCCGAUUGGAGAUCAAUCUUCGAAUACACCCGCGACCCUUGCAACUGAUCAAACAAGUCGUCGAUACGGGGCAACGGGUACUUGUUCUUGAUUGUGGCCUUGUUCAACUCGCGAUAAUCCACGCAGAGUCGAAGCGAUCCGUCCUUCUUCUUUCACAAACAACACGCGGGCUCCCCACGGUGAUACACUUCGGCUUAACAAGCCCUUGUCCAGAAGGUCUUGUAAUUGUGCCUUCAAUUCCUUCAACUCCGCUGGUGCCAUACGGUAUGGAGCUUUAGAAUCGGCGCCGAUCCGGAAUUAAGUCUAUCACAAACUCAAUCUCCCGGUCCGUGGCAAUCCCGGUAAUUCUGCGGGAAAUACAUCGCGGAAACUCACAUACGGGACCGGAAUGUCCCCAAGAGCUGGGAGCUCCUUCUGAGUCUCCACCACCGACGCCAAAUAGGCUAUACAUCCACCUUUGAUCAACCUCUUCACUCUAGACGUCGACACCGUCAUAGCAAAGAGCGAGCUCUUGCAUGCACGAUAAGUAACUUCUUUUUGACCAGGCUCACGAAAAGUGAUCACCUUGCCUUUACAAUCUAUGGUGGCAUAAUACUUUGAGAGCCAAUUGAUUCCAAGGACUAUGUCAAAGCCCUUCAUCCGGUUCAACACAAGCAAAUUCACUGGCAUGAUCCAAUCGUCAAUUUGCACCGGACAAGCUCUACAUUCAUCCUUGAUACUAAAUGUGUGCUCAAGUGCAUCCACCCACCAAUAGUCAGCACACAAUGAAAUUUCAAUGUCAUGAGCUUUAGCGAAAGACUUGCUAAUAAAUGAGUUUGAUGCACCAGUGUCAAACAAUGCUCUAGCUCUAGUACCAUGAACUAAGAUAAUACCUGCCACGACAUCGUCGGCUACGGCAGGCUCCUCCACUUGAGCAGCAUAAGCUCGUCCACUUGGCAUUGGACGAGAUCCCUCGGCCUGACGAGGCACCAUGGCGCGGCCAGUAGACAUCGUGGGCGGGUGUCCCACAAAUUGUCGCGGAGCAGGCGGAGCCGAAGCAGAAGUCAGGGCCGGUGACGCACGCAUCGGGCACUCACGAAACUUAUGACCAGCCUGCCCACAUUGGUAACAUUUCCCACGUUGAUCGCAUUCGUGGGGUUGAUGGUUUCCACCACAAAUGGGACAGCGAGGAGGUCGACGAUCCUUCCACGGCUUCCGCGGAUACUUCGGGGGCUUCUUGUACUUUGAUGAUCCACCGGGACUGCUAGCUGCCCGUUUCUUAUCUGCACCCUUAUCAUUCAGCUCACGCUCCGCACGCAUCUUUGUAAUUCCUUGCUCUACCCAAAGGGCUCUAUCAAACACCUCCGUAAAGGUCUUCAACCUUAAGGGUUGCAUCGCCGCAUAGACCUCCCGCCGAAGUCCACGCUCGAAGCAUCCUGCCUUGUCUUCGUCAUUCCGAACCACAUUCGGAACGCAAUUCACAAUGUGAGAGAACUCCCUCUCGUAUUCUCGAAUAGUGCGAUUCCCCUGUUUGAGGUUUCGGAAUUGCUCCUCCAUUUUCUUCUUAUCACUGUCUGGAAAGUGAACGCCAUAAAGCAACCCUCGGAACUCCUCCCACAUCAUCGGGGGUAAUGUAGGGGAGCGAUUCUGACGAGUCGCCUUCCACCAAACACGGGCGGACUUCUCAAGGCAAUGCACAGCUAGGUGCACCUUAUCUUGCUCAAGGGUGUAGAGAUCCUCGAACAAUUUCUCCAUUGUAUCCACCCAUGACUCCAUCUCCCACGGGUCACCCGACUCCCCGUUGAAAAUAGGCGGAUUAAACUUCUUGAAGGCGGUGAGGCAAGCGAGAGCUCGGUCCCUCUCGGCCUCCAACGCCGGAUUAAUAGGAGUCGAAGUACUUGACAUCGCCGGGCAAGUACCCGCCGCAACGCCCGGUGGCGCAGUGUACGCCAUCGGUGGUGGUGCUGCCGCACCCGCCCCCUCAACUCCAGCAGGGGCGCGCACAGGUGAGAUGGGCGGCUGCUGAGUGACAGGUGUCGUCGCCGCCUGUCGGGACACCAACUCCCGAAGUAGCGCCAUCUGUUCUUCUUGUCGCUGGGAGGCCUCAGCCAACUGCUGAGAAGCUUCAGCUUGCCUCCGUACCACUCCAACAAGAGCGGCAACUUGAUCCCGCAAAUCUUGUAUCUCAUCGGAUACCGACGACUCAGGCACAUCAAGAGGCGGUGCCGAAUCAGGAGUGGGUACCAUUGGGGGUGGCCUUCCACGUCUCAUUAUGUCCUGAAAGAAACAACACCCCCGGUUAAACUCCACAAAUUCAUAACUAACAUUAGUUAGUAACACCAACGGGACAAUCCAAUUAGGCGAAAGUUAGGCAAGGGUGCUCAUUCUCUUCUCUCGGCAUCAUGUUGUCGGCCGCCAACAUGACCACCUCAAGUUAAGGAUAAAUCACACCCUGAAUCCAUCUCUAAGAUCCAUUAGAGACAUACAUCACUACUUGACCCAAUCACUACACUUCCGCCACUAACAAAGAGUCAUCGUCACUCACGUCCCUAUGUCCCUAAGGCCAUAAGUCCUAAGGUUUCCUAGGUCCUCCUAGACCGUUCUCCGCUCUGAUACCACCUCAAUCUGUCACGACCCGACACCGCCAAUUUGGACAGUUCGGGCCCAAACAGACCCGCCGAACGGACAGAGUUUCCCCUGCUCGCCCGAAGCGUAACAAAGUCUAUGCAUACAUAUCCAACAAGAGAUGUUAGCAUUCAACAUUGAGAGAGGCAAUCACAGAAACGAGAGAAUUUAAACUAUCUAUUUCAUUACUUGUUCACACACAAGAACCAUUACAUAUUUCACUUGACUUCUCAUACAUACAACCAAAAUGCCAUCCCUCAAAUACAUUACAUUUCUUCACAAAAGGGUUUUACAUAUCAUUCUUUUCUUUUUUAUUCUCGAGGGUAGGGAGCUAACGCCGGUGAUCCACUCUAUCUACUGCGCGACGCCCUUGCCGCGAUCCUCGACACACGCGCUCGAACUAGGCUCUGCAAAACAGGGUGUGAGAACUAUUAUCCAUAGUUCCCAGUGGGUUCGGCCGCCGACCCCGCCGAUUUUCCCACUAGGUCCAAGAAAGGCAUAGAAACAAUAAAGAGGUCAACAUGUCAAAGGAAUAAUAGAUAUAACAAUAAGCCUACCUUGCUCAUCCACAUCUAUAUCAUGCUCGAAUGUGUAGCUAUGCCUUUACAAAUUAUGUCAACAAGUACAUGUUUAAGUUCUCUCAUGUAUGCAACUAUAUACGAAAUGUCAUGAUCAUGCCUGUGUCAAAUCCAAACGAUUCGCCCGAAGGUCGAAUCACUCGCUACACAUACUGUCACGUGACCGUGACCGUCUGCCGAGGGCGCACCGUAGUGACUCUCUCCCCCGUUCCAAUCUCAAUGUGAUUCAACUCCGGAGCUCACUGCUUGGGAGGCGCGACCAUCCACAAGCUAUAACAGACAAUGCGAGUAUGAUCAAGUCCUCUCAUUCGAGGGCCACGUGAGUACCAUAUCCCUAUCCUCACAAGACAUGCUUUGCUCAGGUCGGCCACAUAUGCAUUAGUUUCCAAUUCUCACAAUGUCAUUGGUUUACAUACUAGUUCCUCAUGAAUCUAGUCUAUUCUUACAUCAUAUUCACAUGCAUAUGUCCACUAGCAAUUCAUACAACAUGUACAAUAUUUAUAUUGGCAUCAUAUAAAAGUUCUCAUGCAACAUACAUGUCCACAUCUAUCUCAACAUCAUGCAAAUAGAUAUUCCUACAAGUAUCAUGCAAUCAUGGAUCAUUAUCCCUCACACUAAGCAUGAAAUUACCACAACUCAUAGGAUUCGCACUAUUCUAUGCAUGAUGAUAUAUGAUCAAUAAUAGUAGAACUCAGACAUAGAAUGAAACUCGGCUAUUUCGGAUAGCACCCCCCACCUCGUGAUGUCAACACGAAGCGAGUAGCCUAGCAGCACGAUUUAUGGCCGAUGAUUUCUUCCAACUGUGACAAUUGAAGCAAAUAGAAUUUUCUUCACUUUGACCACCAUCGGCUCAACGGAAUCUCAAUCCGAAUGAUCCUCCGCAUCGGUUUUACCUUCAAUUGCGGAAACAUAUGAUCAAUUGAGAUUAAAACCUCUCAUGAUCAAGAGCUCUCUUUCAAAAUCCUAGAGGUCACUAUUGCAAUAAUAUACUAUAUAAAUUCAUGAUUCAAGCAAAUAGCAACCUAACAUUAACUAGGAUUUCCAUCUAGCUAGAUUCUAAGAGAUUUAAACCCAUCUCUAGCUAUAUGCCAUUAGAGCCCAUGAAGCUUACCUUAAACAAGCUUUCUUCUCUAAUCCAAGUGAUGAAGAAGAUGAAGGAAGUAGCUCAAUUCCAAGCCUUCUUCUCCACUAAGCUUGCUUCACCACCAAGCAACUCCAAUUAGUAUUCUCUAAUCCUCUCUUUAGCAAAUCCUCUUUUUAGCAAAUCCUCUUUUUGAUAAAGAGAAAGAGGGAGAGAGAAAGAGAGACCACAAAGACAAAGAGAGAAAGAGAGAGAAAACCCACUCUCUCUCUCUCCUACGGUUUGGGAAAAAGGGGGCAAGGAUUCACUCACACUCAUAGGAAACUUGCCCUCCAAGUAAACCCUUGAUUUGCACAAUUACACUUUAGUCCCUCUCAUAACAUAGGGAGACUUGCCCUCCAAGUAAUCUCUUAUACAUAGGAAACUUGCCCUCCAAGUAAAACUCUUUUACUUGCACCAUUCCACCUUAGCCCCUCUCAUUUGCACAAUUACACCUUAGCCCCUCUCAUUUGCACAAUUUUAUAUACUUUUAUUUACUCUUAUUUCUAUAUUAAAAAAAUUCGGUACACUACAUGUUUGAACUAGUGACGCCAAUAAAAGUUGUAUUUAUGUUUUAUUUUGGGACUAUGGAAAUAAAUUAAACACCCUAGCUAGAAUUAAUAGAACUCUUAAGCAGUAAAUAUCCCUUGUAUUCAUUGUGCAACUAAUUUGAUAUAAUUGGAGCACACCACAUUAAUUGUAGUAGUUUGGUCUAAUUCAAUUAAACUUUGCAUAAUCUAGUUGAUAUAGUGUCACGACCCGACUCCCAGGGAGUCACCCAUCAAAGAACCCAUGGUUCUAUUAACUAGGUACAAUUGACCCAAUAACUUAUUGGAGUUAUUGGGCCGAAAUCAUCAGCCCCAAAUACUUAAAACUCUGUUAUUAAGUUCGGCCUUUCCAACCUUAUGUACGCCCAUUUCUAGUCAUUCAUAUCCAAUGUGGAACUAUUUUUAAUUAAGCCUUAGAUGCCACAAACUCCCCCCUCUUUUAUGCCCUGACAACCUUAUCGAUCUCAAUCAUACACACUACCCAGAAUCACCAGGCGUUCUGGGACGUAUCCACGUAGCCUUGUCGCUGGUGAGUUGGUUUUGAUACCAUAAUUGUCACAAUCUGAUUCCUACGGGAUCAGCAAUCACAAAGCUUAUGGCUUGGUUAACCGAGUACGUAUUCUACAUCCAAUAACUCGUUGGGCCAAAUCUAUCAGCCCAAAAUGCUUAUUAUAUAAGCUAUAUUAUUAAGUCUAAUGUAUCUAACCUUAUACAGUCCACACAUAACCAUUCCUAUCUGAUAUGAACUAUACUCAAGCCUUGAAAUGCCACAUACUGAAACACCAUAAACCUUCAAUAUAGAAUUCAAUACACUUAUGCUUGAAAUUAAGUGAGAGAGAUAAAUCUUGAUUGCACAAGUACUGCACUUGCUUUAAUAGAAGAGUUAAUUAGCUUAAAACGUUACAUUAGUAAGUGCAUAGGUUUCAGCUCAACUAGUUAUUGUGUAACUUUAGGCUUAAAUAUUAUGCAGUUAUAUUAUCAAGUUCGUCUAAAUGUUUCUCGUACAAGCAAGUUGGGCUGAACUUUAAAUUAAUUUACUGUUUUUGGUAAUAAAAAAACAUAUAUGUGAACUACAUUCGUGGGGGUGUCCUAGCUAGCUAGCUAGCGUAUGCCAGCUAAAGUAAGCAACAUGGGAACAAUAUAUGCAAGCGCUUCUCAUCAUCAUCAUCAUCAUCAUCAUCAUAUAUAUAUAUAUAUAUAUAUAUAUAUAUAUAUUCAUAUAUAUAUAUAUAUAUAUAUAUAUAUAUAUAUAUAUAUAUAUAUAUAUAUAUAUAUAUAUAUAUAUAUAUAUAGGAUUAAAUCUAUUGAGAAUUAGCUCAUAAGAACAUGCCAACCCUUAAUAAAUGUUGUGUCCACAAAAGGGCCAACAUACAUGUUCCAUUACAAGACAAGCUUCGUUGUCUUUCAACCUGGUAGUAUGAAGAGCUCAAUGUGCAGCGGUACGAAGAGAAUAAUGUGUGCUGUCCGUGUAAUUUAUUGUAAUGAUAACAUUUUACUACUCGAUAUAUGUAUAUACAACUCCUUUGUUUAUUUACAACAGUUCAAAUAAUUGAUUGGAUAUACAUGCAUGACUUUUCUUAUAUGCUUCUCACUUUCUCUUCUAUCUUCAUGGCCCCAUAUGUCUAGUAAAGCUAAUUGGCCAUUCAUUCAUGGAAUCAUGGCCCCCUUUGUCUAGUAAAGUUUUAUUUAGAUGUAAACAACUGUUGCAAUAUGUAAACAUAUAUAUAUAGAGAGAGAGAGAGAGUCCGGCUACUAUAUUCUUAUGAGUACGAUCGCAUUCGUACUCAUCAGUUGUUUUCGAUGAUAGAGUUUCUAAAUUGACGAUCCAUACUGUUAAAUAUUAUCUAGAGAAUUUAAAACUUAUAGAAAUCAAAUUUUAUAAUUUUUCGAUAUCAUUUACCUUACGAUCAAAAGCUCACAAAAUUGACAAUUUUUAACGGCCGAUAUGAGAUAUUUGCUAGUUUAACGGUGAAAAAAAAUCGGAAUAUAUAGGUUGAAUUUUUUAUAGAAAAUUCUAUUCACUACCUAAAUAAAGAUCAAUAACUCCGAUCUUAAAUUGAAGGAUCCGAUCAUCCAUUUUUAUUAUGUCGUUCGAUUUUAACCGUCAUUUUAUACCCGCUUGAUAGACUUUAUAAUGAUUUUGAAAAAUUACGAAAUUUAUUUUCUAGAAGUUUCAAAUACUCUAAAUUAUGUUUAACGGUGUGGAUCGUCGAUUCUAUAGAAAGUGCGCAAUUCACGUAUCCUCGGCCAUCACUAUGCACAUGAGCUGUCUCGCGUAGCACACCAACUAUCAUAUGGCUCUCAUGCUACCAUUGGGUUGGGCUCUUAAACAUUGCUAAACCACAGAAUUAAUGAGGACCAACCUCACACAUGCUUAAGAGUUCACUCUUAAAGCGGGAUAACACUAACCCAAACGUGAACGCUCGCUCUCUGCAGCGCUCUUAGCUCCAUCCGGAUGCAUCCCAACUACUAGAUACCUAGUGGACACCUCGGCUCCUUUGACUGCAUUCGCCAAACCGGCUAUUGAGACAGCUACUCAAGCUGUACCUCAGUGCUUGCUCAUCAAGCACACUUAAGUAACACUCUUGCUAACUACAGCCGGCACGGAAUACUCUCUCUUCUGUUUCACCAGAAGUCCUCUGUGAACCUACACUUACCGGGGCACCAAACCCCUGACUACGAGGAAAUUCCUAACUUAACCUCUACACCAUCUCACACGAUAGAGCACUAUCUCGUUUCUAAGCUAACUCUAGCCUCGUGAGCGCUAAUCAGCUACGUAAUACUCUAACGAAAACUCGUUACGACCACUAGUUCAGCCUCACUUUAAAAGGCUAACUCGUUUCUUACCAAGAAACGUAUUAUCAUUACGUGAAUAUCUCAGUAUGCACCGUUUACACCCAUUCAAACCAGAGUGUAAGGGGCAUUACCCGGAACUUCAACCAAGUUUUUCCCGUUUUUCGGAAUGGUUUUAUCUUUUACGCAAUCGUGGGAGUUAGCGAGCUCUUCGACUUAGCUCCAUAUCUAACUUAAAGCGCCUGUUUUAAGAAAAUUCCCCACGUCUUACAUUGUAUGGCUUUAUAUCCACCUUAUAUAACCUGAAAUCGGUUUAACCGGUUUCACGGGCUUUCUUUAUCAACGUGUUCAAGACAAUUGUAAGGUUGGUACAACCUUCCCAAUUUUUCCUCAAGAUUUUCUUAAUCUUUCCAAAAUCACUAUUACCCUCGAUUUAUCUCAGUUUUUCUACGCUUUUUAUCUUUAGAUCUCGAACACAUGGCCAUGGUACACUACCGACAUGGCCAUGUUGGUAGCGAUUGGUUCCCUCUUUCGAGAGCCCAAACUCGACCUUUUUCCGACACAUGGCCACUGUCCUAAAGCACAUGACCAUGUCACGUGGCAUCUGGUGGCUUUUUCCGACAACAUGGCCACUGUCCUUGGGCACAUGGCCAUGCCACGUGGCACCUGGUGUCCGCGUCGGACGAUGUCUUAAUCUCUCAACCUCCCGGAUUGACGUUAACAUCGUCGGGUUUAUGCUGGGUUUGGGAGAGUAGAGAAGUGUCGUCGUUCCUCUAGUGAGAGAGAGAGUAAAAGAGAGGGAGAGAGAGAGAUCUUUGAGAGAGAGUUCCACCCUAUCUCCACCUAACCUCCUCUUGAACACCCAAAACCUCGAACCCUUCCUAGUUCUUCGAGAGGAUGUUCAACCUGAACCUACUAGAACACUGGUUCCACUCCAAAAUACACUUCAUUUCGGAUCCCGAACCAAAACACGAGAUUCCUCGAUUCAAAACUUCGAAGAUGUUCACAUCUUUGUAAGAUUACCGGUAUCUUGUGUACUUUUGGUUCCAAAAAGUACCACGAGAGUACCACCUAACGAUCCCAGGCACAAACUACGGGAUCCUUACCAAGAUUACCGAUUACCUACCAUAAUCUUUCGAAGGAUCAACUAAGAUUCGAUCAUAAACGAAUCCCUGUUCUAUCCUCUUUUAGGUUAUACUGUAACAAUCCCGUGGUUUAAACCCCGAAAACGGAGGCCCACAAAAGCUCCAUUUAACUGGAGAACCUUUGAAUUAACCCCCAUAAAGGCGGCGCAACCACGCGAGCCAAACCACUUUGCUUUUCAGAUGCGCUUCAAUAACUGCUUUGCCAAUCAAAACCAUGUCUAUCGGCGUCGCGCGCCUUAUCUGCAGACUUUUAGUACUCUAGCCUAGGCCUCAUAGCACCUCAGCUCCUUAUUUGAGGUCUUAAAAGUUUAGCGCCUAACCACCGGCAAGCCCACCAGCGAGCUCUCGAGCCCGGCUUGGCCCAGUGCCCACGGCGUCCUCCGGCUAACAUUCACUGCUAUUCGUUAGCCUCGCAUAAAGCUCCACCCAACACAAAUGGCUUCGCUGAUCCAGCGGACAUACAGAUUCUAUGUAUUAAUAGUAACUACGUGCAUCAUCAUCGAUCACAAUCUUAUGUACUUAUGUAUUUUACUUACAAUACAAUUCGAUGGUAUAAAACAUAUACCUAUGUUACAUUCUUACGAUUCAUGUACGAAUCUUACUAUAAUCGAUUUCUGUACUCUAUUUCCCAAUAACGUACAAUUGUAUUUCAUCUUUCGUACGAUCACUAUUACGGAUUACCGUUCAACUCUUACUAUUCAUUUCUUGAACACAUAUACCUGUAUUUACGUGGAUAUCUAGCUCACCGUAACUUGGAUCACAGUUCUUGUAUCCAACUUGUUUACACCGUACUUGGAAUACAAUCAUUUGUAUCAAACCUGUUCUCUUUAUUACUUGGAUCACAACUACUUGUAUCCAAUUUAUCCCUACCGUAAUUUGGAUUACAAUCUCUUGUAUCCAACACUCUAUUUCUAUUGCUUGGAUCUUAGUGUACUUGGAUCCACCCGUUUCCAUUACUUGGAUUUCAAUUAUUUAGAUCCGAUACUCAUACCUCCGUUGCUUGGAUUUUAUAAUUGAAUCGAAGUCAUUUCCGAACCUGGAUCUAUCCAGUUAAAAUAUCCCUAUUCUGGUUGGGAAUACACUACACUUUACCUAAGGCCUUAGGGUUUCGAUUUACCUAUGUGGCUCUCCCCACACCCCACACACGCUGCUAAAGCGGCGGGUACCCGAUAUCUUGGUAACAGCACCGCACACGCUGCUAAAGCGGCGGCCUACCAAUCGGCCAAUCACCUAGUAUGGCGAACAACUGACUUAGUAGCUGUACCGCACACGCUGCUAAAGCGGCGGCCCACCGAUUCAGUACUGGAUCCGACAACAACCCACUCCACGCUACGCAAGCGGCGGUCUGCCGAUCCUGUCCUCAUGCCAUCCGACACCAAUCGACUCCUCGUACACUCUCAAGGAAGUGGAUCUCGAUCUGUCACGCGCCUGAUAGGUGCUAACUAACUGAAAUCUGGCUCAGCUCACCGUAUCAACCGAUUCCAUUUCAUUGGAAUCCUUUCUUGCCGUUUACGAUUUCAUAUAGUUGUUAGUUCUUACAGUUUCUUAUUUCUUAGCGGUUACUCAUAUUACAUUUGUCCCUUUACUACAUUUCUUAUCGAUUACUUACGCGUAUCGAUUUAUUCAUUUCUUGCCGAUGUACAUUUCUUACUGAUUAUUAUACAUCAUCUUAGUUCAUUUGAUGAACGUACUCAAUGUCCAAAACGUAUAGCGUAAAACACUCCGUACAAUAGACAAUCAACAUAUUAUUGUACCACUAUAUAUAUAUACAUAUAUAUACACAUAUAUAUACACAUACAUACACAUACAUACACAUAUAUAUACAUAUAUAUAUACAUAUGUAUAUAUAUGUGUAUGUAUGUGUAUAUGUAUGUGUAUGUAUGUGUAUAUAUAUGUGUAUAUAUGUGUAUAUAUAUGUAUAUAUAUAUGUAUAUAUAUAUACAUAUAUAUAUACAAAAACCUGAUUGUACUAACGUCACGGAGGAACCUGGAUAACCAGCUCGAAAAGGGAACCCACCGGCAUGGGUGACCCUUAGUAACUCAACCAAGAGUGGAGUGCAACAAAACCCCACAAUGUCCAUGUCUGCACUCGCCGCGCCGCCGCGCUCCGUUCCCGCAUCUAAGCAUCUAUCGCGGGAUGGGGUCUCUGGCUCCAUCGUCAAGGGGUCAGUCGAAUCGAUCCCCAAGCUUUCCCUACUGUUGUUGGUUGAACAUAAUUUAACAUUUCUUAAACAUUAACAUAAACCCUCAAAUUACAUCUUCUUUUUACCUUGACACUACAUGUUACAUUCACUCUACACUUAUGAAUAUUACCGUUCAUCUAAAUACAAAAGCUGUGAAGGAAUACGUUAGAACUAACAAUAGUCAAGGACCAACCUUGUAAACAUAACAUGUCCAACGCUGCGGAAUUUCCCCUUUGAGACAGCAAGCCGCCAGACAGCCGCAUGGGCUUGGACUGGUUUAUCCGACCCGUACCUCGCACUGUUGAAACUGGUAAAAGUGGGCUAUAUAGUAUGAUAAGUUGAUUCGUGGGUGAGUUGAGAUUAAUUCCUUAGUGGUAGUAGGAUUAGCGUAUCGGGAAGUAGGUUACCGUUUUUUGGAUUAUCGUUUACCACCUAUGAUAAUUAUCAUAUCAUCUGAUUAAGAGAUAUAUAUAUAUGUAUAUAUAAAGGUCGAAAAGCUCGGAUUAAGCUCGCUCGGGCCAUUAUGAGUUCGAGUCGAACUUUAAUUAAAGCUCGGAUUUAAAUCCGAGUUCGAGUUGAACUUUAAUUAAACUCGGCUCGAGCUCGCUCGGCUGAUAGCUCGGCUUGCGCUCAGCUUGUGCUCGGCCGAGCGAGUAAACGGCCGGGAUCAAUUGCCGCCUGAAAUCCAAACCGGUAAUUUUCAUGAAAAAUAAAAUCACCGAAAAAUAAAAGGAUAAUUAUAAAGCACAUAAUCACCGUUUAAAAUAUAAAAUGGUGAUAACAUAAGAUCACAAUAAAAUACGUAUAAUAAACAUCUUCAAAAAUUUUAUCGACAUUUUAUAUAAAUUAGUAUCAUCGUUAUCAAAUUAAAACGGUGAUUUAGUACAACCAAUGUAAUCACCGGUAUAUACAUAGUUAUUUAAAACUCAUAUAAACACCGUCAUCAAUGAAAACCAACGAUUUUCACCAGAACUAAAUUUACAGUAAAUUAAAAAGACAUUUCAAAUUCUUAUUAUCAUCGUUAAAAAAUAAAACGGUAAUAAUGAAUCUCGUAUUACUUAAAAACAAAGUUUUUAUAGAGUUUAUAAAAAAUAUAAAAAAUAAACUUUAAUUUAAUUUUAAAAAUUGAAAUUGAAAGUGAUUUUUAUAUUCAACUUUAAAUCUUUAAUUGAAAAAUCGAAAUCUAAGAUUAAACUCGAAUUUAUGUUUUAUUUUUAAAAAUUAAAUUUUAAAUAAAGAUUUAUAAUUUAUAAUUUUAAAUAUAUCUAAAAUUUAAUUUAAAAUAUCUAAUUUUAACCUUAAAUUUAUCAUUAAAGUUCACGUUUAAACUUAGUUUGGUUUUUAAUUAAAAUAGAAAACUUAUCAGGUUAGUCAAAAUUUAAAGUUAAAAAAAUUUUUAAUUAUAAUGUAUCUUUAAGGAUUAAUUCACUAUUAUUUUUAGUUUAUAAUAUUUAUAAUCCCCACUUUCACGUAAAUAAGAAAUUUUUAGAUCUCAGGACACCCGCAACUCCUAUUAAUUAAUUAGAAGAAACGUCGGCGUGGGUUAUCAACCAUGCUCUAAUGAUUAAUUGGUAUAUAUAUAUAUAUAUAUAUAUAUAUAUAUAUAUAUCAACUCGAUCUUAUGAUAGCCAUCGUUUGGCCGAGGCAACGGUGGGUAAACAAAAACUACUACCUCGGAGGUUUAGCUACUAGUUGUGGCAACUUGUACUAGAUAUGGCGAAUUUCAUAGAUCUUUAGUUUAAAGUACGAAAAAGCUAUAAUAAGAGACCAGGUAGCCCAUACGCGUUUUUACUUGUCGACUUUUACUUAUAUGAGAUUUUUCACUACUAUCCUUAAAAUAUUAAUUCUAGCUCUCAUAUCUAGAACAAAAUUUAUCAAAUUUCUUAAAAGAUUGGUUUUAAGUUAACUAAACCUAUCAAAAUGUGGCAAUUUACACUUUUGUGGAGUAUAGAUGGUAAUUUUAAUGUUUAAAACUUUGGGCAACUAGUAAUCCAGUUACUAUAGGUUUUCUAAACUUUAAACCAAAGAUUUAUGAAGUUCACCAUAUUUAGUACAAGUUGCCACGACUAGCAGCUAAGCCUCCGAGGUAGUAGCCUUUGUUUACCCACCGUUGCCUCGGGCAAACGAUGGCUAUCGUAAGGUCGAGUUGAGAUAUAUAUAUAUAUCUCAGCGGAAACAUGAGUAUUCAACAAAAACUACUAUCUCGAAGGUUUAGCUGCUAGGUAUGGCAAUUUGUAAUAGAUCUCAUAAAUUUUGAAGAUCUUUAAUUUAAAAUAUUAAAAAGAUAUAGUAAUGGAAUGCUAGUUUUCGAGUGUUUUAACUAUUAAAAAUUGCCGGCCAUACUUUAUAAACGAUCAAAUUGCCACAUUUUCUUAGCCUUAUAUAACUUAAAAACUAGCUUUUAAGAUAAGUGAUGGAUUUAUUUCUAGUUAUUGAGGCUAGAACUUAACUUCCUAGGCUAGUAGGUAAAAAUCCUACAGCAAGCUAAAACUGGUAAAUAAAAUAUGGGCGAACUACCUGAAAUAUUACUAAAGCUUUUUAAUGCUUUAAAUAAAAGAUCUUCAAAGUUUAUGACAUCUAGUACAAAUUGCCAUACCUAGCAGCUAAGCUUUUGAGGUUGUAGCUUUUGUUGAAUACUCAUGCUCCCCGAAAUAUGAGUAUUCAUCUGGACCGUUAGAGCUGGGUAUGGGCGCUCACGGGCGCCCAAUGGGCGUUUAAAUGCCCAUACCCAUGGUUGAAAAAGUUGGGUUUUUUAAUGCCCAUUUUGCCCACCCAUGGGUAAUUCGACACCCAUAAAACCUAUUGGGCGCCCAUGGGUGCCCAUGGGCGUGUGUUUAAAAAAUUAAUGUUUUAUAUAAAAAAAAUUAAUUUUAUGUAUAUAUAAAUAAAUAGGAAGGAUUUUUAAGGUUGAUAUUACAGAAUAGCACAGAAAAUAUAAUGCUUAAAUUCGAGAUUCUGAAAUUUAUAGAAAUAAUAUACAAUACUAUAAAAUUUAUUACUCAAUACAGUAUAAAAAAUUUGAAUAUCUAUACAUAAAAUGUAAAUUUUUUAUAUUCUCUUUUUUUUCAUUUUUUUUUUAACGCCCAUUAGACGUAUGGGUGGGCGGGUGGGCGCCCACCCAUACCCAUUACUACAACCGAUGGAUUUUUAAAUACCCAUUUAAAAUGAGUACGGGUUCAUUGGGCGCCCCUGUUACUGGGCGGGCGCCCAAUGGGUUGGGCGGGUAAACGGUCCAGACGAGUAUUCUCAUAUCAUCGGGAUGAGAGAGAGAGAGAGAGAGAGAGAGAGAGAGAGAGAGAGAGAGAGAGAGAGAGAUAUAUAUAUAUAUAUAUAUAUAUAUACUCACCCGACCAUACGAAUACCUUCGUGCCUCGGGAAGCAUGAAGGUUCAACAAAAGCUACAAGCCUGAAAGCUUAGCUGCUAGCCGAGGCAAUUUCAACUAGAUCUCAUAAACUUCAUGGAUCUUUUAUUUAAAACUAUAGUAAACGGAUCACUAGCUUCCCCAAGUUUUAGUUAUUAAAAUUACCGGCACCACUCGGCCAACGUUCAAAUUGCCACAUCUUUAUAGGUUUAGUGUACUUUAAAACUAUCUUUUAAGAAAUAUGGUAUAUUUUGUUCUAGUUAUUGAAACUAGAUUUUAAAAUUACAGUAUAGUAGUAUAAAACAUUCUAAAAAUAAAAGUCGGCAACUAAAACUCGGUGAAGCUAGUGAUCCGUUUACUAUAGCUUUUUAGUGUUUUAAAUAAAAGAUCUAUGAAGUUUGUGAGAUCUAGUUCAGAUUACCUCGGCUAGCAGCUAAGCUUUCAGGCUUGUAGCUUUUGUUUCACCUUCGUGCCUCGGGAGACACGAAGGUAUUCGUAGGAUCGGCGUGAGAUAUAGAUAUAUAUAUAUAUAUAUAUAUAUAUAUAUAUCUCAAAACGAUCUUAUGAUAGCCAUCAUUUGUCGAGUCUAAUGAUAGCUAAAUAAAAGCUACUAUCUCGAAGGUUUAACUACUAGCUGUGACAAUUUAUAUUAGAUUUGAUAAAUUUGAUAGACUUUUAGUUUAAAGUGUGUAAAAGCUAUAACAGGAGAACAGGUAGUUCACUUGUCUUUUUACUUACCGAUCUUUACUUAUAGGAAGUUUUUCACUACUAUGUUAAAAAUAUAAACUCUAGAACUCAGAUCUAGAAUAAAAUUUAUCAAAUUUCUUAAAAAAUUGUUUUUAAAUCAACUAAACUUGAGAAGAUAUGGCAAUUUGCUCGUUUGCGUGGUAUAGCCGGUAAUUUUAAUAUCUAAAACACUGGGAAACUAGCAAGUCAAUCACUACGGUUUUUUAGUACUUUAAACUAAAGAUCUAUUAAAUUUACCAGAUCUAGUACAAGUUGCCACGGCUAGCAGCUAAACCUUCAAGAUAGUAGUUUUUGUUUAGCCAUCAUUUGGCUCAUCAAAUGAUGGCUAUCAUCGGGUCAGUUUGAGAUAUAUAUCUUGAUCCGACAUUAUAAUAAUUAUCGUGGUUACUGAAUCACGAUAAUUCAAAAGACGGGAACCUAAUUUUAUACACGCCAAUACUACUACAUCCGGAGGAUCCCAACUCACCCACCAACCAACUUAUCAUAUUAGCUUACCUAUUUUUCUAUUUUCUCCAUUUAGAUUGCCAUCUUUUGAACUAUCGUGUUUUAUAAAGCACAGUAGCUAUCAUGGGGCCUGAGAUAUAUAUAUAUAUAUAUAUAUAUCUCUCUCUCUCUCUCUCUCUCUCUCUCUCUCUCUCAUCCCGACGAUAUGAGAAUACUCAUAUCUCGGGAAGCAUGAGUAUUCAACAAAAGCUAUAACCCGAAAAANNNNNNNNNNNNNNNNNNNNNNNNUGUAUAUAUAUAUAUAUAUAUAUAUAUAUAUAUAUAUAUACGUACAAAAAAAAAAAAACUAAUUAAACAGCCAUUGCUGAGAAUAAAGAACUGUAACUUAUGAUGGACUUAAGUACUAAUGUGGACAAUUUGAUGAAUUCGUUCAAAUUUUUAGCGUACGUAGUAUUGAAUGUAUGCUUUUCACACACUUGUUUUGUUAUUUUAGAUUUCACUAAAUGAAAGAGCUUGGCUAGCUUAUGCUAUAUAUCCAGAGUUCAUUAGUCACUCGAUAUGCAAAAAGUAGACAAAUAAUUAAGAUCAAUCUAGUGAUCGAAUGCCAAACUUUUCUUUUUCUGUAAUAAUUCUUUCUAAUUAGCCCAUAUCUAAAGGAAUAAAUAAAAUUCUCCUGAAGGAUGAGAAAACCUGCUAGGAGGGCUUAAUUUGUUUAUAUUCUUUUGGAUAUCCAUGAUAUUGAAUGAUCAAAUUAGUGUGGUAAAAUAAGCCUUUUUCUGUUAGGAUUAGGGUUUACUGUUAAAUUCUGAUAUUUGGUACUAAACUGAUGUAACAAUUUAUCAUACUUAUUCGAAUAAAUACAACUGUAUAUAUAGAUGGCUACAAAAUUAAAGUUAUAAAUAGAAGACCUCCGUCAUGAAUGAUCUUCUAAUUCCCAUGACACAAAUCGAAUCGAGGAUUACUAGUGUAGGAACCCGCGCGAUGCGGCGGAUAAAAAUUUUUAGUAAAAAUUUUUAAAAUAAAUAAACAAAUAUGGAACAUAAAAAAGAAAAAGAAGAAUAUAAGUAUAUUUGAUUGAGAAUAUUACAUAUUUUCUCAUAAAUGGUAGACCAAGAGUCACUAAAAAAAAAAAGUAAAUGUGAGUAAAUGAAAUGAAAAAUAAAGAGUCAUUUAAAAAAAUAAAAUAAAUAUAAAUUUUUAGAAAAGAGAAAAAAUGACUUAGGGCCUCCACCUCCCUCAAAUUAAGGAGAUACAUCCACAUAGGAUUUAGGCAUGAGAAUUCAUGUAUAGGUAUAGAUAUAGAUAUAGAGGUAUAGAUAUAGAUGUCCUAAUGUCUGAAGAUUCUUAAAGAACCACCUCCCUCAUGCAAAUUGAAAAGAAAAUUUUCACUUGGUGCUCUUUGUCCUUCUUUCAUGCCUUUUCCUUUCUUCGUCCUAUGAUACAUCAGAAAGGAGAUUUCAUUAGGCGCUUCUUCACUCAUAUGCCUACUCCAAUUUGUACAUGGUGCCAAGUUACUUUCUCUCCACAUUACAUAAUUCUUCUCUCUAAACGGUAUGCAUAGAUAUGAUCUGUUGGAACCAAGAUCCUUCUUUAGGAAGACGGAUCGGUAGUUUGUGAAACAACUGUUAAACUAAAGAACACUAGCAAGUGAUGAAGGGGCCUUCAAAGAGAUUUUAUAUUCUACCAAAAGUAAACAUAUAUAGUGUGAAAUAUUAGAAUAAAGCUCUUUACUUAAUUUCCUUUUUCCCUUUCAUGAGAACAACUCUCUUGCUUUCUUUUGGUGAUAAUUAGUAUGUAGGCAUCUCACACUUCAAAUGAAAAAUCACAUUCAUGUUGAGGCCAUGUGCAUGACCAAGCUUUUUAAAAUAUGCAGUUCAUGUGAUGGUUAAUUAUAUUGUUAAAGCUAAAUCUGAACACCAACGCUAGCUCUUAUACGAACUUCCUUGAAUGAUCCGAGAUACAAUAAUUGAGAGAGUAGGUCGACCUUGUUGCUUAGACACUCAGCAACAGCAAGUACCAUCUGAAGAGUACAAUUAUUAGCAUCAAUUAAUUUAGGAGUUCUCUGUCUUCAAUUGAUGAUUACUUAAAUUAAUGAAUCUGGUUGCAAUUAAAGAAUUCUUGAAUCAGUAUGUAAUAAGACAAAGGCAGCUGCUCCUAUAUAUAAUCACAACAAGAGGCUAUAUAUAUAUAUAUAUAUAUAUAUAUAUAUAUAUAUAUAUAUAUAUAUUGAUUGAUUAUGAUAAUUAACCUUGUUCACUCUUAUAGGUGUGAACAUGAGGUGAUGCACGCACAUGCUGAUGCGAUUACAACAUGCCUAAUUUGAUGGCUGAAACUUGGAGAUAAGCCAAGAAUGCAAACUCUUCAAGAGAAGGAAUCCAUGUCAGCUUUGCUUUCUUUUUUGACAUAUAUAUGUAUAUAGACGAAGGAAAAAAAAAAUCAAGAAUAAGAAAAUAUAAAUAUAUAUAUAUAAAUAUGUAUAAGAGUUGAAGCAUAUAUGUCCUUUCCCUGACUGCUUUUGGUAAGCUUUCAUGACCUACCAGUACUCAUGGAAGGAAAGAACACCCAAAAAGGAAAAACCCAUGAAUAAAUUCCCAUCAUCUCCCAAUGGAGGCAUGGGUAAGCAUAAUUAGGUUUUGGAAGAAAGAAGAUGAAAAAAAAAAAAGAAGAAGAAAAAAGGUAUGAUUUGAAGUUUCAUCACUAUGGGCAUCUUUUCUUUCAUCAUGAAAAAAAGCAGUUGCCACAUCAAGAAAACCCUCUCUCGACAAACACAUGCCAACAGAACAAUUAACUGCAGCAACAUGCUAGCCUUAAAGAAUUUACCGUACAACAAGAAAGAAUUAAUUAAGAUGAAAAUUAGAUCUCAUAAUUCACUUACUGUGGGAGGAGGUAGCUGCUAGUGAUCCACAAUUCUCCAUCUUUGGUCUCUCUUUGUAAUUUCCCACAGCUUUAUUGAACCGCAAGCAUGAGCCCACAUCUGCCUUUUCGUUUUGAAGGAUAUACAGAUGCAGUUCAAGAAAGCUGUGGAAGACUACAAAGAGGGCCAUCCAUCUAUCUAUAAUCAAGUCCUCCUCCCCCCUACCACACCCCCCACCCCCCUCCCCCCGGGAGGGAGGGAGAGAGAGAGAGAGAGAGAGAGAGAGAGAGAGAAGAGAAGAGAAGAGAGGGUCGAUAAUUGGGAACAUAUAUAUAUAUAUAUAUAUAUAUAGGAGAGUGUAGAGUAGAAUACACAUACGUGUAGGUGUGUCGGUGAGGAAGGAUUGAAAGAAGAGGAGAGAUCUACAAUUAAACCUAAAAAAAAGGGGAGUUCUAAAACCUGCAAGGGAAGGGAAGGGAAGAGGGAUGGGUAGUGUAGGCUUAUUUAGAGGAGAAGAAGAGGAUAGAAGGGGUAUUUAUAGAGGGGGAUGAGAGAAGGGUUUGUGGGGGGUUGGGUGAGAACUAAGGACCCAAUCCCGAGAAGAAUAUAGGCCUGAGCCGAAGAAACUGAACCCCCUUUUUCUUUUUUUUUCUUUUUUUUUUUUUUUUCUUAAAAGAACCCCGCCCUCCCUGCAAAGCAUCCUCCAUGCACUGGUAAAACUCAGAGGAUGAUUAAAAUUCUGAGCGUAAGUUAAUAACAAUAUUUCAAUCUAACCUUAUAACUGCCAGCAUAUUAACUGGUAUGAAGUGAAAUAUUUUGUUAACGUAAAUGCACUUUCCGCUUUCCCAAUAAGAGAUUGAUCGCUAUCAUUUUUAUUAUUAUAAAAUUAGCUGGUUCGUAAACUGAUAAAUCACAGUAAAUACUGUUUUCACAAUAACGUAUAUAUAUGGCAAAGACAAAUAAAAAAUUCUAUGCCACAAAUAUUCUAGAAAAUUGAUCUCACUAAAAAAUAAUAAUAAUGAAAGAGUAACAAAAAAAAUGUGAAAGUUUAAUCUUCAAUAGAAAAGGCAAUCAAUUAUUAUAUAAAUGGUGAAAGAAAUUUUGAAUUGUGAUGUGAACAAAUUAAGUAUGCUAUUGGUGAUUGAAAUUGAACCUUUAAUUUUUAUUUCUUGAUGCGUCUUUUGCUUUGCAGUGAAUUUUGGGCACCUGUAUUACCACUUCUUUCCUAAAUUAUUUUUUUAUGGAAAAGAAAAAAGUAAUGCUCUUCGUGGGAUAGAUUUAAAGAGCUAAAGAAGAAGACUUUUGUGGUCAUCAAUCCAGAUUUUAAUUUUUAAUUACAAUUCGGUGGGAACAUCGCCGAUUCUUUAUUGUUAUGCACUAUGAUGUAAUAAAAUUCACUUUAAUUUAUUGGUUCUCGAGGUGGCUAGGUAAUGGCCAUCUAAUCAAAACCCACCGCGCUACCGUGUCAGUCUCUAGUACAUGAUGAAUACAAUAUAUCGACAAAGAUUCUAACUAUUAAUUUAUUUAUAUCUAUACUACUUAUAAAAGUGAGAGUUUUAAAUUUUUUUUCUUUUCAAAAAUAUUACUAUCUUUUCUACUAAUAUUUUAAUAUCCAGUAAUUUUUAGCCAAUCAUUUCUGUUAGGAUUCGUCCAUAUUGGACUUAUCUAAAACAUUUCAAAUCCAUAUGGGAUAAAAAAUAAAUAUUUGUAAUUAUCUGUUAUAUUCAUAGUCCACAUGGGAUAAGAAAUAAAUCUAACAGAUAAAUCAUAAUCGGUUUAAAUAUCUAUUUAUGAGAGAUUUAGUUAGAAUAUGACUAGAAUUAACAUCUUCCGUAUGGACUAUAAAUACAUGAAGUAUUGACCACAUAUAUGAUCUUGGUAAUCAUAAUAUAUUCCGCUACAAAAGAGGUAUGAAAAAAUCUAUGUGAUUUUUGCGAAUUGUUCAUUGGAUAUUUAAUUAUUUUAAUCAACAGUGGUAUCAGAGACAUACCGUGUUUGUUUUCGUUCGAUAAUUCGUUUCUUUGACAUCGAAUAUAUUUUUAAUUUGUUAAAAAUAUAAAAAUAAUAUCCGGUGAAGUUUUAAAUCACAAUUGGUAGAUCAACCUGUAAUAUACUGAACUUUUACAAAUUGCGGAGUUCGAGUAUGUGGAAUGGUGUGUGGAUCAAUCCUACAUGUUCUAAAAGGUUAGACCAAGUUUUUGAACAAGUUAGAGGAUGAUUGGAAUGCUAAAAGUGAGAAAGUGCAUUGAACUGGCGAAAAUCAGCAUUUUCUGCUUGCUUUACCGGUACAGCCAUCACCUUGUACCGGUACAAGCUGGCAGAUUCGUGGCAGCAAGGUUAGUUUUGUAAUUUCACAUUUUGAUCCCUAUCUACUUGACCCAGCACGACCUGGGAUGUUCAGUGAAGGGUGCUUGAGUUCAGAAAAGCUUCUUUUCCCUUCUUCUCUCUCUCUCUCUAGGGUUUUUCUCUCUCUACGNGUUUCUCAUAUGUUAGGUUUUAGGGUCGUUUUCCUCUUCUUCAUUCUUGAUAUUGUAGACCUAGUAGUUGAGUAUAUGUUGUGUCCCAUGUGUUUUUAUAGACAUGUGUCCAUCAGUGAGAUAUGUUACCUGUAGUGGGAGCCGGCAUCGGGCUCAUCGUUCCACUAGCUGAUCGUGCGAGGAUCGUUUCAGAUCGAUCUGCGCUGAGGGAACGGUGCUAGGGAUCGGAGAGGACGUCUACCGAGACAUUUUUGUUGGUGGUUUUCCCGCACUCUUGAUAAUUGUUAUCAAGGGUCACCCAUUCGGCGGUCGGAGCCGCUUAAUGUGGUGAUCCGAGUACUACAUGACUUUCAUUCAUUUUCGUUAUUCACGUACGAUAUCUUUAUACGUAACGAUUGGCCAUUGUCCGUACAUAGGUUGUACAUUUGUACUAAAGACGUCAUUACUUAGUUGACUUAUUAUCUUCAUAGCGUUGAUGAUAUUUGUACUUGUAUUUGUAUUAGUUUCUUCACAUUCAUGAUGACAUGUGAUGUUGACUAUGAGUAAGUAAUGAUAGUAAUAAGUGAUCCUGGAUGGGUUCCAUCAGGUCGAACGCGGCGCGGAUUACCGGGGCACCAUCAUAUGUGAGGGGUGCCGUUAGGUGAAGCCGUGGGUUAGGGCGUGCCCGCUCGUUGACAGCGCAUCCGGUUGAGGCCUCACGGCCGAACAUCCCUCGAUGGGAGUGUUCGCACACGCUUACUCGUGCUACCGUUCGUUCGUUUCAGGUAACAGGUGUACAGUGUUAAAAGUAUAAAAGUAACGUUCCAAGAAUGGGAGCUAGGAGACUAGCCUUACAGUUAUGUGUUUAUCCUUGUUUUCGAUCAUAGGUGAUCUAACAUUUGUACAUUACCAUUUCGAUUUAGUGUAUCGUAAUAUUAGAAAGGUGAUCGUACCGUGAUAGUUGUAUCAGUACUCGUACAGUAUCAAGAGAUGCAAUCUCAGUUCUCUUACAGUAACAAGAGAUGAAAUUUCACGUAGGAUGUGAACAAGUAUUCAGUAAGUUGACUUAACUUAUACUUAUCUUUAUGAAAGUACCUAUUCACAAGAGAUGAAAUAUCUCUAAAGUAAGAUAAAUUCGUAGUUUGUAGUGCUACUAUACAAAGUUUAAGAGAUAGUCAGUGUAUUCGUGAUUUACGUGGAUACGCUAAUAAGAUAUCUAUGUAUAUCUUGUAUCCCCUCGAGGUGAACGAGACCAAUCCAGGCUGGGUGGAUCAUGAUCCGAGGUUGAUAAGUGUUCUUCAGGGUGUUAACCGAGUUGCUUCGGGGUUUCGACGACUUUUUUGUUUGCAGUUCUAACUUAAUUUAGAUACCGGCUUUACAGGCUAAAGCCGAGUUAAGUGUAGAGCAUAGUUCAUCAUUGUAUUUAGCGACAAAAUCAAGUGAAAUCAUGGAGGUUAAUUCAGAGAUUUCCGAAGGGUUUCGGUUGGUUCCUACUGGGUUUCCAGCCAGCUUGAGGGCGACACUAGUUGUGGUUGUGCUGUAGUUUUAGUAGUAUAUAAUUGUUUAUAUCAGCCUUAGAACGCUUAAGUCAAAAGAUUGACUUUAAGGACGAAUGGAGUCCAAUCUUAUGGAAGGUUUGGUCGAAGAUUUUCAUGUUCAAGUCGAGUUGCUCUGAGCUUCUGGACGACGCUUCUCUUUUAAGGUUUAACGUAGUUAUUAGGCGCAUAUCAAGGCUAAUUCGAAGUAUUUACCGAUUUAUAAGGUGAAUUCGAAGUUUCAUCGAAUAGGGACCAGAUUCUUCCAAUUUAGUGUCGAUUAAUAGAGUAAAAAUUAACGACUUUAGAGUCGGAUCGUGUCGUUCUUCGUUUUUGGGCUUUAAUAAUGAGUUUAGCAGCUUAUCUUGCAGCUAUUGCCGCUUUCACUCAGCGAAUGGAAGAGUUCGACGGUUGGUCACUGGACGACCAGGUCCCGACGCUUUUGGACAGGUUUUAUGAGAGAGUGUGCAGGUGCAUUCGAGACGCUGCGAGCGUUUGUCGCUUCUUGCGUGCGCCGCUGCUUUUGUUCGCUUUAGCCGCUUAAGCUGCAUCUCUCUCUUUUUGGGAUCUCUCUCUCUUUUUUACUGAUAGUAUAUCGACUGGUACAUUGCUCUGAUAUCAGGAUAGGACUCUCUUUGUUUUACUUCCUAUCAACUUGCUUUCUUCGUAGACGCCUUAUAUACUGCAGGUGUAUGGCGGGUCUGUGCACGUGCCGGAUAUGCUUCCGCUGGUACCCGGGCGUGACACAACCUCAUAUAUAUAUAUAUAUAUAUAGGUUAUUUGCAUACACGUCCCUGCAAACAUAGUGAAUUACAGAAAUAUCCCUGCAAGACGAAAAUUUCAUAAGUUGUCCCUGCAAAAGUCCUAAGUUAUGUAGAUAUGUCCCUCUGGUUGAAAUCUGUUAGAAAACUAUUAAUUUUUUAACAGUUUUCUUGUGAAAUGACUUUUUUACCCUCACAAAUAUAUCCCUCCAAAAUAUUUCUCUUUCCCUUCCCUUUCUUUCCCUGUUUGGGCCACCGGAGUGGACGGCGGCGGCAGCGGUGGCGGCGGCGUGGGGUUGUGUUCGCCGGCGACGAAGAAGAGGGAAGAGAAAGAAGGAGAGGAAGAAUGAAAGGAAGAGGGAGAAGAAAAGGGAAGAGGAAGAGGAAGAGGGUUUGCUUUCACCGCCGCCGCCGCAUCUCCUCCCUCGCCGGCGACAAAGAAGAGGGAAGAGGAAGAGGGAGAGGAAGAAGAAAGGCGAAGAGGAAGAGGGAAGAGGGAGAGGGUUCUUCGCUGCUGUCGCCGCCGCAUCUUCUCCCUCGCCGGCGACGAAGAAAAGGGAAGAGGAAGAAGGAGAGGAAGAAGAAUGGGGAAGAGGAAGAGGGAGAGGAAGAGAGAAGAGGAAGAGGAAGAGGAAGAGGGAGAGGGUUCACCGCCUGUAAGGUACCGGACUUCUAAAACUAUGAAGUUACGGUGUAUAUUUAAAUGGUUCUGGUGAGGUUGCGGUGGAACGUAACAUACCGGAUUUUAAAAAUAAAAGUGAAAAUAAAUAAAAAUAGUAUGAGAUACUAUUUUUAUUGGAUUUAGAGAAGUGAAAUAUAAGUUGGGAAUAACCUGUGCUGAAAUCGGAGCGAAAACAGAAGAUUUAAAAUUUUCUGUAAGAAACGGAGCAGAUAAAUUAGCAGAAAAUGCAUAGUGUCAGAAAAUUAUGAAAAUUGGCGGAGAUGUCAGAAAUAUUUUUAUGAGGCUAGAUUUAAAGUUUCAUAUUUUUCUGACACCCGUAGAGUGAGAAAUAAAAUCCGACAGCUAUCUGAUAAAGAUUACAGUUCGGUACAGUUUUCGGCGACCAAACGGGGUCGAAACUAAAAACUUAAAAUAUAUUCUUGCUCAAUACGUAAAACUGAAUAUGACUGUCAAGUUUGAGCUCAAACGGACAUUCAGGGAGCUCCGACGAAAGUUAUCAGAUUUCAAGCUGCCUGGAGUGAAUAGUGUUUGAGGGGUAUUAUAAAGAAGCUGAUGCUUCUUCUCCCUCAACCGUGUGCCACACACACACCCGCACGCCACACACGCACACACGCUUGGAGAGGGAAAGAGAGAACCCACCCAUUUUCUCUCUAAAUCUCUCCCAAAAUUGAAGGUUUUGGUGGAGAAGCAAGCUUGGAAGUUGAUCUUCAUCUUUUUCGUCUUCUUCCUCUCUAUUAGAGUAAGCUUUGAAGGUAAGCUUCAAACCCUUUAAUGGCAUUUCUCUCUAGUUUGGUUUUUAAGCUCUAAGAAUGAGUUUAGAGGUAUUCUAGCAUGCUAAUUAGAGGUUUGAUACUUGAAACCGAGGCUCUAAUGGUGGAUUUUUACCUAGUUGUAAUUUAGGGCUCAAAAAUGCUAGUUUUGUAAAUAUGAGGGUUUGAUCUCAUUUGACCCUCUGUAAACCUAAUUGCUAGGUAAACGAACGCGUUGGCGAAGACGCUAUUAGAGCGCUACGAUUAGUACAUAAGAUCCUAGAGAUAUAGUAAAAUGUACGUAGAUGAAUCGUAAAAUGUAAUAUAAUAGGUGUACGUAAUAAGUGUAGUUGAUACACGUAGUAGGUGUACGAAUAAAUGUAAAUGUACGUAGUGGAUGUACGGAGCAAAUCGUAAAUAUACGUAGUUAUAUCUAAGAAUUAAAAGAAUCUGUAUUCCCGCUGGAUCAGCAAAGCCAUUCGUGUUGGGUGGAAUUGAAUGAGAGGCUAACGAACAUCAGUCAACGUUAGCCGGCGGGCGCUGUGAGCGCUGGGAUAAACCGAGCUUGAGAGCACGUUGGUGGGUUUGCUAGAGGCUAAACGCUAGGCCUUUAAUUUCCAGCAUCCAAUACACGGUGUCACGAAGUUUAGGCAAAAGUACUAAAAUGCUGCAGCGGAGCCAGGAGGUCCGCCUUUACUUCGGAUUUGCAGGCAAAGAAAUUAUUGAAACAUUGCCGAACAGCCUAACGGCUUGNUAACCUAGUGUUAAAGAACAUAGGUUGUGAAUGAAUCUAGAGUCAUGUGAACUAGAUCGAGUGGCAUCUAACCUAGUGUAUAAAACAUAGGUUGGACAUGAAUGACAAUGAACCUAGUGUUAUUGAACAUAGGUCAAGUGACAUCUAACCUAGUGUUAAAGAACAUAGGUUGUGAAUGAAUCUAGAGUCAUGUGAACUAGAUCGAGUGGCAUCUAACCUAGUGUAUAAAACAUAGGUUGGACAUGAAUGACAAUGAACCUAGUGUUAUUGAACAUAGGUCAAGUGACAUCUAACCUAGUGUUAAAGAACAUAGGUUGUGAAUGAAUCUAGAGUCAUGUGAACUAGAUCGAGUGGCAUCUAACCUAGUGUAUAAAACAUAGGUUGGACAUGAAUGACAAUGAACCUAGUGUUAUUGAACAUAGGUCAAGUGGCAUCUAACCUAGUAUAUAAAACAUAGGUCGGACAUGAAUGACAAUGAACCUAGUGUUAUCGAACCUAGGAUGAAUCAUGAGUGGCAUCUAACCUAGUGUUAAAGGACAUAGGUUAUGGAUUGAACCUAGAGUUAAGUAAACCUAGGUUAUGUGAUAGAGACGUUGAACCUAGAGUCAAUUGGACCUAGGGUGAAAAGGACAUUGGGCCUAGAUAGGUCAAUACUAUAGGGUUUGAAAUCAACCCUUGAGCUAUAUGAAGUGGAUUCCGGAAUCCCGAGUGAUGUGGCCACACAUGGAGUGGUGGAAAUUGUGGUAAAUGAGAUGGCAAGCGAAUCCUAACUGCAGGUAUGUGUGGUUCUCCUCGCCUGGUAGUGAUUCAACGGGUAUGUGUGGUUCUCCUCGCCCGGGAUGCCAUGAGAAUAAGCUGGAAUUGGGUAUGUGUGGUUCUCCUCGCCCAUUAGCUUAUCAGAUGAUGCCGCCUAGAUUGACUUGAACCUUGCUGGGUAAGAGCGAUGUGGUCGCUGCCAGAUGCUUAAGUCAUGUCUUGAACCAUUGUUGGGUGAGGUGCGAUUAGUUCGCCGCCAGAUGGCUAAGUCAUGACUUGAGUUGUUGUUGGGUUCGAUGCGAUGAGUUCGCCACCAGAGGGUUAAGUCAGAUUUGCGGUAGGCUGUGACGGCAGCCAGGAUGAUGUGCAGCCAGUGCGCGGACUAUCCGCGGAUGNNNNNNNNNNNNNNNNNNNNNNNNNNNNNNNNNNNNNNNNNNNNNNNNNNNNNNNNNNNNNNNNNNNNNNNNNNNNNNNNNNNNNNNNNNNNNNNNNNNNCCUUUUGAACAAACCAUAUGCGACUAAAACCAUACACAAAUCUGAUGCGACAUAUCAUACACCAAUCCACGAAUUGAAUCCAAGUCAUGAAUCAAUCAAGUUCAUGAGCAUGAAUCAUAACACAAACCGUCAUCAAGUUCAUGAACCCAUAAACCCAUGACCAUAGUAUGAACCAUAAACCCAUGAAACCAUAAGUCUAUGAACAUAACCCUAUGAACCAUACGUCAUGACAUAAACCAUGAACCAUAUCUAAGUUCAUGAACCAUAUCCCAUUAUACCCCAUCCCAUAACCUUUUGAACCAAACCAACCUCGACCGAAACGUCAGUGAACAUAAUCCACCAAUAUCAAUGACCGAAAUGUCGUUAACUAAACUCAAAUUCUUUUCCACGAACAUCCCAUUCCAAAUAUUCGAUUCUCUAGCAUAUACAACAUAGAAGUCUACAUCACCAAUAUGGGUUCAAACUUGAUCAAAUAUCUAAACCUAUAUUAUAGAUUGAUCAAUACAUCUGAUAAAAUUAAGUUUGUUGGAUUCCUAAUACAUAACUUUGGAGUUUAAUUAAUCAUAUCUGACUAAUUCUAAUACAUGAUAAUUCAGGAUUUAGUUAAUAUUCACCUUGAGCAUGGAAACCAAAUUCAAAAUGUGAAUUUCACGAGCUUAAUUUUAUUCAGACUCUAAAUAUAUAAAUUAGCGUCUGAUUCAAGAUAUUUGGGUUAAUCUAACACAUAUAUUUUAGGAUUGAAAGCUCAAAUUAAACUCCUAUUGGACUUUAUUACUAUAUUUAAAGUUUCAGAUGUUUUAAUCAAGUUCGAUUAAUUACAAUGUAUUAUAUGGGAUCUUAUCAAUUUCAUUAUGGAAAUUCAAAGUUGAGCUCCAAAUAUUUUAGAGCUCAACAAAUUCUGAUCAUCAUUGGACCUUUUUUUAUCACAUAAUUUAAGUUCAAUUACACAAUCAAACUUUCUAAUACAUAUUAAUUAGAGCUUUAAUCUUGAAUUAUAAUGCAUUAAAUUCCAUGCUAUAUAUAUGGAAUUUAAAUCGAUCUUUUCAUCUUAGGUGUAAUAGUGUUGAGCCUCCACAACUAUAGUUCCAACCAAAAUUUAAUUUGACCAUAAUAUUGGGUUCUUAGAAUUAUAACUAAUAGAUACAAUUGAAAAUAAAUUUUCUUUACGCUCUAUUCAUGGACACUGCGCGCGAUUAACCCUUGGUUUAAAGCCAUGUACAUUGAGCAAUAAAAUAUAAAUUUCCUUUUGUGCCAAUUCCAGUUUAUCUUCAGCAUUUCAGAGGUCUCUUAAUCGAAGGUGCCCUAAUAUUCUGUAGGGGUAAUUAACAAUAAACGCUUGCGUUUAUUGGAAGCCAUGGAUCCGCAAUACCUGAUAACCAUACAUACACAUACUUUAAUCUACAUCAUGAAUACUACCCCACGGGAGAACCAAAAGAUAAAAAUUCCCCGUGCGAGGUGCGUCAUUCGUGGUGGCAGACACCUUGAUGACUCUAGGUUGAGAAUCGGCGAGUGUUCGGUUGCCGAUUGCGAUUUCGGGUUGAACCGGACCACGCGUGCCGCGAGAGGCCGAUUGCAAGUGACUACAAGCAAUCGGAUAGCGUUGCAAGGUGGGUUGUGCUCACCGAAAAUACAAGCUCACUUCCGUGUCGAAGUGAAGUGUUAAUUAUCAUUGAUGCAUAUAAUGAUAGUUAAUUGCUAAACAUGUAAAGGCAUGAAGUAAAUACUAGAAGAAUACAUGAGAUGAAUGCUUUGUUAGACUACCUUGGUUUCUAUAGAUGUAUGUAUGUAUAUUUGGUAGGUUGUACAUGAUAAUAUGAGUGUAGGAAUCAUAUUAUGCUUGAUGUUGUUACCUACCAUGAGAUGCUAUAUGAAUGCAUGAGAAGAUAUAUGCAUGUUAACAUAUUGUGGAAUGUGCUAGAUGGAAUGUGCAUGAUGACAAGUUGUAGCAUGUGCUAAAUUCAUGAAGAUGUGAAUUUGAGUCGAUAACUCUAGGUUGAUUAGAGAAUUCAACAUUAGAAAACAAGUGAUGAACUUGGGCAAAAUAUUUAUGUAAACGAGUGGCAUGUGAAAUAGUAUGGUAGAGGCACUUAAACAUGAUUACAUAAACGAGUGGCAUUUGAUCUAGUAUGGUAAAAACACUUGGAAAACAUAAUGACAUGAAUGAGUGGCAUUUGGACUUAGUGUGGUAGAAACACUAUGAUGUGAACCUAGGGAUAGUAGAUUUCCCGAGUUGCCAAUGGGGUAUUUGAAUCUAGUGCGGUAGAAGCACUAUGGCCUUUGUAGACAGGAUAUCCUCUGUAGACAAGGAUUGAAUCAUACUCACUUAGUCUGUUUUUCGCUUAGGGUGGUCACUCCACACAAGCAGUGGUCUCCGGAGAUGUCACACUAAGGGGCAGACGUAGUUUCCCCAGGGCAAAUGUAGUUGUCCCGCAGAUGGUCUUGGUGUGCGAGUGCAGAUUCUCCUCACCUAUGAGAUUUUGAGAAGUGAGUCGAGGCGUAACCUUCGAGUUAGCCAAGCAGAUUGGGUCACAUGUGAGCUGUAGUUGAAUCCCAGUAGAGUGGAUUCGGAAUCCCAGUUGAGUGGAUUUAAGGCUGAGGUGAAUGUGAGACGUCAUUCACCUCGAGCCUCGCUUUACGCGGUAUCCCGCGGAUGAUUUACUCAAGACCGAGUCGGGUGGAUAGCAUUGUGAAAGUAGAUGAAACCUUAUGAGCAGAAUUGUAAAUGACAUGGGUCUAAGAUAGAGGAAACCUUAGAUGUCAAUUGGAUGAGCUGUGGAUAGCAGGAUUGAAAGUAGAAUCAGUCGAUCUACUUAGCUUAUUGCAUGUUGAGUUGAAUAGUUGCAUAAUUUGCAUUGUUGCAUGUUGAGAGGCAUAACAUGUAUUUUAGUACUUGCAUAUAUAUAUCUGUUGGAUAUUUGUUGGACUAACAUGUUGUAGUGCCUCCUUCGGACCUGGUGGGUCGAGCUCUUUCCUUGGGUGGCCGUACCCACUGGAAACUAUGGACAAUAGUUCUCACCCUACGUGGUUUUGGGGUUUCAGGUUCACACGCGAGAGGCGCAGCGGCGCGAGGAAAGAGCAUAGCUUCGUAAAUAACGCCCUACCAUUGAGACCAGAGAUAGCGGUACCCCGAGUCAGCCUACCUAGGGGUGUAGAAAAAGAAGGAAGGCAUUAUUUAUGAAAUCUUGAUUGUAUUUGGAAGAAGAGAAAAUGAAAAUGUAAUAUGUAAAAAGCAUGUGAUGUGAAUGCUUGUAAUAGCAAGUAGAUUUAUGUUUUUGAUACUUCCUUAUGCAAUCUUGGCCUGAAAUUUGUUCCUGGUUGGAACCUCACGCUUUGUAUUGAUUGUGACGCCUAGGAUGUACAGGAAAAACUUUAUCCGUUCGGCGGUCUGUUAGCGGGCUCGAAUCCGACCAAAUAGGCGGGUCUCAGGGCGUGACAGAUAAAGUAGUAUCAGAGCAUAAAGUAGAGAAUGGGAAUGGUUUAGAUGGACCUAGGGGACUCUAAGAUAGUAAACCAUAGAGGUUAAGGCUCAUGAGAGACGAGAACUUAUGACUUGUGGCGAAAGAUUGAUCGAUUGAGUCAAGUUAGUAAACCUCUAAAACGGAUGUUAGAGGUAGAUUUAAGGUGUGGUUUAUUCUCAACCGAGGGUGUUCAUGUUGGAUGCAUACA